GUUAAUCCAUCACCCAUAUUAUUGAUACCAACUAGCAACAUACAUAGUGAAGUACACUAGCAACAUCUUAGCACCAAUGGGAGCCAAGAUUUUUGCCCUCCUUGCCCUCCUUGCUCUUUCAGCAAGCGCUGCUACCUCGACUUUUAUUCCACAAUGCUCACAACAAUACCUCUCUCCGGUGACAGCCGCGGGAUUUCAAUACCCAACUAUACAAUCCUACAUGGUACAAGAGGCCAUCCAAGCAAGCAUCUUACGGUCAUUAGCAUUAACCCUCCAACAACCAUAUGCUCUAUUGCAACAGCCAUCCUUAGUGCAUCUGUAUCUCCAAAGAAUCGCGGCACAACAACUACAACAACAGUUGCUACCAACAAUCAAUCAAGUAGUUGCAGCGAACCUUGCUGCUUACCUCCAGCAACAACAGUUUCUUCCAUUCAAUCAACUAGCUGGGGUGAACCCUGCUAUCUACUUGCAGGCACAACAGCUACUACCAUUUAACCAACUUGUCGGGAGCCCUUAUGCCUUCUUACUGCAACAACAGCUUCUGCCAUUCCAUCUGCAAGCUGUGGCAAACAUUGUUGCUUUCUUGAGACAACAACAUUUGUUGCCAUUUUACCCACAAGUUGUGGGAAACAUUAAUGCCUUCUUGCAACAGCAACAAUUGCUACCAUUCUACCCACAGAAUGUGGCAAACAUUGUUGCCUUCUUACAACAACAACAAUUGCUGCCAUUUAGCCAACAUGCUUUGACGAAUCCUACCACCUUAUUGCAACCGCCCACCAUUGGUGGUGCCAUCUUCUAGAUUUUUUAUGAUUUAUACUGUAAUAAUAAAGUUCUCAUGCUGAUAUGUGCGACCUCUCAGUAAUAAAGUAUUAGAGAUCUAUAUUUUAAAUUCAAAUGUAUCCAAGUGUGUUCCAUUGCUUUUUGUUUCCCUAAGACCAAAUACUAAAACCUUUGAAUCAUACCUAUUGUAUGAUACCUGAAUAAUUCUACACUACCGUGAAUAAACAUUAUGAAGGAGCUAGUGGCUAGGUGGAGGUUGCAGCCUAGAGGAUGAGAAUGAUGAUGUGUUAAGGUUGUAUAGAUGGGCUUAGGAUAAAAUUUGUUGUUGGUCUAGAAUAGUAUCUCAGUUAUCUAAGAUAUGAUGGUAAGCCUAGGCCAUUGAGAGGCUCCUUGAUGGCGGUGCGUUCACCCUCAGGUGACUGUGUGCACCAAUGAGGGGCCCCAUAGGCGGCACUAGCACUCCACCAUGCUCUCUCGAACUUAUAUGAGACAGAAAAGAAGGUGGAUGAAGAGGGAAGACUCUCAAGAGUAGAAGGUGGAGAAAGAGCAGAGUGCUACGAGGAGAUAAAAAUGAUUAGGUACAUAGCAUUUUUAUCCUAGUCAUUAGAUGAGAUCAGAUGGUGCAGAGUUGUUAAGGCUACUUCUGGCUCAGGCAAGUGUAAGAAUUUCCUACCUAGGCCAAAGUUGUGGCCUGGGAUGUGAGUCUACGUGGGGAGCAGGCUAGCAGGCCGACCACUAUUGACAGAGAUAGGCAAUGCCAUUGAUAAUCUGAAGCAUAUUGGCCCUAUGUUGGUAAUAAAAGGAACACAUGAGACAACUAAUAAUGCAGCCUUGACAAUGACAUAUGAUUUUCAACACAUUAAGUGAGAUAGAUCAAAUUAGAAGUGUAUGAUGGUUAUUAGAAGCUAUAUUAUAGAGUCUAUUAGGGGAGCAAUCUUGAAUGUCCAAGUGCCAUAGAGUAUCUUGAUAAAAUUAAGCAACAAUUCAUUGGUUCUUCUAAUACAUAUAUUGGAACCAUAAUUCUGAAUAUUAUUACUAAAAUGUAUGAUGGCUCUAUAGUAGGGGAGCACAAAAUUAAGAUGACUAAUUUUCCCAAUAAACUUAAGUCUUUUGGUAUGGAACUAAAGAACGAAUAUAUUGUCCACAUGAUAUAAUUGUCUUUAUCUAAAGAAUUUAAGAAUUUUGUUGUGAACUACAACAUGAGUCCUAAAAAGUAGGCAAUAGAGAUGUUGAUUGCCAUGUGUGUCCAAAAAUCAAAGAGGGUCCCCAAAAAUUCUAGUGGGUACCACCUGAGGGUUCCUUUAACCCUAAAACUUGUAUUUUCUAGAUUUUUUUAGGCAUAGAAAAACUCAAUGGUAAGCACCAAAAAUUUCAUUAGAGCACCAUUAAAUGCGAUACAAAAUGUGCAUCUUAUAGCUUGAGUGGCCACUAUAAAACUUUGGUGCCACUAAAAAUCUUUGGUGCCAUUGAAUAAGACAAUACUAGGCAAAAGGCCAGUUAAUGGAUAGUUUUAAAUAGACGCUGAACUAGCCAUUAAAGCCUCCCAUGUCUUUCUUUGGAGAGCCUAUUGAAAGGUUCUAAUGGUGUACUAAUAUAGAUUACUCCCCAUUGUUGAUUCAUAACUCCCAUUCACCUUUGAUUUUCAUCGACAUUUUUAGAAGUGGAUAGUGAUACAAAAGUUAUUACUAAUAGUUUGAAUGCGUUGGUGAUAAACUUCAUCACCAUCGACUUAGAAAAUAGUAUGACUUUUGAAGGUCAUUUUUUGAUAGGCUUAUCUCUAAAUGAUUAAUACAGGCUAGGUGUGGCCAUUAGGCCCCUCAAGACUUUUUCUUAAAUAUGAAUGCUCUCUUGAACCAUCUCUAGAAAUUAAAAACAUAUAAUAUCUAAAUAUAGAUACUUUUGUACUACCCUAAGCAGAUGAAGCUUAAGGCUAGUAUAAGCUAGUUAUCAUAUGAUGGCUAAGUACACCACAACCACUAUUUCUAUUUUCAGUUUUACAAAGAGGGGAGACCUAUGCAUUAUAUUACACUUAAUACCAAAACUUUCUAAGGGCAACCAUAAUAGAAGGCUUGCCCUGCUUAUGUGAAAACUUUGCAUAUGCUAAUGAGAGAUAAUAAAUAAAAAAGAGAAGGUUAAGGCUACCUAUCAUAUGCUAACCUAUACAACUAUUUAUUUUAUUUUAUUCAACAACUUGAGAGAUGUUCAUUGUAUUAGUCUUGCAGUAACAAUUGCCCAAAAUAAAGUAUAUUAGGCCUUAUAGCUAGUGGAAAUUUUCUCUAUGAAGUAGACAUAAUAAAAAUGAGAGAAGGAAUAUAUUCUCAUGCAAUAAGAGAUUGACUCAACAAAUAUCCAAGUAAACACACCAUGUCCAACUCAAUAUAUAUGAGGAAGGGACUAAUGCAUAAAACGUCUCUAGUAUUGUCCUUUGUCCAUUUUUCUUUGAUCAAUUGGAGUUAAGAUAAAUGAAACAUAUGAUAAAAUUAUGUGGUCAUUCAUGACAAAUGUUUUUUCAUUGUUGUGAGAAUUGCAACAAGGUUUCUUUAACUAUUUUUGGUAAACACUAUGUUUUAAUCACACAUAUCAACUAUUGAUCAUCAUUGAUACCCUUUUAACCAUAAUGAAACAGAACCACAUGUUUUAGAUCUAUUUUCUGACUUUGAGCCAAAAAUAAGUAGUACCCCUACCUAGUUUGAUUUCUGCCACAUCCAUAAUACCAAUAUAAUGUAUGACAUCAAUUGUACAUUCUAAGGUGUCACUCUCCAUAGCUUCCACCCAAACUCCAUUCUCUACUAGAUGCUUAGUGAUCACUAAUCCAUCAAUCUUCGUAGUAUUUCAAAGAGGACCAACCUUGCUCUUUGUGGAACUGUUGGCUAAAUCUUAUGAGGCCCCAUCCAACUAUAGUUCAUAUUUCUCGGUAGCUUAGUUGGGUGCACACUGAAAACUAAUGAUCAUUGGCACUUUCAAAAUAUGAAACUAAUACUGUCAUCAAACACCGAACACAUAGACACAAUAAAAACAUAAUGUAUGCCUGAAAAUAGUUAUAGGAACCUCAUUUCAAUUCUUAGAACAAUGAACAAAACAUUUGUCAUGAACAAUCAUGUAAUUUUAUCAUAUGAUUCCUUUAUCCAACCUCUAAGGAUCGUAGGACCUUGUCAAAAAAGAAUGGGCAUAGGACAAUCUAGAGAUGUCAGUACAUUACUUCCUCCCUCCUAUAUAGCGAGUUGGACAACUUUCGGUGUAAAAGUGCCCAGCCUAGCCACCAUUUCACCAAUACUAAAAUUUGCCCAAUAGGACAAACGGAAAACACUUUCUUCAAGACAUUCUCUAUCCUAUAUAGAACCUACAUGACUGUUUUUCUCUGUCACUGCAUAAAACUAAGUGUGACAUCUUCACCCACAUGUACAAUAGCUCAUUCCUCUCCUUCUUGUUCCCUUGUGGAUGUUGUUGACCUAAUACACCUUAGACUCAUUGAUUUUGUUCAUUUUUAUCAAUCCCAUUGUUCCAGCAUAUUUAUUCUUCUCAUGUCUCGUCCUGCAUAAUGUUUGCAUUCUCAAUGUCCUUGCUCGCACCCUUGGACAUUGUGUCAUACCACUUGCCCUUAGUUUAUGCUCUUCUAUUAGUUGAAAUUGAUUGAUAUCCAAAUUUUAUUGAAAAUGAUUGAGAUCCACAUCAUUUGGUCACAACUUCACAAACUUACCUCCAUCAAGCGGAUCAUAUAUUAUGUGGCUAAGGGUUGCACAUGUGUAAAGGUAAAUGGGUCAUGCCAUUAUCACCCGUAUAUUCAGAAAUACCAUGGGAAGAAUAGCACCUUUUGCUUGUAUUUUGUGCAAAUUGUUUUGCCAACAUAUAAAGUGUAAGAGAAGAAAGUGGCCACUAAAUAUCAAAAUAGACUAGGUACCAUGUCAUCUCUAGUUUAUCUUCUAAUAGUUUUGUUGGCUAAAGAAGAAAUAUUGUUGAUAUACAUGGCCAAUCAUGUGUAUAAAUAGCCAUCAAAUUAGUAGUUAAUCCAUCACCCAUAUUAUCGAUACCAACUAGCAACAUACAUAGUGAAGUAUACUAGAAACAACUUAGCACCAAUGGCAGCCAAGAUCUUUGCCCUCCUUGCCCUCCUUGCUCUUUCAGCAAGCGCUGCUACCUCGACUAUUAUUCCACAAUACUCACAACAAUACCUCUCUCUGGCGACAGCCGCGAGAUUUCAAUACCCAACUAUACAACCCUACAUGCUACAAGAGGCCAUUGCAGCAAGCAUCUUACAGUCAUUAGCAUUUACCCUCCAACAACCAUAUGCCCUAUUGCAGCAACCAUCCUUAGUGCAUCAGUAUCUCCAAAGAAUUGCGACACAACAACUACAACAACAAUUGCUACCAACAAUCAAUCAAGUAGUUCCAGCGAACCCUGCUGCUUACCUCCAUCAACAAUAGUUUCUUCCAUUCAAUCAACUAGCUGGGGUGAACCCUGCUGUCUACUUGCAGGCACAACAUCUACUACCAUUUAACCAACUUGUCGGGAGCCCUGAAACCUUCUUACUGCAACAACAGUUGCUGCCAUUCCAUCGGCAUGCUAUGGCAAACAUUGCUGCUUUCUUGCAACAACAAUAGUUGUUGCCAUUUUACCCACAUGUGGUGGGAAACAUUACUGCCUUCUUGCAACAGCAACAAUUGCUGCCAUUCUACCCACAGAAUGUGGCAAACAUUGUUGCCUUCUUACAACAACAACAAUUGCUUCCAUUUAGCCAACUUGCUUUGACGAAUCCUACCUCCUUAUUGCAGCAGCUGUCACACCCGGUUUUAGAAGGCAAACCGAAUGCGAACCAUGUACGUGCCAGGAUCAGUUAUUCACGUACACAGCAGUUACAUAACAUGGACAUCAUCACACAGUGCUCAAAAUAGUAUUAAGAAGGGAAAUAGUCGAUUACAUCAUACGUUUGAGACGUCCAUAUAGUUCUUACAAUAAAUCAAAGUGCGGAAAAGAAACGUAGAUAACCGCGGCCUUCACAGGCAGCCGACUGGGGGUUGCCGCUAACCCACAACUAGAACUCGUCGUAGUCUUGGAACUCCUGGAAGUCACCUUCCACAGCUUCAUCUUCGCCUGAGCAGUGGUUGCAAUGCUGACAACCUGGGGAUGGGGGGGGGGGGGGUUUGGUGUGUAGAGCAAGGGUGAGUACACAUCAACAUACUCAGCAAGUAUCCUGUCUGGCUGUAGUGGACUAGCUGUAUGUGGGGAUAAGUCAAGCAGUUGCUUUUAGUUGGUCAGAUUAUUACUUACUAGUAGAAAGCCAAGUUUUAGCAUUAACCCAAGUUAUUAACCCGAUGUACCCUUUCCAAACGGAAAGAAUACCACUUACCAGCACCAUAGUCAUAACCAAAACCAUCAAUCUCAUAACCACCUGUACCAAAGUAUCUCUGAUCAAGUACCACUAAUCACUGGAGCUCCCUUGGCCGCUCAUAACCGCGAGCACGGCUGAUAUAUCAGUUUUCAAACACUCUGCAGAGGUUGUGCACUUUACCCACAAGCCGUGAUUCCCAUUCUGCCCGGAGAGAGCUACUCCCCAUUGACCACUACCUAGGUGGCCUAGCAGGGCAUCACUAUGUAGCCUUUACAAAGAUUCCCCGGGGCUGUAGCCACCCGUUAGGUUUCCUAAAUGCACCGCACUCCUCCCCAAGGGGCGAACCCAAACUUGGCAGAGCGAGCCGCAUACACCGAGCCCCAUUGACGGCACGACGGCUAAGUGAACUACACCCCGGAUGCUCUAAUUAUUCAGCUAAGGGCAUCCCAUUCCACCCUCAUGGUUGCACUGUUUUCCCGGGCGGUCAUCCAUAGAACAGGUCCUUACGGAGAGGCACUCGAGAAACCGCUCGAGCCCCCUUGAUGACCACAAGUAUAACAUCAUCAUAAGAAAGGGGAAAACAGCGUAUCAUAGAUAAUCUCAUCAUGUUCAUUGAUUAUAGUUGAGCAAUAGCAUAAAGCUAAACAGUAAUAAUCCAACCCAAAUAGGUAAACAAGGACAUGGAUAACAAAAGCUAGUCAAUCCUUAGGCAUAAAUGUGUAAUGCAGGAGGUGAAUUAGAUAAUGAAUAGGACAUAGAUAGGUCAAGGGACACUUGCCUCCACCAACCGACUGCUGCUCAGGGGCUUCUCCUGCGGGUUCCUCGGGCUCUUAAACCGGAUCGUUCUCUAUACGAGCGCAAACAUACAUACAUCCACAUAUUUAAUACCAAAGAACAGUACACCAUACAUGUCACACCCGGUUUUAGAAGGCAAACCGAAUGCGAACCAUGUACGUGCCAGGAUCAGUUAUUCACGUACACAGCAGUUACAUAACAUGGACAUCAUCACACAGUGCUCAAAAUAGUAUUAAGAAGGGAAAUAGUCGAUUACAUCAUACGUCUGAGACGUCCAUAUAGUUCUUACAAUAAAUCAAAGUGCGGAAAAGAAACGUAGAUAACCGCGGCCUUCACAGGCAGCCGACUGGGGGUUGCCGCUAACCCACACCUAGAACUCGUCGUAGUCUUGGAACUCCUGGAAGUCUCCUUCCACAGCUUCAUCUUCGCCUGAGCAGUGGUUGCAAUGCUGACAACCUGGGGAUGGGGGGGGGUUUGGUGUGUAGAGCAAGGGUGAGUACACAUCAACAUACUCAGCAAGUAUCUUGUCUGGCUGUAGUGGACUAGCUAUAUGUGGGGAUAAGUCAAGCAGUUGCUUUUAGUUGGUCAGAUUAUUACUUACUAGUAGAAAGCCAAGUUUUAGCAUUAACCCAAGUUAUUAACCCGAUGUACCCUUUCCAAACGGAAAGAAUACCACUUACCAGCACCAUAGUCAUAACCAAAACCAUCAAUCUCAUAACCACCUGUACCAAAGUAUCUCUGAUCAAGUACCACUAAUCACUGGAGCUCCCUUGGCCGCUCAUAACCGCGAGCACGGCUGAUAUAUCAGUUUUCAAACACUCUGCAGAGGUUGUGCACUUUACCCACAAGCCGUGAUUCCCAUUCUGCCCGGAGAGAGCUACUCCCCAUUGACCACUACCUAGGUGGCCUAGCAGGGCAUCACUACGUAGCCUUUACAAAGAUUCCCCGGGGCUGUAGCCACCCGUUAGGUUUCCUAAAUGCACCGCACUCCUCCCCAAGGGGCGAACCCAAACUUGGCAGAGCGAGCCGCAUACACCGAGCCCCAUUGACGGCACGACGGCUAAGUGAACUACACCCCGGAUCCUCUAAUUAUUCAGCUAAGGGCAUCCCAUUCCACCCUCAUGGUUGCACUGUUUUCCCGGGCGGUCAUCCAUAGAACAGGUCCUUACGGAGAGGCACUCGAGAAACCGCUCGAGCCCCCUUGAUGACCACCAGUAUAACAUCAUCAUAAGAAAGGGGAAAACAGCGUAUCAUAGAUAAUCUCAUCAUGUUCAUUGAUUAUAGUUGAGCAAUAGCAUAAAGCUAAACAGUAAUAAUCCAACCCAAAUAGGUAAACAAGGACAUGGAUAACAAAAGCUAGUCAAUCCUUAGGCAUAAAUGUGUAAUGCGGGAGGUGAAUUAGAUAAUGAAUAGGACAUAGAUAGGUCAAGGGACACUUGCCUCCACCAACCGACUGCUGCUCAGGGGCUUCUCCUGCGGGUUCCUCGGGCUCUUCAACCGGAUCGUUCUCUAUACAAGCGCAAACAUACAUACAUCCACAUAUUUAAUAUCAAAGAACAGUACACCAUACAAUAGAAUGCAAUAAGUAAACAGACGUUCCACGCGGGCUCGCGAGUACGGUUAAGAGAGAAAGAGGAAAAGACAGUCGAGAAACGAUCACGUUACAUGAUUAUAAAUUAACCACUCGCUUAAUAGAAGGAAAUUUAAUGUAGACACUAUGUUUGGCGUAAAGUAAAGUCAUGUUUCAUGAAGCAGGUGGAGAUAAAUAAAAGGAUGGUCGCGCGGAGAGACGCGCGACAAAGCUCUCUAAAACAAAUUAAGAAGUUAACGACUCGUCGCACGACCGAGCACGCAACGAGACACUUCGCCUUAGUUACGAGGAGACGUUAAGCGUCACGCGACGAAGCGCACGACGGCAUACGUCGACUAAACUGAGUCCAAAGUGGAACGUCGCGUGAAUACACACGCGGUGUUACACCUUAAACAACCUGAAACAAAAUGGAUCGUCGCGCGACGAAGCGCACGACGCAACACAAGAUAGAAUCUGAAUUUUAGACAAAUCCGUCGCGCGGCGAAGCGCGCGACGCAACACGCUAAUUAACAAAUAAUCACCGCGAGCGAAGAUACGGUCGGGCGAGGCCGGGACGGGGGAACGGGCGGCCGAGCCGGGGCCGGGGCGGUUGGGCCGGCCGGGGCCGCGCCGGGGGCCGGAGGCCGCGCCGGGGGCCGCGCCGGGCGAGCAGGGGCCACCGGGGCCGCGCCGGGCCACGCCGGGGGCGCGCCGGGGCCGCGCUGCGCGCGAGCAGGGGAGGGGCGGGCGCCGCCGGGCGGGCAGGGGCGGGCGGGCGCCGCCGCGGGCGAGCAGGGGCGGGCGAGCGCCGCCGCGGGCCAGGGGAGGGCGGGCGCCGCCGCGCGGGGCCGGGCAGGGGCGGGCGGGCGAGCGCCGCCACGGGGAGGGGCAGGGGGCGGGCGCCGCCGCGCUGGGGAGGGGGCGGGGAGCGCCGCGCGGGCGGGCAGGGGGCGGGGAGCGCCGCCGCGAGGCCGGGGGAGGGGCGGGCGCCGCCGCCGCGGGCGAGCAGGGGCGGGGAGCGGGCGCCGCGGGGCCGGGGAAGGGGCGGGGACGGGGUCGCGCGCGGGCAAGGGAGAGGGAGGGCGCGCGGGGGGGGGAAGAAGAGGAGGGAGAGGGAGAGGAGAGGGGGAGGGGAGGGGAGCUCACCUCGGGGUCCAAAAUCCGGUGAUCGCCGUCUCCAAACCCUAGGGCACCACGGGGAGAGAGAGGUGGAAGAGGGAGAGGAGAGGUUGUUGCGCGGGAGAUCCAAAUGAGAGAGAGAGAGAAGAGGGGGCGCAUGGGGGGUUUGGGCGCCGGGGGCGCGCAGGCCGGGGCGGGCCGGGCCGGCUGGGCUGGGCUGGACUAGGUUGGGCUGGGCUGGGCCACUUCGCGGAUUGAAAACCCACGACGAGCGCGACCACUAAACGGAAUUAAAUCGCGAACCGAAAUCCGGAAUGGAACGAGACGAACAUUCAACAUCAGACAAAGAAAUGUGCUUCGGCAUGAUGCAACACCCAUGACACUUAGGUUUUGGUUUAUACAUGACACGGACACCUGCCGCUAUACUGGUUUGAAACUGGGAAGAAGGAGCAAACGGGGAAAGAGAAAAGAGAGUAACGCCCAAAUUUGGUGAGAGAAAAGAAGAAAAAAUUCUACCCCCAAAUUCAGGGCAUUACAAACCUAUCCCCCUUAAAAGAAUCUCGCCCUCGAGAUUCAGGGUUGGCUAGCAAAGAGCUCAGGGUAUUUAGCGAUCAGAUCGUCUUCAUGCUCCCAGGUUGCUUCUUCCUCAGAGUGAUGAUUCCAUCUGACUUUGCACAUUCUGAUGGUCUUCCUUCGGGUGACUCUGUCACAACCUCAAGGAUUUGCACUGGUUUCUCAACGUAGGUCAAGUCCUCCUGGACUUCAAGACCUUCCACUGGCAACUGCUCUUCUGGCACACGCAAGCACUUCUUCAACUGAGACACAUGAAAGACAUCAUGCACAGCAGACAAAUUCUCGGGCAAACUGAGCUGAUAGGCCACUUCUCCACGUCUUGCAAGGAUCUGAUACGGACCAAUGUAGCGGGGUGCUAGCUUGCCUUUCACUCCGAAUCUUCUGACUCCUCUGAUCGGUGACACUUUCAGAUAGACAAAGUCUCCAACUUCGAAACUCAGCUCUCUUCUUCUUGUGUCUGCAUAGCUUCGCUGUCUUGAUUGCGCUAUCUUCAGAUUCUCUCGGACCAUCUUGAUGUUUUCUUCGGCUUCAAGCAAAAUGUCUGGCCCAAACACCUGCUUUUCUCCAGGCUGAUCCCAUUGCAACGGAGUUCUACAACUCCUUCCAUAGAGCGCCUGAAAUGGUGACAUCUUCAAACUGGCCUAGUAACUGUUGUUAUAGGAAAACUCCGCAUAAGGCAAUCUCUUAUCCCAUCCGGACUGAUCUUGCAACGCACAGGCUCUCAACAUAUCUUCAAGAAUUUGAUUGGUCCUUUCGGUCUGGCCAUCUGUCUGCGGAUGAUAAGCUGAACUGAAAUUCAGAUGCGUGCCCAAAGCUUCAUGCAACUGCUGCCAGAAAUGAGAGGUGAACUGCGUUCCUCUGUCUGACACUAUCUUCUUUGGCACACCAUGAAGACAAACGAUCCAAGACAUAUACAAUUCUGCCAAUACUGCACUGCUGUAGUUGGUCUUGACAGGUAUGAAGUGGGCUGACUUGGUCAAGCGGUCCACCACUACCCAAAUGGAAUCGUAGCCGGCUCGAGUGCGAGGCAAUCCGACUAUGAAAUCCAUACCAAUUUCAUCCCAUUUCCACUGAGGGAUCUGCAACGGUUGCAACAAUCCAGCAGGUCUCUGGUGCUCUGCCUUAAUUCUUCGGCAACUAUCGCACAUAGCCACAUGCUCUGCGAUUUCCCUCUUCAUUCCGUACCACCAGAAUUUCUUCUUCAGGUCCUGAUACAUCUUCUCACUGCCAGGGUGAAUCGAAUAGGCUGUCUCAUGAGCUUCCUUAAGAAUCAACUCCCGAAUGGACUGGACAUUGGGAACACACAAGCGGUCUUUGAACUAUAUCACGCCUUCUGCAUCUUCUCGAAAAUCUUUGCCUUUGCCAUCUAGAAUCAGCCGCCGGAUCUCACUGAUUUUCUCAUCAUUCUUCUGCGCUUCUUUGAUUUCGCGCUCCAAGGUAGGUUCCAACUCAACUGUGACUCCUCGCGAAUUGUUCAGAAAACCGAGACUCAACUUGUCAAACUCUUUGGCCAACUCAUAAGGCAUCGGACGAGCGACCAUCAGAUUGACUUGACUCUUUCUGCUCAAAGCAUCUGCCACUAUGUUUGCUUUGCCUGGAUGGUAAUGAAUCUCCAACUCAUAGUCUUUAAUCAACUCUAACCAUCUUCGUUGCCUCAUGUUCAACUCUGACUGGGUGAAUAUGUACUUCAGACUCUUGUGAUCUGUGUAAACAUCGCAUUUCUGUCCAUACAGGUAGUGCCUCCAUGUCUUCAGUGCGUGAACCACUGCUGCCAACUCUAGAUCAUGGAUUGGGUAGUUCUUCUCAUGAACCUUCAACUGUCGGGACGAGUAAGCCACAACUCUUCCCUCUUGCAUCAACACACAUCCCAAACCUGUGUAGCAAGCAUCGCAAUACACCGAGAAGGGCUUGUGCACAUCAGGCAAGACUAGGACAGGCGCUGUAGUCAACUUCUCUUUCAGCGCUUCAAAGGCCUCUUGGCAUUUCUGGGUCCACUUGAACUCAACUUUGUUGCCUAGCAACGCUGUCAUUGGUUUCGCAAUCUUCGAAAACCCUUCAAUGAAUCGUCGAUAAUAUCCGGCCAUUCCAAUGAAGCUCUUGAUUCCCCUAGCAUCUGUUGGCGCUUUCCAGUUCAAAAUGUCUGCCACUUUCUUCGGAUCCAUAGCCAAUCCUUCUUUGUUGAUUAUAUGACCCAAGAACAGGACUUCACUGAUCCAGAACUCACACUUGCUCAACUUUGCAUACAACUGGUGCUCUCGCAAUCUCUGCAAUACCAUCCUCAAAUGACUUGCAUGCUCUUCUUCGCUUUGAGAAUAUAUCAGAAUGUCAUCAAUGAAUACCACCACAAACUUAUCAAGGUAAUCCAUGAAUACACUGUUCAUCAAGUUCAUGAAGAACGCUGGCGCAUUGGUCAAACCAAAAGACAUCACUGUGAACUCAUACAAACCAUACUUGGAAAUGAAUGUCGUCUUCGGAAUGUCCGAAGGUCGGAUCCUGAGCUGAUGAUAACCUGACCACAGAUCAAUCUUGGAGAACACACUGGCUCCUCUCAACUGGUCGAACAGAUCUUCUAUUCUGGGCAAAGGAUACUUGUUCUUGAUCGUGACCUCAUUCAAAGCUCGAUAGUCAAUACACAUCCUCUUGGUGCCCUCUUUCUUUUCCACGAACAAGACAGGGGCGGCCCAAGGCGAGGUGCUUGGCCGAAUGUAACCUUUCUCUGACAGCUCAUCAAUUUGCUUCUUAAGCUCAAUCAACUCUGGUCCAGAUAUUCUGUAAGCUCUCUUGAAGAUAGGGGCGGUUCCAGGAAGAAGCUCUAUAGCAAACUCAACUUUCCGCUCUGGUGGCAUACCCGGUAAGUCCUUUGGAAACACAUCUGGGAACUCGGACACAACCUUGAUCCUCUCAAUUGGGUCUGCUUCACUGCUAUCAACAGCUAUCUGAUAACAACUUCCUUUCUUUGGCUCAGGCGGGACUAACUCAGUCACCACUUCCUCUCCUAGUGGGGACACCAACUUGAUUGUCCUUUUAUCACAACCGAUAACUGCCUGAUACUUAUCUAGCCAAUUCAUCCCUAGGAUGACAUCUAUUCCCUGAGUACCCAUUACUAUAAGGUUGGCGGGAAACGCUAUCCCCCUUAUUUCCACACUUAUAUUCAAACAAAUGCUAUCGGCUCGAAUUCUACCACCGGCUGAGUCAAUUUGAAUGGGGGUUGACAUGGUAGUAAUUGGAAGAUUAUGUGCUUCUACCCAUGAUGCAGUAAUGAAAGAAUGCGUUGCUCCAGUAUCAAAUAACACUUCUGCAAUAUGGGAGUCGACUGGGAACAUACCUACUAUCAUGCCGGGGUCUCCUGAACUGCUUCAGCCUCCAAGUGGUUCAGUCUUCCAUGAUUAUAGCGCGGCUAAGAGCGAUUGCCUGCUCUAGGCUGAGGCACAUUCUGCUUUGCUGGGGCAUUGGGGCCUGACUGCUGCUGGGCUGCCUUCUUUGGACAUUGCAUCACCCAGUGGCCUUGCUCUCCACAGUGGAAACAUGCUCUGUUUCCAACCUGAGCUGGUGCUGCCUGAUUGUUCUGCUGGUUUGCUGGGGCAGGAAGACGAGGUGCCUAUUGAUUCUGCCUCUAAAACUGACCUCCUGACUGAUUGCUCUGACGGUUCUGGUACUGAUGCUGAGGAUACUGCCUUUGGAACGACUGAUGCUGCUGAGGUGGACGCUGGUUCUGCCUGAACUGCUGAGGUUGACUGCCUGAGAAACGAGGACGAUUGCUGCUUCCAGGCUGGGGUCCACUGAUCUUGCGCUUACGAUCCUCCAUCUCCUUACGCUUCCUCUCUGUCAUGAUUGCUCUGUCAAUCAGGUGCUGGAAUGUCGGGAAGGUAUGAUUCAUCAGCUGAUACUGCAGAGGGUCAACCAAGCCUCUCAGAAAACGGUACUGCCGCUUGGCGUCGGUGUUGACAUCUUCAGGAGCAUAGCGAGACAAUUGUAGAAACUUGUCCCGGUACUCACUGACAGACAAUGGCCCUUGCUUGAGAGCCAGGAACUCCUCUUUCUUCACUGUCAUCAGACCUGCAGGGACAUGGUACUGACGAAAGCUACCUCUGAACUCUUCCCAUGUGAUGGCGUCAGGGUGGGCAUGGGUGGCGAGGUAAGACUCCCACCAUGAUUGGGCUGCUCCUCUCAACAGACGGGGACCAUACAGGACUUUCUCCCUGUCAUCGCACUGAGCGGUAUGCAACUCACGCUCCACAGUGCGUAGCCAGUCUUCAGCAUCCAUGGGAUCAGAAGAGUGAGCGAACGUUGGUGGAUGACCUCUCAUGAAUUCAGCACGCUUGUCUCUGGGCAUUUGAGGCAUCUGAGGCUGAGGUGGGGCCUGCUGCUGCUGCUGCUGAAUGGCGGCCAAAGUCUGGCCGAUGGCUUGAACUGCCUGAGUCUGCAUCAGGAACAUCUGCUCGAUGGACAUCGGGGGCGGGGGCGGCAGGUGCUGCUACUGAGGCACCUCUUCCUGUUGAGUGGCUCGCUCCUGCUGAGCACGCCUUCCUCCUCUGCGCCUAUUCUCUGACAUCUGCAGAAUGCAACCACACAUCAGAACUGAUCUGGCAAAUCUUGCAGCAUAAGAAAAGAGAAUAGAAUUCUUCAACAGCACUGAACAGAUGAGCAUCUUCACUGAUCUCCAACACAGACCACACAGCUUCUCAGAUAAAGAGGAAAGUGGAAUAAAAGGUUUCCCAACUAUAUUCUAACUCCAUUAACAUAAUAGGUAAACCAAAAUGCAGGGGAUACCCACACUCUGGUGACAGUCAUUACAAAGAUCCAAACCAAACAUAGUUCAUCAUGACAAACAUAGAUGCACAGGAUAUAGCAAACUACCCUGUCUAACUAAGACUAACUAAGACUGAGACUAACGCUAAGACCGAAGCUUUUAUGUAUAUAUUUCGUAUUAAUUACAAGAUCCAACUCUAACGAUCUAUGGUUCUAGAGUUAUCUUGGUCUUGCAGGCGGGAUUGCCAUAAGACUGGUGUCCACGCUGAGGUGAGCGGUACGGGUGCUGAGUCCCAACGGGAGCGGGGGAACCACCAUCCAGGUGACGACGUUCCGCGCGCUCAGCCCGCAGCAGGGCGAUCUCAGCACGAGCCCUACUCAGCUCGUCUAGUGCAUGGUCCAGCUCCGUGUUUAGCACGGCGGCUAGGUUGACUGUGCUGCUCAACCUAGGAUUGCCCUCACCGACAGGUGAGACAAUAACGCCUCCUGUGCUGCCAGAUGGACGGCGGGGGUAAUACUUCAGGUCAAGACCGUCAGCUGCCCCACCGAAAACCGAGCAGUAGUGCGAAAGCGCACGCCGUACAGCAUCUUGCAUGGCUGCCUCAGCUGAGUCCCGCUCAGAGAUAGAAUAGUGCUCUGAGCAGGCCUCCGCACCCUGGAGACUGUUCUCCGGGCAGCGCACCAAGCAGGUUGCCUCCCAGCGGUCCGGGUAGACCCCGCGACUGUGCUGGUAGACCACACAGCGAUACUCGACGGACCAAGUAUGCCAGUUAAAUGCCCGACGUAGCAGGGUGUCGAGCGCAUCGUGGAAGUGACACCCGCGAGCAGCGUCGCGAGUGAUGGGUCGAGCAACCCAUCCUUCCGGCUCAGGGUUAGCAGAGAAGUCGGUGUCGUGGCUCGAGCUGUCGUGGCUCGAGCUGUCGUCGCCAUCUCCGUCGUCUGGGUCUCCUCCAGCAGCUACUCCAGAAGCUGGGGCGCCCAGUGGUGGUGCAGGGGGCGCCUCCAGGGGAAGCACAGGGGAGCAGCUCCUCACAGACUCUAUCUCCUGGUGGAGCGAGAAAGAAGAGCCCUGCUGCUCCUGUCGUCGACGUUCCUGCUCCUCACGCAGGCGGUGGUGCAGUCUCUCCAAGUGGCUGGACUGUCCGGCCACGGGACAGCGUAGCGGACGCUCAGCAAGGCGGGAGGGUAAGAAGGGGAUGACUGACUUUCGUGCAGUGUGUCUAAGUCGAGCCAUCUACAAAAGACAUCGCAAGCAAAAGGGUGAGAACAGAAUCAAUAUGACCAGCAAAUAAUGAACCAUAAAUGAAUGAAGGAUUAGAAUAAAACAUAAUUUUCAGCAAGGUAUAGUAUAUAGUAGAACAUAGGUGUGGUCGGUAUGACCAACUUUUGAAGGGAUAUCAAAGUCAAGGCAGAGACAGAGGUCUAUAGUCCUUAGGACGACCAUUCUACUCUAGGUUAGCGGUCCUACAGUCAGCACGGCUUUGAUACCACUUAUGUCACACCCGGUUUUAGAAGGCAAACCGAAUGCGAACCAUGUACGUGCCAGGAUCAGUUAUUCACGUACACAGCAGUUACAUAACAUGGACAUCAUCACACAGUGCUCAAAAUAGUAUUAAGAAGGGAAAUAGUCGAUUACAUCAUACGUCUGAGACGUCCAUAUAGUUCUUACAAUAAAUCAAAGUGCAGAAAAGAAACGUAGAUAACCGCGGCCUUCACAGGCAGCCGACUGGGGGUUGCCGCUAACCCACACCUAGAACUCGUCGUAGUCUUGGAACUCCUGGAAGUCUCCUUCCACAGCUUCAUCUUCGCCUGAGCAGUGGUUGCAAUGCUGACAACCUGGGGAUGGGGGGGGGGUUUGGUGUGUAGAGCAAGGGUGAGUACACAUCAACAUACUCAGCAAGUAUCCUGUUUGGCUGUAGUGGACUAGCUGUAUGUGGGGAUAAGUCAAGCAGUUGCUUUUAGUUGGUCAGAUUAUUACUUACUAGUAGAAAGCCAAGUUUUAGCAUUAACCCAAGUUAUUAACCCGAUGUACCCUUUCCAAACGGAAAGAAUACCACUUACCAGCACCAUAGUCAUAAACAGACGUUCCACGCGGGCUCGCGAGUACAGUUAAGAGAGAAAGAGGAAAAGACAGUCGAGAAACGAUCACGUUACAUGAUUAUAAGUUAACCACUCGCUUAAUAGAAGGAAAUUUAAUGUAGACACUAUGUUUAGCGUAAAGUAAAGUCAUGUUUCAUGUCUAAUUAUUAUAAGCAGGUGGAGAUAAAUAAAAAGGAUGGUCGCGCGGCGAGACGCGCGACAAAGCUCUCUAAAACAAAUUAAGAAGUUAACGACUCGUCGCACGACCGAGCACGCAACGAGACACUUCGCCUUAGUUACGAGGAGACGUUAAGCGUCGCGCGACGAAGCGCACGACGGCAUACGUCGACUAAACUGAGUCCAAAGUGGAACGUCGCGUGAAUACACACGCGGCGUUACACCUUAAACAACCUAAAACAAAAUGGAUCGUCGCGCGAUGAAGCGCACGACGCAACACAAGAUAGAAUCUGAAUUUUAGACAAAUCCGUCGCGCGGCGAAGCGCGCGACGCAACACGCUAAUUAACAAAUAAUCACCGCGAGCGAAGAUACGGUCGGGCGAGGCCGGGACGGGGGAACGGGCGGCCGAGCCGGGGCCGGGGCGGUUGAACCGGCCAGGGGCGGCCGAGUCGGUCGGGGCCGCGCCGGGGACGCGCCGGGGGCCGGAGGCCGCGCCGGGGUCGCGCCGGCGAGCAGGGGCCACCGGGGCCGCGCCGGGCGCGCGCCGGGGGAGGAGCGGGGGCGGGCGGGCGCCGCCACGGGGCCGGGACGGGCGGGCGCCGCCGCGGGGCCGGGACAGGCGGGCGCCGCCGCGGGGAGGGGCGGGGAGCGCCGCGCGAGCGGGCAGGGGGCGAGGAGCGCCGCCGCGGGGCCGGGGUGGGGGGGGGGAGCGCCGCCGACGAGGGGCGGGGACGGGGUCGGGCGCCGCCGCGCCGGGAGGAGCGAGGACGGGCGCCGCCGCGCGGGGCAGGGGCGGGGACGGGCGGGGUCGCCGCGGGCCGGGGGAGGGCGGGCGCCGCCACCGCGCGCGAGGGGGAGGGGCGGGCGAGCGCCGCCGCGGCCGGGGGAGGGCGGGCGCCACCGCGCGGGGCCGGGCAGGGGCGGGGGGCGUCACGCCGCCGGCGAGCAGGGGCGGGCAGGGGCGCGCGCGAGCAGGGGAGAGGGAGGGCGCGCGCGGGGGAAAGAAGAGGAGGGAGAGGGAGAGAGAGAGAGGAGAAGGGGAGGGGAGGGGAGCUCACCUCGGGGUCCAAAAUCCGGUGAUCGCCGUCUCCAAACCCUAGGGCACCACGGGGAGAGAGAGGUGGAAGAGGGAGAGGAGAGGUUGUUGCGCGGGAGAUCCAAAUGAGAGAGAGAGAGAGGAGAGGGGGCGCAUGGGGGGUUUGGGCGCCGGGGGCGCGCAGGAUGGGCAGGACGGGCCGGCUGGGCUGGGCUGGACUAGGUUGGGCUGGGCCGGGCCACUUCGCAGAUCAAAAACCCACGACGAGCGCGACCACUAAACGGAAUUAAAUCGUGAACCGAAAUCCGGAACGGAACGAGACGAACAUUCAACAUCAGACAAAGAAAUGUGCUUCGGCAUGAUGCAACACCCAUGACACUUAGGUUUUGGUUUAUACAUGACACAGACACCUGCCGCUAUACUGGUUUGAAACUGGGAAGAAGGAGCAAACGGGGAAAGAGAAAAGAGAGUAACGCCCGAAUUUGGUGAGAGAAAAGAAGAAAAAAUUCUACCCCCAAAUUCAGGGCGUUACAGCAGCGCACCAUUGGUGGUGCCAUCUUCUAGAUUUUUUAUGAUUUACAUUGUAAUAAUAAAGUUAUCAUGCUGAUAUGUGCAUCCUCUUAGUAAUAAAGUAUUAGAAAUCUAUAUUUUAAAUUAAAAUGUAUCCAAGUGUGUUCCAUUGCUUUUGGUUUCCCUAGGACCAAAUACUAAAUCCUUUGAAUCAUACCUAUUGUAUGAUACCUGAAUAACUCUACACUACCACGUAUAAACAUUAUGAGGGAGAUGGUGGCUAGGUGGAGGUUGCAGCCUAGAGGAUGAGUAGAAUGAUGUGUUAAGGUUGUAUAGAUGGGCUUAAGCUAAAAUUUGUUGUUGGUCUAGAAUAGUAUCUGAGUUAUCCGAGGUUAAGUGUAGUACCCAAAUUCUAGAUGAAUAAAGCAAGGAGAGAAUAUCAAUUACAUAUACUUUCAUUUUCAUUUAACACACACACACACAUAUAUAUAUAUAGGGCAGGUAUAACGGGAGCCCUGGGCUUCGGAUAUUAAAGGAAGCCCAGGUCGGUUCCGAGGUCUGGUCCGUUGAGACAGGCGCGCCUGUGUUUAACGUAGUCCAGACAGGCGGCAUGCAGGACAGACGGCGCCAUUACGCGGUUGUUUUAAUGGCAAGGCGGUAAACAUAUGGUAAAGGCGCGAAAUUAUAGGGAAUAGUUUCCACAUGCAAACAUGCUUACUAUGUUACGUGGGCGCGGAAUUUAUGGAUCUUGCAUGGGGUGUAAUGGCGGCAGGUAAAUAUAACGUAGAAUAAGAUGUUGAAAGAUAUGGCAUAAAACCGAAACGGCACAAAAGUUGCAUGAAUAGUAUAUACCAUUUGGCGUAAAACGUUAAGUCAUUGUGCGUAAAUAGUGUAUUAUGGAUAUUAGUUUGACAUUGACAUCGCCAUAAUAUCGGGACGGUUUCAGAAAUAAUGGGGAGACCCUGUAAACGUGGAUGCGGUUACUUGUAUAGUACCCGUGAUUUCCUUUCAUCCGAAAAAACACCACAAAGCCUGCAUAACUAUUUGGAGGUGGAGAUGGCCGGCUCUGGAGAGUCGCCGGCGAUGGUAGGAGAUGGCGUUCGUCUUGAUCCAGAGACGGAGGGAGUAGUUGAUGGUAACUCACUGGUCACACCACCUCCUGCUCUACUGGGUCCUGUGAUCGACGAGAUGAGCAUAGGGGAAGAAGGAGAACAAAGGGUUCAACCUCCUAUGUCCAAUAUUAGCUCCAGGGAGAUGGAUACGCCUCAAAUACUGCAUUCACAUGUAAGUCCAAUUGUUGUAUUUGAUUCUUGAUUGAUUAGAUUGUUAUGAACAUAUUCCAUGGUAGAAACAACAUUGUCAAUGAAUUUGCAGGAAAAAAACAUUGAUCCAACUAUAGUGCCAACGGUAGGGAUGACUUUCAAGGAUGUUGAUGAUGCAUAUAAAUUCUAUAAAAGGUAUGCAUAUGAAGAUGGAUUUCCACUGAAGAAAUACAGAGAGAAGACAUUCAGUAAGUGGAUAAAUUGUUCACGUGAAGGUAAAAGUGCGCCAAAAUCAAAUGAUACACCUAGGAUGAGGAAUAGGACUUCGGGGUGUACGCAAUGUAAGGCUGGAAUAAAAUUAAAAAAUAUAUAUGAUGAUGAAAAAAAUGGUUGUAGCUGCAAAAAUUGAACUGGUAAACUUGGAGCAUAACCAUGAGUUCAUAACUGACGAAGCCGAGAAACAACAUUUACGUUGCAACAAAAGUAGGGAUGCUGAGUUCAUAAAUUUUGUUGAUGCAAUGCAUGAUAGCCGAGUGCCGCAGCAUUGCAUAGUUGAUUUUAUAUCAGAAAUGCAUGAUGGGCCGGAGAACGUACCGGUAACUGCUCAAGAUCUGAAAUACAUGUAAGCAAUAUUUUUAUGUUUCAUGUGUAUAUAUUAAGUGCCAUAAAUAUUACUAUAGUAAAAGUGUGUGUAAUCAUUUUUUGUGCAAACAAAUGUAGGAGGGCAGCAAGGAGAAGAGAAAACUGCGCAAAUGAUGUAGCCAAACUUUUGGCUUUCUUUACAGAAUGCAAGAAACAGAAUCCACAAUUUUUUUGUGAUUUCUAGCUAGAGAAUGAUGGGAGAAUAGUGAGUAUUUUUUGGUCACACGCAAGUAUGCAGGGGGAAUAUGCAGAUUAUGGUGAUGCCGUGACAUUUGAUACAACACACAAGACAAAUAUAUAUGAUAAACCACUGGGCAUGUUUGUUGGAGCUAACAGCCAUCUGCAGUGUACAGUGUUUGGAUUUGUUUUGUUGGGAGAUGAAAUAGUACAGACUUUUGAAUGGGCUUUCAAUUCAUUCAAAACAUGUAUGGGAUGCGAGGGUCCAAGAGUUAUGCUUACAGGUAUGUGGUAUGUCAAUUUGUUAUGCAAAACAGUGAAUUUAUUUAUUGUGAAAGUAAAUUAAUAGUUUGUGAGCAAUUGCAGAUCAAGAUCCUGCAAUGCCAAUUGCUCUAAGAACUUUAUUUCCAAAAACAGUUCACAGACUGUGUUUAUGGCAUGUCCAGAACAUAUUUAUGCCAUUCCUAAAUGAGAUAUAUGCAAGGUUUGCUGUUAAGGAUUUUAAAACAACAUUCCAGUCUAUUAUACAUCAUCCAUUAACUCCUCAUGAGUUUGAAUGUGCCUGGGAAAUGAUGCUAGAGGAGUUCAAUCUUCAUGAAGAUAUGACUCUACGCAAAUUAUAUGAAAUAAGAAAAGAAUGGAUACCUGCAUUUUUUAAAAACGACUUCUGUGGGGUAAUGGUAUCUACACAACGAAGUGAGAGCAUGAACAGAUUAGUGAAGCAAUCACAUGUAGAUGCGAACACCCCACUGCAUGAGUUCGCUAAACAAAUGAUGAAAAUGUUGCACAGCAGGAAAAUGAAAGAAUCAAAGGAGGCAUUGGUGAGCAAGGUAUGUCGUGCUUGUUAUCAAUAAUGUAUGGCAUACAUUUUAUGUAAAUAAUUUGUUUAUUUAUUAUAAUAAUGUCUUAUAGGGACCAAGGACAACAGAUACAUUGUAUAGGUUCGAAGUGAGAGUCUCUAGAGCAUACACCAGAGCUGUUAUGAAUAGAUUUGAGGAAUCAAUGAAAUACGCCACUGCAUACAAAAUAUUAAAGGACGCAGAUGGUUGUGAUAAAGAUUGGAUCGUACAGCAUACAAAAAGGUCUAAUAAAAUUGUGUGGGGACAACAUCAAUUCAAGAUAACAGCGGACAUAGAAGAUGGGGAGUAUACAUGCGAGUGCAAACAGUGGGAACAUACAUGUUUGUACAUAUUAUGUUGAUUAAAAGAAUAAAUUUGCAUACUAAAGAAUUUGUUGAUUGUAGUACAAAUUAAUGUAUAUCGUUAAAAAAUAAUGGUUGGUUUUCAUGUUUUCAGGUCUAUUGUGUGUUCAUCUUUUAAGAGCCUUCAUGCACCUUCAAGUUGAAAAGAUACCUUCAAAGUAUAUAUUGCAAAGGUACACUGUCUCAUCAAGAAAAGAUGUACCGUUUGAAAGAAUUGAUAAGAGCUUCAGGGGAAAGGAUGGAGUUACUAAAUCAUACAGACAGAAAAUGUUGUUAACGAAAACAAUGAAAGUAGUUCGCCAGGCGUGUAUGUCAAAAGCAGGGUACGACAAGGCGAUGGAUGUGUUGGAUGAGCUCGAUGGCGUUCUAUGCCGAUUAGAGCCAGAUAUUGGAUGUAAUGAGUCAUGUGAUGUUAGUGAUGAUGAGGAAGACAAGGUAAUAAUAUUCUAGUUGUUUAAAUGUUAUACUAUUUGUAACAUAUAUUAUGCAUAGUAACAUGUUAUUUGUACCAGGAAGGAGAAUUGAACAAAAAUAAUGCUGGCGAUGAGAUGGAAGAUGACAAUACAAUUACAUGCCAUAAAAUGGUAUGUAAAAGAUAAAUAUAUAAGCUUGCAUGAAGUAUUGUAUAUAAUGAAUAUAUAAAAUCAAUGUACUAAGCAAAUUUUAUUUUGUAGGAUGAGCAUAACACCAUGACUGGAUGUGAACAUGCGUUAACAUUAAUAACAGCUGUUAACCAGGUAUCAUAUUAAAAAAAUAUUGUUCAUUUGUAUAUAAUGAAAAUAUAUAUUUAUGCUGCAUGGAAAUGUUGAUGUAUUUGGGUUGGGCUAUAUAGGAGGACAACAUGAGAAUUCCACCUGAGGUUGGUGAUACAAGUUCUCCGUGUCACGUAGCACAGGAACAAAUGGAACAUAUUGUUGCAUCCUCAGAAGCUAAAAAUGUGAGCAUUGAUAAAUGAUUUUACUGACUGGUAUAAAGAUAAUUUAUGUAAAUAUGUGUAUACUAAAUAAUAACUUCUUUUAUUAUACAGAGGUUGAAUUUUAAUGUGGAUGUUAUAAAUCUGAGUAUGCCGGAUCGUGCAAGACCAAAAGGACGGACAAUAAAAAAUUCAGAAGAUAGGAUUAUGAGACUAGGUGCGAAAGGAGAAAAAAAUAAGAAUAGGAGAUGCCAAUUGUGUGGUAUAGCAAAUGGACAUAAUAGCAGAACGUGUCUGUCUGUGGAAGAGAACAGGGCAAGACUAGCAAAACUGGCUAAUCGAAAGGGAAGACGACCAGCCGGAUCAAGACUAAACAAUAAAACAACUGCUCCACAGUGGAAUGAAACAUCGACUGCUAAAAACAUCGUAUUGAUGAAGAAGUGGAAAAUGAAGAAGCCGGUGAGCAUAUGGAAUUGGGCGAAUAAUUUGAAGUGUGGCUAAAGAGUGGUCGAUGUAGUAGAAACUUGUAAUAGCACAAUGACCUAUGUUUUAGUUUUUUGGAAAUUAAUAGUUUGCAUGACUGGGUUAUAUAAUGCGUUGAUAUAAAACUAUAAAAUGUUGCGUAAAACUAGACCAUUACACAAAUUAUGUAACUGAAUAUAUACCACAAAUUGGCAUUGAACGUUUAGCAAUCGGCAGAUCUGGACAUAAAUGGUAUAUAAACUCUAUACACUUAACAUAACUAAUCGAAUGGGAGUACAUACUUCGGUUUCGCAAUACAGCUACACUAGACAGGAUGUAGCAUAACCACUGGUUACAAUUAGCAUAAUUAGCAUGGUAAAUGUGUAAAAAAGGAACCUAAUGUAUAUAAAAUAAGGUAGUAUAUAGGUUGCAUAAAACUUGAAUAUUAAAGAUAAUAUGAUAAUAGAAAUACGCCAAACAUUGGACGCAAACGAUUAACCAUCUCACAAUCUGGAAAAUGAAAAGCAUAGAAUUUCGUAACAGAUAACAUAACUAGACAUUCUGGUAACACUUAUGUUUGACACACUUCAAAUAAAAACUGAUACGAAGUAGCAUAGACACUGGACACAUCGAACAUAAGUGGCAUAUGGAGUAUCAUACACAUGAGCAACGCCUGACAUAAGUGACUUAAUAAGUAACAUAAACAGUUUUGGGGAUCCCAUAGGAAAUCAUGUUCAGCUAUGAUAUCUAAGUCUUGGCUUUCAAACAACGUCGUCUCCUUGGAGCAUACUUGAAAGGCAGUAGUUCUGCAGGGAGGGGGACAACCCUGUUGUUGCGAUGAAAGGUCAGGUAAUGCAGAACAAAGGCACGUUGGUCCAAUGGUUCAUCCUGAAAUAGUCAAUAAUAUCGAAUUAAUGCUAAGAUUAAGUAUGAAGGAGUAAUAUAUGCAUGAUCAAAACAAUAAUUUAGUAACAUACCGGAGUAUAAAAUUCUGAUAAGUCGCCAUCAUCAAAAUCGUAGUAUCAGAGGAAGUUUGCGACAAAAAAACCACAAUCGUUUGACCCUGGUAACAUGGUUGGACAAUUGGGAAGAAGCCCAAUCUUGUAGUUGCCAAACUUUGGUAAAGUUGAAUCAGGUCGAGCUUCAUGUAACGCAAUGCUAAGUCUUCUCAUUAUUAAUCUGGACCAAGGUAUCUUCGUUCCAUUUAUCAACAAUUGAUCAUUGUGGAUUUGUUUCCAGGUAGCGCCUCCAAGCAAUGUCCCAUAAGGAUUUGAAUCUAAGAUGUCUAUUCGACGAAGUUCAAAGUUGAUUGCAUAAAGGGUCCAGUGACUACGGCGUAGCAUAGGAACCAGGAUCUGUUAAGAUAUAUGUAUAAGUUUAUGAAUAACAAUAAUAGGCGUAUAGAAAAUUAAAGAUAAGAUAACAUAUAACUAAUGACCAAAAGAACAUUAUAAUAUUAUUACAAAUAAAACUGAUUGGGGCUCACCAAUUUAAUUUGGUUCAGAACUUCAUCUGGAGGAAGCGUCGGUUCAAGUUGUUCUUUAAGAAGUGAUGUUGAGAAGGGCUGGGGAUUUGAACUGUGUUGUUCGAACUCCUCGAUAUUCAAAACGGUCUGGACAAAAAAAUCAAUUGAUUAGUAUUAUAUAUUUAUACAGUAAGGGUUGCAAUAAGAUACAAAGUUGUAGAGAGAAAAUUACCCCAACAUUGACAUUCAGUAUUAGAGUGUUGAUUACAGAAUCUGGAUUGUAUAAUACAUCAUCCUCACGAAUACAGUCGAUAAAUCCCUGCAUGAAAAUAUUCUCAAGGCAUUUAUUAGGACCAAACGACUGGACAACAUCGAGGACAGAACCUCCAAAUCCUCCAAAAUUUAUGAUAGACCUGGGAAAAAAUAAAACUUUAAUUACAAAUCAUCUAAUUAUACUUAAUUGGAAUUUGAAUAACGAAUACAUACAUGCUCGGAUCUAGUUGUCCUGACAAAAUGAACUUAAGUAGGUUGAGAGCACAGUCUUCGCGUGACACGUGGGGAGGUUCAACAACUGCAGAUUUAGAGGAACUAUCCCUUGCAACAAGUUCAUUAGUUGCCUAAUAUAUGUAUAUAUGUUAGUAAACAAUUGCAUAAAUAAUUAUGUAUUUUAGUGUAUAUAUAUGAAAAAUAUGAGAAGAUAAAACGACAUGACUUACAUCUGUCAGUGGGGUUUUAUCAAACUGUGGUGCACCAGAUACGGGAGUAUCAUGUGUAACAAAUUUUUGUCCUUCCUGGAAACAAUAAAAUUAUUAAUAUAAACGUAAUGAAACAUAGGUUAUAAUUAAUAUUAACAUAAUAUGAUGAAGGUAUAAAUACUGACAGUAUUUAUAUCUGGUGUUAAUUCAGGAGGAGCAGACUUGUCGGUUGUGGGAGCCUAGUGAAUAAAGUAAAUAAAGCAUGCAUAUAUAUUACUGUUACUUGCAUACAUUGUAAAUGAAAAUAUAAUAACUGUGAUUAAAGGAAAGCAAACAUUUGAUUUUGGAGUCUUGUCAAAUAUAGGGGCAUCCAUAACUGAAUUUUUUUACAGACGUUCCCACUGGCAUUCUGUAAUGGAAACAUAGGAAAUUUGAGUAAACAGUAACUUGUAUGCUAUAUUUAAUACAUGAUUUAUAUAUAAAGUUUGUAUGAAAAAACUUACCUGUUCUGAUACUUUGAUAUCAUCAGAAGGAACAUGUACUUCCUGAUCAUGUUGCUUAUUAUCAGGGGAUGGAACAGGUGGAGAGGAUACUGGAGCAUUUGUUGGAGACAUUGAGGUAGUGGGGGUAUAUCUACAUUUGGAAAAUAUAAUAAUAAAGUAGUUGUUACUGAAAUGAACCAGAAAUAUAAAUGUAUCGUUAAAAAAAGGUUAAACAUACACAUCAUCGCAAACUACAUCAAUAUACUAUCAGGAUGCAUAAAUAAAUGAGAUCUAUCAAAAUAAAAUCAAAUGUAAUGUGUUGGUGACUGUAUGAGUAUAAAUUAAUGCAUAAGUUAUAUAUACAAUGCUGCAUAAACUAAAUUAUCUGAGAUCAUAUAACUAAAUAUAAUUUUCCCCGCAAUAAUUCAUGAGCUUGAUUAAUAUAAAAAAAUAAACAUAAAUAACAAAACCUUCUUGCUGUGAAUCGCGCUGCGUUGCAACUGUCAGGACUUCAUCGAUCAUUUCACCAAAUGUUUCAGCUAGUUCAAUCUGCUUCGAAACAAUCAUCUGAUGGCUCAGCUGAAGAGAAUCACAGUACUUAUCCACCUAUUUGUCAUGAGCGUCAAACAUUGAUUCAAACAUUGGUCCAUGCUGGUAGGGCAAACAUUUCAACUUGUUGCCAAUCAAAUGCUUGAUACGUGGCACAUAUAUAUUGAAAACGGCAGAAACGGGCCAUUCUGGUGCAAUGACGUAACACGUUUCUGAAUGGCUACGAAACUGUAUAAAGCCCAGUUACAACUGUUAGCAGUAAUUAAAAUUGAAACUUCUGCAAAACAGGACAAAAAAUGGAUAUGUCUAACCUCUGCAUAGCCAAAUGGUUCACCAGUUUUAUGGGGUGGACGUCUGUCACCCCGUGCCAAAUCUCUUAUGGUCUCAUUAUCAAAAAACUUAAUGUGGGGAGUACCAUAUUUGUUAUCAGGAGAUGCAGGGUGAUGUAAGUGAUCAAGAUAGUAAAUCUGAAAAAUGAAUGAAAAAAUAUAAACUUAGUACAAAACAAAUAUUUGCAUAUCAUAUAUAUGCACAGUGAACAAAAUAAUUACUUACUAGAACUAUGAGUGAACAUCCAUAUAUUGUUGUUGUAAUGUUUGUUUUGUUCCUUUUGUGCCAACGUGUGGCAGCAUCACACAAAUCCAUGUAAACUAGUUGACACCAGUCAAUAUCAGCCAUUCGGGCCAUGUUUGAAGUCAUUAGUACCUCAUUGUUUGUAAUGCCCCAUGAAGCAGAUGGAAAAAGAAGUCGAUUGAAUAGAAUCAGAAAAAAACAUCUGAUUGAUAACUCAUCAUCAGUGCCAAGCACUAUCUUGUCCUGAAGCUUGACAACAUCAAAUUUUUCUUUACCAACUUUGAGAUCACGUCUAAGUUUUGCAGCAGCAUCCACUUCACCAUACCAAUUAGUAAACUCCCUGCCCCCUCCAGCAAAUGGCAAACCCAAAAUAAGACGAUCAGUCUCUUUUGUUAUCUUCAGUUCCUUGCCAGCCCCUGGGCAUAUGGUCAUGUCAUGUGGAUCCAAUUUAUCCAUCAACCACCUAAUGAGAGAUCUGCUCUCUAAGGCAUCAGUUCGCAAAUCAAAUAUGCUGGAAAAUCCCAACCUAGCGACUGCAUCGCGCUGCCGAUCGCUCAUUAUCCAAGUUGAGACAAUAACAUCAUAAGGAAUGCAGCGGAUAUUCAAUUUAUGAAAGCAUAAAUAAAUAUGCAUUAAUACACAAGGCAUAUAUAUUGUUAUAACUAAGGAUACUAUAUAUACAUACAAUUGAUAUUUAUUAGAGCCUUGUGAAUAACUAUUCUACAACACUAAAAAAAUAAACAGCGUACUUUGAGAUAAUAAUAUACAUAAAUGUAACUUGGGGGGGGGGAAUACAAAAUUGAUUGGGCACCAAAAUUAACACAUAAAAAACAGAAAUAUAUAUAUAGUACCUGGGAUUUUCUAGGAGUCUUCUGUUUAGGAGAACUUUUUUUGUAAUGAUAUUAGACUUGGCAUCUAUAUCAAACUUUGGACUGCUUUUCACACUCGGAACUUGUGGAGAAGGAACCUCUAUCUUCUUUGCACUGUUUUUCUAUAGGGGAAGGUGAUGUUGAUCUGAAUUGGCGCUUCAACGCAGGAGCAUCCAUGAAAUCGUCGUCGGACAGUGUGGAUGGAGCAGGAGGUUUUGUUUUUACACGACAAGCUAAAGCCUUUCUGCGAAAACGAUGGACUGGUGUUGGUUGUGGCUCAUUCUACUUCUGAUUAUGUGGGUUGUCAUCUUGGUGAGCUGAGCUGCUAGAUCUUGUACGUCUGGAAAUGUCAAUAGAAAAACCCUCCUGAGUGGAUUCAAUGGUUAAACUUUUUGGAUUACUUGGAGGGCGAUCAACAGUUCUCAUGAUUAAACACUGAAUAAAUCUGUUGAAAAAAAAGUUGUUUUUAAAUACAAUGAUUUAUGCAUGAAUAUAUGCCAAAAGACUCUAAUUUUGACUAUAACUAUCUACAAUGCAUACUACAUAAUGGUAAAUGGAAUUACAUAACUUAAACUACCUUUUACAUUUAUGAGACAGUAUUUAAUGAACAAUGGUCAUAUACAAACAUAAAGAUUGAUUUAAUAUUUCAUAUAAUUGGAACUGGAGCAUGUUAAAAUAAGUGCCUUUUUGCAUCAACUAACUAUACAACAUGUUUUAAUAACUGGUUCAUAGUAAUAUACACAUUUAGCUCAUAUUCAAAAAUGAAUAUUUAAAUAACUUUUGCAUAAAUAACAGUUUCUGUAUGUAUUUAUAUAUAAUAAACAGUAGUGUAUACUACUGAUUCAAUUAAAUAGAAUAAUACAAUUAUGCCUAUUACCUUACAUAAACAUCUAUACAAAUGAGCAUAGACAGUACUGCCGAUAUGCAUAAAUAUCAAAUCCAAUAAGUAUAUUUUAUAUAUAAUACAACAGGUGUGUAAACUAAUGAUUGAAGUAAAUAGAACAAUACAAUUAUGCGUAUUAUUUCGACCAAUAUUCAAAACAUUUGUACAAAUGUGCAUAAACAGUCAUGACGAUAUGCAUAUAUAUCAAAUACAAUAAGCAUAUAUGUGUUACUAAUGUUGUAUAAAAGGUACUCUCUGUAAACUCAUGAAUAAAUACCUGAUCCACUGCCUUCGUCUAGGUCUAUGAAUGUCGAGAGAUACACUGGAUCUAGAAGAAAUGCAGAUGACCUAAUAUCGGGGCUCCUGAACAAAGGAUAGAUGAAAUGAGCGACGCAAUAGGCAGAUUAGAGAGAUGUAUAAUCGGAUACAAAUCACACAUUUAGAUGAAGAAUAAGGGUUACAAUCAAAUCCACUUCAAUCAACGAAAAAUGCUUCAAGAAUCGACGGAAAACACGAUGUAUUUCAAGUUGGAUUACCUGGAACUUCUGGGAAAGCAUUGGACGCUCUUGAAUCGGGCUCCAAUGCUCGGAGAUUGAAGGAGCUCAGCUGGAUUCGAGCGGCGCUGGAUUGGAGCGGCGAAAAUCGCCUGGCGAGUCGCCUCAGACGAAAGGAAAGACUGCGCGGCCACUGGGGUUUUCUUCCUAUCGACGCGGGUUUGCCUAAGUUGAUUGCGCGAAGACGAUUUUAGAAACCGGAAACGUGGGAGACGUGGCUGGGCUGACGGGGGAAACGGUGUAACGACGCCGUGAGUGGGAACUGUUGACCCGGUGUGGUUCAACCCAAAUGAGCAUAUUGACUAGCCUGGGCUUCCUCUAUUAUUGGAAGCCCAGAGCUCUUAAUAUAUAAACUAUAUAUAUAUAUAUUCUUGUCGGCGUUUCGAGACCGGGGGGUCCCUGGACCGACGAGUAAACUGUCGCCGCGUGCCCCAGCCCAGAUGGGUCGGCGCGAUACGGAGCGCGAAGGGGUAAGGCAGCCGGAGAGGAGACGGGCGUGAGAGGUGGAAAUCCUGCGGCCUUCGUGUUUGUCCCACGCCCAGGUCGGGUGCGCUUGCAGUAGGGGGUUACAAGCGUCCACGCGGGAGGGAGCGAGCGGCCUCACGCGAGCGCCUGUCCCGUCCUUUCCCCGCGCGGCCAACCCUCUGUAAGAGGGCCCUGGUCCUUCCCUUUAUAGGCGCAAGGAGAGGAUCCAGGUGUACAAUGGGGGUGUAGCAGUGUGCUAACGUGUCUAGCGGAGGAGAGCUAGCGUCCUAAGUACAUGCCAUCGUGGCAGCCGGAGAGGUUUUGGCACCCGGUUCGUGUGGUGUCGUGGCCGUCGGAGGAGCGCUGGAGCCUGGCGGAAGGACAGCUGUCGGGGCUGUUGAGUCCUUGCUGACGUCCUCUUGCUUCCGUAAGGGGGCUGAGAGCCGCCGUCGUCAUAGAGCGUGCAGGGCGCCAUCAUUACUUGUCUGUUGGAGCGAGCCAGAUGGGACGCCGGUCUUGUUCCCCGUAGCCUGAGUCAGCUUGGGGUAGGGUAAUGAUGGCGCCUCCUGUUGACGUGGUCGGUCCGCGGUGCCCUAGGUUGAGCGAUGUGGAGGCUCCUCCGAGGUCGAGGUCGAGUCUGUCUUCCGUGGCCGAGGUCGAGUCUGAGCCCCUGGGUCGGGCGAGGCGGAGACCGUCGGCUGAGGCCAGGGCUGAGUCCGAGCCCCUGGGUCGGGCGAGGCGGAGUUCGUCGUCUUCCGGGGCUGAGCCCGAGUCCGAGCCCUGGGGUCGGGAGAAGCGGAGUUCGCCGUCUUCUGGGGCUGAGCCCGAGUCCGAGCCCUGGGGUCGGGCGAAGCGGAGUUCGUCGUCUUCUGGGGCUGAGCCCGAGUCCGAGCCCUAGGGUCGGGCGAAGCGGAGUUCGUCGUCUUCCGGGGCUGAGCCCGAGUCCGAGCCCUGGGGUCGGGCGAAGCGGAGUUCGUCGUCUUCCGGGGCUGAGCCCGAGUCCGAGCCCUGGGGUCGGGCGAAGCGGAGUUCAUCGUCUUCCGGGGCUGAGCCCGAGUCCGAGCCAUGGGGUCGGGUGAAGCGGAGUUUCCUAUGGCGCCUGAGGCCGGGCCUGGCUGCUGUCAGCCUCACUCUUUCGAGUGGCACAGCAGUCGGUGUGGCGCAGGCGGCGCUGUCCUCUUGUCAGACCGGUCAGUGGAGCGCCGAAGUGACCGUGGUCACUUCGGCUUCUAUCGUCUGGAGGGCGCGCGUCAGGAUAAAGGUGUCAGGCCACCUUUGUAUUAAAUGCCCCUGCGAUUUGGUCGGUUGGCGUGGUGAUUUGGCCAAGGUUGCUUCUUGGUGAAGACUGGGCCUCGGGCGAGCCGAAAGUAUGUUCGUUGCUGGAGGGGGCCUCGGGCGAGACGUAGAUCCUCCGGGGUCGGCUACCCUUGCCCGAGGCUGGGCUCGGGCGAGGCAUGAUCGAGUCCCUCGAAUGGACCGAUCCUUGACUUAGUCGUACCCAUCAGGCCUUUGCAGCUUUGUGCUGAUGGGGAUUACCAGCUGAGAAUUAGGAGUCUUGAGGGUACCCCUAAUUAUGGUCCCCGACAGUAGCCCCCGAGCCUCGAAGGGAGUGUUAACACUCGCUUGGAGGCUUUUGUCACACUUUUUUGCAUGGGGACCAGCCUUUCUCGGUUGCGUUUUGUUCCGGUAGGUGCACGCGAGCGCACCCGCCGUGUGUAGCCCCCGAGGCCUCGGAGGGGUGGUUUGACUCCUCCGAGGUCUUAAUGCCUCGUGCAAUGCUUCGGCUGGUCUGGUCGUUCCCUCAUGCGAGCUGGCCGUAGCCCGGGUGCACGGUCGGGUCCCAAGUUCUCGGGCUGGUAUGUUGACGCUGUCAACGGUUUGGCUGGAGCCGGGUUUGCGAGAGCAGCCCCCGAGCCUCUGCACAGGGCGAGAGGACGGUCAAGGACAGACUCGACUUUUUUACAUACGCUCCUGCGUCGCCUUUCCGCAAGGAGGAGGGGGGAAAGCGCCAUGUUGCCCUCGGAGGGCGCCGAACAUGGUGUCUCCGGUGAGCUGCUGGCGGGUAAUCCGAGUGGACGCUCGUGCCCCAUUUGUUAGGGGUCGGCUAGAGGCCCGGAGGCGCGCUCAAAAGUACCUGCGGGUGAUCUGCCGGACCCGGUCCCCUGUCGACGGGGUCCGAGGGCUCGAUGCCUCCCUCUGAUGGGAUUCCGUUACAAGAUCGUUCCCGCUGGUCUCGGAAAUGUCCUAGGGUACCUCGGGAGCGUAGCCCGAGCCUUGGUUAUGUAUCGAACGUACCCAGGGUCAUCCCUCGCUCUGUGUCUGAGGCGGCUGUGAACCCUUCGAGGGCCAGCCUACCAACCCCUGAUUAGUAGUGGGCGCGGAGCCCGAGUGGCCUGAGGCGGCCGUUGAACCCUUUCGAGGGGCCGGCCUUCGAACCUCUGACCAGUAGUGGGCGCAGAACCCAAGCGCUCUGAGGCGGCUGUUGAACCCCUCCGAGGGGCCAGCCUUCGAACCUCUAAUCAGUAGGGAGGCUCGGAGCCCGUUUCCUUUACGGAGAAGGAUCCUUUUUGGGGUAUCCCCCUUUCCCGGUCCCUGUUGUAAGAGAGAGAAAGAGGAAAAGGAAAAGGAUACAAAAUCGAAUGACGUGGUGUACCUUUUUCGACGCGGUCAUUAUGGCGAAGGUGAAGCGUCGCUCUCUUCUUCUGCCAGAGGCGCCGCCUGUCCCGCCGCGGAGUUAAUGCGACGGGGCGAGCGGUUCGCGGGGCGGCCGUUGCGCGUGCGCGAGCCGUUCGAGGAACGGAACACGGGCGCGCCUUCUUCACGCCGUGAGAGAGGUUUCUCUCGCUGUCCCUGGAUGGGACGUGAGCUUGGCUGACGACGUGAACGCUGCUCCUGCCCUCCUGCCACCGCCAUUACUGCCGGCCCAUUUUUGGCCGUAUUGACCGUCGCGCCUGGCUGGCACUGCUGGGUCGUACGCAGGGCUGCCUCGAGUUGCGGUACUGGUUCCGCAGUCGAGGAGGCGUGGUAGUGGCGCGAGUGGCGGUGCAGUGGCUCGCACGUAGCAACCGGCGCGCCGGUUGCAUGACGCGUGGGCCUGGGCCUCCAUGCUGGGUGCGUUGGAAGUCGAAGGGGCGCGCCCACUUGGUGUGGUUGCAUGCCGCCUGCACGGCUGUCCACCCUUUCACCCGCUGGUCUGGGCGAAAGUGGAGGGACGCUUGUAACCGCUGGGCGGUUGCAUGCACCGCGCGUGGCGGUUUGGCUUCUUCUGCCCUGGGCCAGCUUGCAUGACGCGUGGGACCCAGCCCCCGCGCCAUAGGGGGAGGACCUUGGAGCGUGUUGGAGAAGACUCAGCCCACGACGGCUGGGGACACAAGUAGGGAGAGUCGCCUUUAAAAUGAGGGCGGCCCCCUUGAAAGGCGACCAUGUCUUCGCGCUCCCUUAUGCAUCGUGUCUUUCCACCUUCCGAGCCCCCGGACGGGGAACACCCGCAAUCCUUCCGCCUUGUCAUUGGAGGAACGCAACUUCGUGGAAGUUGGUACCUUUCAGCCAUUGUUCGGCUUCAAGGAUUUUCAUCAUGCAGCCCGGCUGCACCCCCUCGCCGGCGGUCACCCAAGACGGUGACCUCCAGUUCGAUGGCGGGGAGAAGCGAGCCGGGCUGCAGCCUCUACCCCUCCCUCAGCUUCAAGGAUUUUCAUCAUCAGUGCUGGGGAGGGGAGUGUGCCGAGUUGGGGUUGGUCCCUGCGCGGGCGGCGGCCCGCUCCUUCCCUCAGUGAUCGGGGGGAAGGGCUUUCGCCGUCCGUGGUGCUGGCAGCUGCCGCGUGCCUGGCUCUCUGGCCCGAGUGGCUUUGGAGCCGCUCCCGGCGCCGCCUCCCGCCAUGGCAGCUGGAAGAGGUUCUUCUGCCGACGAGAUAGCCGGUGCCGCCCACGGACUGACCUCCAACUCUACGGCCUUCUGCCCGUCCUUGCCUCUCGAGUGAGGGCAUGGGCGAGGGCCUCACGGCAGCAGCAUCCGCUCUAAGGUCAUCGUUGCUGCUGUUCGGCCCCCCAGAGCAGAAGUCGUCGUCGUCGCCGCUGCUGGAGCGGGCGACGACAAGCCGUUCGUCGGUCUUCUGUUGCUCCAUGGGCCCCCCAAUCGUGUGGGGUUGUUCGUACCCGCGGAGGUGGAACCGGGGUUCCGUUUGUAAUGGCAUCUUGAAUGCCGGUGUUUUGUUCAUCGUGGCUGUCGGGGCCUGAACAUGUAUGUAUUUUUGGCGCUGAGCCGUGUUUUUUCCUCAUUUUCGAGCACUAAGACUCGCUUGUUGGUUAUCUGAACCGCUUCACCAAGCGUGAGUCGCCCCGUGCAAAGGUGAUGAGUGAGGUAUCCGUAUCCUGGAGGCGUAGGAGUCCCUCGACUCGGUCGGCCUUGCUGUCCGAGGCUUCUCUUGCUUAGUUAAAGGGACCCCUCGGCCGCUCUUUGAUGAGCCGAAGCCCGGGGUAGCGGUGUCAGCACGGACAGAGGUAGAGUUGGCUCGAAAAGAAGACUUGGUCGGCCAGAGCCUGGCCGGGUCGUCCACUGGCGGGACCGACGCCGGAAUUGAUUUGUCGAGGCCUCGGGUCGGGCUGAUGUCUUCGGGGGACAGCUGGCCGAGGCCUCGGGGUGACCGGCCGAGCCGUCUGCUCGAGCCGGAUUCCUGGAGAAGACCCUGGCGGUGAUGGCCCGGGCGUGGUGCUGAUGUCGUCCUUCAGAGUGGAGAUCCUCGGACCGCGUCGCCGUCCGAGGCUAGGUUGGACCUCGCCGAAGGUGUAGUUGGCGCCGAGGGUGCUGCUGCUCCCUUCAACUGUCAAGAUCCGAGCCUGCAGGAUCGGAUUAUCUUGUAGCGUGUGUUUUCUGCGGUCGCCGAGGCCCAAACACACCAUCGUCAUGUUGUAAAGCUGCGCUUCUUUUCCUCUCGUUUCGAGUAUCUGGACUUUUUCGUCGGUAACAGAAUUGUCUGUGCGAGCGAGAGUUGCUUUUCACGGAAGGUGAUGAGUGAGGUAUCCGUAUCCCGGAGGCGUAGGAAUCCCUCGGCUCGGUCGGCCUUGCCGCUUACGCGCACUCUUGCCCGUCCAUAGGGUUCUAUCAUCGACGCAGUCGAGAAGGCCCGAAGAAUCGCUUCGGCAGAGGAGCUUUCGAGCGUGAAGACUUGUUCGGUCCGCGGAGUCACUUAUCCGAACGCGAGUUACUUAUCGCAGAAGGCGAUGAGUGAGAUAUCCGUAUCCCGGAGGCGUAGGAGUCCCUCGGCUCGGUCAGCCUUGGCUGCUUACGUGUACUCCGUCAUUUUCAGGAUCCACUUUCGAAGUAGUCGAAAAGCACGAAAGACAUUCUGGCAGAAAGGAUCUUUUUUCGAGGAAAAUUUCGACGCAGAGGGGGUUCCCCCCUUUUAGCCCCCGAGGGAGGGUCGGGCUUUGCCGAGGCAAGGCUGACCCUUCCUUGAUGACUAAACUUUGCGUGGGAACGAGGUAUACGAACAACUUGAAAGCAUCUUAAGGGUAAAAGCGACGUAGCUGUUGGAUGUUCCAAGCGUUGCUGUAGACCUUGCCUUGGCUGUUGGCUAGCUUGUACGUUCCGGGCUUCAGAACUUUGGCGAUGACGAACGGCCCUUCCCAGGGAGGCGUGAGCUUGUGCCGCCCUCGGGCGUCUUGUCGCAGCCGAAGCACCAGGUCGCCCACCUGGAGGUCUCGGGACCGAACCCCUCGAGCGUGGUAGCGUCGCAGGGACUGUUGGUACCGCGCCGAGUGUUGUAAGGCCAUGUCCCGAGCCUCUUCCAGCUGGUCCAAUGAGUCUUCUCGACUAGCUUGGUUGCUUCGGUCGGCGUAGGCCCUCGUCCUCGGGGAACCGUAUUCUAAGUCUGUGGGCAAGAUGGCCUCGGCCCCAUAGACUAGAAAGAACGGCGUGAAGCCCGUGGCUCGGCUCGGCGUUGUCCUCAGACUCCAGACCACCGAGGGGAGUUCCUUCAUCCAUCGUUUGUCGUACUUGUUGAGGUCGUUGUAGAUCCGAGGCUUGGGUCCUGGUAGAAUCAUGCCGUUGGCACGCUCUACUUGCCCAUUCGUCAUGGGGUGAGCCACGGCGGCCCAGUCCACCCGGAUGUGGUGACCCUCGCAGAAGUCCAGGAACUUUCUCCCGGUGAACUGGGUGCCGUUGUCGGUGAUGAUGGAGUUCGGGACCCCAAAGCGAUGGAUGAUGUUGGUGAAGAACGCCACCGCCUUUCGGACCUGAUGCUGUUUAGGGGUCGGACCUCGAUCCACUUGGAGAAUUUGUCGAUGGCGACCAACAGGUGCGUGUAGCCCCCGGGUGCCUUCUGCAAGGGGCCAACGAGGUCCAGACCCCACACAGCGAAAGGCCAGGUGAUGGGUAUCAUCUGCAGGGCCUGAGCGAGCAGGUGGGUCUGCCUUGCGUAGAACUGACACCCUUCGCAGGUGCGGACAAUUCUAGUGGCGUCGGCCACCGCCGUCGGCCAGUAGAAACCUUGUCGGAAGGCGUUUCCAACAAGGGCUCGAGGUGCUGCAUGAUGGCUGCAAGCCCCCAAGUGUAUCUCUUGUAGGAGCUCCUGGCCUUCGACGAUGGAAAUGCAUCGCUGGAGGAUGCCUGAGGGGCUGCGGUGGUAGAGUUCCUUCCCGUCCCCCCAGCAAGACAAACGACUUGGCGCGCCGUGCCAACCGCCGAGCUUCGGCUCGGUCGAGGGGUAGCUCUCCUCGGUGGAGAUAUUGCAGGUACGGGGUCUGCCAGUUUCGAUUAGGCGUGACCCCGCUUCGCUCCUCCUCGAUGCGUAGUGCCUCACCCUCGGGGGCCGAGGGUACCUUGGGCCGAACCGAGGGUGCCUUGGACCGAGCCGAGGGUACCUCGAACUGAGCCGAGGGUGCCUCAGGUUGGGCCAAGGGUGCCUCGGGCAGAGCCGAGGGUACCUCGGACUGAGCCGAGGGUGCCUCAGGCUCGACCGAGGCCUUCUCGGGCUCGGGCGUGUCGUCGGUCUUGACGGAAGGUUGAUGCAGGUCUUGGGAGAAGACGUCCGGGGGAACCGUUGUUCGCCCCGAGGCUAUUUUAGCCAGCUCGUCCGCAGUCUCGUUGUAGUGUCGGGCGAUGUGGUUGAGCUCGAGCCCGUAGAACUUGUCUUCCAGGCGCCGAACCUCAUCGCAGUAGGAUUCCAUCUUCGGGUCGCGGCAGUGGGAGUUCUUCAUGACUUGGUCGAUGACGAGCUGCGAGUCACCGUGAGCGUCGAGGCGUCGGACCCCUAGCUCGAUGGCGAUGCGCAAACCGUUGACCAGAGCCUCAUACUCAGCCACAUUGUUGGACGUCGAGAAGUGGAGGCGUAGCACGUAGCGCAGGUGCUUUCUGAGGGGCGAGAUGAAGAGCAGGCCCACGCCUGCUCCUGUCUUCAUCAGCGACCCAUCGAAGAACAUGGUCCAGAGUUCCAGUUGGAUUGGAACUGUUGGGAGCUGGGUGUCGACCCAUUCACCCACGAAGUUCGCCAAGACCUGGGACUUGAUGGCCUUCCGGGGGGCGAACGAGAUCGUUUCGCCCAUGAUUUCCACCGCCCACUUUGCAAUUCUACCCGAGGCCUCUCGGCACUGGAUGAUCUCCCCCAGGGGGAAGGAUGACACCAGAGUUACCGGAUGAGACUCGAAGUAGUGUCGCAACUUCUGUCGUGUCAGAAUCACUGCGUAUAGCAGCUUCUGAACUUGUGGGUAGUGGAUCUUGGUUUCGGACAGUACCUCGCUGAUGAAGUAGACUGGCCUCUGGACGGGCAAUGCAUGCCCCUCUUCUCGUCUCUCAACCACAAUCGCGACGCUAACCACCUGAGUGGUCGCGGCGACGUAGAUCAAGAGGGCUUCUCCGGCAGCGGGAGGCACCAAGAUGGGCACGUUUGUAAGGAGCGCCUUCAGGUUCCCGAGGGCUUCCUCGGCCUCAGGGGUCCAAGUGAAGCACUCGGCCUUCCUUAAGAGGCGGUACAGAGGCAGGCCUCUUUCGCCGAGGUGCGAGAUGAAGUGGCUCAGAGCCGCAAGGCAUCCCGUGACUCUCUGUACGCCUUUCAAGUCCUUGAUGGGCCCCAUGCUGGUGAUGGCCGCGAUCUUCUCCGGGUUGGCUUCGAUGCCCCGCUCGGAGACGAUGAACCCCAAGAGCAUGCCUCGGGGAACCCCAAAGACACACUUUUCGGGAUUGAGCUUCACGCCUUUCGCCUUGAGACAUCGGAAUGUCACUUCAAGGUCGGAAAGGAGGUCGGAGGCUUUCCUCGUCUUGACUACGAUGUCAUCGACGUAGGCCUCGACCGUCCGGCCGAUGUGUUCGCCGAACACAUGGUUCAUGCACCGUUGGUACGUCGCACCCGCAUUCCUCAAGCCGAACGGCAUGGUGACAUAGCAGUACAUGCCGAAGGGUGUGAUGAAAGAAGUCGCGAGCUGGUCGGACUAUUUCAUCCUGAUUUGGUGAUACCCUGAGUAGGCAUCGAGGAAAGACAGGGUUUCGCACCCAGCAGUGGAGUCCACAAUUUGGUCAAUGCGAGGCAGAGGGUAGGGAACCUUCAGACAUGCUUUGUUUAGACCAGUGUAGUCUACACACAUCCGCCAUUUCCCUCCUUUCUUUCUCACAAGCACAGGGUUGGCAAGCCAUUCGGGAUGGAAUACCUCUUUGAUGAACCCUGCCGCCAUUAGCUUGUGGAUCUCCUCGCCUAUGGCUCUGCGCUUUUCUUCGUCGAAUCGGCGCAGAGGCUGCUUCAUAGGUCGGGCUCCAGCUUGGAUAUCCAGUGAGUGCUCGGCGACAUCCCUCGGUAUGCCGGGCAUGUCCGAGGGACUCCACGCGAAAACAUCGGCGUUCGCGCGGAGAAAGUCGAUGAGCACUGCUUCCUAUUUGGGAUCGAGCUCGGAGCCGAUCCAGAUCUGCUUGGAGGCGUCGCUGCUGGGGUCGAGGGGGGCGGACUUAACCGUCUCCGCUGGCUCGAAGUUGCCGGCAUGGCGCUUCACGUCUGGCACCUCCUUAGAGAGGCUCUCCAGGUCGGCGAUGAGGGCCUCGGACUCGGUGAGGGCCUCGGCGUACUCCACGCACUCCACGUCGCAUUCGAACGCGUGUCGGUACGUGGGGCCGACGGUGAUGACCCCGUUGGGGCCCGGCAUCUUGAGCUUGAGGUAGGUGUAGUUGGGGACGGCCAUGAACUUCGCGUAGCAUGGCCUCCCCAGCACCGCGUGGUAGGUUCCUCGGAACCUGACCACCUCGAACGUAUGGGUCUCCCUUCGGAAGUUGGAGGGUGUCCCAAAGUAGACGGGAAGAUCGAGUUGUCCGAGGGGCUGGACGCAUUUCCCGGGGAUGAUCCAGUGGAAAGGCGUAGCGCCUGCUCGGACCGAGGACAGAUCAACACGCAGAAGCCCGAGGGUCUCGGCGUAGAUGAUGUUGAGGCUGCUGCCUCCGUCCAUGAGGACCUUGGUGAGCCUGACGUCGCCGAUGACGGGGUCGACGACGAGCGGGUAUUUCCCCGGGCUCGGCACGCGGUCGGGGUGGCCGGCUUGGUCGAAGGUGAUGGGCUUGUCGGACCAGUUUAGGUAGACUGGCGCCGCCACCUUCGCCGAACAGACCUCCCGACGCUCUUGCUUGCGGUGCCGAGCCGAGGCAUUCGCCGCCUGCCCACCGUAGAUCAUGAAGCAGUCGCGGACCUCGGGGAACUCUCCUGCCUGGUGAUCUUCCUUCUUGUCGUCGUCGCGAGCCCUGCCACCCUCCACGGGUGGCCCGGCCCUGUGGAAGUGACGCCGAAGCAUGGCGCACUCCUCAAGGGUGUGCUUAACGGGCCCCUGAUGAUAGGGGCACGGCUCCUUGAGCAUCUUGUCGAAGAGGUUGGCACCUCCGGGGGGGUUUCCGAGGGUUCUUAUACUCGGCGACGGCGACAAGGUCCGCGUCGGCGGCGUCGCGUUUCGCUUGCGACUUCUUCUUGCAUUUAUUCUUGGCGCCGCGCUGAGUUGACGCCUCGGGGGCAUCUUCCGGUGGGCGGCCCUGGGGCUGCUUGUCCUUCCGGAAGAUAGCCUCAACCGCCUCCUAGCCAGAGGCGAACUUGGUGGCGAUGUCCAUCAGCUCGCUCGCCCUGGUGGGGGUCUUUCGACCCAGCUUGCUCACCAGGUCGCGGCAGGUGGUGCCGGCGAGGAACGCGCCGAUGACAUCUAAAUCGGUGAUGUUGGGCAGCUCGGUGCGCUACUUCGAGAAUCACCGGAUGUAGUCCCGGAGAGACUGUCCCGGCUGCUGUCGGCAGCUUCGGAGGUCCUAGGAAUUUCCAGGGCGCACGUAUGUGCCCUGGAAAUUACCAGCGAAGGCUUGGACCAGGUCGUCCCAGUUGGAGAUCUGCCCCGGAGGCAGGUACUCCAACCAGGCGCGAGCGGUGUCGGAGAGGAACAGGGGGAGGUUGCGGAUGAUGAGGUUGUCAUCGUCCGUUCCACCCAGUUGGCAGGCCAGCCGGUAGUCCGCGAGCCACAGUUCCGGUCUCGUCUCCCCCGAGUACUUUGUGAUAGUAGUCGGGGUUCGGAACCGGGUCGGGAACGGCGCUCGUCGUAUGGCGCGGCUGAAAGCCUGCGGACCGGGUGGUUCGGGCGAGGGACUCUGAUCCUCCCCGCUGUCGUAGCGUCCCCCACGCCUGGGGUGGUAGCCUCGGCGCACCCUCUCGUCGAGGUGGGCCCGACGGUUGCGGUGAUGGUGCUCGUUGCCGAGGCGACCCGGGGCCGUAGGCGCUGUGUUGCGCGUGCGCCCGGUGUGGACCGAGGCUUCCCGCAUGAAUCGGGAAGUCGCGGCGCGAUGUUCCGAGGGGUACCCCUGCCUUCGGGAGGCGGAGCUUUCGGCCCGUCGGACCGCGGCGCCCUCCAGGAGAUUCUUGAGCUCUCCCUGGAUUCGCCUCCCCUCGGUGGUUGAUGGCUCUGACAUCACGCGGAGGAGCAUUGCCGCCACAGCCAGGUUCUGGCCGACUCCACUGGAAGUCGGUGGUGGCCUUACCCUGACAUCGUCGGCGAUGCGGUGCUGGAUACCCUGGGGUAGAUGACGCACUUCUCCGGCCGGAGGUUGGCCCGCCCAUUCCUGCCCGACGUCCCGGCGGAUUGGCUCAAGUGUUCCUGCUCCCUCGUCGAGCCUGGUCUGCACCCCGCGGAUUUGCUCGAGCUGUGGGUCAUGACCCCCCGCCGGAACGGGGACCACAGCUAGCUCCCGUAGGAUGUCAACGCGAGGCACAGGCCUAGGGAGAUCACCAUUCUCCGGCAUACCAAGAUGGUUGCCUUCGGAGGGACCCCCCUAGAUCGACGUGGAAACAUUCACGACUUGGGCCGCAGUCCUCGUCGCCGAGGCUGCGGCUACCGUCAGAACAGUCAGAAAGGCAGUAGUCGCAUGCGGUCAUGAAGUCCUGCAUGGCACUGGGGUUACCAAGUCUAGAGAAAUCCCAACACAAGUCGGGUUUGUCAUCUUCCUCGGACCCCGAGGGCCCGUAGGUCGAGACGUCCGUCAGCCAGUCCCAGGGUGACCGCAUAUGAUACCCCAGAGGGUUUGGACUCGCCUCUACGAGAGCGUCCGCCAAAGCGAAGUUGCUUGGCGGGUCGAGGCUGAAUCCAAAAGGCGUGAGAUGGGAAUCGAUGGGUACCUCUUGGUCGACGGGCGGUGACGAAGUCACGUCAGGGACUGACUGCACCUUCGUCUCUGGUACAAGGGUGACGCCCAGCAAGCCUUUCGCGAGCGUGCUGGCGUCGUCCGUUUGCUUGGCAUUGGCGCGUUGCGGGGAGACGGCGCUCGUCUUCAUCUCAGACGCGAGGUCGAUGCUCGACGUGCCCCCCGUUGGGGCGCCGGCGCCGUCGACUCGCUCGACAGCCGACGAGGUGCCGCCUCCUACUUGGCCUUGGUUGCCCCGCCUCCUCCUCCGUCGGCGGGGGAGGGGACGGGGUGAGCUCGAAUGUUGUUCUUCCACCACGCGGGGAAGACGUCGUCGAUUCCGCCGCCGGCGGGCGGGCUGUCGGCCGCCAUUGUCGUUGUCGCACGGCGGGGGAAGGAGUAUCAUGUCGUAUCUACCGUCGAGGGACAUGAACUCAAGACUCCUGAAACGGAGCACCGUCCUGGGCUGGAAAGGUUGCUGGAGACUGCCCAUCUGGAGCUUGACGGGAAGCUGUUCGUCAACACGCAGCAGGCCCCUACCUGGCGCGCCAACUGUCGGCGUUUCGAGACCGGGGGGUCCCUGGACCGACGAGUAAACUGUCGCCGCGUGCCCCAGCCCAGAUGGGUCGGCGCGAGACGGAGCGCGAAGGGGGGAAGGCAGCCGGAGAGGAGACGGGGCGUGAGAGGUGGAAAUCCCGCGGCCUUCGUGUUUGUCUCGCGCCCAGGUCGGGUGCGCUUGCAGUAGGGGGUUACAAGCGUCCACGCGGGAGGGAGCGAGCGGCCUCACGCGAGCGCCUGUCCCGUCCUUUCCCCGCGCGGCCAACCCUCUGUAAGAGGACCCUGGUCCUUCCCUUUAUAGGCGCAAGGAGAGGAUCCAGGUGUACAAUGGGGGUGUAGCAGUGUGCUAACGUGUCUAGCGGAGGAGAGCUAGCGCCCUAAGUACAUGCCAUCGUGGCAGCCGGAGAGGUUUUGGCACCCGGUUCGUGUGGUGUCGUGGCCGUCGGAGGAGCGCUGGAGCCUGGCGGAAGGACAGCUGUCGGGGCUGUCGAGUCCUUGCUGACGUCCUCUUGCUUCCGUAAGGGGGCUGAGAGCCGUUGUCGUCAUAGAGCGUGCGGGGCGCCAUCAUUACUUGUCUGUCGGAGCGAGCCAGAUGGGACGCCGGUCUUGUUCCCCGUAGCCUGAGUUAGCUUGGGGUAGGGUAAUGAUGGCGCCUCCUGUUGACGUGGUCGGUCCGUGGUGCCCUAGGUUGAUCGAUGUGGAGGCUCCUCCGAGGCCGAGGUCGAGUCUAUCUUCCGUGGCCGAGGUCGAGUCCGAGCCCCUGGGUCGGGCGAGGCGGAGACCGUCGGCUGAGGCCAGGGCUGAGUCCGAGCCCCUGGGUCGGGCGAGGCGGAGUUCGUCGUCUUCCGGGGCUGAGCCCGAUUCCGAGCCCUGGGUCGGGCGAAGCGGAGUUCGACGUCUUCCGGGGCUGAGCCCGAGUCCGAGCCCUGGGGUCGGGCGAAGCGGAGUUCGUCGUCUUCCGGGGCUGAGCCCGAGUCCGAGCCCUGGGGUCGGGCGAAGCGAAGUUCGUCGUCUUCCGGGGCUGAGCCCGAGUCCGAGCCCUGGGGUCGGGCGAAGCGGAGUUUCCUAUGGCGCCUGAGGCCGGGCCUAGCUGCUGUCAGCCUCACUCUGUCGAGUGGCACCACAGUAGGUGCGGCGCAGGCGGCGCUAUCCUCUUGUCAGACCGGUCAGUGGAGCGGCAAAGUGACCGCGGUCACAUCGGCUUCUGUCGUCUGGAGGGCGCGCGUCAGGAUAAAGAUGUCAGGCCACCUUUGCAUUAAAUGCCCCUGCGAUUUGGUCGGUUUGCAUGGCGAUUUGGAUAAGGUUGCUUCUUGGUGAAGACUGGGCCUCGGGCGAGCCGAAAGUAUGUUCGUUGCUGGAGGGGGCCUCGGGCGAGACGUAGAUCCUCCGGGGUCGGCUACCCUUGCCCGAGGCUGGGCUCGAGCGAGGUGUGAUCGAGUCCCUCGAAUGGACCGAUCCUUGACUUAGUCGUACCCAUCAGGCCUUUGCAGCUUUGUGCUGAUUGGGGUUACCAGCUAAGAAUUAUGAGUCUUGAGGGUACUCCUAAUUAUGGUCACCGACAGUUCUCAUGUUCAAGGAAUUAGACAAAAUAAUAAUCAAUGGAAUAAAUGUGCGUCAUGUUGGAUCUUUGAAUUGUGCAUAUAAAUUUGAUUUGAAAACAUCAAUCAGAUUUAAAUUUGUGACAUUUAGAACUAAAAAGGAAAUAGAAAAUUGGAAAUAGAAAAGAAAAGGCGACCCAACCUGACUUUCUUAUUACUCGUCCCAACAGACCAACACCGGCGUAGUACUUCAGGCCAGCCAGCCUACACCUCGUGCGCACGCGUAGCCAUUUCCACGCGCGUUCACCUCCAUCCACUGACACGUGGGUCCUGCCUGUCGACUUCACAAGGAAAUAAGCGCAUGGUAUCUGCCCGAUCGCCCUCAGACGCCGACUCCUGUGCGCACUCGCGAGAUUCCUUCGCUGACGGGUGGACCUACUCUGCCAGUCACCACUGCUCCUACUUCCUCGCUUGGUCUCCGGUGUGUGGGCCUCGUCGCUCAAUGCCUCCCUCUCUUGCGUGUGUAUCUAAUCCAUGUCAGGUUGUUGGGAUUUCCUUGCGUGACCUCCGGCCCUAUGCCACCAACAAACUUCUGUUCGGUCGGGCACCCCUGCUUCACUUAAAUAGGUUGUGACUUCCCCUCCUUUGCCUCCCAGAACAACUAACGUCGUCAAACAAAGCGGAAACCAGAGAAAGCACAGAGAGCACGGCGAGGGAAAGAGAAAUCAUGCCACUGUCGUCGCCCGUCAUGUACAUCAUCGCCAAGAUUUCGAGGGCAGACUUGUUGGGGACCUUCCUCAUCCGAAGGUCCUCAAAAACGUGACUGUAUGUUUUCAGUACGGCAUGGAUCACUACAGGGGGCUUUGACUUUGAGAUGAAGGUCUUAUCUCAUAACAGGGUGAAGAUGUAGCCCGAAGGUGAUAAGAAUGGACGACGAAGCUGUAGCCGAAGAGCUUCGGCUUGAUGUGAUGAUGAAGACCAAGUAUGGUGAUGACCGAAAAGGGACAAAGACUACUCAGUCCUUAAUGUUUCAUGUCAUGAUAAUAGAUGAAUGUCAAGGACAUAAAUGUACUUUUACUCGGGCUGCAUCCCAUACCUAUAAAUAGAUGAAUAGUAACACCGUACUGUUCAGGGCUGGAUUGUAAUCACUCUCUCGCAUCACACCUUCGAGGAAGCUGAAGGUACCAAUGUAAUAUUAAUAUUGUUAAUAUUCAUACGUGUUUUAUGGAAUACAAAUAUGAAUGAAUCAAUAAGAUGCAGUUAUUGUUUUCAUCCUUCUGCAUUCUUAUUCACAUGUUAAAUGAUGAAGGUAUGUCCUUCCUGACCUUUGUCUGAUAAGCGUUAUGCCCUUGCAGAAAUAAUGCUUCGAAAGACGAAGGUCUAUAACAAUUAACAAUUGUGGUUCCUUGUUCUUAAUAUACAACAUUUGAGAACAAGUGACCAACAUUGGCGCCCACCUCCGGUCAACUCAAACGACCACCUUCGGCAAGCAUUCAGCUUCACCAUGCCGCCGAAGAAGACAACAGUGCCAGGGGCUGCUCUCCAACCACUAGACACAAACCAAGAGACACUCUCCCUGCGAGAAGCUAGGAGCCAGAAGAGAAAGGCUACUAGCCCAACACCUCAGGAGGAGGAGUUGGAUCGAGAGAUCAGGGAUUUAGAAGCCAUUCAUCAGCAAGUACAAAGGAAGAAGGAAAAGAUGCUUUGGCUAGCCGAUCUUGAGAAGAAGAUCGACGAAACAGCCGAGGAAAUGCGUCAUCUCACUCAGGAUGACCAAGACCGAAGGCCCCAACACAGUGAGCUUCGUGAAGAGAGCCCAAUCAAUGAUGAUGAAUGGUACGACUUUGCUUUCGAUGAUGCUUCUCCUUUGGCAGCAGAGUUGUAGGCUACCCCGUGGCCACCAUCUUACAAGCCACCUCAACUUCCCAUGUAUGAUGGGCACUCAGAUCCGAUGCAGUUCCCGAUGAGCUAUGGGGCAACCAUAUCCUCGUAUGGGGGCAAUACUGCUGUCAUGGCGAAGUCCUUCGUCAUGGCAGUCAGAAAUGUGGCUAAGACAUGGUAUUCUUCUGUUUGGCCGGGGACAAUUACGUCGUGGCAGAAGCUAAAGGAUAUGCUAGUCACCAGCUUCCAGGGCUUUCAGACGAAGCCAGUCAGUGCCCAAGCUCUGUUCCAAUGCACGCAGGACCAUGAGGAGUAUCUGCAGGCGUACGUCCGAAGGUUCCUGCGACUGAGAGCUCAAGCGCCUACAGUGCCCAAUGAGAUUGUCAUUGAGGGCAUGAUCAAGGGGCUCUGACCAGGACCCACAACAUAAUAUUUUGCAAGGAAGCCACCACAGAACUUGGAGAAGCUUCUCUAGAAGAUGGAUGAAUACAUCCGAGCUGAUAACGAUUUCCGCCAAAGAAGGGAGGAAGCAUAUAUGUAUUCUGAGACGACUAAGGGCUUCAGAGGAAGACUCCACACCCCAGGCACGUUAGAACAAUCCACAAUCCCAACACAAAUGAUGACAGGGCAAAUCAUACUCACAGCAGCCAGCAUAUCUCACAGUCUUCGGAAAUGCAACAAACUUCUUACAGGCCACCAGCCCCGAGAGGCAGAGGGGGGAGAAGCUUCGGAGGAAGGUAUGGUAAUCAACCCAGGAAACUCUGCCUAUUCUAUGGUGAAGACAAGGGACACACCACAAGGACGUGCCAAGUCACGAUUCAGAAGCAGAAGGAAAUCGCUGAAGCCAAUGCACGGCAGAACCAGCCGAAGCAAGUCUUGCAUACUUCUUCGUGCUACUCUUUGUAUAUCCUGGAGUAUGUGGGCAAUCAACAGCCUUCGACUUCUAUUGCUUCGACAAGUCAUUUCCAAGCUUCCUGGGCUCAGUUGCCACCACCACCACCACUGGCGCCUGCCCCGAUUCAUAAUCAACCGCCAGAAGGGCAUCGUCAGGUUCAGCAACAGUGUGACCUUCGGGAAGAGUCCGAAGCCCGCACAAUCAACAACACUGUGCCCGAGUCGAGGCAUAUCUACUGAAGGUGGCACAAUGUGAAAUGACCUAAUGUAUUCUUACUCAUUUCUAUCUUUACAUUUUCCUCUGAAAAGACAAUUCAAGGAGGUUUAACCUUCAGUUUGAUGUAAUAAGACUGUGGUUACACCAUCGAGUGUAACAAAAAUGGCUCACAAACCUCCAAAGUCGUUCAUAAAGGAAUGCAGAGUAAGUCACGAAGCUCCAAAGUCAUUCCUAAGGGAAUGCAGAGCUUAAAUGCCACCUGAGUCAAAGGUGAAGAAGCUCCAAAGUCGUUCAUAAGGGGAUGCAGAGCUUAAAUACCACCUAAGUAAAAGGUGAAGAAACUCCAAAGUCAUUACUAAGGGGAUGUAGAGCUUAGCUCCAAACGUUUCUAAGGGAAUGCAGAGCUGCAAUACCACCUAAGUAAAAGGUGAAGAGACUCCAAAGUCGUUCCCAAGGGGAUGAAGAGUCUGGGUGUGUAUUCGUGUGAGUUUUUACCUUCGGCACAAACAUCAUUUUGCAUCAUACCAUCAUAUCAUAUCGCAUAGCAUCGCAUCAUACAUCAUUUUGCAUCAGCAAAAAGCCGUGGAGAAACAAGGAAAAGUUGCAUCUUCGAAAAUAUUUGUCGGAUCAUGAAAGAACAUGUUGUAGCACAAGAUAUGCCUUCGGCAGAUAUAUUUUUACACAGGAAGAGAAUCUUCAUCAGUAGUAUUACUACACAACAACCGUGGCAUAAUACCCAGUAUUGAAUCGACAGAAGGGGAAUCUUUUUCUUCGUGAAGCAGGAAAAGAAGGGAAGAUGUUUUUUCGCCAGCGGCUCAAAAAUGGUAUGUACGAAGGUUUCAUGCAUCACAAAGAAAUAUAUUACAUUAACACACAUACAAAAAACUUGAUGUUUGGUUCUUACAAAAGACAAAAGCCACGUGCAAACAUUAAACUCUCAAAUAUACAAAGUUUUAAUCUUCUUUCAAUACUUUCUCAGCGGCUUCAUUCAGCAGUUUGUUGACAGCUUCGUCAACAGCUUCAUUAGCAAUUUUAAUCAUAUCUAGAGCUUCCUUCAAGGUCAGGUCAGCUUUGGGGUUGUAUGGCUCCAGUGGGGGUGAAAGUUUAGCUACAUCAUAAAAAAUGUUUGUUAAUUCUGAAGCUAAAAACGAAUUCCGAAGCUAAACCUUAGAAAGGGUACCUAUAAGCCUUGCACGCUUGGCAGCUUCUUCAGCUCGUUUGGCUUCUUCUUGAGCAUCGUGAGAUUCUUUUUCACUCUUUCUAAUAGCUUCAUCAGCUAUCGCAUGGCUGCCCUUCAUCCACACCUCGGAGUAAAAUUUCCCGCCUAGCGCAGAAGCUUCGGCCGACGGUUUUUAAUGUCAUCCACUGAAAAAACAAAUUCUGGCUGAACUACAGCCUUGGCAUGUUCGCAGCCAGCUUUCUCUAAGAUCGACGUGGCCCCCCGUGCACCAGCAAAGGCGCAGAAAUCUCCUCGAUCACUUAAAGUUUCGUCAAAAGCUUUGGCUUCGCCGCUGAUCCACUGGACAACUCCAUCAGGAUCGCCGCAGAUGAACUUUUGCUCAGAGGAAUAUGCCCCAACCCUAGCAAAGUUGUCCUUUAAUUUCUUGGCGCACUCCAAAGAUAUUUUAUAACAUUUUUCUUUCGAAGCACGAAGCUCAUUGGCGUUCUUUUGUGAUCUUUACCUUUCGAUCUCAGAAAUUUCAUGUUUCACCGCCUCAACUUGAAAAUUUUCGGUUGCUUCGACAACCUUCUUUUUUAGUUCUUCCACUUUGACUUUAUGAGCUUCGUCUUGUGCAGCAAGUUUGGCUUCGUUAGAUCUCAGCCUGUCCACUAAGAAAAGUAAUAUUUUAUCCUUUUAGAGAGUUUCGUUCCUUAGUGUGAUGACUUCUGAGCGAAAAUUCUCAAGAGCUAUUCGAAAGCUCUCAUCUUCUGCUUCCUUCUGGGCCUUUAGAGCCUUGCUUAGAAUUACACCCUAAAAAACGAAGAAUGAGAAUAUAAUGAUAGCAAGAAAAGCUAUAAAAAUAAUUUAUUUUACAAGUAAAAUAAUACACACCUUCAGACUAUUGUAAGCAAGACUAUCUGCAAGCUCAUCCUUCGACAUUGCAGAUAAGCCAAGUUCAAGCUUCGGAUAUCCUAUAUUGUCCAUAAUUUCCCGGUAGACAUGUUUCUCUUUGCUGUCUGGCAGCUAGUAAAGGAAGUCAUCUUCGCCGCUGCCACCAUACACGAAGGACCCUCGAGGGUACUUCAGAUCCCUGGCAUAGUGUUGCACUUCGGCAACCUGCUCUUUUGAUAGCUGCUUUCCUAAAGCAUGCAGAAUAAUGAAUUCUAACUCUUUAACGGAUGCUUCAGGAACAGGAGAUUUAGAUUUCUCAGAAACACUCUCUUUCUCUAGGGUUACCAGUGCAGUUUCCAAAGGUCUAGCUUUGGCAGGAGUUUCUAAAGGUCCAGCUUCAGAAGGAGUGUCGGGGACCAUAAUUAGGGGUACCCUCAAGACUCCUAAAUCUCAGCUGGUAACCCCCAUCAGCACAAAGCUGCAAAGGCCUGAUGGGUGCGAUUAAGUCAAGGAUCGGUCCAUUCGAGGGACGCGAUCACGCCUCGCCCGAGCCCAGCCUCGGGCAAGGGCAGCCGACCCCGGAGGAUUUACGUCUCGCCCAAGGACCCCCUCCAGCAACGGACACACCUUCGGCUCGCCCGAGGCCCAGUCUUCACCAAGAAGCAACCUUGGCCAAAUCAACACGCCAACCGACCGAAUCGCAGGGGCAUUUAAUGCAAAGGUGGCCUGACACCUUUAUCCUGACGCGCGCCCUCCAGUCGACAGAGCCGAAGUGACCGUAGUCACUUUGCCGCUCCACUGACCGGCCUGACAAGAGGACAGCGCCGCCUCCGCCGCUCUGACUGAUGUGCCACUCGACAGAGUAAGGCUGACAGCAGCCAAGUCCGGCCUCAGGCGCCAUAGGAAACUCCGCUUCGCCUGACCCUAGGGCUCGCACUCGGGCUCAGCCCCGAAAGACGACAAACUCCGCUUCGCCCAACCCCAGGGCUCGGACUCGGGCUCAGCCCCGGAAGACGACGAACUCCGCUUCGCCCGACCCCAGGGCUCGGACUCGGGCUCAGCCCCAGAAGACGACGAACUCCGCUUCGCCCGACCCCAGAGUUCGGACUCGGGCUCAGCCCCGGAAGACGACGAACUCCGCAUCGCCCGACCCUAGGGCUCGGACUCGGGCUCAGCCCCGGAAGACGACGAACUCCGCUUCGCCCGACCCAGGGGCUCGGACUCGGGCUCAGCCCCGGAAGACGACGAACUCCGCUUCGCCCGACCCCAGGACUCGGACUCGGGCUCAGCCCCGGAAGACGACGAACUCCGCUUCGCCCGACCCCAGGGCUCGGACUCGGGCUCAGCCCCGGAAGACGACGAACUCCGCUUCGCCCGACCCCAGGGCUCGGACUCAGCCCUGGCCUCAGCCGACGGUUUCCGCCUCGCCCGACCCAGGGGCUCGGACUCAACCUCGGACCUUGGAAGACAGACUCGACCUCGACCUCGGAGGAGCCUCCACCUCGCCCAACCCAGGGCUCGGACCGACCACGUCACAGGAGGCGCCAUCAUUACCCUACCCCAAGCUGACUCAGGCUAUGGGGAACAAGACCGGCGUCCCAUCUGGCUCGCUCCGCCAAACAAGUAAUGAUGGCGCCCCGCAUGCUCCAUGACGACGGCGGCUCUCAGCCCCCUUACGGAAGCAACAGGACGUCAGCAAGGACCCGACAGCCCCGACAGCUGUCCUUCCGUCAGGCUCCGGCGCUCCUCCGACGGCCACGACACCACACAAACCGGGUGCCAAAACCUCUCCAGCUGCCACGAUGGCAUGUACUUAGGGCACUAGCUCUCCUCCGCUAGACACGUUAGCACACUGCUACACCCCCCAUUGUACACCUGGAUCCUUUCCUUACGCCUAUAAAAGGAAGGUCCAGGGCCCUCUUAUAGAGGGUUGGCCGCGCGGGGAAGGACAGGACGGCGCUCGCGUAAGGCCGCUCGCUCCCUCCCGCGUGGACGCUUGUAACCCCCUACUGCAAGCGCACCCGACCUGGGCGCGGGGCAAACACGAAGGCCCUGUGUUUCACCUCUCACGCCUGUCUCCCUCCGGCUUCUUCCCCCCUUCGUGCUCCGUCUCGCGCCGACCCAUCUGGGCUGGGGCACGCGGCGACAAUUUACUCGUCGGUCCAGGGACCCCCCGGGUUCGAAACGCCGACAGUUGGUGCGCUAGGUAGGGGCCUGCUGCGUGUUGACGAACAGCUUCCCGUCAAGCUCCAGAUGGGCAGUCUCCAGCAAUCUUUCCAGCCUGGGACGGUGCUCUGUUUCGGGAGUCUUGAGUUCAUGUCCCUCAACGGCAGCUACGACAUGAUACUCCUGCCCCCGCCGCGCGACAGCGAUAAUGGCGGCCGACAACCCGCCCGCCGGCGGCGGAAUCGACGACGUCUUCCCCACGUGGUGGAAGAACAACAUUCAGGCUUGUCCCGUCCCCUCCCCCGCCGACGGAGGAGGAGGCGGGGCAACCAAGGCCAAGCAGGAGGCGGCACCUCGUCGGCUGUCGAGCGAGUCGACAGCGCCGGCGCCCCAACGGGGGGUACGUCGGGCAUCGACCUCGCGUCUGAGACGAAGACGAGCGCCGUCUCCCCGCAACACGCCAACCCCAAGCAAACGGACGACGCCAGCACGCUCGCAAAUGACUUGCUGGGCGUCACCCUCGUACCUGAGACGACGGUGCAGUCUGCUCCGGACGUGACUUCCUCACCGCCCGUCGACCAAGAGGUACCGACCGAUUCCCAUCUCGUGCCUUUUGGAUUCGGCCUCGACCCACCAAGCGACUUCGCUUCGGUGGACGCCCUCAUAGAGGCGAGUCCAAACCCUCUGGGGUAUCGUAUGCGGUCACCCUGGGACCGACUGACGGCCGUCUCGACCUACGGGCCCUCGGGGUCCGAGGAAGAUGACGAGCCCGACUUCUGUUGGGAUUUCUCCGGACUUGGUAACCCCAAUGCCAUGCGGGACUUCAUGACCGCACGCGACUAUUGCCUUUCCGACUGUUCCGACGGUAGCCUCAGCCUCGGCGACGAGGGCUGUGGCCCAAGUCGUGAAUGUUUCCACGUCGAUCUAGGGGGUCCUGGCGAAGGCAACCAUCUUGGUAUGCCGGAGAACGGCGAUCCCCCUAGGCCUGUGCCUCGCGUUGACAUCCUUCGAGAGCUAGCUGUGGUCCCCGUCCCGGCGGGGGGUCAUGACCCACAACUCGAGCAAAUCAGCGAGAUGCAGGCCAGGCUCGACGAGGGAGCAGGAACACUUGAGCCAAUCCGCUGGGACAUCGGGCAGGAAUGGGCGGGCCAACCUCCGGCCGGAGAAGUACGUCAUCUCCCCCAGGGCUUCCAGCACCGCAUCGCCGACGAUGUCAGGGUAAGGCCACCACCGACUUCCAGUGGAGUCGGCCAGAACCUAGCUGCAGCGACAAUACUUCUCCGCGCAAUGCCGGAGCCAUCAACCACCGAGGGGCGGCGUAUCCAGGGAGAGCUCAAGAAUCUCCUGGAGGAUGCCGCGGUCCGACGGGCCGAAAGCUCCGCCUCCCAAAGGAAGGGGUGCCCCUCGGAACAUCGCGCCGCGACUUCCCGAUUCAUGCGGGAGCCUCGGUACACACAGGGCGCACACGCAACACAGCGCCUGCGGCCCCGGGUCGCCUCGGCAACGAGCACCAUCACCGCAACCGUCGGGCGCACCUCGACGAGAGGGUGCGCCGAGGCUACCACCCCAGGCGUGGGGGACGCUACGACAGCGGGGAAUAUCGGAGUCCCUCGCCCGAACCACCCGGUUCGCAGGCUUUCAGCCGCGCCAUACGACGGGCGCCGUUCCCGACCCGGUUCCGAACCCUGACUACUAUCACAAAGUACUCGGGGGAGACGAGACCGGAACUGUGGCUCGCGAACUAUCGGCUGGCCUGCCACCUGGGUGGAACGGACGAUGAUAACCUCAUCAUCCGCAACCUCCCCCUGUUCCUCUCUGAUACCGCUCGAGCCUGGCUGGAGCACCUGCCUCCGGGGCAGAUCUCCAAUUGGGACGACCUGGUCCAAACCUUCACCGGCAAUUUCCAGGGCACAUACGUGUGCCCUGGAAACUCCUGGGAUCUCCGAAGCUGCCGACAGCAGCCGGGAGAGUCUCUCCGGGACUACAUCCGGCGAUUCUCGAAGCAGCGCACCGAGCUGCCCAACAUCACCGAUUCGGAUGUCAUCGGCGCGUUCCUCGCCGGCACCACCUGCCGCGACCUGGUGAGCAAGCUGGGUCGCAAGACCCCCACCAGGGCGAGCAAGCUGAUGGACAUUGCCACCAAGUUCGCCUCUGGCCAGGAGGCAGUUGAGGCCAUCUUCCAGAAGGACAAGCAGCCCCAGGGCCGCCCACCGGAAGAUGUCCCCGAGGCGUCAACUCAGUACGGCGCCAAGAAGAAAGGCAAGAAGAAGUCGCAAGCAAAACGCGACGCCGCCGACGCGGACCUUGUCGCCGCAGCCGAGUACAAGAACCCUCGGAAACCUCCCGGAGGUGUCAACCUCUUUGACAAGAUGCUCAAGGAGUCGUGCCCCUAUCAUCAGGGGCCCGUCAAACACACCCUUGAGGAGUGCGCCAUGCUUCGGCGCCACUUUCACAAGGCCGGGCCACCCGCGGAGGGUGACAGGGCUCGCGACGAUGAUAAGAAGGAAGAUCACAAGGCAGGAGAGUUCCCCGAGGUCCACGACUGCUACAUGAUCUAUGGUGGGCGAGUGGCGAACGCCUCGGCUCGGCACCGCAAGCAAGAACGUCGGGAGGUCUGCUCGGUAAAGGUGGCGGCGCCAGUCUACCUAGACUGAUCCGACAAGCCCAUCACCUUCGACCAGGGCGACCAUCCCGACCGCGUGCCGAGCCCGGGGAAAUACUCGCUCGUUGUCGACCCCGUCAUCAGCAACGUCAGGCUCACCAAGGUCCUCAUGGACGGAGGCAGCGGCCUCAACAUCAUCUACGCCGAGACCCUCGGGCUCCUGCGUAUCGAUCUGUCCUCGGUCCGGACGGGCGCUGCGCCUUUUCACGGGAUCAUCCCCGGGAAGCGCGUCCAACCCCUCGGACAACUUGAUCUACCCGUCUGCUUCGGGACACCCUCCAACUUCCGAAGGGAGACCCUCACGGUCGAAGUGGUCAGGUUUCGAGGAACCUACCACGCAGUGCUGGGGAGGCCAUGCUACGCCAAGUUCAUGGCCGUCCCCAACUACACCUACCUCAAGCUCAAGAUGCCGGGCCCCAACGGGGUCAUCACCGUCGGCCCCACAUACCGACACGCGUACGAAUGCGACGUGGAGUGCGUGGAGUACGCUGAGGCCCUCGCCGAAUCCGAGGCCCUCAUCGCCGACCUGGAGAGCCUCUCUAAGGAGGCGCCAGACGUGAAGUGCCACGCUGGCAACUUCGAGCCAGCGGAGACGGUUAAAUCCGUCCCUCUCGACCCCAGCAACGACGCCUCCAAGCAGAUCCGGAUCGGCUCCGAGCUCGAUCCCAAAUAGGAAGCAGUGCUCGUCGACUUUCUCCACGCAAACGCCGAUGUUUUCGCGUGGAGUCCCUCGGACAUGCCCGGCAUACCGAGGGAUGUCGCCGAGCACUCGCUGGAUAUCCGAGCUGGAGCCCGACCCGUGAAGCAGCCUCUGUGCCGAUUCGACGAAGAAAAGCACAGAGCUAUAGGCGAGGAGAUCCACAAGCUAAUGGCGGCAGGGUUCAUCAAAGAGGUAUUCCAUCCCGAAUGGCUUGCCAACCCUGUGCUUGUGAGAAAGAAAGGAGGGAAAUGGCGGAUGUGUGUAGACUACACUGGUCUAAACAAAGCAUGUCCGAAAGUUCCCUACCCUCUGCCUCGCAUCGAUCAAAUUGUGGAUUCCACUGCUGGGUGCGAAACCCUGUCUUUCCUUGAUGCCUACUCGGGGGAUCACCAGAUCAGGAUGAAAGAGUCCGACCAGCUCGCGACUUCUUUCAUCACACCCUUCGGCAUGUACUGCUAUGUUACCAUGCCGUUUGGUUUAAGGAAUGCGGGUGCAACGUACCAACGGUGCAUGAACCACGUGUUCGGCGAACACAUUGGCCGAACGGUCGAGGCCUACGUCGAUGACAUCGUAGUCAAGACGAGGAAAGCCUCCGACCUCCUUUCCGACCUUGAAGCGACAUUCCGAUGUCUCAAGGCGAAAGGCGUGAAGCUCAAUCCCGAGAAGUGUGUCUUUGGGGUUCCCCGAGGCAUGCUCUUGGGGUUCAUCGUCUCCGAGCGGAGCAUCGAGGCCAACCCGGAGAAGAUCACGGCCAUCACCAGCAUGGGGCCCAUCAAGGACUUGAAAGGCGUACAAAGAGUCACAGGAUGCCUUGCGGCUCUGAGCCGUUUCAUCUCGCGCCUCGGCGAAAGAGGCCUGCCUCUGUACCGCCCCUUAAGGAAGGCCGAGUGCUUCACUUGGACCCCUGAGGCCGAGGAAGCCCUUGGGAACCUGAAGGCGCUCCUCACGAACGUGCCCAUCUUGGUGCCCCCCGCUGCCGGAGAAGCCCUCUUGAUCUACGUUGCCGCGACCACUCAGGUGGUUAGCGCCGCGAUCGUGGUUGAGAGACGAGAAGAGGGGCAUGCAUUGCCUGUCCAGAGGCCAGUCUACUUCAUCAGCGAAGUACUGUCCGAGACCAAGAUCCGCUACCCACAAAUUCAGAAGCUGUUGUACGCGGUGAUCCUAACGCGGCGGAAGUUGCGACACUACUUCGAGUCUCAUCCGGUAACUGUGGUGUCAUCCUUCCCCCUGGGGGAGAUCAUCCAGUGCCGAGAGGCCUCGGGUAGAAUUGCAAAGUGGGCGGUGGAAAUCAUGGGCGAGACGAUCUCGUUCGCCCCUCGGAAGGCCAUCAAGUCCCAGGUCUUGGCUGACUUUGUGGCUGAAUGGGUCGACACCCAGCUCCCAAUAGCUCUGAUCCAACCGGAACUCUGGACCAUGUUCUUCGACGGGUCGCUGAUGAAGACAGGAGCAGGCGCAGGCCUGCUCUUCAUCUCGCCCGUCGGGAAGCACCUACGCUACAUACUACGCCUCCAUUUCCCGGCAUCCAACAAUGUGGCCGAGUACGAGGCUCUGGUCAACGGGUUGCGCAUCGCCAUCGAGCUAGGAGUCCGACGCCUCGACGCUCGCGGUGACUCGCAGCUCGUCAUCGACCAAGUCAUGAAGAACUCCCACUGCCGCGACCCGAAGAUGGAAGCCUACUGCGAUGAGGUUCGGUGCCUGGAAGACAAGUUCUACGGGCUCAAGCUCAACCACGUCGCCCGGCGCUACAACGAGACUGCGGACGAGCUGGCUAAAAUAGCCUCGGGGCGAACAACGGUUCCCCCGGACGUCUUCUCCUGAGACUUGCAACAACCCUCCGUCAAGACCGACGACACGCCCGAGCCCAAGAAGGCCUCGGCCCAGCCCAAGGCACCCUCGGCUCAGUCCGAGGCACCCUCGGCUCGGCCCGAGGCACCCUCGGCUCAGUCCGAGGCACCCUCGGCUCGGCCCGAGGCACCCUCGGCUCGGCCUGAGGUACCCUCGGCCCCCGAGGGUGAGGCACUGCGCAUCGAGGAGGAGUGGAGCGGGGUCACGCCUAAUCGAAACUGGCAGACCUCGUACCUGCAAUAUCUCCACCGAGGAGAGCUACCCCUCGACCGAGCCGAAGCUCGGCGGUUGGCGCGGCGCACCAAGUCGUUCGUCUUGCUGGGAGACGGGAAGGAGCUCUACCACCGCAGCCCCUCGGGCAUCCUCCAGCGAUGCAUUUCCAUCACCGAAGGCUAGGAGCUCCUACAAGAGAUACACUCGGGGGCUUGCGGCCAUCACGCAGCACCUCGAGCCCUUGUUGGAAACGCCUUCCGACAAGGUUUCUACUGGCCGACGGCGGUGGCCGACGCCACUAGAAUUGUCCGCACCUGCGAAGGGUGUCAGUUCUACGCAAGGCAGACCCACCUGCCCGCUCAGGCCCUGCAGACCAUACCCAUCACCUGGCUGUUUGCUAUGUGGGGUCUGGACCUAGUCGGCCCCUUGCAGAAGGCACCCGGGGGCUACACGCACCUGUUGGUCGCCAUCGACAAAUUCUCCAAGUCGAUCGAGGUCCGACCCCUAAACAACAUCAUGUCUGAACAGGCGGUGGCGUUCUUCACCAACAUCAUCCAUCGCUUUGGGGUCCCGAACUCCAUCAUCACCGACAACGGCACCCAGUUCACCGGCAGAAAGUUCCUGGACUUCAGCGAGGAUCACCACAUCCGGGUGGACUGGGCCGCCGUGGCUCACCCCAUGACGAAUGGGCAAGUAGAGCGUGCCAACAGCAUGAUCCUGCAAGGGCUCAAGCCGCGGAUCUACAUCGACCUCAACAAGUUCGGCAAGCGAUGGAUGAAGGAGCUCCCCUCUGUGGUCUGGAGUCUAAGGACAACGCCGAGCCGAGCCACGGGCUUCACACCGUUCUUUCUAGUCUAUGGGGCCGAGGCCAUCUUGCCCAUAGACUUAGAAUACGGUUCCCCGAGGAUGAGGGCCUACGCCGACCAAAGCAAUCGAGCUAAUCGAGAAGACUCACUGGACCAGCUGGAAGAGGCUCGGGACAUGGCCUUACUACACUCGACGCGGUAUUAGCAGUCCCUACGACGCUACCACACCCGAGGGGUUCGGUCCCGAGACCUCCAGGUGGGCGACCUGGUGCUUCGGCUGCGACAAGACGCCCGAGGGCGGCACAAGCUCACGCCUCCCUGGGAAGGGCCGUUCGUCGUCGCCAAGGUUCUGAAGCCCGGAACGUACAAGCUGGCCAACAGUCAAGGCGAGGUCUACAGCAACGCUUGGAACAUCCGACAGCUACGUCGCUUCUACCCUUAAGACGCUUUCAAGUCGUUCAUACACCUCGUUCACACACAAAGUCUAGUCAUCAAGGAAGGGUCAGCCUUGCCUCGGCAAAGCCCAACCCUCCCUCGGGGGCUAAAAGGGGGGAACCCCCCUGCGCCGAAAUUUUUCUCAAAAAAAGGAAGUCUUCCAUCAAAAAGGCUUCUGCGUUCCCCGGCUAUAUCAGUAGCAGGACCCCAAGAAGCGAACGAGGGCGCAUGUAAGUGGCAAGGCUGACUGAGCCGAGGGACUCCUACACCUCUAGGAUGCGGAUACCUCACUCGUCACCUACCAUGAAAAAUGACUCCUACUUGGGCAAGCCAACCUGCUACUAACGAACGGGGCCGGAUAUGCAAAAUGGAAGGAAAAGGAGCACGACUUUAUACUACGAUAAUAAAGUGUUCGGGCCUCAGCGGCCGCAAAAGACACAUGUGCAUUCAAGGAAAACUGCUCCGGCAGAGUUAGGCGUCGCCUGGAGGAGCCGCGCCCUCGGCUUCGUCCCUGCCUUCGGCAAAGUCCACCCCGGCCUCGGACGACGACGCAGGCGGGAGGAUCUCUGCCUCGAAGGUGGUUGCCAGACCGCGCUCGGGCCCGCGGCGGCCGCGUCGAGCCUCUGGACUUCAGCCAGGGCGGCUUCAUCUUCGUAAGGGAGGCAAUACCCCUCGCUGACCCGCUCCAGAUCCACGACGUAGUGAGAAGCAAGCACGGCGAAGCCCCGCCUGACGCCGUGAUGUAGCGCCUCGCGGAGUCUGCCACGCACAUGGUCACCCAAGGCCUGUAGGCGACUUUGAGGGGAGCUUCCCGAGGGGACGUCGCUGAAGCCAAAGACCCGGCAGAAGUCCGAGAUGGCCUCGGACAUAGCCGCGUGGUCGGCCUCCCUCUGCUGGGCCGCCUGAGCAAGUGCCCUGGUGGACUCAUCAAGGGCAGACUCGAGCUCUGCGAACAGCCAAAGCGCAAGGCCUCAAACACAAGUGGAGGAAACAAGCUGAAACGAAAACCGAAAAUAGCCAGGACAUACCUCCGGCUCGGGCACGCAGCUCCGAGGAUGCGGCUUGGGCUACGGCUAGGUCUGCUGCAAGGGCUCCGGCCCGGCUUUCGGCCUCGGUGGCCCGGCCUCGAGAUUGAUCCCUGUCACACCCGGAUUUUAGGGGUCCAAAACCCGGGCGCGAACAUAAUCACCAGGUGUGCUGGGACCAAGUCUCACACAUAUGAUGAUUCAUGGCACAGGAUCGAAUGUCACAUCUUUACUACAUAACAGGAGUUCUGUACAAAAUAAAUAAAUAAUUACAUUAUAAGGAGACAACGGUCCAGCAACCCAAAGUUGACUGGGAGACGACAACCUAGACCUCUCACGAACACAUCGCAGCAUCCUCCAUGCGCCUCAUCCUGGGGUACCUGUUCUUGACCUGUGGGGGGUGUGAGACAGCAAGAGUGAGCUCACGUACGUUCAUCGCUCAACAAGUUGUGGGGAAUAAUGUGAAUGAACUCGCCAAAGGUGGGAGUUCAUGUGAAGUGUAAGGCUUACCAAAGAGGAUGGUUAGAGCUGAGCAUUGCUUUUAAAGUUGGUCAAAAUUUUAUUAGCAAUUACUAAGUAUAAGUAAAUACCAACCCAAUUAAGUAGUAGAACAGAAGUAACAACAUCACCUGCGAUGCAAUGCAUAUGAUAAAUUGAGUUUAAGUUCCAUAAAUUAAUCAUGUGAGUGUCCGAGCUGCUCAUGACCGUGAGCACGGCUAGUAUACCAGUUUUACACUCUGCAGAGGUUGCGCAUCUUUACCCACAAGUCAUGUUACCCAUCUGCCAAGGGAUCGCGACUUCCCAUACACCUCUACCGAGGAGGCGAGGCAGGGUAACACUACGAGGCCUUUACAAAGUUCCACUAGCUUCAGAAAACCCGCUACAGUUUAUGGGAAGCUCCAAUGCAGGGUUCUUGCCUGACCGCCAUCACAGCAAAAUCAACCAAGGACCUCCCUACACUGACCAAUACCCUACUGCCCUUGCCCCUUUCGGGUAAGGUAGUCCUCCACUAGCUUUCCUAAUUAGUCAGCCAAGGGCAUCCAUAAACCCUUGUGGUAGCACUGUUUUCCCGGGUGGUUCUCCAUGUUCCAAUUAACAUAAUGAUCUUAUCAUGAACAGUAAAUAACAACGGAUAACAAAAGUAUAAUCAUGAAUAAUGUAUCUUCAUACCCAAAACCACAUAAAGCACUAGCAAGUACUACCCAAAAAGUUCAGUGGUAAACAAGGUAUAAAGAUAAUCAAACUAGGGUAACCUAUUGGGUCCCAUCAAAAUUAACCUAUGCAGAUCAUUAUGAUUAAUUAGAACAUGAGUGGGUAAAAAGAAGUGAUCAAGGGCACAACUUGCCUGGGACUUGAGAUUCCAGGUACCAACUUGCUCUUCAGAUGACACGUGUCCUCACUGCUAAACGUAUCAAUACAGACAAACAUGGUAUAUGCAAAAAUUAACAUUACACCAAACAUAAGAAUAAACUAUGUGAUAAUAAUCUACGCGCCAUAACGAGAUCGUAGAAACAAGAACCACUAAAUUCGGAGCUACGGUUAUUAAGUUAUGAAUUUUCGAAAUUAUUUAGCACCUAGAAUAGAUUAAUUCAAUUGAGCAAAUUUUAAUUCAAGUUUCAUGGUUAAACAAAGGUACGAGGUGAUAAACAACAUUAAUACAAAAUUAUUGCAACUGAAAUGACUCAAUUUGGAGUUAAAAUGAAUUAACUAUGAAUUAUGCAAGUUUAUGGAAUUAUUUUCAUACUAAAAACCUAUUUCUUUAUUAAUUCCUGAAUAUCCUAAGUGUUCUGGACUGGGCACCAAAUAAAACAAAACUUAGGGUCCAAUCUGUAACAAUUCCCUAGACUCAAUGAUCAUCGCCCACGGACGGCGGGUUGAUUUGUGAGAAGGACAGGGGCUCUUUUACAAAGAGGCUGCGGCGAAAGGGUAUCGGAUAGUACUGGCCGUCCGAUCAGAGAUCUAGGGCUCAAAUUAGAUCACGUGUUAUAUGAACCGGUAUUGAAUAACGGCCACUGGAUCAAGAUCCGAGGGCCCGAGUUCAAUGAAGCCGAAAUCAAUCUCCUCCCAUCGAUGAGCGAUCAACGGUCCACGAUGCUCGAUGCCAAGAAGCCGCCCAGAUCUAAUCAUGUGCGUACACUGUGGAUCCAAUGGCCCAGGCCUAUCACUAAUCUCAUGUCGUCCCGACCUAAUCCAAGCCCUUGAACUGAGAUGAACGGCUAAGGGAGCAUCUUCCACCUUCCGCAUGCUAGGGCACGGCGGCCAUACUGGUCUUGACGGCAGUCCGUCGCCGUGAUGACAACCCGGCGCAUGGAUUCCCUAAUACGCAAGCUAACCGAUGCAAAAGGAAGCGCGAGCCAUGGCGAAGCUACCCAGGGGCUUACCAAAGACCAAGGCGAAGGUUGGAGAGCCGGCCACGACGAACAGCGGCACGCGGCGGAGCACAAUCUCCGGUGAGCGAAUCGAGCGCUCCGCACGUGGUGGGCAGGGACGGAGCAGACGCGGAGGAGAAGGUUUCUUCCAGAAGAGGUCUGUGGGCUGGGGCUAGUUGCUGCGCUGCCCCAUGAAGGCCAUCUGCAUCAACCCCACGGCGGCCCGCACCGUUCUUCGGUUCUGGUGACUUUUCUCUCACGGCUAGCUACCCCAACUCACUCCAAUGGCUAGAGGAGGCUGCGGACGGGUCUAUAUAUACAUCCAGGCAGCCAGUUUAUAAGGGGGUCCACGGACGAUCGCGUGGCCGAGGACUUCGGCAUCCGUUUCGCUGGAAGGGAUAAGGAGGGAGGCGAUUCUGUCAUUCCGGCCCCACACACCAGACACCGAUUAUCCCAAGUGCGUGCGACAGAGAUAGUGGCGGACGGCGCGGUGGGUUUGUUACGCGAGAGAGAGGAGUCCGACUGGGUCCACAAGAUAUGGGUGAGGUUUGUUACGCCCGAAAGGUUAGGAAACGACGAUGGAAAGAGUCUGGGCGGUCAUUACGUGAUUUCCUGGGUAAGUUUGUUUCGGCCGCCGUUCUGUUUGAUUCUUCCUUUUUUUUGGAGGCUUGCUACGUGAGUUUUCCCUUCUCACGUAGGCAUGCAUGCAUCUCCUGCCAUUAGCUUCAAGAACAACACAGAUCGUACUUGCUUUGAAGGAGCAGUUUGUUUGGCCAGAGUACUACGAUGGAAGAAUAAUACUGGAAUGCCUACUUGCUAGGUGGUUCACUUUAUCAAGGGGAAAAAAAUACACACACGUACAUUAAAGCAAACAACAACUUGAUUUAAAGAUGACACAGAACAGAUGCAUGCAAUUAGAGACAAACUAAAAGGGUUUGGCGUUUAAUUAUGCGUCACUGCCGAGGUUUUUUUUUAACACUGAUGCCAAGCAUGCGAGGUCCUCAAGAUACUACUACUAUACAGGUCGCACGGAAUGAAUUCAGCCCAUGUGAGUAUUUCUUCUUUUUUUUCUUUUCUUAAUUCUAGUUUAUUUCCAAAUUCAAGAUUCAAACUAAGCUUAAAUUUCUGGUUUAAACUUUUCAAAUUCCUAAAUAUCAAAUAUGAUCCAAUUAUGAAUAUAAACGCUACUAUUCUCGGUAUUAGUAUUUUUCCUUCAAAUAAAUGCUUCUAGAGGUAAUAUUGGUGAAAGAAACAUUUGUUAAAUUAAAAUAGGAAACUCCCUAUUAUUUAUUUUUCUGAGAUUUGAGAUUAUAAUCUAAAUGUUAUAAGUCCAAUUUAAAUCUGAGUCAUUAACCCUAAUAUUAUUUUUAUUUGUUUAAUCAUUUGGAAGGAUAAAUCGUACAUUUAGAGUCAGUCCCAUUAUAAUUCCUCAAAGAGAGCAAAGUUUCUUCAAACUUUCUCAAAAUGUAUUUUUAGGGUUUACAAGUUCUACCCCCUUAACAGAAAUCUCGUCCUCGAGAUUUGUAAGAAAAGGGAUAUAGAAAGUCAAAUGUUUGGUUGCAGUUUAGCUUCAAGUUUUUUUCCAAAUGGUUUUAAGCACAAAUGUUUUCUAUAUAUAUAUAUAUUUAAGUCAUUUUAAGUAAGGAAAUGAUUAGGAACACAUGGGUAUACUAUGUUUAGCUAUUAGGCAGAAGUAGAGAAGGUUUCGGUAAUAAGGAUUAGGGCAAAGAAAGUUUCUAUUAUGGAUGGUGGAUCUUGACUCAUCUGAUGAUUCCGUUUUGCCCUUUGAAGACUUGAGUUGGUGCUUAUCCUCCCUUGACGUGGUUGGUCUUCUUUGGCCCUCAGUCCUGGAGUUGCCAUCCGAGUUGAGGACAUAUGGCUAAGGACAUAUAGCUAGGAUAGCUAGGGUACAUGAGGUAAUUAGAUUUAAACAGAGUUUUACUUUGCUUUUGGGAUAUCUGGAUUAGGCAACCUAUGAUGUAGGUUAGGUUGUUUUUUUUACGGACGAGUUAGUCCAAGGUAUUAAUUUAGGGUAAGAUAUGUUUAUAGAAUCAGGGCCUAAUUUAUGUCUAACUUACUUAAGUAACUCAAUUUGGAUUAGCUCAUGUUAGAUUAGGUGGGAUCUAGAUCAAAUUGGUAUAACUAGAUAAGAUUUAUUUAUUUUAGGCUAGAUCAUGGUUGUUACUAUAGAGUGGGAUAGGUAUGCCUAUUAGAAUAAGAUAAAUCCAUAAGGAUAAGGUAGAAUCUUUUGAGGUCAGUUAGAUCUAUUAGGAUGAGAUAAAAUCUGUUCAAGAUAAGAUGAGUAUCUUUUUAAGAUAAGAUGAGUCUAUUAAGAUAAGAGAGAAUCUUUUAAGAUAAGAUGGAUCCAUUAGGCUUAAUAUAUUUUUAAUAGGGAAUAUUCUGUGUUGUCUAUUUUAUAAAUAUUUUUCCUUAUGCCUAGGUGUAUAUACAGAUGCAAUUGUGGACAUUACUCCACAACUCAUCACACUCAAUCAAAGAUCCAACUCAGACAAGUAUCAUAAGAACAAACAUUGAAGCACAUAGAUACCUACAAAAAUAGUUUUGUUUUUGUUCCUAAGGGUAGGUCUCCUAUUCCUAAAGGUCACUUUAGGCACAGGAUUUCAAAGUGUGAAAUCCACAUUUUUUUUCUUUAGAAAGAAAAGGUAAGAAUAAUCAGAGUAAAGCGGAAAUAGAUGAGAAAAGAUUAAGAAAAGUUUAGAAAAGAAUCAGAGUAGCAAAGAAAAGUAGACAAUGGUUGUCCAGUUCUAUCUAGGUUUCGUCCUACAGUCAACAUUCCUCUUAUACCACUUCUGUCACACCCGGAUUUUAGGGGUCCAAAACCCGGGCGCGAACAUAAUCACCAGGUGUGCUGGGACCAAGUCUCACACAUAUGAUGAUUCAUGGCACAAGAUCGAAUGUCACAUCUUUACUACAUAACAGGAGUUCUGUACAAAAUAAAUAAAUAAUUACAUUAUAAGGAGACAACGGUCCAGCAACCCAAAGUUGACUGGGAGACGACAACCUAGACCUCUCACGAACACAUCGCAACAUCCUCCAUGCGCCUCAUCCUGGGGUACCUGUUCUUGACCUGUGGGGGGUGUGAGACAACAAGAGUGAGCUCACAUACGUUCAUCGCUCAACAAGUUGUGGGGAAUAAUGUGAAUGAACUCGCCAAAGGUGGGAGUUCAUGUGAAGUGUAAGGCUUACCAAAGAGGAUGGUUAGAGCUGAGCAUUGCUUUUAAAGUUGGUCAAAAUUUUAUUAGCAAUUACUAAGUAUAAGUAAAUACCAACCCAAUUAAGUAGUAGAACAUAAGUAACAACAUCACCUGCGAUGCAAUGCAUAUGACAAAUUGAGUUUAAGUUCCAUAAAUUAAUCAUGUGAGUGUCCGAGCUGCUCAUGACCGUGAGCACGGCUAGUAUACCAGUUUUACACUCUGCAGAGGUUGCGCAUCUUUACCCACAAGUCAUGUUACCCAUCUGCCAAGGGAUCGCGACUUCCCAUACACCUCUACCGAGGAGGCGAGGCAGGGUAACACUACGAGGCCUUUACAAAGUUCCACUAGCUUCAGAAAACCCGCUACAGUUUAUGGGAAGCUCCAAUGCAGGGUUCUUGCCUGACCGCCAUCGCAGCAAAAUCAACCAAGGACCUCCCUACACUGACCACUCCCCUACUGCCCUUGCCCCUUUCGGGUAAGGUAGUCCUCCACUAGCUUUCCUAAUUAGUCAGCCAAGGGCGUCCAUAAACCCUUGUGGUAGCACUGUUUUCCCGGGUGGUUCUCCAUGUUCCAAUUAACAUAAUGAUCUUAUCAUGAACAGUAAAUAACAACGGAUAACAAAAGUAUAAUCAUGAAUAAUGUAUCUUCAUACCCAAAACCACAUAAAGCACUAGCAAGUACUACCCAAAAAGUUCAGUGGUAAACAAGGUAUAAAGAUAAUCAAACUAGGGUAACCUAUUGGGUCCCAUCAAAAUUAACCUAUGCAGAUCAUUAUGAUUAAUUAGAACAUGAGUGGGUAAAAAGAAGUGAUCAAGGGCACAACUUGCCUGGGACUUGAGAUUCCAGGUACCAACUUGCUCUUCAGAUGACACGUGUCCUCACUGCUAAACGUAUCAAUACAGACAAACAUGGUAUAUGCAAAAAUUAACAUUACACCAAACAUAAGAAUAAACUAUGUGAUAAUAAUCUACGCGCCAUAACGAGAUCGUAGAAACAAGAACCACUAAAUUCGGAGCUACGGUUAUUAAGUUAUGAAUUUUCGAAAUUAUUUAGCACCUAGAAUAGAUUAAUUCAAUUGAGCAAAUUUUAAUUCAAGUUUCAUGGUUAAACAAAGGUACGAGGUGAUAAACAACAUUAAUACAAAAUUAUUGCAACUGAAAUGACUCAAUUUUGAGUUAAAAUGAAUUAACUAUGAAUUAUGCAAGUUUAUGGAAUUAUUUUCAUACUAAAAACCUAUUUCUUUAUUAAUUCCUGAAUAUCCUAAGUGUUCUGGACUGGGCACCAAAUAAAACAAAACUCAGGGUCCAAUCUGUAACAAUUCCCUAGACUCAAUGAUCAUCGCCCACGGACGGCGGGUUGAUUUGUGAGAAGGACAGGGGCUCUUUUACAAAGAGGCUGCGGCGAAAGGGUAUCGGAUAGUACUGGCCGUCCGAUCAGAGAUCUAGGGCUCAAAUUAGAUCACGCGUUAUAUGAACCGGUAUUGAAUAACGGCCACUAGAUCAAGAUCCGAGGGCCCGAGUUCAAUGAAGCCGAAAUCAAUCUCCUCCCAUCGAUGAGCGAUCAACGGUCCACGAUGCUCGAUGCCAAGAAGCCGCCCAGAUCUAAUCAUGUGCGUACACUGUGGAUCCAAUGGCCCAGGCCUAUCACUAAUCUCAUGUCGUCCCGACCUAAUCCAAGCCCUUGAACUGAGAUGAAUGGCUAAGGGAGCAUCUUCCACCUUCCGCCUGCCAGGGCACGGCGGCCAUACUGGUCUUGACGGCAGUCCGUCGCUGUGAUGACAACCCGGCGCAUGGAUUCCCUAAUACGCAAGCUAACCGGUGCAAAAGGAAGCGCGAGCCAUGGCGAAGCUACCCAGGGGCUUACCAAAGACCAAGGCGAAGGUUGGAGAGCCGGCCACGACGAACAGCGGCACGCGGCGGAGCACUAUCUCUGGUGAGCGAAUCGAGCGCUCCGCACGUGGUGGGCAGGGACGGAGCAGACGCGGAGGAGAAGGUUUCUUCCAGAAGAGGUCUGUGGGCUGGGGCUAGUUGCUGCGCUGCCCCAUGAAGGCCAUCUGCAUCAACCCCACGGCGGCCCGCACCGUUCUUCGGUUCUGGUGACUUUUCUCUCACGGCUAGCUACCCCAACUCACUCCAAUGGCUAGAGGAGGCUGCGGACGGGUCUAUAUAUACAUCCAGGCAGCCAAUUUAUAAGGGGGUCCACGGACGAUCGUGUGGCCGAGGACUUCGGCAUCCGUUUCGCUGGAAGGGAUAAGGAGGGAGGCGAUUCUGUCAUUCCGGCCCCACACACCAGACACCGAUUAUCCCAAGUGCGUGCGACAGAGAUAGUGGCGGACGGCGCGGUGGGUUUGUUACGCGAGAGAGAGGAGUCCGACUGGGUCCACAAGAUAUGGGUGAGGUUUGUUACGCCCGAAAGGUUAGGAAACGACGAUGGAAAGAGUCUGGGCGGUCAUUACGUGAUUUCCUGGGUAAGUUUGUUUCGGCCGCCGUUUCUGUUUGAUUCUUCCUUUUUUUGGAGGCUUGCUACGUGAGUUUUCCCUUCUCACGUAGGCAUGCAUGCAUCUCCUGCCAUUAACUUCAAGAACAACACAGAUCGUACUUGCUUUGAAGGAGCAGUUUGUUUGGCCAGAGUACUACGAUGGAAGAAUAAUACUGGAAUGCCUACUUGCUAGGUGGCUCACUUUAUCAAGGGGAAAAAAAUACACACACGUACAUUAAAGCAAACAACAACUUGAUUUAAAGAUGACACAGAACAGAUGCAUGCAAUUAGAGACAAACUAAAAGGGUUUGGCGUUUAAUUAUGCGUCACCGCCGAGGUUUUUUUUAACACUGAUGCCAAGCAUGCGAGGUCCUCAAGAUACUACUACUAUACAGGUCGCACGGAAUGAAUUCAGCCCAUGUGAGUAUUUCUUCUUUUUUUUUCUUUUCUUAAUUCUAGUUUAUUUCCAAAUUCAAGAUUCAAACUAAGCUUAAAUUUCUGGUUUAAACUUUUCAAAUUCCUAAAUAUCAAAUAUGAUCCAAUUAUGAAUAUAAACGCUACUAUUCUCGGUAUUAGUAUUUUUCCUUCAAAUAAAUGCUUCUAGAGGUAAUAUUGGUGAAAGAAACAUUUGUUAAAUUAAAAUAGGAAACUCCCUAUUAUUUAUUUUUCUGAGAUUUGAGAUUAUAAUCUAAAUGUUAUAAGUCCAAUUUAAAUCUGAGUCAUUAACCCUAAUAUUAUUUUUAUUUGUUUAAUCAUUUGGAAGGAUAAAUCGUACAUUUAGAGUCAGUCCCAUUAUAAUUCCUCAAAGAGAGCAAAGUUUCUUCAAACUUUCUCAAAAUGUAUUUUUAGGGUUUACAAUCCCGCUCAUCGGCGACCUGGUCAAACUCCGACUGCCGUCGCUGCACCUCUGCGCGUGCCGCUGCCGCCUCUGCUCCCAGAUCGGCACAGAGCAACCGAAGGUCCGCCACCUCGGCGCCCUGCUAGGAGAGGCGCGCGGUAGCCCUGGCAAGCGAGGUCCUCAGGGAUCACAGCGAACCCCAGACAUCGACCUCGCGGCGGAUGAACGACGACUUGGCGGCUCUCAGAUCCGUUAGAUCCUGAGGGAAGGAAGCGGGGCGUCACAAAGGACGCCUUGAUCAUGAAAAAAGGUAUGCCUGAAGUCAUUACCUAGAGGAUCUUGGGGACGUCCCUGCAAAAGACCUCCAAGGAUGACCGGAGCGACCCCACUGUUGCCUCGGCACACUCGCGGAGCUCGUCCCAAGACUGCUCCUCCCGCUCAUCGUCAAGAACGAAGAAGGGAUCCGAAGCCUCACGGGUCCGGAACCGGAGCAACUGGCGCCGCCCCUUGGAGCUCCGCCGCGUAGGGAAAAGGUUGCCGCUCGGCGGGACGGGUCGCAGUUCCACGCCCCCCUCCUCUGAGGCACCGAGUAGUGACGCCUCGGCCAUCUCAGCGUCGGCGGCGACGGGUUGCUCCAUGGCCAGGACGGCAACGGCUUCGGCAGCAGCCGGCGCCAGCGCCGGCGGCAUGUUUGGUGGGCCCGAGGCCACGUCCGCGCCAGCCACCUCCCCCAGCGCGACGGCCGCCUCAACAGAAGAGCCGGCCUCGGGAACUCGCUCCACGGCAACUGGUGCCGCCUGAGCCCCCCCGCUGUGGGGCGUCUUGCGAGAAGGUCAGCUGAACGGCGAGGCCCGACGCGGCACCGGCUGCGGAAGCCGACGCCGUCUUAAGGACCUUCCGGGGAGCCAGAUCGGUCAGGCCAUGACUCUGCUUGCUGAGGAGGAAAGGAAAGUCAGGGUCGGGACAUACAAAGGAGGAGCUGAGACGAAGACAUUUUAAGGUACUUACCCACUCCGGGCCGUGAUCAACCGUGUAUGUGGGGAGGUCUCUUGAAUCUCGACCCCCGAAGGUACCGCCGAGGUCCGCCUCGCCGCCAGCUUUGGUACCAUCCUCGCCUUGGGCACCCUAGAAGCCCGGGAGACGGACUGCCCAGGCGUCGCCACGGCGACCUGAGGGUCGCCCUCCUGCGCUGCCGGCAGGAGCGACGGUUUUCGGGGAACAGGCACCUCGGCCUGACCCCCGGGGUCACCUCUACUUCCCCAACCGAGGGGUCGAGUACCCCCUCGGUCUGCCCUUGCUCUUCGGGCCGGGACCUCGGCGUCCCGACCCCGGGAACCGACGGCGCCAGCCCGCUCAGGGGCUGGCUUGACGACUCCUGGCCUAGCCUCAAACCCGGGCUGAGGCCAAGGCGGGCAGCCAUGUCGUCAUCUUCGUCAUCGUCUUCAUCGUCGUCGUCGUCGUCAGGCGUUUCCGGCGACGGCUCCCUCGGGAGCCCAUCCCUCUCCUGCCGACGACAGAGCUUUUCCAAGGCGUCUCGGGCCCGCGUCCGCUCACGGGCCCGAGCCUUCUUCGCGUCCUUUUUCUUCUUCUUCUCCUCCGCGGCAACCCGCCGCGCUGCUCGGUCCACCGCAUCCUCCGGGACCCGUGGCCGGGAAGGCUUGUGACACCCUACCUCCUGGAGACAGAUGAAAAGUCUCGGUCGUAAGGACCAAGGGCAAUCCAACGCAAGGAGAAAGAAGGAGCGGACACUCACCAGGGACACACACCCACGGUCGGGACACAUCAAGGGCUGAGAAAGGGCUGGCGUCCGGUUUACCCAACGCGACGGACACCCGCCCGUGGAGGACGUCGACGGGAAGGGGAUCCGAGGACAUCCGCGAGCCCUCCAAGUCAGCCUCUGGCGUCAUCUCCCAAAGCGGCAACCGCCACUCCGCCAAGGGAAGCACCCUCCAACGAUGAAUGGCGGCAAUCACUCCCGCAGCGGUGAGCCCUCCUUUCCGCAACACCUCCAGGGCCUUGAGAAGGGACUCGAGGUUCUUCUGUCUAUCGUGCGGGGUCUCGUAGCGCCAAGCAUCGGCGGCGACGGUCACCACUCGCUGAGAAAACGACAGGAGCCUCCCGUCGUCAUUUCGGAGAUAGAACCACCGGCGCUGCCACCCUUUGUUCGAGGACGCAAGGACGACGGGAAUAUACUGUGACGCCCGCGCCUGCCUCAGCUGGAGGAUGCAGCCGCCGGCCCGCACUGCCGCGCGGACCCUUCUCUCCCCCAUCGGCGAAGCAAAAAGCUCCGCGGAGAAGAAAUGAGUCCACAGGUCCCAGUGAGGGUCGAUCCCCAAGUAUCCUUCGCAAACCGCUGCGAAGAUGGCGGCUUGCGAGAUGGAGUUAGGGCUGAGGUUGUGCAGCUCCACCCCGUAGACAUGCAGAAUCGCCCGCAUAAAGCGGCUUGCUGGCACUCCGAACCCCCGCUCGUGGAAGGAGACGAAGCUCACGACAUACCCCGGUGGCGGGGACGGGGCGGCUCCGCUCGGGGGGGCAUCCACUCCGGCUGCCUCUCAUUAGAGAGAGGGCGAAGUAAACCCUCAGCAACGAGAGCCUCCAGGUCAUCCGCCGUGACUGUGGAGAAAGGCCAUGGGGCGCGCGGCGGAAUAAUGGUCACCCGGUCGGCCAUCACCAAGCAGAGGAGGUGGCGGCGGAAAGGACUGGGUGGGCGGUUUCCUUUUCUCUGGCUAAUCCCUCAGGUUGCAAAAACCUAAGAAGGAGGCAAGCAACAGAGCAAAGAAUCGUCACCGGACCCUCCCCCGAGUAUAUAAAGACCCAGGCGAGACCCGUUCAACACGUCGCCUGAACCCGCCGCGGGAUUCAAAACUCAAAGCGAAACGACCGUUCCUCGAACGGCUCGCACACGCGCAACGGCUGCCCCGCGAACCACUCGCCCCGUCGCAUUAACUCCGCGGCGGGACAGGCGACACCUUUGGCAGGAGGAGCGAGCGACGCUUCACCUUCGCCAUAAUGACCGCGUCAAAAAAGGUGCGCCACGUCAUCUCGAUUUCGUAUUCUUUCCUCUUUCUCUCUCUUACAACAGGGACCGGGAAAGGGGGAUACCCCGAAAGGGAUCCUUCUCCGCGAAGGAAACGGGCCCCGAGCCCCCCUACUGAACAGAGGUUCGAAGGCUGGCCCCUCGAAGGGGUUCAACAGCCGCCUCAGAGCGCUCGGGCUCCACGCCCACUACUGGUCAGAGGUUCGAGGGUCGGCCCCUCGGAAGGGUUCAACGGCCGUCUCAGGCCACUCGGGCUCCGCGCCCACUACUGAUCAGGGGUUCGUAGGCUGGCCCACGAAGGGUUCACAGCCGCCUCAGACACAGAGCGAGGGAUGACCCUGGGUACGUUCGAUACAUAACCAAGGCUCAGGCUACGCUCCCGAGGUACCCUAGGACAUUUCCGAGACCAGCGGGAACGAUCUUGUAACGGAAUCCCAUCAGAGGGAGGCAUCGAGCCCUCGGACCCCGUCAAAAGGGGACCGGGUCCGGCAGAUCACCCGCAGGUACUGUUGGAGCGCGCCUCCGGGCCUCUAGCCGACCCCUAACAAAUGGGGCACGGGCGUCCACUCGGAUUACCCAUCAGCAGCUCACUGGAUACACCAUGUUCGGCGCCCUCCAAGGGCAACAUGGCGCUUUUCCCCCCUCCUCCUUGCGGAAAGGCGACGCAGGGGCGUAUGUAAAAAAGUCGAGUCUGUCCUUGACCGUCCUUUCGCCCUGUGCGGAGGCUCGGGGGCUGCUCUCGCAAACCCGGCUCCUGCCAAACCGUUGACAGCGUCAACAUACCAGCCCGAGAACUUGGGACUCGACCGUGCACCCGGGCUACGACCAGCUCGCAUGAGGGAACAACCAGACCAGCCGAAGCAUUGCGAAAUGCAUUAAGACCUCGAAGGAGUCAAACCACUCCUCCGAGGCCUCGGGGGCUACACCCGGCGGGUGCGCUCGCGCGCACCCACCGGCACAAAACGCAACCGAGAAAGGCUGGUCCCCUUGCAAAAAAGUGCGACAAAAGCCUCCAAGCGAGUAUUAACACUCCCUUCGAGGCUCGGGGGCUACUGUCGGGGACCAUAAUUAGGGGUACCCUCAAGACUCCUAAAUCUCAGCUGGUAACCCCCAUCAGCACAAAGCUGCAAAGGCCUGAUGGGUGCGAUUAAGUCAAGGAUCGGUCCAUUCGAGGGACGCGAUCACGCCUCGCCCGAGCCCAGCCUCGGGCAAGGGCAGCCGACCCCGGAGGAUUUACGUCUCGCCCAAGGACCCCCUCCAGCAACGGACACAGCUUCGGCUCGCCCGAGGCCCAGUCUUCACCAAGAAGCAACCUUGGCCAAAUCGCCACGCCAACCGACCGAAUCGCAGGGGCAUUUAAUGCAAAGGUGGCCUGACACCUUUAUCCUGACGCGCGCCCUCCUGUCGACAGAGCCGAAGUGACCGUAGUCACUUCGCCGCUCCACUGACCGGCCUAACAAGAGGACAGUGCCGCCUGCGCCGCUCUGACUGCUGUGCCACUCGACAGAGUAAGGCUGACAGCAGCCAAGUCCGGCCUCAGGCACCAUAGGAAACUCCGCUUCGCCCCGACCCAGGGCUCGGACUCGGGCUCAGCCUCGGAAGACGACGAACUCCGCUUUGCCCGACCCCAGGGCUCGGAUUCGGGCUCAGCCCCGGAAGACGACGAACUCCGCUUCGCCCGACCCCAGGGCUCGGACUCGGGCUCAGCCCCGGAAGACGACGAACUCCGCUUCGCCCGACCCCAGGGCUCGAACUCGGGCUCAGCCCCGGAAGACGAUGAACUCCGCAUCGCCCGACCCCACGGCUCGGACUCGGGCUCAGCCCCGGAAGACGACGAACUCCGCUUCGCCCGACCCCAGGGCUCGGACUCGGGCUCAGCCCCAGAAGACGACGAACUCCGCUUCGCCCGACCCCAGGGCUCGGACUCGGGCUCAGCCCCAGAAGACGACGAACGCCGCUUCGCCCGACCCCAGGGCUCGGACUCAGCUUUGGCCUCAGCCGACGGUCUCCGCCUCGCCCGACCUAGGGGCUCAGACUCGACCUCGGACCUUGGAAGACAGACUCGACCUCGACCUCGGAGGAGCCUCCACCUCGCCCAACCUAGGGCUCGGACCAACCACGUCGCAGGAGGCGCCAUCAUUACCCUACCCCAAGCUGACUCAGGCUACGGGGAACAAGACUGGCGUCCCAUCUGGCUUGCUCCGCCAAACAAGUAAUGAUGGCGCCCCGCAUGCUCCAUGACGACGGCGGCUCUCAGCCCCCUUACGGAAGCAAGAGGACGUCAGCAAGGACCCGACAACCCCGACAGCUGUCCUUCCGCCAGGCUCCGGCGCUCCUCCGACGGCCACGACACCACACGAACCGGGUGCCAAAACCUCUCCGGCUGCCACGAUGGCAUGUACUUAGGGCACUAGCUCUCCUCCGCUAGACACGUUAGCACACUGCUACACCCCCCCAUUGUACACUUGGAUCCUUUCCUUACGCCUAUAAAAGGAAGGUCCAGGGCCCUCUUACAGAGGGUUGGCCGCGCGGGGAAGGAUGGGACGGCGCUCGCGUAAGGCCGCUCGCUCCCUCCCGCAUGGACGCUUGUAACCCCUUACUGCAAGCGCACCCGACCUGGGCAUGGGGCAAACACGAAGGCCGCAGGUUUCACCUCUCACGCCUGUCUCCCUCCGGCUUCUUCCACCCUUCGUGCUCCGUCUCGCGCCGACCCAUCUGGGCUGGGGCACGCGGCGACAAUUUACUCGUCGGUCCAGGGACCCCCCGGGUUCGAAACGCCGACAAGGAGUGUGGGCUAUGUUGGCAUCAACAGUUUCCCUUAAAUUUUUUUGCAAGUGUGCCAAGAGCUUCGGCAGAGGCAGGAGUUGAUGUCUUCACGGACUCCAAAACAACAUCUAGCACACUAGCCAUUCUCCUUUUCCUUGGAGUCUCUGCGAGGAUGCUUGAUGGCUUCAGCAGUUUCGUUCCGGAUGGUGAACAAAUAAAUAAAUAAAAUAAUAUGGAUACUACAUCACAUAUUGGAUUUUAAUUGUGGUUUGUAUUUUGAAGAUUAAAUGUCAAACCAGAGUCAAAUUUGAAUUUGAAACACAAAAUUGAUUUGGGAAUAUGAAAUUAGAAGAUAGAAAUAGAAAAAGAAAAAAAAAGAAAACUCGCCCCGGGCCGAAACCCUGCCUCAGUCCACUAAAUCCUACCACGGCGGGCCACUCCAGCUAAGGAAAGCGCCGACCGGGGAACCCUGGUUGGCGGCCUCAUCCGCGCGCCAUGUGCUGCUGCGGUGUGGGUCCCGCUCGCCAGCCCUCGAUUCUGUGCGUGCCGCAAGGAGGGUUCGUAGUUUGGUCACUGGUACGUGGUCCCCGCUGGUCAGACUUAUCUCCUAGCUCGCGCGCGUGUCGUUCUCGCCAACUAACUCGUGUGAUCCGCCAGUUGCUGUGGGUUCGGUUGGAGCCCUGGACACCGGGUUGAUCCUCUAUAAAAUCGGACACCGAGCCCUUUCAGAAACCCCCUUCGCAUCUAGCUCAGACUAUUUUCGCCACCAGGAGCCAUGGGGCAGGGAGAUCUACCGUCCACCGCCAUGACUAGGCACGCACACGCCAUCGUGCAGACCUGGCAAGGGCAGUAGGGUAUUCACUGGUAGUCGGGGAUGGUGCACGUUGCAUCAUUAGGCAAAGCACGACGACCUCGAUUGAUGAAUUCCUCACCGGGAUGGAGCUCCACCGUAGGUCUGUCGCAUGUCAUGGCCAUGGCAUUAGCGCUGCUAGAAUCACGAUGAGCAAGCCUUCAAUAGUAUCAUAUCGUUACCCUCUAUGUGAUUACUGCCUUUUAUUGGAGUUCGAACAUGGAAGUCAAACUUGGUUAGAGGUCAGCCAUGGCACCACCAUGGGCACUUUGUGCCGCCAUGUCCGGAGUUGGGGAAGGGAGAGUUGAGGGUGAUGUGGAAGAGGAGCGCUGGCCGCAGGAUCUUGAUCCUUUGAUCGGGACUGGGUACCAGUUCGUGGGGGGAUCCUGGGCAUUGAAGUUUAAUCGAGCAGACAGGAUGGCUGAGGGAGCUAUUUGGAUCGUGGUCGUUGGAUCGUGGAUGAAGAGUGCAAUUAGAUCCCAGGUUAACCAUUCGACUUUUUAAUCUAGGCGGUCGGGUUUAGAUCCGACGGUUGAGAUGUGCCCAUACCCCUUUGUUGGGGACUUGUUCUCAAAUACUAUGAAUGAAGAACAAGGCAACACAAAAUGUUAAAUAUCAAAAAGCCCUUCGUCCUACAAAUCAUUAUUUCCUUUCGGACAUAGUGAAUUUAGGACGAAGGUUAUGAAGGUCAUACCUUCAUAAUCGUAAUAAAAAAUGGAGAACAUUUAAACAAGAUAUAGAAAGUGACACAAUUAUUGUAAAUAUUAUUAUUAAUAUAUUUCUUCUUUUUAUUACUUAUUUGAACAAGAAUAAAUUACAAGUGUACCUUCGAUUUGAAGGAGAAGAGUACAGGCGUGACGCAAAAGUGAAUGCCCAGUCAGCGUGAACAGUACGGGGAUACUGUUCACCUAUUUAUAGGCACGGGUCGCAGCCCAUGCAAAAUUACAUUAAUACCCUUUACAUUUAUCAACAACUCUAUGAUAAUUUUUCGAGGUCUAAUCUGGUUUUUCAUCUUUAAGUCGGUUUCCUUUUCCGCCGCUAUCCCGAAGCUCUUCUACACACAUCUUCGACUUUGUGCCAACCUUCGUGUUCUUUGUGCUUCUUCAUACCGUGGCUCUGAUCCGAGUCCGAAGAUACCUGUUAAUGUACUUUACUCCAGAAACAUUGUUAAAUCAUGUUUUUGAGGUCCUUCGGAAGCCGAAGGCCCCCAACAGUAGCCCCUCGCAAUAUUAAUUUGUUAGAAUGAUAAAUUCAGAUUGCGAAAUGGACGAAGGCUAUGAGCCGAAGGUCCGAAAAACAUCUUCCUCUUGCUAGAAUAGCAACAGUCAUUGGCAAAUGGGACCCUCCAGUCUCCGACAUAAUGGGUUUAUAAAUAGGGGCUCGCCACAAUUUAUUUGGCACGCUCUCUUGCCAUCUGUUUUACCUGCUCAAAUAGCUUUGUGCCUACAAAUAUUUGGUUGCCUCCCUAGUUUUAAGCUUCGGAAGCGAGAGGCAAGAACUCCGAAGGAAUGUCUGAGAAGAAGAAGGUUGCUGCCGAAAUGAAGCUGAGCCUUUCUGAAGAGAUGCAUCUGAGUUUUCUUGAGUCAAUGGCAAAGACGAAUACGGAGAAGAUUACAAGGGAGAUUUUAGAAGGUUUAUCUGAAGAUACUGGUGAUAGUGACAGCUUUGAUGCAGACAGUGGGGGUGAAGAUUCCGAAGAUCGGCCAUGGUGACCAAGCCAUUCAGUCUUCGGAAAAUCAACUAUUGGGCAAAGUCAUCUUGAAAACAUGAAGGGGAGAUACUUUCGAGAUAUGUCCAUUGUGAGAGUAGAUGCCGGAGAAAGAACUGUGCCAACUCCCGAAGAUGAUGAAGUCGUUAUCUUCCGAAGCUUUUUAAAAGCUGGGCUACGAUUCCCUCUAAGCAGAUUCGUGGUAGAAGUUCUGAAAAUAUAUCAGGUUUACCUUCAUCAACUUACCCCUGAAGCAAUAAUAAGAAUGGGAAUCUUCGUCUGGGCUGUGAAGAGUCAGGGUCUAGAGCCAAGUGCGAAAAGCUUUUGCAAUAUACAUGAAUUGUUAUAUGAAACGAAGCCCUGGGGUAAAGAGCAAUAUCAUAACAACUUUGGUUGCUACAACUUCGGCGCUCGCUCUGGAUCAAGCUGUCCCGUGCCCACCUUUCGUAAGAGAUGGCCCGGAGAAUGGAUGAAAGAAUGGUUCUAUGUAAAAAAUGAUUUGAAGGUUCGAGAGGAUAUUAAGGAUGUCAUCAUGUGCCCCAUCUGGCAGCGCUUCGGACUCCGGAAACCGAAGGUAUAAAUGGAUGAAGCAGCCGAAGAAUGCCAACGGGCCUUCGGCGCAGUCUGCUCUUUUAUUGGGACAAGGGAUUUAAUACAAGAACACAUUGCCUUCAGAGUAUGGCCUCUUGCAGAUAAUUGGGAAAUGCCGAAAGAAACUGUUAAAGAAACUUACGAAGGUGGGCUAGUCAGACUGAAGUAUACAUUCAAGUAUGGAGACAAGUUCGUUGAACCAGAUGAUGAUUGGUUAAAGAGCAUUGAGACUAUAAGUGAUGAAUUGCUUGGGAUAUAUUCGAAAGCCGAAGAUACUGCAUUAUCAGCAGCCUUCGGAGGCCGAAAAAAGAAAAGACUGAACCGAGUUUUUGAUGCAAUUGGGUUCGUGUACCCCGACUACCAUUAUCCAGUGCGGGGGCAGAAAAGGAAAGGUACGGCUUUUGCGAAAGAAACUGCUUCAGCUGCUCCUAGCGAGCCAGCGCCGAAGAGAAAAAGGGUGAAAGUUCUCACACACCGGCCACGUUACAUUGAACUAGCCACAGUACCUGAACUCGGCAGUGAAACGUCUUCGGCCCCCAAAGCUAAGGAAUCAACUCCGCUGCCAGGAGCCAAAGAGCUGGCCGAAGAACCAACAACAAAAGAAUUGGAUGAACCAAAGAUUUUGUUACCAGAAACCAAAGAGCUGGCCGAAGUGCCAUCGACAGAAAAGAUGGAAGAAGCAAAAGCAUCAACUAAGGGAGCGAAAAUAUCAGAAAUUUUAAGUCCUUCAGAAGGAAUUGAAGCAGCGAAAAUUAAAAAGGGGCCAACAGUGACCCCAAAAAGAAAAAGAAUGGUUAAUGUAUUAGAUGUUUUGGAAACAAUUAAACUUCCAAGCACAACCCCAGAGAAGACUGCUGAAACUUCUGAGGCGCUUGCUGAAGUAUCCGUUGCUAAGGCUCCGAAGCAACAGACUGAAGUUGAAGUCGGGCCUUCAGAACCAACCAAGGUAAUACCUUUGGUAGCAGAAGAAGCAAAAAUUGCAAAGGCAACUGAAGAAAUGAAAAUGUCAAAGCCUACUUUGGUCGAAGAAAUUGAUACUGCUGUCCCCGAAGCAUCUUCCAAAAUAUAUGAUUAUAUUGUGCAUCAUGCUUCGGGGAAAAAGUUAUCGGAAGAAGUAGUUUUUGAAGCUAAUCACUAUGCCAAAGAAUUGAAAUAUCCGAAGGGGGCACUAGUGUUUAAUGGGACGAACGAAGAAGAUUUCCUAUACUGCCUUCCAGACAAUAAAGAAUUAUCUGUCUGUCGGGAGAUGUCUAGAAGUAUGGGAUUUCCGAAACUCGAAGCUGGAUUAUGUGCUAUGACGAAGGAGGAUCUUGCGGAUAGUCUUGCGUACAAUAGCCUGAAGGUAUGGGAAUUGGAUGCUUACAAAUUUUAUAAUUCGUAACUCAUUUUUUUAUUCUUAUACCAACCUCUUUUUUUUACAUAUAGGGUUUAAUUCUAAGCAACGCAUUGAGAGCACAAAAGAAUGCCGAAGACGAGAGCUAUGAAAUUGCAUUCAACAACCUACGAUCAGAAGUUAUUAAACUGAGAAAUGAAGCUCUGGAAAAGGAUAAAAUUCUGCUUACAUUGGUGGACAAGGUAAAAAAGGACGAAGCUGCCUCAAAGGCCCAGGCCGAAGCCCAAAGACGUGAAAUUAAAGAUCUUCAGAAACAGCUAGCUAGAGCUAAAGAAGAGCGUAUACUUGAAGAAACAAAACGAGAGCUUACUGAUCAAUUGGCCAAUCAUUUAGAGAUAAGUGUUAAAGAGCUUCGUGCAUCCCAGAGAAAAUGCUAUGUUAAAUCCAUAGAGUGCGUCAAAAACAUAAAAUCUAGCUUCGCCAGCGUUGGCGCAUUCUCUAGUGAAGAGAAUUUUUCAAGAGGCAAUCCUGAAGGUCCAAUGGAAUGGAUCAGCCACGAAGCAGAGGCCUUCGAGGAAAUCCUGAAUAGUCGUGGUGACAUCUGCGCUUUUUCGGGUGCUAGGGGGAUUGCUGCUGUUUUGGAGAGGAAAGGCUGCGAGCAUGUAAAAUCCUUAGCGCAGUCCGAAGCUACCUUGUCCUCUGAAGACAUUAAAAACCCCUCACCCGAAGCAAGCAUGGUCGGUGGGAAAUUCUUCACCGAUAUCUGGGAUAACGGCGGUCGAGAAUUGGCGCAAGAAAUUAUUCAAAGGAGUGAAAAAGGCAUCCAUGAUGCUAGAAAAGUAACGGAAGCUGCCGAGAAAAGUACAGAGCCCGAAGGGCAAAUAGGUAUUAAUUAGUGGUUUUUAUCAUGCUGUAAUUUUAAUUCCAGACUCUGUUCUCGGUUUGUAAUAGUAAUAUAGCCGUAUCUUUUCUUCCCUCAGAACCUGCUGAGGCAUCUCCGGGCCCCCACCCGAAGGGGGACGAUGAAAUUAGAAAAAUAGCCGAAGCCAUUAUGGACAAGGUUGUCAACCAACUACUGAAUGAAGCUGCAGAGAUAGUGCUUAAAGAGGAUUGAAUGCCAUUGUAGAAACAUUUGAAACAUAAAAAUGUGUAAUAUAUUGUAACUUUAAAUGUAAUAUAUAAUCUAUUUAUAGUUUAAUUCUUUACGAUGCAUGAAACUUUGCAUACAUACCAUUUUUUGAGCCUUCGGCGAAAAAACACCUUCCCUUCUUUUCAUGCUUCGUGAAGAAAAUCCUUUCUAAAUCACAAGAAUUCGCUUACUUCUCUGAUGAAAAAUGUCCAAGCUUCGUGAAAUAUUUUCCGAAGCUAUAAAAAAGUUUUGUGUUGCAUUUCCGAUGAGGCUACACUUCAUCUCGAUUUGUCUUGUGCCUUAGCACGAUUUUCUCUUUUCCAAAAUAUGUUCCGAAGGUCAACACUGUAUCCCCUUCUUGUUCCAGAUGCAUUAUGCUGUAUGAUGCUUAUGUUAUGCGAAAAUGAUGUGAUGAUGUUAUGUUAUGCAAAAUGAUAUUUGUGCCGCAGAUACAUAUCCCUGUAAUAAAGCACACACACUUUUUAUAUCAGCGCUGACUUUUCGCUGUAAGCCUCCCUUAGGAGCUUCUUCGCCUUUUACUUUCAGCGGAAUCAGCGUUUAUUUUUCGCUGUAAGCCUCCCUUAGGAGCUUCUUCGUCUUUUACUUUCAGCGGAAUCAGCGUUUAUUUUUUGCUGUAAGCCUCCCUUAGGAGCUUCUUCGCCUUUUACUUUCAGCGGAAUCAGCGUUUAUUUUUCGCUGUAGGUUUAGAAAACUUACACUGCGCUCCCUUAGGAACGACUUUUUACUGCUUCGAACAAUUUGUACUGUGUCCGUUAGAUCAAAUUUUUGAUAAUACAAAGGUCCUUCAAAUCAGUAUAAGUUCGUAUGCUUCGGCAACUCAAGCCUAUGGAAAAAACAUAUUUUUAUUAUGGUAAAAGACGAAAGUAUUACAAGGAAUUGAAAUUCAAUAAAAGACAUUAAAACUCUUCAUAAUUGUUCCUUAUUAACAAAAGGGUAAUAAUGAAUGUAGAAAAUGCAAAAGAACUGCUGUUGAGGUAGGAUAUUUGUCAAUAAAUGUGCUUCGACUCUGGCACAGUGCUGUUGACUGUGCGAGCUUCGGACUCCUCUCUGAAAUCCCUCUGAAGAUGAUUGUGCUGACUCCCUUCUGGCUGUUAUCCUCGCUGGGUCGGCGGUGGCGGUGGAGGUUGCUGCCAAGAUGCUUGGGGUUGGCUCGCCGAAGCAACAGAAGCUGCAGGGUGGUUGCCUACAUAUUCUGGAAUAUAAGGUGAGUGAUACGAAGCAGUAUGCAUGACCUGCUUCGGCUGACUCUGUUGCGCUGCUGCUUCCGCUAUUUCCUUCUGCUUCUGGAUGGUAACAUGGCACAUCCUGGUAGUAUGGCCCUUGUCUUCACCACAGAAUAGGCAAUAUAUUUUUCUUGGCUGGUCUCCAAACCUUCCCCCGAAGCCCCUGGCGCCUCUGCCCCUUGGCGCUGGCGGCCGAAAAGAACUUUGCUGUUGGGCCGAAGCUUGUGAAGAGUGUUGUGGCCUUUGCUGCUGGCUCCCUCGAUCAUCAGUUUGAGCAGAGUUAUGGAUUGACCUAAUGUCACACCCGGUUUUAGAAGGCAAACCGAAUGCGAACCAUGUACGUGCCAGGAUCAGUUAUUCACGUACACAGCAGUUACAUAAUAUGGACAUCAUCACAUAGUGCUCAAAAUAGUAUUAAAAAGGGAAAUAGUCGAUUACAUCAUACGUCUGAGACGUCCAUAUAGGUCUUACAAUAAAUCAAAGUGCGGAAAAGAAACGUAGAUAACCGCGGCCUUCACAGGCAGCCGACUGGGGGUUGCCGCUAACCCACACCUAGAACUCGUCGUAAUCUUGGAACUCCUGGAAGUCUCCUUCCACAGCUUCGUCUUCGCCUGAGCAGUGGUUGCAAUGAUGACAACCUGGGGGGGGUUUGGUGUGUAGAGCAAGGGUGAGUACACAUCAACAUACUCAGCAAGUAUCCUGUUUGGCUGUAGUGGACUAGCUUUAUGUGGGGAUAAGUCAAGCAGUUGCUUUUAGUUGGUCAGGUUAUUACUUACUAGUAGAAAGCCAAGUUUUAGCAUUAACCCAAGUUAUUAACCCAAACGUACUCCUUUCCAAACGGAAAGAGUACCACUUACCAGCACCAUAAUCAUAAUCAAAACCAUCAAUCUCAUAUCCACCUGUACCGAGGUAUCUCUGAUCAAGUAUCACUAAUCACUGGAGCUCCCUUGGCCGCUCAUAACCGUGAGCACGGCUGAUAUAUCAGUUUUCAAACACUCUGCAGAGGUUGUGCACUUUACCCACAAGCCGUGAUUCCCUCUCUGGCCCGGGCUUGCAAGACCCUUAUUCACUCCCGAGGUGAAUGGCCAGGGAUUCACUACGAAGCCUUUACAAAGAUUCCCCGGGGCUGUAGCCACCCGUUAGGUUUCCUAAAUGCACCGCACUCCUCCCCAAGGGGCGAACCCAAACUUGGCAGAGCGAGCCGCAUACACCGAGCCCCAUUGACGGCACGACGGCUAAGUGAACUACAUCCCGGAUCCUCUAAUUAUUCAGCUAAGGGCACCCCAUUCCACCCUUAUGGUUGCACUGUUUUCCCGGGCGGUCAUCCAUAGAACAGGUCCUUACGGAGAGGCACUCGAGAAACCGCUCGAGCCCCCUUGAAUACCACAGAUACAACAUCAUCAUAAGAGAAGGGAAAACAGCGUAUCAUAGAUAAUCUCAUCAUGUUCAUUGAUUAGAGGUUGAGCAAUAGCAUAAAGCUAAACAGUAAUAACCCAACCCAGAUAGGUAAACAAGGACAUGGAUAACGAAAGCUAGUCAAUCCUUAGGCAUAAAUGUGUAAAGCGGGAGGUGAAUUAAAUAAUGAAUAGGACAUAGAUAGGUCAAAGGACACUUGCCUCCACCAAACGACUGCUGCUCAGGGGCUUCUCCUGCGAAUUCCUCAGGCUCUUCAACCGGAUCGUUCUCUAUGCGAGCGCAAACAUACAUACAUCCACAUAUUUAAUACAAAAGAACAGUACACCAUACAAGGGAACAUACAAGGGAACAAGUAAAGCGAAUAUGCAUCAAGUAUGACAUUUGACAUUGCAUUUGCUAUGGUUAGAAAGAAACGGGAAAGGGUCUCGCAGGGGGUUAAAUCUUAUGCACUAACGAUCAAUUACAAUUGGUUCUUAACAAAAGAAUUCUGUUACAUAUAACUAAUGGAAACCUAAUCACUUUAAGUUGAUCAACAUUGCACGAGAUAAACAAUUAACUACAUGAAUCAAUUAGCAUAACGGAAUUUUAAAUUAAACUUCCUAUUUCAAUGGCAUGAACAAUGAUUAGCCUACCUAAAAUAAAAUAGUUAUGAUCACAGAAAGUAAAUAAAAUAAAAUAAAAAAAAUAAAAAAAACAGAGGGGGGGGCGGUUGAACCGGCCCUAGGGGCGGUUGAACCGGCCCUGCGCAGGGGGCCCGGCCAAGGGCCAGGCGGGCGGCCGGGGCGCGGCCAGGGGCGCGCGGCCAGGCGGGCACGCGGCCAGGGGCGCGCGGCCAGGCGGGCACGCGGCCAGGCGGCCAAGCGGGCGGCCGAUCCAGGCGGCCGGGCGGCGCGCGGCCAGGGGGCCAGGUGGGCGGCCGAGCCAGGCGGCCGGGCGGGCGGGGCGGUGGCCGAGGAGAGAGGAGGGGAGAGGGGAGAGGGAGGGAGGAGGGAGAGAGGGAGGAGGGGGGGCUCACCGGCGACGGGGACGGGGCGGGGCGGCCGAGCGGGGCGGCCGAUCGGCGACGGGGAGGGGCGGCGCUAGGGCAGGGGGUAGGGGCGGCGGCGGCUUAGGGAGAGGGAGAGAAAAUGAGAGAAAAUGAGAGGGAGGGAGAGAGAAUUGGGGAAAAAGGGAGGUGGGGGGCGGCAUGGGCCAAUUGGGCCCAAGGGGGGGCGCCAGGGGCGGCUGGGCCGGCCGGGGUCGGCCCACGGCGCGGGAGAGAGAGAGAAAAAGAGGAGAGAGAAAGAAAGAGAAAAGAAGAAAGAAAAGAUCUUCUCCUCAUUUUCGAAAUCCGAUCUUUCUACAUGAAUGCAUUUGCACUUUCAAAGCAAUCAAAAGAAAUGCAAGGUUCGGCAUGGUGCAUCAAACAACAUAAAGUAUUUAGGGUUUUUUUCAUCACACGGGAAAUCCAAACCGAUUCCCGCUAGAACUUUGGAAAAGGUCAAGGUUUAGCGAGGGAAAAAGAAAAAGAAAAGGUAACGCCCGAAUUUUGGCGAGUAAAGAAAAGAAAAAAUUCAACUGCAAAAAUUCGGGGCGUUACAAACCUAUCCCCCUUAAAAGAAUCUCGCCCUCGAGAUUCAGGGCUGGCUAGCAAAGAGCUCUGGGUACUUGGCCAUCAAAUCAUCUUCACGCUCCCAGGUUGCUUCUUCCUCAGAGUGGUGAUUCCAUCUGACUUUGCACAUUCUGAUGGUCUUCCUUCGGGUGACUCUAUCUGCAAUCUCAAGGAUUUGCACUGGCUUCUCAACGUAGGUCAAGUCCUCCUGGACUUCCAGACCUUCCACUGGCAACUGCUCUUCUGGCACACGCAAGCACUUCUUCAACUGAGACACAUGAAAGACAUUAUGCACAGCAGACAAAUUCUCGGGCAAACUGAGCUGAUAAGCCACUUCUCCUCGUCUUGCAAGAAUCUGAUACGGACCAAUGUAGCGGGGUGCUAGCUUGCCUUUCACUCCGAAUCUUCUGACUCCUCUGAUCGGUGACACUUUCAGAUAGACAAAGUCUCCGACUUCAAAACUCAGCUCUCUUCUUCUUGUGUCUGCAUAGCUUCGCUGCCUCGAUUGCGCUAUCUUCAGAUUCUCUCGGACCAUCUUGAUGUUCUCUUCGGCUUCAAGCAGAAUGUCUGGCCCAAACACUUGCUUCUCUCCAGGCUGAUCCCAUUGCAACGGAGUUCUACAACUCCUUCCAUAGAGCGCCUGAAAUGGUGACAUCUUCAAACUGGCCUGGUAACUGUUGUUAUAGGAAAACUCUGCAUAAGGCAAUCUCUUAUCCCAUCCGGACUGAUCUUGCAACGCACAGGCUCUCAACAUAUCUUCACGAAUUUGAUUGGUCCUUUCGGUCUGGCCAUCUGUCUGCGGAUGAUAAGCUGAACUAAAAUUCAGAUGUGUGCCCAAAGCUUCAUGCAACUGCUGCCAGAAAUGAGAGGUGAACUGCGUUCCUCUGUCUGACACUAUCUUCUUUGGCACACCAUGAAGACAAACGAUCCGAGACAUAUACAAUUCUGCCAAUACUGCACUGUUGUAGUUGGUCUUGACAGGUAUGAAGUGGGCUGACUUGGUCAAACGGUCCACCACUACCCAAAUGGAAUCGUAGCCGGCUCGAGUGCGAGGCAAUCCGACUAUGAAAUCCAUACCGAUUUCAUCCCAUUUCCACUAAGGGAUCUGCAACGGUUGCAACAAUCCAGCUGGUCUCUGGUGUUCUGCCUUAAUUCUUCGACAACUAUCGCACCUAGCCACAUGCUCUGCGAUUUCCCUCUUCAUUCCGUACCACCAGAAUUUCUUCUUCAGAUCCUGAUACAUCUUCUCACUGCCAGGGUGAAUCGAAUAAGCUAUCUCAUGAGCUUCCUUAAGAAUCAACUCCCGAAUGGGCUGGACAUUGGGAACACACAAGCGGUCUUUGAACCAUAUCACGCCUUCUGCAUCUUCUCGAAAAUCUUUGCCUUUGCCUUCUAGAAUCAAUCGCCGGAUCUCACUGAUUUUCUCAUCAUUCUUCUGCGCUUCUUUGAUUUCGCGCUCCAAGGUAGGUUCCAACUCAACUGUGACUCCUCGCGAAUUGUUCAGAAAUCCGAGACUCAACCUGUCAAACUCUUUGGCCAACUCAUAAGGCAUCGGACGAGCGACCAUCAGAUUGACUUGACUCUUUCUGCUCAAAGCAUCUGCCACUACGUUUGCUUUGCCUGGAUGGUAAUGAAUCUCCAACUCAUAGUCUUUGAUCAACUCUAACCAUCUUCGCUGCCUCAUGUUCAACUCUGACUGAGUGAAUAUGUACUUCAGACUCUUGUGGUCUGUGUAAACAUCGCAUUUCUGCCCAUACAAAUAGUGCCUCCAUGACUUCAGUGCGUGAACCACUGCUGCCAACUCUAGAUCAUGGAUUGGGUAGUUCUUCUCAUGAACCUUCAACUGUCGGGACGAGUAAGCCACAACUCUUCCCUCUUGCAUCAACACACAUCCCAAACCUGUGUAACAAGCAUCGCAAUACACCGAGAAGGGCUUGUGCACAUCAGGCAAGACUAGGACAGGCGUUGUAGUCAACUUCUCUUUCAGCGCUUCGAAGGCCUCUUGACAUCUCUGGGUCCACUUGAACUCAACCUUGUUGCCUAGCAACGCUGUCAUUGGUUUCGCAAUCUUCGAAAACCCUUCAAUGAAUCGCCGAUAAUAUCCGGCCAUUCCAAUGAAACUCUUGAUUCCUCUAGCAUCUGUUGGCGCUUUCCAGUUCAAAAUGUCUGCCACUUUCUUCGGAUCCACAGACAAUCCUUCUUUGUUGAUUAUGUGACCCAAGAACAGGACUUCACUGAUCCAGAACUCACACUUGCUCAACUUUGCAUACAACCGGUGCUCUCGCAAUCUCUGCAACACCAUCCUCAAAUGAUCUGCGUGCUCUUCUUCGCUUUGAGAAUAAAUCAGAAUGUCAUCAAUGAAUACCACCACAAACUUAUCAAGAUAAUCCAUGAAUACACUGUUCAUCAAGUUCAUGAAGAACGCUGGCGCAUUGGUCAAACCAAAAGACAUCACUGUGAACUCGUACAAACCAUACUUGGAAAUGAAUGCUGUCUUCGGAAUGUCCGAAGGUCGGAUUCUGAGCUGAUGAUAACCUGACCUCAGAUCAAUCUUGGAGAACACACUGGCUCCUCUCAACUGGUCGAACAGAUCUUCUAUUCUGGGCAAGGGAUACUUGUUCUUGAUCGUGACCUCAUUCAAAGCUCGGUAAUCAAUGCACAUCCUCUUGGUGCCAUCUUUCUUCUCCACAAACAGGACAGGGGCGGCCCAAGGCGAGGUGCUUGGCCGAAUGUAACCUUUCUCUGACAGCUCAUCAAUUUGCUUCUUAAGUUCAUCCAACUCUGGUCCAGAUAUUCUGUAAGCUCUCUUAAAGAUAGGGGCGGUUCCAGGAAGAAGCUCUAUGGCAAACUCAACUUUCCGCUCUGGUGGCAUACCCGGUAAAUCCUUUGGAAACACAUCUGGGAACUCGGACACAACCUUGAUACUCUCAAUUGGGUCUGCUUCACUGCUAUCGACAGCCAUCUGAUAACAACUUCCUUUCUUUGGCUCGGGCGGGACUAACUCGGUCACCACUUCCUCUCCUAGUGGGGACACCAACUCGAUUGUCCUUUUAUCACAACUGAUAACUGCCUGAUACUUAUCUAGCCAAUUCAUCCCUAGGAUGACAUCUAUUCCCUGAGUACCCAUUACUAUAAGGUUGGCGGGAAAUGCUAUCCCCCUUAUUUUCACACUUAUAUUCAAACAAAUGCUAUCGGCUCGAAUUCUACCACCGGAUGAGUCAAUUUGAAUGGGGGUUGACAUGGUAGUAAUUGGAAGAUUAUGUGCUUCUACCCAUGAUGCAGUAAUGAAAGAAUGCGUUGCUCCAGUAUCAAAUAACACUUCUGCAAUAUGGGAGUCGACUGGGAACAUACCUACUAUCAUGCCGGGGGUCUCCUGAACUGCUUCAGCCUCCAAGUGGUUCAAUCUUCCAUGAUUAUAGCGCGGCUGAGAGCGAUUGCCUGCUCCAGGCUGAGGCACAUUCUGCUUGGCUGGGGCAUUGGGGCCUGACUGCUGCUGGGCUGCCUUCUUCGGACAUUGCAUCACCCAGUGGCCUUGUUCUCCACAGUGGAAACAUGCUCUGUUUCCAACCUGAGCUGGUGCUGCCUGACUGUUCUGCUGAUUUGCUGGGGCAGGAAGGCGAGGUGGCUGCUGAUUCUGCCUUUGAAACUGACCUCCUGACUGAUUGCUCUGACGGUUCUGGUACUGAUUCUGAGGGUACUGCCUUUGAAACUGCUGAUGCUGCUGAGGUGGACGCUGGUUCUGCCUGAACUGCUGAGGUUGAUUGCCUGAGAAACGAGGACGGCUGCUGCUUCCAGGCUGGGGUCCACUGAUCUUGCGCUUACGAUCUUCCAUCUCCUUGCGCUUUCUCUCCGUCAUGAUUGCUCUGUCAAUCAGGUGCUGGAAUGUCGGGAAGGUAUGAUUCAUCAGUUGGUACUGCAGGGGGUCAACCAAGCCUCUCAGAAAACGGUACUGUCGCUUGGCGUCGGUGUUGACAUCUUCAGGAGCAUAGCGAGACAAUUGCAGAAACUUGUCCCGGUACUCACUGACAGACAAGGGCCCUUGCUUGAGGGCCAGGAAUUCCUCCUUCUUCACUGUCAUCAGACCUGCAGGGACAUGGUACUGACGAAAGCUACCUCUGAACUCUUCCCAAGUGAUGGCGUCAGGGUGGGCAUGGGUGGCGAGGUAAGACUCCCACCAUGACUGGGCUGCUCCUCUCAACAGACGGGGACCAUACAGAACUUUCUCCCUGUCAUCGCACUGAGCGGUAUGCAACUCCCGCUCCACAGUGCGCAGCCAAUCUUCGGCAUCCAUAGGGUCAGAAGAAUGAGCGAACGUUGGUGGAUGACCUCUCAUGAAUUCAGCACGCUUGUCUCUUGGCAUCUGAGGCAUCUGAGGCUGAGGUGGAGCCUGCUGUUGUUGCUGCUGCUGAAUGGCGGCCAAAGUCUGACCGAUGGCUUGAACUGCCUGAGUCUGCAUCAGAAACAUCUGUUCGAUGGACAUCGGGGGCGGGGGUGGCAGGUGCUGCUGCUGAGGCACCUCCUCCUGUUGAGCGGCUCGCUCCUGCUGAGCACGCCUUCCUCCUCUGCGCCUGUUCUCUGACAUCUGCAGAAUGCAACCACACAUCAGAACUGAUCUGGCAAAUCUUGCAGCAUAAGGAAAGAGAAUAGAAUUCUUCAACAGCACUGAACAGAUGAGCAUCUUCACUGAUCUCCAACACAGACCACACAGCUUCUCAGAUAGAAAGGAAAGUGGAAUAAAAGGGGUUUCCCAACUAUAUAACUAACUCCAUUAACAUAAUAGGUAAACCAAAAUGCAGGGGAUACCCACACUCUGGUAACAGUCAUUACAAAGAUCCAAACCAAACAUGGUUCAUCAUGACAAACAUAGAUGCACAGGAUAUAACAAACUACCCUGUCUAACUAAGACUAGCUAGGACUGAGACUAACGCUAAGACUGAAGCUUCUACGUAUAUAUUUCGUAUUAAUUACAAGAUCCAACUCUAACGAUCUAUGGUUCUAGAGUUAUCUUGGUCUUGCAGGCGGGAUUGCCAUAAGACUGGUGUCCACGCUGAGGUGAGCGGUACGGGUGCUGAGUCCCAACGGGAGCGGGGGAACCACCAUCCAAGUGACGACGUUCCGCGCGCUCAGCCCGCAGCAGGGCGAUCUCAGCACGAGCCCUACUCAGCUCAUCUAAUGCAUGGUCCAGCUCCGUGUUUAGCACGGCGGCUAGGUUGACUGUGCUGCUCAACCUAGGAUUGCCCUCACCGACAGGUGAGACAAUCACGCCUCCUGUGCUGCCAGAUGGACGGCGGGGGUAAUACUUCAGGUCAAGACCGUCAGCUGCCCCACCGAAAACCGAGCAGUAGUGCGAAAGCGCACGCCGUGCAGCAUCCUGCAUGGCUGCCUCAGCUGAGUCCCGUUCAGAGAUAGAAUAGUGCUCUGAACAGGCCUCCGCACCCUGGAGACUGUUCUCCGGGCAGCGCACCAAGCAAGUUGCCUCCCAGCGGUCCGGGUAGACCCCGCGACUAUGCUGGUAGACCACACAGCGAUACUCGACGGACCAAGUAUGCCGGUCAAAUGCCCGACGUAGCAGGGUGUCGAGCGCAUCGUGGAAGUGACACCCGCGAGCAGCGUCGCGAGUGAUGGGUCGAGCAACCCAUCCUUCCGGCUCAGGAUUAGCAGAGAAGACGGUGUCGUGGCUCGAGCUGUCGUCGCCAUCUCCGUCGUCUGGGUCUCCUCCAGCAGCUACUCCAGAAGCUGGGGCGCCCAGUGGUGGUGCAGGGGGCGGCUCCAGAGGAAGCACAGGGGAGCAGCUCCUCACAGACUCUAUCUCCUGGUGGAGCGAGAAGGAAGAGCUCUGCUGCUCCUGUCGUCGACGCUCCUGCUCCUCACGCAGGCGGUGGUGUAGUCUCUCCAAGUGGCUGGACUGUCCGGCCACGGGACGGCGAAGCGGACGCUCAGCAAGGCGGGAGGGUAAGAAGGGGAUGACUGACUUUCGUGCAGUGUGUCUAAGUCGAGCCAUCUACAAAAGACAUCGCAAGCAAAAGGGUGAGAACAGAAUUAAUAUGACCAGCAAAUAAUGAAUCAUAAGUAAAUGAAGGAUUAGAAUAAAACAUGAUUUUCAGCAAGGUAUGAUAUAUAGUAGAACAUAGGUUUGGUCGGUAUGACCAACUUUUGAAGGGAUAUCAAAGUCAAGGCAGAGACAGAGGUCUAUAGUCCUUAGAACGACCAUUCUACUCUAGGUUAGCGGUCCUACAGUCAGCACGGCUUUGAUACCACUUAUGUCACACCCGGUUUUAGAAGGCAAACCGAAUGCGAACCAUGUACGUGCCAGGAUCAGUUAUUCACGUACACAGCAGUUACAUAAUAUGGACAUCAUCACACAGUGCUCAAAAUAGUAUUAAAAAGGGAAAUAGUCGAUUACAUCAUACGUCUGAGACGUCCAUAUAGGUCUUACAAUAAAUCAAAGUGCGGAAAAGAAACGUAGAUAACCGCGGCCUUCACAGGCAGCCGACUGGGGGUUGCCGCUAACCCACACCUAGAACUCGUCGUAAUCUUGGAACUCCUGGAAGUCUCCUUCCACAGCUUCGUCUUCGCCUGAGCAGUGGUUGCAAUGCUGACAACCUGGGGGGGGGUUUGGUGUGUAGAGCAAGGGUGAGUACACAUCAACAUACUCAGCAAGUAUCCUGUUUGUCUGUAGUGGACUAGCUUUAUGUGGGGAUAAGUCAAGCAGUUGCUUUUAGUUGGUCAGGUUAUUACUUACUAGUAGAAAGCCAAGUUUUAGCAUUAACCCAAGUUAUUAACCCAAACGUACUCCUUUCCAAACGGAAAGAGUACCACUUACCAGCACCAUAAUCAUAAUCAAAACCAUCAAUCUCAUAUCCACCUGUACCGAGGUAUCUCUGAUCAAGUAUCACUAAUCACUGGAGCUCCCUUGGCCGCUCAUAACCGUGAGCACGGCUGAUAUAUCAGUUUUCAAACACUCUGCAGAGGUUGUGCACUUUACCCACAAGCCGUGAUUCCCUCUCUGGCCCGGGCUUGCAAGACCCUUAUUCACUCCCGAGGUGAAUGGCCAGGGAUUCACUACGAAGCCUUUACAAAGAUUCCCCGGGGCUGUAGCCACCCGUUAGGUUUCCUAAAUGCACCGCACUCCUCCCCAAGGGGCGAACCCAAACUUGGCAGAGCGAGCCGCAUACACCGAGCCCCAUUGACGGCACGACGGCUAAGUGAACUACAUCCCGGAUCCUCUAAUUAUUCAGCUAAGGGCACCCCAUUCCACCCUUAUGGUUGCACUGUUUUCCCGGGCGGUCAUCCAUAGAACAGGUCCUUACGGAGAGGCACUCGAGAAACCGCUCGAGCCCCCUUGAAUACCACAGAUACAACAUCAUCAUAAGAGAAGGGAAAACAGCGUAUCAUAGAUAAUCUCAUCAUGUUCAUUGAUUAGAGGUUGAGCAAUAGCAUAAAGCUAAACAGUAAUAACCCAACCCAGAUAGGUAAACAAGGACAUGGAUAACGAAAGCUAGUCAAUCCUUAGGCAUAAAUGUGUAAAGCGGGAGGUGAAUUAAAUAAUGAAUAGGACAUAGAUAGGUCAAAGGACACUUGCCUCCACCAAACGACUGCUGCUCAGGGGCUUCUCCUGCGAAUUCCUCGGGCUCUUCAACCGGAUCGUUCUCUAUGCGAGCGCAAACAUACAUACAUCCACAUAUUUAAUACAAAAGAACAGUACACCAUACAAGGGAACAUACAAGGGAACAAGUAAAGCGAAUAUGCAUCAAGUAUGACAUUUGACAUUGCAUUUGCUAUGGUUAGAAAGAAACGGGAAAGGGUCUCGCAGGGGGUUAAAUCUUAUGCACUAACGAUCAAUUACAAUUGGUUCUUAACAAAAGAAUUCUGUUACAUAUAACUAAUGGAAACCUAAUCACUUUAAGUUGAUCAACAUUGCACGAGAUAAACAAUUAACUACAUGAAUCAAUUAGCAUAACGGAAUUUUAAAUUAAACUUCCUAUUUCAAUGGCAUGAACAAUGAUUAGCCUACCUAAAAUAAAAUAGUUAUGAUCACAGAAAGUAAAUAAAAUAAAAUAAAAAAAAUAAAAAAAACAGAGGGGGGGCGGUUGAACCGGCCCUAGGGGCGGUUGAACCGGCCCUGCGCAGGGGGCGCGGCCAAGGGCCAGGCGGGCGGCCGGGGCGCGGCCAGGGGCGCGCGGCCAGGCGGGCACGCGGCCAGGCGGCCAAGCGGGCGGCCGAUCCAGGCGGCCGGGCGGCGCGCGGCCAGGGGGCCAGGCGGGCGGCCGAGCCAGGCGGUCGGGCGGCGCGCGGCCAGGGGGCCAGGCGGGCGGGGCGGUGGCCGAGGAGAGAGGAGGGGAGAGGGGAGAGGGAGGGAGGAGGGAGAGAGGGAGGAGGGGGGCUCACCGGCGACGGGGACGGGGCGGGGCGGCCGAGCGGGGCGGCCGAUCGGCGACGAGGAGGGGCGGCGCUAGGGCAGGGGGUAGGGGCGGCGGCGGCUUAGGGAGAGGGAGAGAAAAUGAGAGAAAAUGAGAGGGAGGGAGAGAGAAUUGGGGAAAAAGGGAGGUGGGGGGGGCGGCAUGGGCCAAUUGGGCCCAAGGGGGGGGCGCCAAGGGCGGCUGGGCCGGCCGGGGUCGGCCCACAGCGCGGGAGAGAGAGAGAAAAAGAGGAGAGAGAAAGAAAGAGAAAAGAAGAAAGAAAAGAUCUUCUCCUCAUUUUCGAAAUCCGAUCUUUCUACAUGAAUGCAUUUGCACUUUCAAAGCAAUCAAAAGAAAUGCAAGGUUCGGCAUGGUGCAUCAAACAACAUAAAGUAUUUAGGGUUUUUUUCAUCACACGGGAAAUCCAAACCGAUUCCCGCUAGAACUUUGGAAAAGGUCAAGGUUUAGCGAGGGAAAAAGAAAAAGAAAAGGUAACGCCCGAAUUUUGGCAAGUAAAGAAAAGAAAAAAUUCAACUGCAAAAAUUCGGGGCGUUACACCUAACAUGCCUCGGGUGAAAUCUUCCUCCGAAGCCCCUGGUCAUUUCAGAGAACCUGAAUGCUUCCUCCCUCCUUUGGCGGAAGUCAUUGUCAGCUCGAAUAUAUUCGUCCAUCUUUUGGAGCAGCUUCUCCAACGUUUGUGGUGGCUUCCUGGCAAAGUACUACGCUGAUGGUCCCGGCCGAAGCCCCUUAAUCAUGGCCUCAAUGACAAUUUCAUUGGGCACUGUUGGCGCUUGUGCCCUCAGGCGUAGAAACCUCCGGACAUAAGCCUGAAGGUACUCUUCAUGGUCCUGGGUACACUGGAAGAGAGCCUGAGCGGUGACUGGCUUCGUUUGAAACCCUUGGAAGCUAGUUAUCAGCAUAUCCUUCAAUUUCUGCCAAGAAGUGAUUGUCCCUGGCCGAAGAGAAGAGUACCAAGUCUGAGCAACGCUCCUGACGACCAUGACAAAAGAUUUUGCCAUGACUGCCGUAUUGCCACCAUACGAAGAUAUUGUUGCUUCAUAGCUCACUAGGAAUUGCUUCGGGUCUGUGUGACCGUCAUACAUGGGGAGCUGGGGUGGCUUGUAAGACUGUGGCCAUGGUGUAGCCUGCAAUUCUGUUGAGAGAGGAGAAGCAUCAUCAAAAGCAAAGUUUCCAUGAUGGAAAUCUUCAUACCAGUCAUCCUCAUUGUGGAAGCCCUCCUGAUGAAGCUCUCUGCGUGGAGGCCUUCGGCUCUGAUCAUCUUGAACAAGAUGACGAACCUCUUCAGAAGCUUCGUCUAUCUGUCUGUGAAGAUCAGCUAGACGAGCCAUCUUCUCCUUCUUGCGUUGCACCUGUUGCUGAAGGAUCUCCAGGUUUUGGAUCUCCUGAUCCAGGUCAUCCUCUGGAGGUGUUGGACUAACAACCUUCCUCUUCUGGCUUCGGGCCUCUCUAAGAGAAAGAACAUCCUGAUUGGGAUCCAGUGGCUGUAAAGUACCAGCCCCUGUCGCUGAAGCUUUUUUCGGCGGCAUGACGAAGGUGAUGCUUGCCGAAAGUGUUCAAGACUCAAAAAAUGGAAGUGAGUUCACCGGAGGUGGGCGCCAAUGUUGGGGACUUGUUCUCAAAUACUAUGAAUGAAGAACAAGGCAACACAAAAUGUUAAAUAUCAAAAAGCCCUUCGUCCUACAAAUCAUUAUUUCCUUUCGGACAUAGUGAAUUUAGGACGAAGGUUAUGAAGGUCAUACCUUCAUAAUCGUAAUAAAAAAUGGAGAACAUUUAAACAAGAUAUAGAAAGUGACACAAUUAUUGUAAAUAUUAUUAUUAAUAUAUUUCUUCUUUUUAUUACUGUUGGGGACUUGUUCUCAAAUGCUAUGAGUUAAGAACAAGGCAACACAGAAAAUGUUAAACAUUAAGAUCCUUCGUCCUUCGAAGCAUUAUUUCCCUUAGGAUAUAACGAUCUUCGGACGAAGGUCAUGAAGGAUCAACCUUCAUCACUACAAUAUACAUUAAUAAAAGACGAAGCAUAUGAAACAUAAAAGAUAGCGUGAAUAAUCAUAUAACAUUAUUCAUUUAACUUUAUUAACUCAUCAUAAAGAAAUAGAAACAAUAUUGAAUUAUAAAUGUACCUUCGGCUUGGAAGGAGAUGAAAAUACAAGUGUGACGCAAAAGCAAAUGCCAAGUCAGCGUGAACAGUACGGGGGUACUGUUCACCUAUUUAUAGGCACGGGGUACAACCCAUACAAAAUUACAUACAUGCCCUUUACAUUUGGUGAUAAUUCUAUAGCAUUCUAUCGAGGUCUAAAUGGCCUUUUCAUCUUUAAGUCGGUUUCCCUUUUCUGCGAACAUGCCGAAGCUUUCCUGCUUCACAGCUUCGGCACUGUGUCAACCUUCGUAUCUUUUGAGCUUCUCCCUUUCUGAUUCAAGUCCGAAGAUACCUGUUCACACAUUAUACUCCAGAAACAUUGUUAAAUCAUGUUUUUGAGGACCUUCGGAAGCCGAAGGCCCCCAACAGUAGCCCCUCGCAAUAUUAAUUUGUUUGAAAUAAUAAAUUCAGAUUGCGAUAUGAACGAAGGCUUUAUGCCGAAGGUCCGAAAAAACACCUUCCCUUUGCUAGAAUAGCAACAUUCAAUGACAAGUGGGGUCUUUCAACUUUCAACGCAUCAAGCGUAUAAAUACGGCCAUACCGCAAACUUAUUUUGCACGCUUUCUGGCCAACCACUCCUGCUCACUCAUUUUUUAGCUCUUGUGCACUGUGAUCUGCUAAGUUUUUAGCUUUGAAGCUUCGGCUUUUUUAAAAACAGUUUUUUAGCGCUUCCGAAGAUGUCUGAAGCUGCUAAGAAGGCUGCUGCUGAGAUGAAGCUGAGUCUUGAUGAAGAGAAGAACCUAGGGUUUCUUAUAGCGAUGUCGAAGUCCAACACAGAAAAGAUUACCAAGGAAAUUCUGGAGGGGCUGUCUGAAGAUACUGGUGACAGUGAAAGUUAUGAUAUGGACAGCGGUGGCGAAGACUCCGAAGAUCGCCCCUGGCGACCAAGCCAUUCAGUUUAUGGUAAAUCAACUAUCAAAGAGAAUCAUCUUGUUAAUAUGAGAGGAAGGUAUUUUCGGGAUCUGUCCAUUGUGAGGGCGGACGAAGGGGAAAAAACUUGUCCACACCCUGAAGAAAAUGAAGUUGUGGUGUACCGAAGCUUUUUGAAAGCUGGAUUGCGAUUCCCCUUGAGCAGCUUCGUCGUGGAGGUGUUGAAAAUCUUCGAAGUCUAUCUUCAUCAACUUACUCCCGAGGCAAUUAUAAGGCUAAAUAUCUUCGUGUGGGCCGCGAGGAGUCAAGGUCUGAAGCCUGACGCAAGAAGCUUUUGUAAUGUUCAUGAAUUAUUAUAUGAAACAAAGCCUUGGGGCAAAGAACAGUACCAUAACAACUUUGGCUGCUACAGCUUCGUUUCUCGGUCCGGGGCAAGCUGUCCCGUACCAACCUUUCGGAAGAGAUGGCCCGGGGAUUGGAUGACAGAAUGGUUUUAUGUGAAGAAUGACUUAUCAGCACGAGAAGACAUCAAAGGUAUAAUUAUGCGUCCUAUUUGGCAAAGCUUCGGCCUUCGGAGGCCGAAGGUUGAAAUGAACGAAGCCGCCGAAGAGUGCCAAAGAGCCUUCGGCGUUGUCUGCUCUUUUAUAGGAACAAGGGACUUAGUACAAGAACAUAUCGCCUUUAGGGUGUGGCCGCUUGCUGAGAAAUGGGAAAUGCCACAAGAAACCAUAAAAGAGGCCGACGAAGGUGAGCUUGUGAGACUGAAGUACACCUUCAAAUUUGGAGAUAAAUUUAUUGAGCCAGAUGAUGAGUGGUUGAAAAGCAUUGACAAUUUAAGUGAUGAGCUACUCGGGACCUACUCGAAGGCUGAAGAUAAUGCAAUGUCAGCAGCCUUCGGAGGCCGAAAAAAGAAGAGACUGAAUCGGGUAUUUGAUGCCAUUGGGUUUGUCUACCCUGAUUACUGCUAUCCCAUUCGAAGGCAGAAGAGAAAAAACACAAUCUCUGCAAAAGAAGAAGCUGCAGCUGCUCUUAGCGAGCCAGAACCGAAAAGGAAAAAGAUAAAGGUUCUUACGCAACGGCCGCGUUAUAUUGAACCAGCUUCGGUGUCGGAGUUUAUCGGGAAAACUUCUUCAGCCACCGAAGCUGAAAAACUAAUCGAGCCAGCCUUGUUGCCAGAGAUCGCAGAAACGGCCGAAGUGCCACCAAAGAUAGAAUCAGAACAAUCAAACAUUUUGUUGUCAGAAACAAAAGAGAAAACCGAAGCGCCGCUCACAGAAAAAAUUGAAGAGGUAAGAGAAGCAACUGAGGGCUCCAAAACAUCAGAAGUUUUGAGUCCUACAGCAAUCAUUGGGACAGCAAAAAACCAAAAGGGGCCAUCAGUGACCCCAAAAAGGAAAAGAAUGGUAAAUGUACUAGACGUCUUGGAGACAAUUAAGUCUUCAAGCACAAUUCCAAAAAAGAGUGUUGAAGUUGCUGAAGCUUCUACUGAAGCUUCGGCUCAACAAGUUGAAGCUGAAGCUGGGCCUUCAGAGCCCUUCAAAGAACAACCUUUUGAAGCCGAAGCAGUAAAAAUUCCGGAACCAAUAUUAGUUGAAGAAACGGACACCGUCAUCCCCGAAGCACCUGCCGGCAUGCAUGAUUACAUCAUACGACAUGCUUCGGGGAAAAAGCUAUCUGAGGAAGAAACUCAUGAGGCCAACCAUUAUGCGAAGGAGCUGAAAUAUCCGAAGGGGGCAGUAAUAUUCAAUGGAACAAAUGAAGAUGACUUCUUAUACUGCCUGCCUGAUAACAAAGAGCUAUCCGUCUGCCGAGAGAUGGCGAGAAGCAUAGGCUUUCCGAAGCUUGAAGCUGGGUUAAGUGCCAUGACGAAAGAGGAUCUCGCAGACAGCCUCGCGUACAACAGCCUGAAGGUACGGGAAUUAAACACUUGAGAAAAAACCCCCUAUUUUUUUUUACGCAACUCAUUCCUUUUUUCUUAUAUGAAUUCUUUUUUCAUAUAGGGCCUGAUCCUAAGCAACGCAUUAAGAGCGCAAAAGAGCGCCGAAGAUGAAAGUUAUGAAAUUGCGUUUAAUAAUUUACGCUCCGAAGUUAUCAAACUGAGAAACGAAGCUUUGGAAAAAGAUAAGAUUCUGCUUACACUGGUAGAUAAAGUGAGAAAAGACGAAGCUGCUUCAAAGGCCCAGGCCGAAGCUCAAAAACUCGAAAUUAAAGAUCUUCAGAAACAGCUGGCCAGAGCCGAAGAGGAUCGCGCUCUUGAGGAAACGAAACGAGAACUUAGUGAUUUUAUGGUCAGCAAAUUGGAAUCAAGAGUUAAGGAGCUUCGCACAUCUCAGGGGAAAUAUUAUGUGAAAUCUGUAGAAUGUGUUAAUAAAAUUAAAUCCAGCUUCGCCAGCGUAGGCGCUUUUUCCAGCGAAGAGAAUUUCUCUCGAGGCAAUCCCGAAGGUCCGCUGGAAUGGAUUAGCCACGAAGCAGAGGCCUUCGAAGAGAUUCUGAACAGUCGUGGCGACAUAUGUGCUUUUUCGGGCGCCAGAGGAAUUGCUUCCGUCUUAGAGAAGAAAGGUUGCGAACAUGUAAAAUUUUUAGCUCAAUCCGAAGCUACCUUAUCUACCGAAGACAUCAAGGACCCCUCGGCCGAAGCGAGCGCAGUUGGAGGCAAAUUUUUUACUGAUAUCUGGAACGACGGCGGCCGAGGAAUGGCGCGAGAGAUCAUUGAAAGAAGCGAAAAAGGCAUUCACGAUGCUAGAAGAGUAGCAGACGCUGCCGAAAGGAGUAGGGAGCCCGAAAGACAGUUAGGUACCAACUAGUCGUUCUUGUUGCGUUGUAAUUUUCAUUUUAAACUUUGCUCGCGAUUUGUAAAAGUACUGAAGAAGUGUUCUCUUCGCUCAGAAACUGUUGGACGAUCUGCCGACCCCCACACAAAAGGGGAUGAAGAAAUUAAUCAAAUGGCCGAAACUAUCAUGGACAAGGUUGUUGACCAACUUCUGAAUAAAGCCGCCGAAGCAGUAUUGAGGGAAGAUUAGGUGCUAUUUGGAAAAAACAUUUAAAGUGUAAUCUAUGCAACACUUUGUACAUUUGAAUGUAAUAUACAAGUCUCUUUUCAUUAUUGAAUUCUUUACGAUGCAUGAAACUUUAAAUACAUACCACUUUUGAGCCUUCGGCGAAAAAACACCUUCCCUUCUUUUCAUGCGUCGUGAAGAAGAUAGCCUUCGUCAAAAUUAUUCUGAUGAAUGACAUCGAUGCCUCGUGAAAACAUUUUCCGAAGCUAUUUUCCGAAGCUAUGCAACUUUGAUAUUGAUCUGAUAAAGUUCGCCCAUGUUUCGUGAAAAUAUUCCCCGAAACUGUAUUCCGAAGCUAUACAAUUUCAAUGUCACUUUUUCAAAGCAUCCCUUCGAAGGUUGAGAGUGUCCCCUUCUCUUGCCAAAUGCGAUAUGAUGUAUGAUGCUUAUGCUAUGCAAAAUGAUGUGAUGAUGUUAUGUUAUGCAUGUGACAUUUGUUCCGAAGAUACACAUAAAAUAUAUUCGUAAGCUCUGCAUUCCCUUAGGAACGUCUUUGGAGCUUCUUCGUCUUUUACUUAGACGGCAUCAGCGUUGACUUUUCGCUGUAAGCCUCCCUUAGGAGCUUCUUCGUCUUUUACUUAGACGGUAUCAGCGUUGACUUUUCGCUGUAAGCCUCCCUUAGGAGCUUCUUCGUCUUUUACUUAGACGGUAUCAGCGUUGAUUUUUCGCUGUAGGCUCUGCAUUCCUUUAGGAACGACUUCUGAGCAGAAAACUUACGCUGCGCUCCCUUUGGAACGACUUUUUGUGACUUUAUAAACUUACUCUGCGUUCCUUAGAACGACUUUUUGUUACUCCGAAGGAUUUUUAGUCCGAAGGUCCUUCUUGGUAACGGAAGAAAUUUUAGGCUUCGGCAACUUAGGCCUGUGAAUCAAAUAAAUUUUUCUCGUGGAAACAACGAAAUUAUUACAUGGAAACUAUCAAUGUUCUUUGCUUCACAGAAAAUAAAACUGAAUAGAAAAGACUGCUAUCAAAGGUAGGAUAUGUCAAUAAAUGUGCUUCGACUCUGGCACAGUGCUGUUGACUGUGCGAGCUUCGGACUGUUCUCUGAAGUCCCUCUGCUGUGGAGCGUAUUGACUCCCUUCUGGCUGUUGACCUUGCUGCAAUGGAGGUGGAGGCGGAAGCUGCUGCCAGGAAGCUUGAGGUUGACUUGCCGAAGCUACAGAAGCCGCAGGGUGGUUGUCUAUGUAUUGUGGGACAUAAGGCGGAUGAAACGAAGCAGUAUGCAUAACCUGCUUCGACUGAGCUUGUUGAGAUGCAGCUUCGGCUAGUUCCUUUUGCUUCUGGAUUGUAACAUGGCACGUCCUAGUGGUGUGGCCCUUGCCCUCUCCACAGAAUAGGCAAAACAGUCUCCUUGGCUGAUCUCCGAAUCUUCCGCCGAAGCCCCUGGCGCCUCUGCCUCUUGGAGCUGGUGGCCGAAAGGAAGUUUGUUGUUGCCCCGAAGCCUGUGAGGAGCACUGCGGCCUGUUUUGCUGACUCCCCUUAUCAUCAUUCUGAGUGCUGUGAAUGGAACGGACAUGCCUCGGGUAGUAUCUUCCUCCGAAGCCCCUGGUCAUCUCAGAAAAUCUGAAGGUCUCCUCCCUUCUUUGGCGAAAGUCAUUGUCAGCACGAAUGUACUCAUCCAUCUUUUGGAGCAAUUUCUCCAAGGUCUGAGGAGGCUUCCGAGCAAAGUAUUGAGCUGCAGGUCCAGGACGAAGCCCCUUGAUCAUGGCUUCGAUAACGAUUUCAUUGGGCACCGUUGGUGCCUGCGCCCUCAAUCGUAAGAACCUUCGGACAUACGCCUGAAGGUAUUCUUCGUGAUCCUGAAUACACUGGAAGAGAGCUUGAGCUGUAACCGGCUUCGUUUGAAAUCCUUGAAAGCUGGUCAGUAACAUAUCCUUCAACUUCUGCCAUGAAGUGAUUGUUCCUGGCCGAAGGGAGGAAUACCAGGUCUGAGCAACAUUCCUGACGGCCAUGACAAAAGACUUCGCCAUGAUUGCAGCGUUGCCCCCGUACGAAGACACUGUUGCUUCGUAGCUCAUCAAGAAUUGCUUCGGGUCGGAGUGGCCGUCAAACAUGGGGAGCUGGGGUGGCUUAUAGGAUGGAGGCCAAGGAGUAGCCUGCAGCUCAGCAGACAGAGGAGAAGCAUCAUCAAAAACAAAAUUUCCCUGAUGGAAAUUAUCAUACCAGUCGUCUUCGUUGACGAAGCCCUCCUGAUGAAGGUCUUUCUGAUGAGGCCUUCUGUUCUGCUCAUCGUGAGUGAGAUGGCGAACUUCCUCAGAAGCUUCGUCAAUUUGCCUUUGCAACUCAGCUAGGCGGGCCAUCUUCUCCUUCUUCCUCUGCACUUGUUGAUGUAGCAUCUCCAUCUCUCUGAUUUCUUGGUCUAGCUCUUCUUCCUCAAGCGUCGGGCUGACGGCUUUUCUCUUCUGGCUUCUGGCCUCCCGAAGAGAGACGGUCUCCUGGUUGUGGUCCAGCGGUUGUAGUGCUGCAGCCCCAGCCGCUGAAGCUUUCUUCGGCGCCAUAGCGAAGGUCUAUAGCUUCCGAAGGUGUUCACGAAGACUCGAAGUGGAAGUGAGUUCACCGGAGGUGGGCGCCAAUGUUGGGGACUUGUUCUCAAAUGCUAUGAGUUAAGAACAAGGCAACACAGAAAAUGUUAAACAUUAAGAUCCUUCGUCCUUCGAAGCAUUAUUUCCCUUAGGAUAUAACGAUCUCCGGACGAAGGUCAUGAAGGAUCAACCUUCAUCACUACAAUAUACAUUAAUAAAAGACGAAGCAUAUGAAACAUAAAAGAUAGCGUGAAUAAUCAUAUAACAUUAUUCAUUUAACUUUAUUAACUCAUCAUAAAGAAAUAGAAACAAUAUUGAAUUAUAAAUGUACCUUCGGCUUGGAAGGAGAUGAAAAUACAAGUGUGACGCAAAAGCAAAUGCCAAGUCAGCGUGAACAGUACGGGGGUACUGUUCACCUAUUUAUAGGCACGGGGUACAACCCAUACAAAAUUACAUACAUGCCCUUUACAUUUGGUGAUAAUUCUAUAGCAUUCUAUCGAGGUCUAAAUGGCCUUUUCAUCUUUAAGUCGGUUUCCCUUUUCUGCGAACAUGCCGAAGCUUUCCUGCUUCACAGCUUCGGCACUGUGUCAACCUUCGUAUCUUUUGAGCUUCUCCCUUUCUGAUUCAAGUCCGAAGAUACCUGUUCACACAUUAUACUCCAGAAACAUUGUUAAAUCAUGUUUUUGAGGACCUUCGGAAGCCGAAGGCCCCCAACAAUUACUUAUUUGAACAAGAAUAAAUUACAAGUGUACCUUCGAUUUGAAGGAGAAGAGUACAGGCGUGACGCAAAAGUGAAUGCCCAGUCAGCGUGAACAGUACGGGGAUACUGUUCACCUAUUUAUAGGCACGGGUCGCAGCCCAUGCAAAAUUACAUUAAUACCCUUUACAUUUAUCAACAACUCUAUGAUAAUUCUUCGAGGUCUAAUCUGGUUUUUCAUCUUUAAGUCGGUUUCCUUUUCCGCCGCUAUCCCGAAGCUCUUCUACACACAGCUUCGGCUUUGUGCCAACCUUCGUGUUCUUUGUGCUUCUUCAUACCGUGGCUCUGAUCCGAGUCCGAAGAUACCUGUUAAUGUACUUUACUCCAGAAACAUUGUUAACUCAUGUUUUUGAGGUCCUUCGGAAGCCGAAGGCCCCCAACACCCUUCGACCUGGCAAAAUCACUAAAGAGACCCUGGACUUUAUAAUAACUAACCCACCAUCCAGUCCAAGUGGGAAGUAAUUACAGAUAGAUACGAUUUUAUUCAAAAUAGACCCUGACUUUCUAGAAAGUAGAACCCAUAGUACAUAUAAGCUCUGCAAUUUAUAAAAUAAAUCUGAAAAUUGAUUUUUAAUACAAAAAUAAUUCCAGAAACUUGUAUAAUUCAUAUUUAAUUAAUUUUAACUCCAAAUUGAUCCAGUCCAGUGGCAUUAAUUUUGUUUCAAUGUUGUUUAUCACCUAGUAACUCUAUUUAGCCAUGAAACUUGGAUUAAAAGUAAGCAAUAGAAACUUCAGAAAAUCAUAACUCGAUAACCGUAACUCCGAAUUUAGUGAUUCUUGUUCCUAUGAUCUCGUUACAACAUGUAGAAUAUUCUUACGCAUUUUGUUCUUAUGCUUGGUGUAUUGUUAAUUUUUCCUAUGCCAUAUUUGUUUGUAUUGCUACGAUUAGCGCGAGGUUACGAGCCACCUGAAGAGCAAGUUGCUACCUGGAAUCUCAAGUCCUAGGCAAGUUGUGCCUUUGAUAACUUCUUUUUACCUAAUCAUGUUCUUAUUAAUCAUAAUGAUCUAUAUAGGUUAAUUUUGAUGGGAUCCAAUAGGUUACCCUAGUUUGGCUAUCUUUAUACCUUAUUUACCACUAAAUUUUUGGGUAGUACCUGCUAUUGCUUUAUGUGGUUUUGGGUAUAGAGAUAUACAUUAUUCAUGGUCACACUUUUAUUAUCAGUUGCUAUUUACUGUUCAUGAUAAGAUCAUUAUGUUAAUUGGAACAUGGAGAACCACCCGGGAAAACAGUGCUACCACAAGGGUGGUAUGGGACGCCCUUGGCUGACUAAUUAGGAAAGCUAGUGGAGGACUACCUUACCCAAAAAGGGCAAGGGCAGUAGGGAGUGAUCAGUGUAGGGAGGCCCUUAGGUUGAUUUUGCUGCGAUGGCGGUCAAGCGAGGGGUCCCUGCAUUCGAGCUUCCUAGAAACUGUAGCGGGUUUUCUGAAUCUAGUGGAACUUUGUAAAGGCCUCGUAGUGUUACCCCGCCUCGCCUCCUCGGUAGAGGUGUAUGGGAAGUCGCGAUCCCUUGGCAGAUGGGUAACAUGACUUGUGGGUAAAGAUGUGCAACCUCUGCAGAGCGUAAAACUGGUAUAAUAGUCGUGCUCACAGUCAUGAGCAGCUCAGACACUCACAUGUUUAAUUUAUGGAAUUAAAUUCAAUUUGUCAUUUGCAUCACAUUAGGAUUAUUUAUUAUUUUGUUCUACUACUUAAUUGGGUUGGUAUUUACUUAUACUUAGUAAUUGCUAAUAAAAUUUUGACCAACUUUAAAAGCAAUGCUCAGCUCUAACCAUCCUCUUUGGUAAGCCUUACACUUCACAUGAGCUCCCACCUUUGGCGAGUUCAUGCACAUUAUUCCCACAACUUGUUGAGCGAUGAACGUAUGUGAGCUCACUCUUGCUAUCUCACACCCCCACAGGUCAAGAACAGGUACCGCAGGAUGAGGCGCAUGGAGGAUGCUGUGACGAGUUCGUGAGAGGUCUAGGCCGUCGUCUCCCAGUCAACUUUGGGUUGCUGAAUUAUUGUCUCCUUAUGAUGUAAUUAUUUAUUUAUUUUGUACAGAACUCCUAUUAUUUAGUAAUGGUGUGACAUUCGUUUCUGUACAAUGAUUCAUCAUAUGUGUGAGACUUGGUCCCAGCACCCUAGUGAUUAUGUUCACGCCCGGGUUUUGGACCCCUAAAAUACAGGUGUGACAGAAGUGGUAUCAGAGGAAUGUUGACUGUUGUACGAAACCUAGAUAGAACUGGAUAACCCAUAUCUACUUACCUUUUCUACUCUGAUCCUUUCUAAACUUUUCUUAAUCUCUUCUCAUCCACUGCUGCUUUACUCUGAUUACUCUUAUCUUAUCUUUUCUAAAGACAAAGGUGGAUUUCACACUUUGAAAUCCUGCACCUAAAGUGACUUCUAGGAAUAGGAGACCUACUCUUAGGAACAAAAACAAAAUUAUUUUUUAUAUAUAGUUAUCUAUGAACUUGAAUGUUUAUUCUUAUGAUACUUGUCUGAUUUGGAUCUUUGAUUGAGUGUGAUGAGUUGUGGAGUAAUGUCCACAAUUACAUCUGCAUAUACAUAUAGGAAAAAAAUUGUUUAUAAGAUAAACUAGACCAAUUAAGAAUACCACCACUGGAAUAUAUCAAGCCUAAUGGAUCCAUCUUAUCUUAAAAGACUCUCUCUUAUCUUAAUAGAUCCAUCUUAUCUUAAAAGAUUCUCUCUUAUCUUAAUAGAUUCAUCUUAUCUUGAAAGAUUCGUCUUAUCCUAACAACUUUACUUAUCUCAUCCUAAAGUAACAAUUAGGAUCUAAUCCAAAAUAAUGAGAUCUUAGCUAGUCUAAUCUAGUAACACAAAUAUAACUUAGAUCUGAUCUAAUGUGAUAGAUUAAUCUAACCUAACGAAGGAUAAAAUGGAGCUAAUCUAAUGCAAGUUGCUUAACAAGAAGGAUAAUACUAAUGAAAUAAAUGAGACUCUACUCCUAUAAAAUAUGUGUUAACUUAAUUUACUCUGCAGUAAGUUAAGAAUGACAGACCAACUCGGCCUUAUGUAACUACCUCAACCAUUCGAUGGUUGCAUAGCCCCUCUGUUUCAAUCUAACAGAAAUGUUGAUCUACCUACACCAUAUAAUCCAUCCUAUCUCAAAAGAUUCUAACAUAUUCUAAUAAUAUAUAUUCUACCCAAGUAGAUCUAUCUAACCCAAACUAGUCUAUUCUAGUCGUACCCAAUCCUAUCUAAUCUAUCAUCAAACCUAAUGUGAAUCCCUCAAACAUGAUUAGCUAAUCCUGAGGAAAUACAUUAGACCCUUCUCCUAUAAACAAGUUUGAGAUCUUAUAUCAACCUGACCCUGCCCAAUAACUUGACCUACAAAAGCAGGUCACAUAACUAAUCCCAUCUAGCAUAUAGCUACCUACUAAACCCUCUACCCAUCUGUUACCUACAGAUCUAUCUUGACCUCUUGUCCCAAACCCGAGGGGUGACACCCAAGCUCAAGAAGGAAAAGAUCAAUCUCAUUAAAGAAGAAUAGGAAUCAAGCUAGACCCCCCAAAGGAAGCUCGAUUAUGCCAUAGUACACUCAUUUUAUGUCAACACUCACCUAAUAGUUAAAACCUGAUGUACCCUUGUUUUCUAUGCCACACCUGCUAAUGGCAUGAAAAUUUUAGGUGUAUAAAAAUACUAAUUGGAAGUUCCACUUAGAAAAAAAGAGAUACUAGAAUUUCAUAGAGGUAAAGUCAGCUUGAUAUGCUUAACUAAAUGAUAUUCUUAAAUAAGAUUAUAUAAUCUAAUGUGAUCUAAUCUAGUGUGAUCUGAUCUAAUGUGGUCUACUUAAAUAGAUUAAUGAUUCUGGUAGAAGAGAUUGAACCCUACUAGCCAGGUGUUAACUUAACUCAGUACAUUAGACCAACUCAGUCACAUGCAUGAGAUCUGACCCAAUGUCACACCCGGUUUUAGAAGGCAAACCGAAUGCGAACCAUGUACGUGCCAGGAUCAGUUAUUCACGUACACAGCAGUUGCAUAAUAUGGACAUCAUCACACAGUGCUCAAAAUAGUAUUAAAAAGGGAAAUAGUCGAUUACAUCAUACGUCUGAGACGUCCAUAUAGGUCUUACAAUAAAUCAAAGUGCGGAAAAGAAACGUAGAUAACCGCGGCCUUCACAGGCAGCCGACUGGGGGUUGCCGCUAACCCACACCUAGAACUCGUCGUAAUCUUGGAACUCCUGGAAGUCUCCUUCCACAGCUUCAUCUUCGCCUGAGCAGUGGUUGCAAUGCUGACAACCUGGGGGGGUUUGGUGUGUAGAGCAAGGGUGAGUACACAUCAACAUACUCAGCAAGUAUCCUGUUUGGCUGUAGUGGACUAGCUUUAUGUGGGGAUAAGUCAAGCAGUUGCUUUUAGUUGGUCAGAUUAUUACUUACUAGUAGAAAGCCAAGUUUUAGCAUUAACCCAAGUUAUUAACCCAAACGUACUCCUUUCCAAACGGAAAGAGUACCACUUACCAGCACCAUAAUCAUAAUCAAAACCAUCAAUCUCAUAUCCACCUGUACCGAAGUAUCUCUGAUCAAGUACCACUAAUCACUGGAGCUCCCUUGGCCGCUCAUAACCGCGAGCACGGCUGAUAUAUCAGUUUCAUAACACUCUGCAGAGGUUGUGCACUUUACCCACAAGCCGUGAUUCCCUCUCUGGCCCGGGCUUGCAAGACCCUUAUUCACUCCCGAGGUGAAUGGCCAGGGAUUCACUAUGAAGCCUUUACAAAGAUUCCCCGGGGCUGUAGCCACCCGUUAGGUUUCCUAAAUGCACCGCACUCCUCCCCAAGGGGCGAACCCAAACUUGGCAGAGCGAGCCGCAUACACCGAGCCCCAUUGACGGCACGACGGCUAAGUGAACUACACCCCGGAUCCUCUAAUUAUUCAGCUAAGGGCACCCCAUUCCACCCUCAUGGUUGCACUGUUUUCCCGGGCGGUCAUCCAUAGAACAGGUCCUUACGGAGAGGCACUCGAGAAACCGCUCGAGCCCCCUUGAUAACCACAAGCAUACAUCAUCAUAAGAUAAGGGAAAACAGCGUAUCAUAGAUAAUCUCAUCAUGUUCAUUGAUUAUAGUUGAGCGAUAGCAUAAAGCUAAACAGUAAUAAUCCAACCCAGAUAGGUAAACAAGGACAUGGAUAACAAAAGCUAGUCAAUCCUUAGGCAUAAAUGUGUAAAGCGGGAGGUGAAUUAAAUAAUGAAUAGGACAUAGAUAGGUCAAAGGACACUUGCCUCCACCAAACGACUGCUGCUCAGGGGCUUCUCCUGCGAAUUCCUCGGGCUCUUCAACCGGAUCGUUCUCUAUGCGAGCGCAAACAUACAUACAUCCACAUAUUUAAUACAAAAGAACAGUACACCAUACAAGGGAACAUACAAGGGAACAAGUAAAGCGAAUAUGCAUCAAGUAUGACAUUUGACAUUGCAUUUGCUAUGGUUAGAAAGAAACGGGAAAGGGUCUCACAGGGGGUUAAAUCUUAUGCACUAACGAUCAAUUACAAUUGGUUCUUAACAAAAGAAUUCUGUUACAUAUACACUAAUGGAAACCUAAUCACUUUAAGUUGAUCAACAUUGCACGAGAUAAACAAUUAACUACAUGAAUCAAUUAGCAUAACGGAAUUUUAAAUUAAACUUCCUAUUUCAAUGGCAUGAACAAUGAUUAGCCUACCUAAAAUAAAAUAGUUAUGAUCACAGAAAGUAAAUAAAAUAAAAUAAAAAAAAUAAAAAAAACAGAGGGGGGGCGGUUGAACCGGCCCUAGGGGCGGUUGAACCGGCCCUGCGCAGGGGGCGCGGCCAAGGGCCAGGCGGGCGGCCGGGGCGCGGCCAGGGGCGCGCGGCCAGGCGGGCACGCGGCCAGGGGCGCGCGGCCAGGCGGGCACGCGGCCAGGCGGCCAAGCGGGCGGCCGAUCCAGGCGGCCGGGCGGCGCGCGGCCAGGGGCCAGGCGGGCGGCCGAGCCAGGCGGCCGGGCGGCGCGCGGCCAGGGGGCCAGGCGGGCGGGGCGGUGGCCGAGGAGAGAGGAGGGGAGAGGGGAGAGGGAGGGAGGAGGGAGAGAGGGAGGAGGGGGGGCUCACCGGCGACGGGGACGGGGCGGGGCGGCCGAGCGGGGCGGCCGAUCGGCGACGGGGAGGGGCGGCGCUAGGGCAGGGGGUAGGGGCGGCGGCGGCUUAGGGAGAGGGAGAGAAAAUGAGAGAAAAUGAGAGGGAGGGAGAGAGAAUUGGGGAAAAAGGGAGGUGGGGGGCGGCAUGGGCCAAUUGGGCCCAAGGGGGGGGCGCCAGGGGCGGCUGGGCCGGCCGGGGUCGGCCCACGGCGCGGGAGAGAGAGAGAAAAAGAGGAGAGAGAAAGAAAGAGAAAAGAAGAAAGAAAAGAUCUUCUCCUCAUUUUCGAAAUUCGAUCUUUCUACAUGAAUGCAUUUGCACUUUCAAAGCAAUCAAAAGAAAUGCAAGGUUCGGCAUGGUGCAUCAAACAACAUAAAGUAUUUAGGGUUUUUUUCAUCACACGGGAAAUCCAAACCGAUUCCCGCUAGAACUUUGGAAAAGGUCAAGGUUUAGCGAGGGAAAAAGAAAAAGAAAAGGUAACGCCCGAAUUUUGGCGAGUAAAGAAAAGAAAAAAUUCAACUGCAAAAAUUCGGGGCGUUACAAACCUAUCCCCCUUAAAAGAAUCUCGCCCUCGAGAUUCAGGGCUGGCUAGCAAAGAGCUCUGGGUACUUGGCCAUCAAAUCAUCUUCACGCUCCCAGGUUGCUUCUUCCUCAGAGUGGUGAUUCCAUCUGACUUUGCACAUUCUGAUGGUCUUCCUUCGGGUGACUCUAUCUGCAAUCUCAAGGAUUUGCACUGGCUUCUCAACGUAGGUCAAGUCCUCCUGGACUGCCAGACCUUCCACUGGCAACUGCUCUUCUGGCACACGCAAGCACUUCUUCAACUGAGACACAUGAAAGACAUUAUGCACAGCAGACAAAUUCUCUGGCAAACUGAGCUGAUAGGCCACUUCUCCUCGUCUUGCAAGAAUCUGAUACGGACCAAUGUAGCGGGGUGCUAGCUUGCCUUUCACUCCGAAUCUUCUGACUCCUCUGAUCGGUGACACUUUCAGAUAAACAAAGUCUCCGACUUCGAAACUCAGCUCUCUUCUUCUUGUGUCUGCGUAGCUUCGCUGCCUCGAUUGCGCUAUCUUCAGAUUCUCUCGGACCAUCUUGAUGUUCUCUUCGGCUUCAAGCAAAAUGUCUGGCCCAAACACUUGCUUCUCUCCAGGCUGAUCCCAUUGCAACGGAGUUCUGCAACUCCUUCCAUAAAGCGCUUGAAAUGGUGACAUCUUCAAACUAGCCUGAUAACUGUUGUUAUAGGAAAACUCUGCAUAAGGCAAUCUCUUAUCCCAUCCGGACUGAUCUUGCAACGCACAGGCUCUCAACAUGUCUUCAAGAAUUUGGUUGGUCCUUUCAGUCUGACCAUCUGUCUGCGGGUGAUAAGCUGAACUGAAAUUCAGAUGUGUGCCCAAAGCUUCAUGCAACUGCUGCCAGAAAUGAGAGGUGAACUGCGUUCCUCUGUCUGACACUAUCUUCUUUGGCACACCAUGAAGACAAACGAUCCGAGACAUAUACAAUUCUGCCAAUACUGCACUGUUGUAGUUGGUCUUGACAGGUAUGAAGUGGGCUGACUUGGUCAAACGGUCCACCACUACCCAAAUGGAAUCGUAGCCGGCUCGAGUGCGAGGCAAUCCGACUAUGAAAUCCAUACCGAUUUCAUCCCAUUUCCACUGAGGGAUCUGCAACGGUUGCAACAAUCCAGCUGGUCUCUGGUGUUCUGCCUUAAUUCUUCGGCAACUAUCGCACAUAGCCACAUGCUCUGCGAUUUCCCUCUUCAUUCCGUACCACCAGAAUUUCUUCUUCAGAUCCUGAUACAUCUUCUCACUGCCAGGGUGAAUCGAAUAAGCUGUCUCAUGAGCUUCCUUAAGAAUCAACUCCCGAAUGGACUGGACAUUGGGAACACACAAGCGGUCUUUGAACCAUAUCACGCCUUCUGCAUCUUCCCGAAAAUCUUUGCCUUUGCCUUCUAGAAUCAGUCGCCGGAUCUCACUGAUUUUCUCAUCAUUCUUCUGCGCUUCUUUGAUUUCGCGCUCCAAGGUAGGUUCCAACUCAACUGUGACUCCUCGCGAAUUGUUCAGAAAUCCGAGACUCAACCUGUCAAACUCUUUGGCCAACUCAUAAGGCAUCGGACGAGCGACCAUCAGAUUGACUUGACUCUUUCUGCUCAAAGCAUCUGCCACUACGUUUGCUUUGCCUGGAUGGUAAUGAAUCUCCAACUCAUAGUCUUUGAUCAACUCUAACCAUCUUCGCUGCCUCAUGUUCAACUCUGACUGAGUGAAUAUGUACUUCAGACUCUUGUGGUCUGUGUAAACAUCGCAUUUCUGCCCAUACAAAUAGUGCCUCCAUGACUUCAGUGCGUGAACCACUGCUGCCAACUCUAGAUCAUGGAUUGGGUAGUUCUUCUCAUGAACCUUCAACUGUCGGGACGAGUAAGCCACAACUCUUCCCUCUUGCAUCAACACACAUCCCAAACCUGUGUAACAAGCAUCACAAUACACCGAGAAGGGCUUGUGCACAUCAGGCAAGACUAAGACAGGCGCUGUAGUCAACUUCUCUUUCAGCGCUUCAAAGGCCUCUUGACAUCUCUGGGUCCACUUGAACUCAACCUUGUUGCCUAGCAACGCUGUCAUUGGUUUCGCAAUCUUCGAAAACCCUUCAAUGAAUCGCCGAUAAUAUCCGGCCAUUCCAAUGAAACUCUUGAUUCCUCUAGCAUCUGUUGGCGCUUUCCAGUUCAAAAUGUCUGCCACUUUCUUCGGAUCUACAGCCAAUCCUUCCUUGUUGAUUACGUGACCCAAGAACAGGACUUCACUGAUCCAGAACUCACACUUGCUCAACUUUGCAUACAACUGGUGCUCUCGCAAUCUCUGCAACACCAUCCUCAAAUGAUCUGCGUGCUCUUCUUCGCUUUGAGAAUAAACCAGAAUAUCAUCAAUGAAUACCACCACAAACUUAUCAAGGUAAUCCAUGAAUACACUGUUCAUCAAGUUCAUGAAGAACGCUGGCGCAUUGGUCAAACUAAAAGACAUCACUGUGAACUCGUACAAACCAUACUUGGAAAUGAAUGCCGUCUUCGGAAUGUCCGAAGGUCGGAUUCUGAGCUGAUGAUAACCUGACCUCAGAUCAAUUUUGGAGAACACACUGGCUCCUCUCAACUGGUCGAACAGAUCUUCUAUUCUGGGCAAGGGAUACUUGUUCUUGAUCGUGACCUCAUUCAAAGCUCGAUAAUCAAUACACAUCCUUUUGGUGCCAUCUUUCUUCUCCACAAAUAGGACAGGGGCGGCCCAAGGCGAGGUGCUUGGCCGGAUGUAACCUUUCUCUGACAGCUCAUCAAUUUGCUUCUUAAGUUCAUCCAACUCUGGUCCAGAUAUUCUGUAAGCUCUCUUAAAGAUGGGGGCGGUUCCAGGAAGAAGCUCUAUAGCAAACUCAACUUUCCGCUCUGGUGGCAUACCCGGUAGGUCCUUUGGAAACACAUCUUGGAACUCGGACACAACCUUAAUCCUCUCAAUUGGGUCUGCUUCACUGCUAUCGACAGCCAUCUGAUAACAACUUCCUUUCUUUGGCUCGGGCGGGACUAACUCGGUCACCACUUCCUCUCCUAGUGGGGACACCAACUCGAUUGUCCUUUUAUCACAACUGAUAACUACCUGAUACUUAUCUAGCCAAUUCAUCCCUAGGAUGACAUCUAUUCCCUGAGUACCCAUUACUAUAAGGUUGGCGGGAAAUGCUAUCCCCCUUAUUUUCACACUUAUAUUCAAACAAAUGCUAUCGGCUCGAAUUCUACCACCGGCUGAGUCAAUUUGAAUGGGGGUUGACAUGGUAGUAAUUGGAAGAUUAUGUGCUUCUACCCAUGAUGCAGUAAUGAAAGAAUGCAUUGCUCCAGUAUCAAAUAACACUUCUGCAAUAUGGGAGUCGACUGGGAACAUACCUACUAUCAUGCCGGGGGUCUCCUGAACUGCUUCAGCCUCCAAGUGGUUCAAUCUUCCAUGAUUAUAGCGCGGCUGAGAGCGAUUGCCUGCUCCAGGCUGAGGCACAUUCUGCUUGGCUGGGGCAUUGGGGCCUGACUGCUGCUGGGCUGCCUUCUUCGGACAUUGCAUCACCCAGUGGCCUUGUUCUCCACAGUGGAAACAUGCUCUGUUUCCAACCUGAGCUGGUGCUGCCUGACUGUUCUGCUGAUUUGCUGGGGCAGGAAGGCGAGGUGGCUGCUGAUUCUGCCUUUGAAACUGACCUCCUGACUGAUUGCUCUGACGGUUCUGGUACUGAUUCUGAGGGUACUGCCUUUGAAACUGCUGAUGCUGCUGAGGUGGACGCUGGUUCUGCCUGAACUGCUGAGGUUGAUUGCCUGAGAAACGAGGACGGCUGCUGCUUCCAGGCUGGGGUCCACUGAUCUUGCGCUUACGAUCUUCCAUCUCCUUGCGCUUUCUCUCUGUCAUGAUUGCUCUGUCAAUCAGGUGCUGGAAUGUCGGGAAGGUGUGAUUCAUCAGUUGGUACUGCAGAGGGUCAACCAAGCCUCUCAGGAAACGGUAUUGUCGCUUGGCGUCAGUGUUGACAUCUUCAGGAGCAUAGCGAGACAAUUGCAGAAACUUGUCCCGGUACUCACUGACAGACAAUGGCCCUUGCUUGAGAGCCAGGAAUUCCUCCUUCUUCACUGUCAUCAGACCUGCAGGAACAUGGUACUGACGAAAGCUACCUCUGAACUCUUCCCAGGUGAUGGUGUCAGGGUGGGCAUGGGUGGCGAGGUAAGACUCCCACCAUGACUGGGCUGCUCCUCUCAACAGACGGGGACCAUACAGAACCUUCUCCCUGUCAUCGCACUGAGCGGUAUGCAACUCCCGCUCCACAGUGCGCAGCCAAUCUUCAGCAUCCAUGGGGUCAGAAGAGUGAGCGAACGUUGGUGGAUGACCUCUCAUGAAUUCAGCACGCUUGUCUCUGGGCAUCUGAGGCAUCUGAGGCUGGGGUGGUGCUUGCUGCUGUUGCUGCUGCUGCUGCUGAAUGGCGGCCAAAGUCUGACCGAUGGCUUGAACUGCCUGAGUCUGCAUCAGAAACAUCUGCUCGAUGGACAUCGGGGGCGGGGGCGGCAGGUGCUGCUGCUGGGGCACCUCUUCCUGUUGAGCGGCUCGCUCCUGCUGAGCACGCCUUCCUCCUCUGCGCCUGUUUUCUGACAUCUGCAGAAUGCAACCACACAUCAGAACUGAUCUGGCAAAUCUUGCAGCAUAAGGAAAGAGAAUAGAAUUCUUCAACAGCACUGAACAGAUGAGCAUCUUCACUGAUCUCCAACACAGACCACACAGCUUCUCAGAUAAAGAGGAAAGUGGAAUAAAAGGGGUUUCCCAACUAUAUAACUAACUCCAUUAACAUAAUAGAUAAACCAAAAUGCAGGGGAUACCCACACUCUGGUGACAGUCAUUACAAAGAUCCAAACCAAACAUAGUUCAUCAUGACAAACAUAGAUGCACAGGAUAUAGCAAACUACCCUGUCUAACUAAGACUAACUAAGACCGAGACUAACGCUAAGACUGAAGCUUCUAUGCAUAUAUUUCGUAUUAAUUACAAGAUCCAACUCUAACGAUCUAUGGUUCUAGAGUUAUCUUGGUCUUGCAGUCGGGAUUGCCAUACGACUGGUGUCCACGCUGAGGUGAGCGGUACGGGUGCUGAGUCCCAACGGGAGCGGGGGAACCACCAUCCAAGUGACGACGUUCCGCGCGCUCAGCCCGCAGCAGGGCGAUCUCAGCACGAGCCCUACUCAGCUCAUCUAAUGCAUGGUCCAGCUCCGUGUUUAGCACGGCGGCUAGGUUGACUGUGCUGCUCAACCUAGGAUUGCCCUCACCGACGGGUGAGACGAUCACGCCUCCUGUGCUGCCAGAUGGACGGCGGGGGUAAUACUUCAGGUCAAGACCAUCAGCUGCCCCACCGAAAACCGAGCAGUAGUGCGAAAGCGCACGCCGUGCAGCAUCUUGCAUGGCUGCCUCAGCUGAGUCCCGUUCAGAGAUAGAAUAGUGCUCUGAACAGGCCUCCGCACCCUGGAGACUGUUCUCCGGGCAGCGCACCAAGCAAGUUGCCUCCCAGCGGUCCGGGUAGACCCCGCGACUGUGCUGGUAGACCACACAGCGAUACUCGACGGACCAAGUAUGCCGGUCGAAUGCCCGACGUAGCAGGGUGUCGAGCGCAUCGUGGAAGUGACACCCGCGAGCAGCGUCGCGAGUGAUGGGUCGAGCAACCCAUCCUUCCGGCUCAGGGUUAGCAGAGAAGUCGGUGUCGUGGCUCGAGCUGUCGUCGCCACCUCCGUCGUCUGGGUCUCCUCCAACAGCUACUCCAGAAGCUGGGGCGCCCAGUGGUGGUGCAGGGGGCGGCUCCAGAGGAAGCACAGGGGAGCAGCUCCUCACAGACUCUAUCUCCUGGUGGAGCGAGAAGGAAGAGCUCUGCUGCUCCUGUCGUCGACGCUCCUGCUCCUCACGCAGGCGGUGGUGUAGUCUCUCCAAGUGGCUGGACUGUCCGGCCACGGGACGGCGAAGCGGACGCUCAGCAAGGCGGGAGGGUAAGAAGGGGAUGACUGACUUUCGUGCAGUGUGUCUAAGUCGAGCCAUCUACAAAAGACAUCGCAAGCAAAAGGGUGAGAACAGAAUUAAUAUGACCAGCAAAUAAUGAAUCAUAAGUAAAUGAAGGAUUAGAAUAAAACAUGAUUUUCAGCAAGGUAUUAUAUAUAGUAGAACAUAGGUUUGGUCGGUAUGACCAACUUUUGAAGGGAUAUCAAAGUCAAGGCAGAGACAGAGGUCUAUAGUCCUUAGAACGACCAUUCUACUCUAGGUUAGCGGUCCUACAGUCAGCACGGCUUUGAUACCACUUAUGUCACACCCGGUUUUAGAAGGCAAACCGAAUGCGAACCAUGUACGUGCCAGGAUCAGUUAUUCACGUACACAGCAGUUACAUAAUAUGGACAUCAUCACACAGUGCUCAAAAUAGUAUUAAAAAGGGAAAUAGUCGAUUACAUCAUACGUCUGAGACGUCCAUAUAGGUCUUACAAUAAAUCAAAGUGCGGAAAAGAAACGUAGAUAACCGCGGCCUUCACAGGCAGCCGACUGGGGGUUGCCGCUAACCCACACCUAGAACUCGUCGUAAUCUUGGAACUCCUGGAAGUCUCCUUCCACAGCUUCAUCUUCGCCUGAGCAGUGGUUGCAAUGCUGACAACUUGGGGGGGGGGGGUUUGGUGUGUAGAGCAAGGGUGAGUACACAUCAACAUACUCAGCAAGUAUCCUGUUUGGCUGUAGUGGACUAGCUUUAUGUGGGGAUAAGUCAAGCAGUUGCUUUUAGUUGGUCAGAUUAUUACUUACUAGUAGAAAGCCAAGUUUUAGCAUUAACCCAAGUUAUUAACCCAAACGUACUCCUUUCCAAACGGAAAGAGUACCACUUACCAGCACCAUAAUCAUAAUCAAAACCAUCAAUCUCAUAUCCACCUGUAGCGAAGUAUCUCUGAUCAAGUACCACUAAUCACUGGAGCUCCCUUGGCCGCUCAUAACCGCGAGCACGGCUGAUAUAUCAGUUUCAUAACACUCUGCAGAGGUUGUGCACUUUACCCACAAGCCGUGAUUCCCUCUCUGGCCCGGGCUUGCAAGACCCUUAUUCACUCCCGAGGUGAAUGGCCAGGGAUUCACUACGAAGCCUUUACAAAGAUUCCCCGGGGCUGUAGCCACCCGUUAGGUUUCCUAAAUGCACCGCACUCCUCCCCAAGGGGCGAACCCAAACUUGGCAGAGCGAGCCGCAUACACCGAGCCCCAUUGACGGCACGACGGCUAAGUGAACUACACCCCGGAUCCUCUAAUUAUUCAGCUAAGGGCACCCCAUUCCACCCUCAUGGUUGCACUGUUUUCCCGGGCGGUCAUCCAUAGAACAGGUCCUUACGGAGAGGCACUCGAGAAACCGCUCGAGCCCCCUUGAUAACCACAAGCAUACAUCAUCAUAAGAUAAGGGAAAACAGCGUAUCAUAGAUAAUCUCAUCAUGUUCAUUGAUUAUAGUUGAGCGAUAGCAUAAAGCUAAACAGUAAUAAUCCAACCCAGAUAGGUAAACAAGGACAUGGAUAACAAAAGCUAGUCAAUCCUUAGGCAUAAAUGUGUAAAGCGGGAGGUGAAUUAAAUAAUGAAUAGGACAUAGAUAGGUCAAAGGACACUUGCCUCCACCAAACGACUGCUGCUCAGGGGCUUCUCCUGCGAAUUCCUCGGGCUCUUCAACCGGAUCGUUCUCUAUGCGAGCGCAAACAUACAUACAUCCACAUAUUUAAUACAAAAGAACAGUACACCAUACAAGGGAACAUACAAGGGAACAAGUAAAGCGAAUAUGCAUCAAGUAUGACAUUUGACAUUGCAUUUGCUAUGGUUAGAAAGAAACGGGAAAGGGUCUCGCAGGGGGUUAAAUCUUAUGCACUAACGAUCAAUUACAAUUGGUUCUUAACAAAAGAAUUCUGUUACAUAUACACUAAUGGAAACCUAAUCACUUUAAGUUGAUCAACAUUGCACGAGAUAAACAAUUAACUACAUGAAUCAAUUAGCAUAACGGAAUUUUAAAUUAAACUUCCUAUUUCAAUGGCAUGAACAAUGAUUAGCCUACCUAAAAUAAAAUAGUUAUGAUCACAGAAAGUAAAUAAAAUAAAAUAAAAAAAAUAAAAAAAACAGAGGGGGGGGCGGUUGAACCGGCCCUAGGGGCGGUUGAACCGGCCCUGCGCAGGGGGCGCGGCCAAGGGCCAGGCGGGCGGCCGGGGCGCGGCCAGGGGCGCGCGGCCAGGCGGGCACGCGGCCAGGGGCGCGCGGCCAGGCGGGCACGCGGCCAGGCGGCCAAGCGGGCGGCCGAUCCAGGCGGCCGGGCGGCGCGCGGCCAGGGGCCAGGCGGGCGGCCGAGCCAGGCGGCCGGGCGGCGCGCGGCCAGGGGGCCAGGCGGGCGGGGCGGUGGCCGAGGAGAGAGGAGGGGAGAGGGGAGAGGGAGGGAGGAGGGAGAGAGGGAGGAGGGGGGCUCACCGGCGACGGGGACGGGGCGGGGCGGCCGAGCGGGGCGGCCGAUCGGCGACGGGGAGGGGCGGCGCUAGGGCAGGGGGUAGGGGCGGCGGCGGCUUAGGGAGAGGGAGAGAAAAUGAGAGAAAAUGAGAGGGAGGGAGAGAGAAUUGGGGAAAAAGGGAGGUGGGGGGGCGGCAUGGGCCAAUUGGGCCCAAGGGGGGGGGCGCCAGGGGCGGCUGGGCCGGCCGGGGUCGGCCCACGGCGCGGGAGAGAGAGAGAAAAAGAGGAGAGAGAAAGAAAGAGAAAAGAAGAAAGAAAAGAUCUUCUCCUCAUUUUCGAAAUCCGAUCUUUCUACAUGAAUGCAUUUGCACUUUCAAAGCAAUCAAAAGAAAUGCAAGGUUCGGCAUGGUGCAUCAAACAACAUAAAGUAUUUAGGGUUUUUUUCAUCACACGGGAAAUCCAAACCGAUUCCCGCUAGAACUUUGGAAAAGGUCAAGGUUUAGCGAGGGAAAAAGAAAAAGAAAAGGUAACGCCCGAAUUUUGGCGAGUAAAGAAAAGAAAAAAUUCAACUGCAAAAAUUCGGGGCGUUACACCCAACCAAUAGAAUCUUGAUGGAUUGUAUAAUCUAUCUAUCCCCACCUAACAUCAAACAAGAUUUUGACCUACAUCAUAUAGUCUAUCUCAUCCAUAUCUAUCUUAACCAUAUUCCCCAACCCCGAUGAUAUACACUAACCUCGAAUCAACAAGACCAAGACCGGAGAAGAAAAGAUCAACAUCGACAUGGAAUGAUAUAAUAGUCAAAGCGAAUCUCGAGAUGAAUCAAGACUUAAACAUUUCAGAUGAAGCCUUUUCCUUGGCAUAAUCUUUCUUACCUCAACUUGUCCAGCUCAUAUCAUGCAUAAUAAAUAGCUAGAUACCUAAGCUCUCCUAAUCACCCACUAUUGACUAUAAAAAACUGAGACUCUGGAUUUUUGAACCAAUUAUAGACUAAAAGCUGAAUUACAAACCAAUCCUUCUGUGUCCCUUUUAUUACAAAUCUCGAGGACGAGAUUUCUGUUAAGGGGGUAGGAUUUGUAACACCUCAAAAUCUCAUUUUGAGAAUUAUGUAACAUUUUCUAAAGAUUUUGAGUUAGAAUAUUUUUUAAAAAAAACUUUUGAAGUCACACCUCCUAAAAUAAAUGUUUUAUAAUAAACAUUCAAUAAGAAGGAUUGUUAUAUAAAUUAUCCCUUAUUGAAGUUGAUAAGUAUUAUAUAAGGAUAAAUAGUAGAGCAUCGUUCAAUCGAGAUUAUACAAUCAAAAAUAUUUUUCUCAAAAUAAUUAUGUGGAGCAACAUAUCCAGAAGAAUUUACUUAUUUAGGAUAAUGAACAAAUAAAUAAAUAAAAUAAUAUGGAUACUGCAUCACAUAUUGUAUUUUAAUUGUGCUUUGUAUUUUAAAGAUUAAAUGUGAAACCAGAGUCAAAUUUGAAUUUGAAACACAAAAUUGAUUUGGGAAUAUGAAAUUAGAAGAUAGAAAUAGAAAAGGAAGAAAAAGAAAACUCGGCCCCGGCCGAAACCCUGCCUCAGCCGACUAAAUCCUACCACGACGGUGCACUCCAGCUAAGGAAAGCGCCGACCGGGGAACCCUGGCUGGCGGCCUCACCCGCGUGCCAUGUGCCGCUGCAGUGUGGGUCCCGCUCGCCAACCCUCGAUUUCGCGCGGGCCACCAGGAGGAUUCAUGGUUUGGUCACUGGUAUGUGGUCCCCGCUGGUCAGACUUAUCUCCUAGCUCACGCGCGCGUCGUUCUCGCCAACUAACUCGUGUGAUCCGCCGGUUGUUGCGGGUCCGGUUGGAGCCCUGGACACCAGGUUGCUCCUCUAUAAAAUCGGACACCGAGCCCUUUCGGAAACACCCUUCGCAUCUAGCUCAGACUAUUUUCGCCACAAGGAGUCAUGGUGCAGGGAGAUCUGCUGUCCGCCGCCAUGACUAGGCAUGCACACGCUGUCGUACGGACCUGGCAAGGGCAGUAGGGUAUUCGCUGGUAGUCGGGGAUGGUGCGCGUUGCAUCAUCAGGCAAAGCGCGACGAUCUCGGUUGAUGAAUUCCUCACCGGGAUGGAGCUCCACCGCAGGUCUGUCGCGUGUCGUGGCCAUGGCAUUAGCGCUGCUAGAAUCACAGUGAGCAACCCUUCAACAGUAUGGUAUCGUUACCCUCUAUGUGAUUACUUUCUUUGAUUGGAGUUCGAACAUGGAAGUCAAGCUUGUUUAGAGGUCAGCCAUGGCGCCUCCAUGGGCACUCUGUGCCGCCGUGUGCGGAGUUGGGGAAGAGAGAGUUGAGGGUGAUGUGGUAGAGGAGCGUUGACCAUGGGAUCUUGAUCCUGUGAUCAGGACUGGGUACCAGUUCGUGGGGGGAUCCUGGGCAUUGAAGUUUAAUCUAGCGGACAGGAUGGGUGAGGGAGCUAUACGGAUCGUGGUCAUUGGAUCCUGGAUGAAGAGUGCAGAUGAGAUCCCAGGUUAACCGUUCGACUUUUUAAUCUGGGCGGUCGGGUUUAGAUCCGACGGUUGAGAUGUGCCCAUACCUCUUCGACCUGGCAAAAUCACUAAAGAUACCCUGGACUUUAUAAUAACUAACCCGCCAUCCAGUCCAAUUGGGAAGUAAUUACAGAUAGAUACGAUUUUAUUCAAAAUAGACCCUGCCCAAUAGAACCCACAGUACAUAUAAGCUUUGAAAUUUAUAAAAUAAAUCUGAAAUUGAUUUUUAAUAAAAAAAUAAUUCCAGAACCUUGUAUAAUUCAUAUUUAAUUAAUUUUAACUCCAAAUUGAUUCAUUCCAGUGGCAUUAAUUUUGUUUUAAUGUUGUUUAUCACCAAGUGACUCUGUUUAGCCAUGAAAUUUGGAUUAAAAUUAUUCACUUGAAUUUAGUCUAUACUAAGCACUAGAAACUUAAAAAAUCAUAACUCGAUAACCGUAACUCCGAAUUUAGCGAUUCUUGUUCCUUUGAUCUUGUUACAACAUGUAGAAUAUUCUUACGAAUUUUGUUCUUAUGCUUGGUGUAAUGUUAAUUUUGCCUAUGCCAUGUUUGUUUGUAUUUCUACGACUAGCGCGAGGUUACGAGCCACCUGAAGAGCAAGUUGGUACCUGGAAUCUCAAUUCCCAGGCAAGUUGUGCCCUUGAUCACUUCUUUUUACCCAAUCAUGUUCUUAUUAAUCAUAAUGAUCUGCAUAGGUUAAUUUUGAUGGGACCCAAUAGGUUACCCUAGUUUGGCUAUCUUUAUACCUUGUUUACCACUGAAUUUUUGGGUAGUACCUGCUAUUGCUUUAUAUGGUUUUGGGUAUAGAGAUAUACAUUAUUCAUGAUCACACUUUUAUUAUCAGUUGUUAUUUACUGUUCAUGAUAAGAUCAUUAUGUUAACUAGAAAAUGGAGAACCACCCGAGAAAACAGUGCUACCACAAGGGUGGCAUGGGACGCCCUUGGCUGACUAAUUAGGAAAGCUAGUGGAGGUCUACCUUACCCGAAAGGGGCAAGGGCAGUAGGGGAGUGGUCAGUGUAAGGAGGCCCUUGGGUUGAUUUUGUUGCGAUGGCGGUUAGGCGAGGGGUCCCUGCAUUGGAGCUUCAUAGAAACUGUAGCGGGUUUUCUGAUGCUAGUGGAACUUUGUAAAGGCCUUGUAGUGUUACCCUGCCUCGCCUCCUCGGUAGAGGUUUAUGGGAAGUCGCAAUCCCUUGGCAUAUGGGUAACAUGACUUGUGGGUAAAGAUGUGCAACCUCUGUAGAGUGUAAAACUGGUAUACUAGCUGUGCUUACGGUCAUGAGCAGCUCAGACACUCACAUGAUUAAUUUAUGAAAUUAAAUUCAAUUUGUCAUUUGCAUCACAUUGGGAUUAUUUAUUAUUUUGUUCUACUACUUAAUUGGGUUGGUAUAUACUUAUACUUAGUAAUUGCUAAUAAAAUUUUGACCAACUUUAAAAGCAAUGCUCAGCUCUAACCAUCCUCUUUGGUGAGCCUUACACUUCACAUGAGCUCCCACCUUUGGCGAGUUCAUGCACAUUAUUCCCCACAACUUAUUGAGCGAUGAACGUAUAUGAGCUCACUCUUGCUGUCUCACACCCCCCACAGGUCAAGAACAGGUAUCGCAGGAUGAGGCGCAUGAAGGAUGCUGUGACGAGUUCGUGAGAGGUCUAGGCGGUCGUCUCCCAGUCAACUUUGGGUUGCUGGAUUGUUGUCUCCUUAUGAUGUAAUUAUUUAUUUAUUUUGUACAGAACUCCUAUUAUUUAGUAAUGAUGUGAUAUUCAUUUCUGUACCAUGAUUCAUUAUAUGUGUGAGACUUGGUCCCAGCACACCUGGUGAUUAUGUUCGCGCCCGGGUUUUGGACCCCUAAAAUCUGGGUGUGACAUUUAGUUUCGGCUCUUCAGUCGGAUUUGUCCUAGCUUCGAUUGGCAUAGAGCGACCUGGUCCUGUGACAGGAGCAACCCUUCAUUUAGCUUCGGCACGUCGACCUUCUCAAUGCGCCUGGGACGACGCGUCAAAACUUUGACAUUCUUCGACCUCGGCACACUGGAAGAUGCCGAGGCAGCAGCUUUCCUCUUUUUCCCUUGCUUCUGCGAGGGAUAGUAGUAGUUUGGGUAUACAAACCCGAUAACAUCGAACACCCUAUUCAAUCUCUUUUUGCCCCGAGCACCGAAAAAAGUUGUCAUAGCUUCAUCAUCGGCCUUCGAGUAUGCUCCAAGUGGCUCAUCGCUAGUUGCCUCUAUAGCAUCUAGCCAGUCAUCAUUCAGUUCAUCAAACUGGCUCUUGUAUCGAAAGGUAUACUUCAGAUAGACCAAACCAUUUUGGCUGGAGCCAGCGGCAGGCCGGCAGCCUCCUUCGGCAUUUCCCAUCUAUUUGCAAGUGGCUACACUCUGUAAGCAAUAUGCUCUUGGGCCAAAUCUCUUGUGCUAAUGUAAGUACACACUGUAUUGAAGGCUGCCUGGCAGGCUUGCACGUCGUUUCCUAGUGCAAUGACCGGUCUCCUAAUGCCGAAGUGAGACCAUAUAGGGUGCUGAAUAACCCCUUUUAUAUCUUCUCUCUGACUCAGGUUAACCUUCACAUAAAGCCAUUCUUGCAUCCAAGAACAUGGCCGCUUUUUUCCGAAAUGUUGGCACAGGAUAACUGGCCUGAGCGUGGGGUACGAAGUUGUAGCAGCCAAAAUUUUUGUGGUACUGCUCUUUCCCAGUCACCUUAGUCUAAUAUAAUAACUCAUGGAUAUUGCAGAAACACCUAGCAUCUGGCUCUAACCCUUGGCUUCUCAUGGCCCAUAUAAAACCCCCAACUUUGAUAAUAGCUUCGGGGGUAAGUUGAUGAAGAUAAAUUUCAACAAUUUUUAGAACUUCGACCAACAUCUUAUCUAGGGGAACCGAAGUCCAGCUUUCAUGAAGCUUCUGAAAAUUACCAUUUCGUUAGCUUCGAGAAGAGGAACAUUAUUCUCCCUUCCGGCCCUCACGACUGAAAUGUCACGAAAGUACCUGCCUCUCAUUGCUUCGAUUUUCCCUUGUUUAAUAGUCGACUUUCCGAAAACAACAUGGCUCGGUCUCCAUGGCCGAUCUUCGGCAUCUUCAUUUACACUUUCUACGUCGAAACUCUCACUAUCGCUGGAGUUUUCAAAUAAUCCAGCCAACAUCUCAUUGGUGAUUUUCUCCAUGUUGGUUUUUUCCAUAGCUUCAUAAAAUCCGACCAGCGCGAAGUCAAUGAUCUUCUUCUCCUCAGCCAUUUAGACAAUGGUUGCUAAAAUGCCGAAGCUCAAAAUUCAAUUAAACUCGACGAAGCAAGGAAGGUUGAAAUGGCAAAGACAAUGCAAGCAGCUAAAAUAGCACGAAAAAUACUCAUGACACAGGCCUCUAUAUAUAUACUCAGAGACCCACAGAUCGGUGGGUCCCGCAAUUCAGUGUGAUUCGCCAUUCUAGCGAAGGGAAGGUGUUUUUGGUACCUUCGGCUAAAGGCCUUCAUUCACGUCGUAGUCUAAAUUUGUUACAAAGAAACAAAUCAAUACUGCGAGGGGCUACUGUUGGGGGCCUUCCUCCUCCGAAGGUUCUAAAAAACGUGACUGACCAUAUGUUUUCAAUACGACAUGGAUUACUACAGGGGGCUUUGACUUCGGGAUGAAGGUAUUCUUUCAUAACAGGGUGAAGACGUAGCCCGAAGGUGAUAAGAAUGUACGACGAAGUUGUAGCCAAAGAGCUUCGGCUUGAUGUGAUGACGAAGACCAAGUAUGGUGAUGACCGAAAAGGGACAAAGACUACCCAGUCCUUAAUGUUUUGUGUCAUGAUAAUAGAUGAAUGUUAGGGACAUAAAUCUACUUUUACUUGGGUUGCGUCCCGUACCUAUAAAUAAAUGAACAGUAACACCAUACUGUUCAGGGCUGGAUUGUAAUCACUCUCUCGCAUCCACACCAUCGAGCAAGCCGAAGAUACCAAUGUAAUAUUAAUUCUGUUAAUAUUCAUACGUGUUUUAUGGAAUACAAAUAUGAAUGAAUCAAUAAGAUGCAGUUAUUGUUUUCAUCCUUCUGCAUUCAUAUUCACAUGUUAAAUGAUGAAGGUAUGUCCUUCAUGACCUUCGUCUGAUAAGCAUUAUGCUCUUGCGGAAAUAAUGCUUCGGAAGACGAAGGUCUAUAACAAUUAACAAUUGUGUUGCCUUAUUCUUGACAUACAACAUCUGAGAACAAGUGACCAAUAAGACCCUAGGAGUUCAUAGGUGUGCGUGAUCCAUGUGUGGGCAAGCUUCCGGGCGCAUUGUCCAUUGUGGGGCGAGGAAUUCCUCACCAGAGUAGGAGAUUUACGCCGAUUGAGCCUAUGACGUGGUCGGGAGUCGUCACGACACGAUUAAACGGUGAGAUAACCUUUGCGAGUUUGCUCCUCCUAAUUCGUCUCCGUCAUGUUGCGCUUAGGAUUUGGUCGCUGCUCCGCCGGGAUGCUAGUCUCAGGCGAUCCUCCACCGCAGAGUGCCUAGCCGCCGUCCUUGACUGCCGUGGGGGAGGGGAGGCACACAUCCUUUGAUUCGUGUAGCGGACGACGAAGAUUAUAAGUGGAGCAAACCAGUUCAUUUAUUGUGCGGGAGUCGUAGAUCUACAAUCGAUUGGAUAGGAAGAGAUCGAUCCUUAAUAAAAAUCUUAACCAUUGAUCCUCGAUCCAUGGGCGGUUUUCGCAUAGAGUCCGUGAUCUAAUCAGCGCUGUUGAGAUUAAUCAGACAGCCCAGGUUAAAUUUUUAAAAGAGACCAUGCAUUUUAAACAAAUCAACCCGCCGUCCAUUGAAAGUUCAAAAUAAUUGCAUCCUGAAUUUACAUUUUGGUCCUCUAGAGCAUUAUUUUUAAUAUAACAGGAACCCCGAAACUAGUUUAAUCUAUAAUUUUCUCGUUUUAGCUCCGUUCAAGUUGCGUUAGCUUCGUAAUAAAAUUGCCUACGCCGUAACAACAUUAUUUGCAUCAUAUCACAUACUUUUAUAAUUAGAUAUUUGUUUAACCUAUGUUUAGUAGAUUAACCAUUCUAAUCAAAGUCAAUAUGUCUAUAGUUAUAAUUUGUAAUCAAAGAUAUAACUUAGAUUAAAGUUAAGUUAGUUAUUUCUUUAGAGUAUCUUGAUCACAUGAAUUAUAAGCAAUAUAGAAUAUUGUUUUAAAUUUAAUCACAUAGAACUUCUGAAAACCAUAUCUUUUAAACCGUAACUCUGAUUUUAGUGGUUCUCGAAUCUACGAUCUCGUAGGAAUGCAUAUAAUAUUAUUGUGUGGUUUGUUUCUGUGGCAGAACGUCCCAAGUUAUUGGGCCAACAUGCAUCUGCCCUUGUCUCAAAGACCUCAGACGGCUAUGCAUGUGCACCAGAUAACUUAACAGGAUCCGUCCGAGUGCCCCAAGGACCCCAGAUAAACCACUUAUAACCAGGAUCACAAGAUUAAGUAAACACAAAUCACACACCAACAUUUUGCAGCAGAAUUUCUUUAUUGCAAAAAGUUACAAGUUACAACAAAUUUACGUUAUAUUUAUCAGAGUGAUUACAAAAGUGAUUCAAAGAAAUAAACUUUGAAAUGUUAUAAAUUAUUUAUAAGUUUGAAAUAUAUGCUAGCUCAAUGACAAUCCUCAAUAAGCAUAGAAGAGCUACUUUAAUCUAUAAGAAGGUCGUGCCCACCGGCGCUUAGGACCAUCCACAUCAGCACAAAUCUAGUACCUGCAACAACAUGGGUUCGAAAACCCUGAGUACGAAGUGUACUUUCGCAAGUCUUACCCGACUAAGGAAAAAGACUCUCCAGGAUAUGCUGGAUUUGGGAAUCAAGGAAAGGCUUUUUAGCAAGAAUCAACAUUAAUAGUUUGCAGAAAGCUUACUAAACUGAGUCCUUACUUUCAACAUUUUAAUGCUAGAUUAAGUAUUAAUAUACCUUGUUUGCAUCUAGUCUAAUUUCAUCAUCACAUUAAUCAAUACAACCUCAUUUUUUCUCAUUAUGAUUCCAUCCAUGACUUAGAUUGCAAGUUAGUGACCAAGUCUUCAUAUCCGAGAAGUAAUGCCGAUCUGAAUCGAUUAAUACCUAGUUGGGGAUCUCCAACCACACGACAUAUGUAGCACUUAACCCUUGCGUAUGUCAACUUGACAGCGGGUUUCUCAACAACAGAACGGGUUCACGCCAACCGAGAGCAUAGAUACACCACCGUCCAGCCUCUUGCCACGGAGGGUACACGCUACUCUCGCCAUCUCUCCACUCCCACUGCGUGGUGGCCUUUCUGGUAUUGGUCCGACUGAGGCGAAGCUUACCCGUGACGAGGCAUAUGGCCAGUUAAAAGGUCCUCGGUCAGCAGGCUUACAUUCCCUAUAAUCCUUAAUCAACCUGGGUACAACAUCACCUAUUCCUAACCCAAGUCUCGAUUUAAGUACUUCCAUCCUUAGGAUCGUUUGUGUUCCUUAGGAUGAUUAAAUCAUCAUAGGGAACCUUGCAUCAGAUCUCCCAAUGAUCCUGGUGAAAAUAUUCUUGUAGGUAGAGCCAUCCUUCCUCAGGAUAAACUUGAGCUAGGCAUUAGUGCAAAUGACAAACUCUAUCUGCAAGGUUUACCUCUAGGUAGGGCUAAGCAAUUUUGUAAAUCAUAUUUGAUACUUCACCAGAAGUAUCUAUAAAAGGAAUGGAUUUCAAGGUAGCCAAUGCAUCAAAGGGUUUCCAAGCAACUCCUAUAAACCUAAUGUACAUUUCACUAGACUUAAAGUGUGUAAAAAUCAUUUAAAACACAAGGAAGGGGUUGCAUACACCGGGGCUUGCCUCGAAUAACACUAGGUUAGUGUUUGUUAGAUGAUGUCCACUUGGCGAUCAGCCUUUAUUCUGAUACUUGCUCCGUCUGCCCAUCCUCAAGUUCGUCCACCAGCAUCACCAUGCGGAGUAGCCCAUGUUUAACAGCAUCUUGUGGUCUACUCAGCUCUAGUCCUCCGCCUUACGUGAUUAAUUAACGUACCUAUAAGAAAUGCAUAAUGUGUAUGAAAGCAAAUUAAACACUUAGUGACGAUGCAUCACAGCUACUAUGAGCGCACACUAGAUAACUAUGACUUUACAAUAAUCAUAAUCAUCGAGAUAAUCAGACUUAACUCAAACAACAAGCAACAAUAAUUAAACACAUGUCUUAAGUUUUAGAGCAUAACAUUGAUAGAUCAUACAUUUAGAUUUGCCAUCCUAGGAUACUCGAACUUGGAAUAAGGAUAUGAAUUAUUUAAUUAACCGUAUUGGGUUUCCAUAAAAAUUACCUAUGCAAGCAAAUUACUACUGCUAUACAAUACAUACAAUCAGAUAACCGACCAAAAUUUGAAACACAUUAUUACUACCCCACAUGAAGAUAAAUUAUUCUGCACUAAUAAAUAUUUAUCUAAGGUAUUUAAUCGGUCAUUAACAAAGAAUAUCAUACUACUAAAGCAUAGCACGGAUUACUAUAACCACUAUAUUCAACCAGUCUUCAAUAAUAAAAAAUUAACUAAUUCUGUCGAGCCAAACAAGAAUAACACCAAACAAUCAAUUUACCACAUGCAGAUUUUUCUGGACAGCAGCACAGCAGUCAACGGUUUUGCUCAUAACUCACAAAAUAUUCAUCCAAAAGGGGUGAACAAGGCCUUUAUAGAAAGCUUAGAAAGUACUCUACAACUUUGAUAUUAUCAUCACAACAAGAUUCGACUUUAGAAAGGUCAAACAGUGCUAAACGUAAAUUCUGUCCAGAUUUGGAUAGAAUUCGACUACUCACUUCAAAAAUCCAUAACUGGAGUCUCAGGCAUCCAAAUCAGGCGAUCCUAGACUUUUUAGAAAGAUAAUAGAAUUGUCUACAAUUCAUUUAUAAACAUCUCAAGUUAAUUUAAUGCGUAGCAAGGUCAGUUAACACAAACAGUCUCUUCUAUCCAGAUUUAGACAGAUUCAGACUUCAUAUUUCAAACAGCUAUAACCUGGUCUCUAGACCACCAAAAAGGGUGAUCCAAGACUUUUUAUAAAGCUUAAGAAAAGUACUAUAAUUCUUAUAUAAUUACUAAGAGCUUAUUCUCAAUUUAACUUAGCCAAACAAUCCAAUUUCCGAAACCUGUACAGAAUUUGGACAGAUUCUGAAACUGGACUUGGAAAAAUCAUAACUUCCAAACUACUAUACCCAUGGUAAUGAAAUUUUAACACAACCAAGAUAAAGAGGUUAUCUACAACUUUUAUAUAUAACAUCUCUUCAGAAAACAAGGUUUACUUCACUCAACUAACUGCAUACUAAAACUGGACACAGUCCAAACAGCAAGUCCAAACAGCCAACAUUCAAUUUACUCCUAUAUACUUUCUACACAUAUCAUGUGUUUGACAUUUUCUAAUCGCAUAUAUAGAUUUCUGAUAUUUUAUAGACAUGAAUCCAUUUACUUCACAUAAUCUAGUAUUUUGAACCUACUUUAACAUUAUGCAAACAAAGAAUCAAUUUAAACACAUUAUGCAUACACAUAUAUUCAUCCGAACACAUCGACAAAAGUAAUUGGCUAAGUUCUUAAAACACUAAACACCACCUAAUGUAAGCACAAUUACUACAAUAAAAUAGAGGAAUAUACAAUAUAUCUAAACUAGAGAAAAGAAAAUCAUCGUAACUAUUUUAUCCAUCUAACCCAUACAUCGGCUAAAUAGCAGAAAUAAUGAGGUAGCUCACCACGAUUAAAGUUGACUCGAUCGACACUAAACGACCACGACAGCCGAUUCAAUCCUUUCACCCAGCAGCUAGUAAGCGACAGACGUGCUUUGUUUUUUUCACCCAGAUUCCACGGAUUUCGUUCCUCAACACACUUAGACACAUAUACACACUUCACAUUAGCAAAUAGACGUCGAUCGAUGAAACAACGAAGCAAGAACGAAAUCUCACCGAGGGUUGACGGUGUCUUGGAUGGGCUACGCAAAAUAUCAAACAUCCGACGACGCUAAUAGGGUUGUCCAUGACACGACACUCCACUUGGGCAUUUUGUCAAACACCAUAUGGGUGCGGAUGGUGUAGGGAUACAGGAGGAUGUUCGGCAGCGAGGAGCUGCUACAGAUAGGUGUGCAGCCAUGGCGAAAAAGGAGCAGAGGGGCACUGGCCUGCUGCAGGAAAGGGAGCGACGUCCAUGGGAGAGGGCUGGUGACUUUGGCGCCAUGGGGAAGCAAGAGUGGCAUGCUUGCUGCAGGAAAAGUAGGGCAACAUGAUAGGGAGAUGGAGCACGCCAUCUGCAGAGAGGGCGGCAGGGCGAGCUGGAGGUCGACGGCCAUGGCUGGUGAAGGUUGUGCGCGGCUGACAGCGUUGGGGAGAACUCGCGAGCAACCACCAGGGAGCGACUCGACGAGCAUCAGAGGGCAGCACCGACAUGGAAAGGGAUGAGGGAGAGAGGAGCAGGGAGGACGCUCGGCCAUGGGAGACAGAGAAGGAGCACGCGCUGGAAGAUGAGGAGCUGCGGCCGGGCGCUGGGAGGAGUAGAGGGAAGGGCGGCCGGCGCCAUGGGAAAGGGCAGAAGGAGGGGCGCGCGUGGGAGCACCAGGGCGCGCGGAUGCCAGAGCGCGCGACUGGGGGAGAAGAUGAAGACGGCGACCAGAUUUUUCCUUGCUAUGUGAGCGGAUGAGGAUGACGGCCGGAUAUUUUCCUUUUUUUCAUUUCUUCUUUUUUUACACACUAAUCCAUAUAUAUUCUUGCUCUCAGAUUUGAAUCUAGUAUAAAGAUAUAAAUGAGGUUUAAUUUGGUCGGACCAAAAUGAUAUUGCCAACUACAUAGGAGAUUUCUUUUGAUAUAACUGAGACCCGAUAAAUUCAUCUGCUACCCGAAUGCUCAGAGUAGAGCAAGAAAUAAAGGACCACACCAUGUCAUUAUCUUCGAACACGAUUUCUCAGAUAACACACGGGGUCGAGAUUAUUUUGAACUGAAAACUUUAUUUGUUGAAUUCUAAAUGAAUUUGUUUGAGGAAAAAUUUACAAGGCUGAGUUUUAGCCAGAUUUCGAUGGAUCAAACCAAACGAUAUCAGAUUCGAUAUUUUAAUAGACAUUCGAUUUAGUUGAACCAAAACGAAUUUUGCCGCUAUUAUGUGUUAAAGUCAGCACUCGUGGGCGAGCAGACGAUAAACACCUGAGGUGUUAAAGCCCUCCCCCCUUAAAAGAAUCUCGUCCCAAGAUUCGGAGCAAAAGACUUUUAAGAGUAGUGAAGCAUGUAACUCCUGUCCAUAUCAGCGAUAAUGUAAGGCAGUUCCAAACAAAGGCGAGUGUCUCUGGAGGUUGUUUCUCUAGUGGACAUAACAUGUAUCGCCUUAAGCUAAUUUAGAGAUGUCCAUCAAUAGAGAUGACAUCUGCCAGAAGAACACAUAAGAUUCCAUGUGUGCAGUUUGCUUUUUCUGAUGACACUGUACUAUCUGAGUCCGUUGGGCGAGCGGUAGAUAUGCGACUUUACCCAAAUAGAAUUAGUUGCAACCUCUUGGGUAAAACACACAGAAGGAGGUUUACCAACAAGUGGUCACGAUAAGUUCAUAGCACAUAAGACGGGUGUGGAUGCCGAAUACUGUUGCGGUUAACAUGUGGCUAACCAGAGAAUUCAAGUCCACAAAAGAUGAUAGAGAUUCGAGAAAAUAUCAAUGAAGAGAUGCAUUGAUGUUGACUUUGCGACCAACCCACUUUUUUAAGCACUAAACAUGGGUCGACUUAAUCACACAUGCUGGAAAAGCACACGUGAGGCGAUCGAGGCAUGACUAGAGCGAUUAUUAGGUGGUUACCAGUAGACUUAAUUUGAUGUUUGUAAGUACUUUCUUAGGAUCGGUUGAACCAAAGUGAGUUUAGAAAACUCGACAAAACGAUCUCUAAACUCAACCUUUGAUCACAAUGCAGUUACAAGUUAGUAAAACCAACUUGUUGAACUACCUUUGACAUUGAGUAAUUUCUCUUAUUACCCAUCGACAAACCAAGGUUGAGAGCUCAUAUUUGUUAACAAGAGAUCAUGUAUUCGGGUAGAAAUCCAUUUGGUCAGGAUGUUUAUCCGUUUCUUCAUGCGAGAUGAACUGACUUGGUUCGAAAAUACAUGGAUUAAAUAAGAGAGCGAAUGAACAACUCCUGCAUCUCAGCAGCAGGGAAAGUCAAUCUCCAUUUUGAGAACUAAUUAGCUGUCUCUCAACACUAAAAAGCUUCAAGGCUUCACCUUUACACAAAGGACGUAAAAGGAACUUGUAUGUGUGAAGUCACCAUCAAAGUCAAGAGGAAAGAGAGCACACAAGAAAGAGGUGAUUCUUAUCCCACGAUUUGACACGGAUGGGUUCUGAUUGAUUUUUUUGAAGGAGACUUAUGAAUUGGUAGCGAAUUUAUUAAAGAACACAUCAAAGUGCUAUGCUCUUUUGAUCCAACAGUCAUGAUAGAUGUUGCUUGGUCACUUCGACAAACAACACCGAAAUCGUUUCAAGGAAGAGAUCUACGGAAGAUAACAUAUUAGUGUAGUCCCCUAAUAGAUCAUGACUAGAGACCUCGAUACCGGCAUGUGCCAAGCAGCAAAACCAUGUGUGCGCAUUUACAGGAGGCUCUCAGUUUCGCCGCGGCACCAUAAGUCCUUAAUCAUGACACCAUUACUAGACUGACACCAAUAAUGAAUCUCACGUGGCAAAACUAGACAUUGUGCCAAGAUAACACAUUGAUAUAGUCUCAUAAUGGAUUACAACUACUAAUUGUGAUACCAGCGCGUGCCGAGCAGCGCAUCCAUGUGUCGAUCGUCCACAUGAGGCCCUCGGUUUCGUCGCAGCACCAUUGGUUUUAGUUAUAACGCCAUUACCAGACGUAACCAAUAAGAAAAUCUCACACGACACAAAUAGAUUGAGCCAUGAUGACAAUAUACAAAGAGACUCUACAUGUCAAAAUGGUUACAAGUAGAGAGCCAAAUAGAUCAUGGCCCGAUGAAAUGAACAAGACAUGGCCAUAACCUAAACUUGUUAAUGAAGGGAGUACGAUGGGAAACUAUUAAUUCAUCCCCAAGCAUAUUUCUAUGCCCAUCAUAGAGAUUAUAAGGUCAAGAAUUAAUAUCUGAUUAGAUACAGAGGGAAAACAAUCAUAAGAUUAAGUUGGUAUGCCUUCGAUAGAUAUGAGGAAACCAAAGACAUCAAACUCAAGAGAAUGAUCGGACACAUCUUUCCUGGGUUAGGUUGAUAAAAUAACGACAUGGUUUCCAAGAAGAUACAAAGUAGAAUAGAAACAUUAGCUUGCACCAAUCGAGCAAAGGCAUAAUUUAGGAUGGAAAGAUGACUACCGAAGAGUCACGGAUUAUUGUCUAGAACACGGACUCAAGAUCCUUGCUUUAAGUCUGUGUGUACUUUAUGUCCAACAAAGAAAUUAUCUAAGCAUUCAUUUACAUGAGUUUGGUCAUAGAGUGAUAACGGAAAAUUCGAAUUUGGGUCAUGGUACACUAAAUAAGAACAUGGCCUAGUUUCGGGUAUAAGCAAACAAGUCACCAACCUUCUAUCGGCACAUCAAGUACAAGAGCAAACACAAUUUGCACUAAAAAUCAAAUCAAGAAAAGCUGGAAGCCAUCUAAACAUGUACCUCUAAGACACCACAUUAUUUACAAUCACUGGUUACUGGAAUAAAGGCGAGAGAAGCAUUUUGGAUGUAUAGGUGACAAACACAAUGCAACAAUCAGGAUGCAUGCUCGUCCUAAGCGUCCUCACAAUUUUUUGCCAAUCUAUUGUGGCAUUAGCAUUCUAUAUCGGUGGCAUACAUACGACUCUCUCGAUAUAUUACUAGUCGUCAUCUACACAUACGUUUUCAAGGUUAGUGUACUUGCAGAAAAUUUUAUCACAGCCUAAUUCCCAUGAUGCAAGAUCCACACAUGACAGUUUAUCACAGUUUAUACUCCAUAUAUUGCUAUAUAGAGGCCAACUCUUCAUUAAGCGCCGAGCCACACAUAGGCGCCACUGCCACACUUUAACCAUAGGGCAGCUCAUUAUGGUAACUCACCUUCUUACCUGAGCAUAGGUGCAUCGUUACAAGUAUAUUACACUUCUCAGUAUUCCCAUGUCUGUAUACUCGUAUACAUCCAUGGGAUACUGAAUUCUCAGGAAAGUAAAUACUCCACAUCACAACCUUCAUAUAUACAUAUGUGGAACAUGUAUAUAAUCAGGCGCCACAAUUAAGGACUCCCCUAGACUGACAGUUGUUCGGUCAUGCUCUCACAUCUCACCUUACCUGAGCGUCGAUCCAUUCAAAAUUGAAUGGCCUUAAAAAUAACAUUACACAUGUAUGCAAUCCCCUCAGUUGUGGGUUAGUGUUUUUAAAUAAGCCACAUGAUAGUCCUUAGUUUUAGGGCUUAACAGAGGAUGCCGCUAGCAUUAUAGUUUUUCAAAUCUACUUUUCAAAACCAAACAAUACGUUUAGUUGAAAAUAGGUUUUCCAAAACCAAAACUUUUGUUUUGAAAAUACGUAUGUGACCGUAUAUACUUAAUCCUGCUCCGAUACCAGCUGUGGAAGAACCUCCCAAGUUAUUGGGCCCACAUGCACCUGCCCUUGUCUCAAAGACCUCAGAUGGCUAUGCAUGUGCACCAGAUAACUUAACAGGAUCCGUCCGAGUGUCCCAAGGACCCCGGAUAAACCACUUACAACCAGGAUCGCAAGAUUAAGUAAACACAAAUCACACACCAACAUUUUGCAGCGGAAUUUCUUUAUUACAAAAAGUUACAAGUUACAACAAUUUACAUUAUAUUUAUCGGAGUGAUUACAAAAGUGAUUCAAAGAAAUAAACUUUGAAAUGUUAUAAAUUAUUUAUAAGUUUGAAACAUAUGCUAGGUCAAUGACAAUCCUCAAUAAGAAGCAUAGAAGAGCUACUUUAACCUAUAAGAAGGCUGUGCCCACCGGCGCUUAGCACCAUCCACGACAGCACAAAUCUAGUACCUGCGACAACAUGGGUUCGAAAAACCCUGAGUACGAAGUGUACUUUCGCAAGUCUUACCUGACUAAGAGAAAAGACUCUCAAGGAUAUGCUGGAUUUGGGAAUCAUGGGCUUUUAGCAAGAAUCAACAUUAAUAGUUUGCAGAAAGCUUACUAAAAUGAGUCCUUACUUUCAACAUUUUAAUGCUAGAUUAAGUAUUAAUAGACCUUAUUUGCAUCUAGUCUAAUUUCAUCAUCACAUUAAUCAAUACAACCUGAUUUUUGCUCAUUAUGAUUAUAUCCAUGACUUAGAUUGCAAGUCAGUGACCAAGUCUUCAUAUCCGAGAAGUAACGGCGAUCCGAAUCGAUUAUUACCCAGUUGGGGAUCUCCAACCACACAACAUAUGUAGCACUUAACCCUUGCAUAUGUCAACUCGCCAUUGGGUUUCUCAAGACCAGAACGGGUUCACGCCAACCGAGAGCACAGAUACACCACCAUCCAGCCUCUUGCCACGGAGGGUACACACUACUCUCGCGAUCUCUCCACUCCCAUUGUGUGGUGGUCUUUCUGGUAUUGGUCCGACCAAGACAAAGCUUACCCAUGACGAGGCAUAUGGCCAGUUAAAAGGUCCUCGGUCAGCAGGCCUACAUUUCCUAUAAUCCUUAAUCAACCUGAGUAGAACAUCACCUAUUCCUAACCCAAGUCUCGAUUUAAGUACUUCCAUCCUUAGGAUCGUUUGUGUUCCUUAGGAUGAUUAAAUCAUCAUAGGGAACCUUGCAUCAGAUCUCCCAAUGACCCUGGUGAAAAUAUUCUUGUCGGUAGAGCCAUCCUUCAUUAGGAUAAACCAGAGCUAGGCAUUAGUGCAAAGGACAAACUCUAUCUGCAAGAUUUACCUCUAGGUAGGGCUAAGCAAUUUUGUAAAUCAUAUUUGAUACUUCACCAGAAGUAUCUAUAAAAGAAAUGGAUUUCAAGGUAGCCAAUGCAUCAAAGGGUUUCCAAGCAACUCCUAUAAACCUAAUGCACAUUUCACUAGACUUAAAGUGUGUAAAAAUCAUUUAAAAACACAAGGAAGGGGUUGCAUGCACUGGGGCUUGCUUCGAAUAACACUAGGUUAGUGUUUGUUAGAUGAUGUCCACUUGGCGAUUAGCCUUUAUUCUGAUACUUGCUCUGUCUGCCCAUUCUCAAGUUCGUCCACCAGAAUCACCAUGCGGAGUAGCCCAUGCUUAACAACAUCUUGUGGUCGACUCAGCUCUGGUCCUCCGCCUUACGUGAUUAAUUAACUCAAAUAGCAAGCAACAAUAAUUAAACACAUGUCCUAAGUUUUAGAGCAUAACAUUGAUAGAUCAUACAUUUAGACUUGUUAUCCUAGGAUACUCGAACUUGGAAUAAGGAUAUGAGUUAUUUAAUUAACCGUAUUGGGUUUCCAUAAAAAUUACCUGUGCGAGCAUAUUACUACUGUUGUACAAUACAUACAAUCAGAUAACCGACCAAAAUUUGAAACACAUUAUUACUACCCCAUAUGAAGAUGAAUUAUACUGCACUAAUAAAUAUUUAUCUAAGGUAUUUAACCGGUCAUUAACAAAGAAUAUCAUACUACUAAAGCAUAGCAUGGACUACUAUAACCACUAUAUUCAACCAGUAUUCAUAAUAAAAAAUUAACUAAUUCUAUCAAGCCAAACAAGAAUAACGCCAAACAAUCAAUUUACCACAUGCAGAUUUUUCUAGACAGCAGCACAACAGUCAAUGGUUUUGCUCAUAACUCACAAAAUAUUCAUCCAAAAGGGGUGAACAAGGACUUUCUACAAAGCCUUGAAAGUUCUCUAUAACUUUGAUAUUAUCAUCAUAACAAGAUUCGACCUUUAGAAAGGUCAAACAGUGCUAAACGUAAAUUCUAUCCAGAUUUGGACAUAAUUGGACUACUCACUUAAAAAAUCCAUAACUGGAGUCUCAAGCAUCCAAAUCAGGCGACCCUAGACUUUUUAGAAAGCUAAUAGAAUUGUCUACAAUUCAUUUAUAAACAUCUCAAGUUAAUUUAAUGCGUAGCAAGGUCAGUUAACACAAACAGUCUCUUAUGUCCAGAUUUGGAUAGAUUUAGACUUCAUAUUUCAAAUAGCUAUAACCUGGUCUCUAGACCACCAAAAAGGGUGAUCCAAGACUUUUUAGAAAGCUUAAGAAAAGUACUAUAAUUCUUCUAUAAUUACUAAGGGCUGAUUCUCAAUUUAACUUAGCCAAACAAUCCAAUUUCGGAAACCUGUACAGAAUUUGGACAGAUUCUGAAACUGGACUUGGAAAAUCAUAACUCCCAAACUACGAUACCUAUGGUCAUGAAAUUUACCACAACCAAGAUAAAUAGGUUAUCUACAACUUUUCUAUAUAACAUCUCUUCAGAAAACAAGGUUUACUUCACUCAACUACCUGCAUACUAAAACUAGACACAGUCUAAACAGCAAGUCCAAACAACCUACAUUCAAUUUACUCCUAUAUACUUUCUAAACUUAUUAUGUGUUUGACAUUUUCUAAUCGCAUAUAUGGAUUUCUGGUAUCUUAUAGUCAUGAAUCCAACUUCACAUAAUCUAGUAUUAUGAACCUACUUUGACAUUAUGCAAACAAAGAAUCAAUUUAAAGACAUUAUGCAUACACAUAUAUUCAUCCGAGCACAUCGACAGAAGUAACUGGCUAAUUUCUUAAAACACUAAACUACCAUUCGCAUCGCUUCAACACCACCUAAUGUAAGCACAAUUACUACAAUAAAAUAGAGGAAUAUACAAUAUAUCUAAACUAGAGAUAAGAAAAUCAUCGUAACUAUUUUAUCCAUCUAACCCAUACAUCGGCUAAAUUGCAGAAAUAAUGAGGUAGCUCACCACAACUAAAGUUGACUCGAUCGGCACUAAACGACCACGACAGCCGAUUCAAUCCUUUCACCCAGCAGCUAGUAAGCAACAGACGUGCUAUGUUUCUUUUUCACCUAGAUUCCACGGAUUUCGCUCCUCAACACACAUAGGCACAUAUACACACUUCACAUUAGCAAAUAGACGGCGAUCGAUGAAACGACGAAGCAAGAACGAAAUCUCACCGAGGGUUGGCGGUUUCGUGGAUGGGCUACGCAAAACAUCAAACAUCCGACGACGCUAAUAGGGUUGUCCAUGACACGACACUCCACUUGGGCAUUUUGUCAAACACCAUAUGGGUGCGGAUGGUGCAGGGCUACAGGAGGAUGUCCGACAAUGAGGAGCUGCUACAGAUAGGUGCGUAGCCAUGGGGAAAAAAGGACCAGAGGGGCGCUGGCCUGCUGCAGGAAAGGGAGGGGCAUCCAUGGGAGAGGGCUGGUGACUUUGGCGCCAUGGGGAAGCAAGAGCGGCAUGCUUGCUGCAGGAAAAGUAGGGCGACAUGAUAGGGAGAUGGAGCACGCCAUCUGCGGAGAGGGCGGCAGGGCGAGCUGGAGGUCGGCGACCAUGGCUGGUGAAGGCUCUGCGUGACUAACAACGUUGGGGAGAACUCGCGAGCAACCACCAGGGAGCGACUCGGCGAGCAUCAGAGGGCAGCGCCGACAUGGAAAGGGAUGAGGGAGAGAGGAGCAGGGAGGACGCUCGGUCAUGGGAGACAGAGAAGGAGCACGCGCAGGAAGAUGAGGAGCUGCGGCUGGGCGCUAGAAGGAGCAGAGGGAAGGGUGGCCAGCGCCAUGGGAGAUGGCAGAAGGAGGGGCGCGCGUGGGAGCACCAGGGCGCGCGGAUGCCAGAGCGCGCGGCUGGGAGAGAAGAUGAAGACAGCGGCCAGAUUUUUCCUUGCUACGCGAGCGGAUGAGGAUGACGGCUGAAUAUUUUCCUUUUUCAUUUCUUCUUUUUUUACACACUAAUCUAUAUAUAUUCGUGCUCUCAGAUUUGAAUCUAGUAUCAAGAUAUAAAUGAGGUUUAAUUGGGUUAGACCAAAAUGAUAUUGCCAACUAUAUAGGAGAUUACUUUUGAUAUAAUUGAGACCCGAUAAAUUUAUCUGCUACCCGAAUGCUCAGAGUAGAGCAAGAAAUAACGGACCACACCACGUCACUAUCUUCGAACACGAUUUCUCAGAUAGCACACGAGGUCGAGAUUAUUUUGAACAGAAACUUUAUUUAUUGAAUUCUAAAUGAAUUUGUUUAAGGAAAAAUUUACAAGAUUGAGUUUUAGCCAGAUGUCGACGGAUCAAACCAAGCGAUAUCGGAUUCGAUAUUUUAAUAGACAUUCGAUUUAGUUGAACCAAAACGAAUUUCGCCGCUAUUAUGUGUUAAAGUCCGCACUCGUGGGCGACACUAUACCACAACACCAAAUUAGCGUCAGACGACUGUCGCUAUAAAUAGAGAAUUCUCGUCGAACUGUUAGUCGGUACAUAUUGCCACAGAUUUUGAGUCGGCAUAUAUCUAUAUUUCAAAUAAGUAUCGGUCAUUAUAUUUAUAUGUGAAUAGCGACGCUUCGUCGGUCGGCAAUUCUCGCUAAUAGCAUCUCAUCGUUAGUCGGAAUAAAGACCAAAGAGUAAUUGCCUCUCGCGCGCGGCACCCAAUUUUUGCUGGCACCCAAAAUUGGCCAUAGAGGCCCACCUCCAGUUGAACUAUGGACCAAACCGUGUUUCCUCUUUUCAGCCACAGCUGCCACGCACCCACAGACCAAACCCUAUUUCCUCUUUUCAGCCACAGUCGCCGCGCACCCACGCUCGUACACUCAGCUGCCGCUGCGCCAAGGAGAAGCUGUGCGCGGUCCAGGCACAGGUGCAGGGUGAACAGGAGGCGGCGACAACACUCCAGAGGAGGGUGGAUGAGCUAGAGAGCGGCGGAUAGGAGAGGGCCGGUGUGUUGGCGGUGGAGGGCGUGGAGCUGCGCAGGGCAAACACUGUGCUAGAGGAGAACAACAGGGAGCUUGCCUUGAGGCUGCAGGACGCGAUCGAGCAGGCUACUGCAUCUGCCUCCGCUAAUCUAGCUCCUAAGGUAAUUGUUAUCUUAAUUCCUAUCUUCAGUAUAAUCUAGCUUUACAAAUCAGCUUGUAUAGUUACCAAAUGUUAGUUUUGGUAAAUUAUUUUAUUUGAUGAGCUAAUCUGCCUCCGCGGUUCGUAUUGAUGGUUCAAAAUUCUUGUUCUUUUUUGCACUGCAUAUUAUGCUAGGAAUAAAUAAAGUUCCUAUAAAACGGAGGCUGGAACAAGGUUCCAACCAUAGUCUGAAAUUUGUAACAAGGUUCCAGUCAUUGAUUUGAGAAAUUGAUCUUGUAUAUUCUAUUGCAAGUAGUAGCUCAAUCACUUUCUUGUGCAUCAUACACCGAAUGAAAAUGAAAUAUUAGGCAAUUAUUGUUUCCACAUUCAAUAAAUUGGUAGUAUAUGUAUUUUGUAUUUCUAAAUAAGGUGAGACCCCAUGGGAUGUGAAGCGUAUUGGUAAGCAAUUGAACUACCAAGAAGUUAUUAUAGGAUGUGGAUAAUUAGUGGAUAUUUAGUGCAUGACUGUAUAUUUGACAAUAUGCGUUUCUUUUCAUUUUUCUCUUGUAGAUUCACUAAGUUAUACACCCAUAAUAUAUGUUGGUUUGAUAGUUUUAUUCAUUAUUAUUACGGUAGAAAUUGCUAUCAUCAAGUUGAUAGGUGGACAAAUUUCAAUGCCAAAGUUGUUUCCCACCGUUAAUGAUGUGAAUGUCAUAGGUGUAUAAAUGAGAAAAAAUGAAUAAUUGGUUAGGAAGAACGUCAGGGAAACCAGUGACAACGGCUGGUCAGUUCCCCUUGGAAUUUACGCUUCUAUUUUUUUAUUGCUUGAUUGUGAUCACAUGGUAGGCCUCAUGUGCACUUUGCUGCUGAGGGUUAGUCAGUUUUCCUUGGAAUUUACCAUUGUUCUUUUGUCUUAUUGCUUGAUUGUGGCCUGAUGGGCGCUUUGUUGCUGCAUUUCUCAGGUUCGACAUGCCCCGUGCCUACCAUCACUCUCGAUUUGAAGAAGAGUCUCAAGAUUUUGCAGGUGUUGUGUUACUCCUGAUUCAGUUACCUUACUGGCAGUAGGAUGCCAUUGCAACAAUCUAAAAGUGCAAUCAUCUAAUUGAAGCUCUUUUACUUAUACAAGAUAGAUCUAGAAUUGUUUUACUUGAGAUUCAAGCAAUGUUGGAUGUGUCUGUCUCAGAUCAAUUGGUAUUGUGUGUUUGGUGAUCCUGGUUUAUCCUUUGGGAUGGUUAUGUGAUAGUAUAUUUGACAUCUUAUUUUGCUGGUGAGCUAUGUAAUUGACCCAAAAGGCACUUCAAGCGGGCAGGAAAGUCUAAGGCCCUUACUAAUUACUUCCAAGUAAGUAGAGCAAUCACCAUCACACAGAUUUAUUCAAGGUUUUUUUGUGUUAAGCCAAUUGUUCGUUUUCAUGUAAUUUUUGUCCACUAAUAUUUUAUUGAAUAAUUUGUGUGUCGUCGCAACGCACGAUCAUUGUACUAGUAGUAUUGAAUGCUCCAUUUGUAGUUCUUGUGAUAUUACAGUACUGCAGUCUAAAAUACUGAAACAUUGUACACUGUAAUACCCUGAAAGACUGGGCCAAUCAAUUUUGACUCUUCUUUACUUGGGCAUGUGUUUAUUCAAAAAAUUCUUGGUAGCUACGGUCUGAUUUGGACUCUAUAUUCUAUAGUUUAUAUUGGGAAGGAUUUCUUAAAUAGUCUACUAAUGAUUUGGUUUUUAAUUUGGUCAGGAGGGAGGUCCUAGAGGUAGCAAGCAGAUCGUGGUGGUACCUAUGGAUGAGCGCUAUAGCAAGAUCAAAAGUUCUUGUGGAUGGAUGUUAUUUUGUUUUGUAUUUCUCGAAAAGAGAAAUUUGCAAGUGAACUUAAAAUUGUGAAGCCACAUGUUCUCAUAUGUGGUUGUACUAGCUAGUAUCUCUGAGGUUUAACAAGUCAAACUUAGGGUUGUUGUCUGCUUAUUUUGAUCUUUAUUACGACAAGAGCAAACUUGUGACCUUUAUGUAUGAAUGCAGUACAAUUGUUAUUGCCAUGAAUGAAAAUAUGAGCUAUGUUUGACCAAAUCUGUAUCUAAUGUGGAACGUGAGAUUGUAUGACUAGUGUUUGAACUGUUGAUGAUAAUUAGAAGUUGCUAGUUAUAUAUUUUUCUAGACUCAUAUAGCCAUAGCGUUGGAUUGUUAGUCGGUAAAAAUACAUAUAUCUCAUCAAACAGUGCGUCGGUAUAAGUUCUAACAGAUUGUUAGUUAGAAAAAAUAUGUUAGUCGAUAUAUCUUUUUAGCGUCUAACCGUCUAUCGAUAUAAAUAUGUCUGUCGCUAUAAGUUUAUGCCGACGCCACUUACAGCGUCAGAAAGUGUUAGUCGGUAUAACUCUAUAGCGACUGAUAGUACGUUGCUAUAACGAUUUAUACCGACUGUAAGUAUGUUGUUGUAGCCAGGUUGUGGUAUAGUGCGAGCAGACGAUAAACACCUGGGGUGUUAUAGUUUCCAUCUUUGGUGUAAUGUUAUUUGUAUUCAUUAUUUGCUUAUUUGUAUGUAUUGCUUCAAAUAGAAGCAAGGUUGCAAGAAAUCUGAAGCCUAUCUUUUAAGGAAGCAUCUGAACAACAGGUUAUCGCAAAUAAAAGUAAAGUUGUGUCAUUGAUCACAUUUUCUAACCUAAGAAUGUUUAUGUUUAUGAUAAUCACCAUGGCAUGGUUAGGUUCAAUUGAAGGGACAUAAUAGGUUACGAUGUUUUGUUUACCCUAUACCUUGCAUACAAAUGAAUUAUUGAGUAGUCUUGCUAUUACUCUACCUGUUUUUGAGAUUAAUGCUAUAUAUGAAUUAUGAUCAUGCUUUAUUAUUAUUGCCAACAAAUUAUUUAUUGUGCAUGAUAAAAUCAUUUUGUUAAUUGGAACAUGAAGAGACCACCCGAGAAAACAGUGAUACCACAAGGGUGGAAUGGGAUGACCUUGGCCAAUUAAUUAGGAAAGCUACUGAGGGAUUACCUUACCUGAAAGGGGCAAGUGGGCAAGCGUCACUGCAUAGCAUAUUGCUGGCUGUAAUUACUGUGAUGGGGUUACAGACCGUGGAACAAGGCAUAUGCUUCUUUCGUCCUAAAAUUGUAGCGGGUCUUCUAAAACUAGUGGAACUUUGGAAAGACCUCGUAGUGGUACACUGCCUCGUCUCCUCGGUAGAGAUGAAUAGGAAGUCGCGAUCCCUUGGCAAAUGGGUGACACAUUUUGUGGGUAAAGAUGUGCAACCUCUAUAGAGUGUAAAACUGGUAUAUUAGCCGUGCUCACGGUCAUGAGCGACUUUGACCCUCACAUGAGUAAAUUAUGUAAUUAAAUUUAACAUGUCAUGUGUUGCAUUGCAUUGUUGGAUUUUGAUAUUGAUCAAUUAUUUAUUUGGGAUGCUAUUUAUUAUACUUAGUAAUUAAUAAUAAUUUUUUGACCAUCAAAGUUGCAAUGCUCAGCCUUAACCAAAUUCCUUGGUAAGCCUUACACUACACUUUUACCCACACUUGCUGAGCGAUGACCGUAUGUGAGCUCACCCUUGCUAUAAUCACACCAGGUCAAGAAACAGGUACCGUAGGAAGAAGAUUGCUAUGAAGAUGUGUUUGGAGAGGUCUAGGUCGUCGUCUUACAGUCAAUUAUGGUUGCAACUAAUCGUUGACGUCAUAUAGUGUAAUUUGUUUAGCUAUUUUGUACAUAAAUUGUUUUAAGUAAUAAAGAUGUGACAUUGGUUUAUGUAUCAUGAGUCUUCAUAUAUGUGAGACUUGAUCCUAUCACACAUUUGAGAUGUAUCUAUAUUUGUCCUUAAAUCCGGGUGUGACAAAAGUGGUACCAGAGCAAUGUUGACUAUAGGAUGUAACCUAGAUAGACGUAGACAAACACUUACCUACUUAUCUAUGCUACUCUAAUUCUUUAUACACUUUCCUUAAGCUUUUCUCAUCUAUUGCUGCUUUACUCUGAUUACACUUACCUUUUCACUUUUAAAGACAAAAGAGGAUUUCACACCUUGGAAUCCUAUACUCGAAUUGUCUCAAGGGAUAGACGUCCUAAGCAAGAAAAACUAUUUUUGUAGGUAUCUAUGUGCAUGAAUGCUUGUUCCUAUGAUACCUGUUUAAUUUGGUUCUUUGAUUGAGUGCGAUGAGUUGUGGAAUAAUGUUCGUAAUUGCAUCUGUUGGGGACUUGUUCUCAAAUGAUUCUAAUUAAGAACAAGGCAACACAAAAUGUUAAAGGUUAAUACCCUUCGUCCUUCGAAGCAUUAUUUCCCUUAGGAUAUAAUGAUCUUUAGACGAAGGUCUUGAAGGACAUACCUUCAUCAUCGCAGUAUAUGUUAAUAAAAGAAGAAGCAUAUGAAAUAUAAGAAACAACAUGAACUAUCACAUAACAUUAUUAACUCAUCCUAAUUAUAUUAUCAUGGAAAAACAGAAACAAUAUUGAAUUACAUUUGUACCUUCGGUUUGACAGAAGGUGAAAGUACAAGUGUGAUGCACAAGCAAGUACAAAUCAGCGUGAAUAGUACGGGGGUACUGUUCAUCUAUUUAUAGGCACAGGACGCAGCCUGUGUGAAAUUACAUUCAUGCCCUUCAUAUUUACUAUUGACUUAUAGACAACCCAAUGGGGACUAGAUAACCUUUUUCCCUUUUAAGUCGGUUCCUUUUUCCGCCAUUGAGCCGAAGCUCCCUUGCGCGUAGCUUUGGAGCAACACCAGCCUUCGUCACGACCAUGCUCUUCACAUUGUACAUGCUUUUGACCCGAGUUCGAAGGUACCUGUUCAUACUUGGAAGACAUUGUUAAAUCAUGUUUUUGAGGACCUUCGGAAGACGAAGGCCCCCAACAGUAGCCCCUCACAGUAUUAAUUUGUUAGGAUAACAAAUUCAGACUGCGACAUGGACGAAGGCCUUAAGCCGAAGGUCCGAAAAAACAUCUUCCCUUUGCUAGAAUAGCAACAGUCAAUGACAGACGGGGCCAUCCAAUUUGGAGCGCACUGGGCGUAUAAAUAGGAACUUACACCGACUGCACUUGAUACACUUCUUGUGCCAUUUGCUUUAUUUUCUCAAUUUUAUAGCUCUUGCUCACUAGCACUUGCUAGUUUUUCAAGCUCUCUGAGCUUCGGUUCAAAAGACGCGUUUUCACCAUUUCUGAAGAAAAAAUGUCUCAAGACAAGAAGGUUGCUGCUGAGACGAAGCUGACUGAAGAGGAGAAGCUUUUUGAGGAGAAGAAGAUUGUGGAUUCUUAUAUUGCUGGAUUUGUCGAGUCGAUGGCAAAAACAAAUACAGAGAAGAUUACUAAAGAGAUACUGGAGGGCUUGUCUGAAGAUACUGGUGACAGCGAUAGCUAUGAUGUGGAAAGUGGGGACGAAGAUUUUGAGGAUCGGUCCUAGAGGCCAAGUCAUUCAAUCUUCGGGAAGUCGACCAUCAAACAGAGUCAUCUUGAAAAUAUGAGAGGAAGGUACUUUCGGGAUUUGUCUAUUGUGAGGGCUGGCGGCGACAACAACGUCCCUGCCCCUGAGGAGAACGAAGUUGUAAUUUUCUGAAGCUUCUUCAAGGCUGGGCUUCGGUUCCCCUUGAGUAAGUUUGUAGUUGAAGUGCUGAAGACCUACCAAAUCUUCCUCCAUCAGAUCACCCCCGAAGCCAUAAUAAGGAUGGAGAUUUUUUUCUAGGCAGUAAGGAGCCAAGGGCUAGAGCCAAGCGCGAAGUGCUUCUGCAGUAUGCACGAACUUCUAUAUGAGACGAAGACCAUGGGUAAAGAACAGUACCACAACAACUUCGGUUGUUUUGGAUUUAUCGCUCGCCCCAAUGCAAGCCACCCGGUGCCGACAUUCCAGAAAAGGUGGCCCGGGGCUUGGAUGGAAGAAUGGUUUUAUGUAAAGAAUGAUUUGAAAGCGAGGGAAGACAUUAAGGAAGUCAUUAUGCGCCCCAUCUGGUCCCGCUUUGGCGUGCCAGAAGGCCUUCAGUACUGUUUGCUCCUUCAUUGGCACAAGAGAUUUAAUUCAAGAACAUAUAGCCUUCAGAGUAUGACCACUUGUAGAAAGCUGGGAAAUGCCGAUGGAGACCAUCACUAACUCUAGCGAAGGUGAUUUGGUCCGGCUGAAGUAUACAUUCAGGUUUGGGGAUAAGUUCGAUGAACCAAACGAGGACUGGCUGAAGUGUAUCGAAGCUACAAGUGAUGAACUGCUUGGAGCAUAUUCCAAGGCAGAAGAUAAUGCAUUGUCCGUAGCCUUCGGAGGUCGGGGAAAAAAGAGACUGAACAAAGUUUUUGACGCCAUUGGCUUCGUUUACUCCGACUACCGCUAUCCGCUGCGGGGACAGGGGAAAAAGAGGAAUGUUGCUACUUCGGACACCCCAGUUCGGCCUACGCCGAAGGGAAAAAAGUUGAAGGUUCUGACUCACUGGCCGCGUUACAUCGAACCGGUCGUGAUUCCUGAAUUUGGCGAAGGGGCCUCUUCGGCUGCCGAAACAAAAGAAACUGUUCUGCCUGCGCAGGACACUAGAGAGCUGGCCAUAAUGCCGAAGUUACUUUCAGUUAAACUUGUUGAGGCGACGACUGAUAAAGCUGAGGGGUAAAAAAUUGGAGAAAUAACAAAAAUGCCAGAGAUUUUGAGCCCUUCAACAAAGGCAACAGUGCCGAAGACACAAAAGAGUUCUGCCACAACUCCUAAGAGGAGAAGGAUGGCAAAUGUGCUAGAUGUUGUGUUAGAAACAGCAAAAACCUUGAGUUCUACUCCUUCAAGAAAGAUUGCCGAAGCUUCGAAAGCGCAACCCGAAGCUGAAACAAAGCAGGCAGAAGUCGAGGCUGCAACAAUUCAGGCUGAAACCGAAGCUGGGCCUUCAGAGCCCACCGAGACAGAACCUGUUGUAGUUGAAGAAAAGGCGGCAGAGCAAAUUACAUCUGAAAAGGUUGAAGCUGCUGCUACCGAAGCUUCAAAAGAAAGCACUGAUUACAUUAUUCAUCAUGCUUUGGGGAAGAGACUUUCUCAAGAAGAAAAGUUAGAAGCACUACACUAUGCCCAAAAAUUAAAAUACCCGAAGGGGGCAUUAGUGUUUAAUGGCAGUGGGGAAGAAGAUUUUUUGUACUGUCUCCCGGAUAAUAAAGAGAUAUCUAUUUGCCGAGAAAUAGGUAGAAGCAUCGAAUUCCCGAAGCUGGAAGAUGGCCUUUCAAUAUUAUCAAAGGAUGAGCUUGCUGACAACUUGGCGUAUAAUAGCAUAAAGGUAUAAAAGCUAAUUUUGUAUUUUGAAAACAAAAUAUUUUAUUUGCUUAUACUUAAUUCAGUCCUCCUCUUGCAGGGCUUAAUUCUUAGCAAUGCGCUUAGGGCUUAGAAAAACAUUGAAGAUAAAGGAUAUAUGAUGGCUCUGAACAACCUUCGUUCAGAGGUAAUUGAAUUAAGAAACGAAGGUCUUGAAAAAGACAAAAUCUUGAUUUCAUUGGUAAACAAAGUGAAAGAAGAUGAAGCUAGUUUCAAGGCUCAAGUCGAAAUCCAAAAGAAUGAAAUCGAAGACCUUCGGAAGCAGUUGGCAGAAGCCAAAGAAAAAAUGCGCUCUCGCAGAAGCUAACCGAGAUAUCAGUGAAUAUUGGAAAAACCAUUUAGAUAAAACAGUUGAAGAACUUCGCGCAUCCAAGGAAAGAUGCUUUGAAAAAUCCUUGGGCUGCGUGGAGAAAAUAAAGGCUAGCUUCGCCAACGUGGGCGCUUAUUCUAACGAAGAUAAUUUCAUACGAGGCGACCCUGAAGGUGUUAUCGAAUGGAUAAGUGGAGAGGCCGAAGCUUACGAAGAAAUAUUAAGUGAUCGCGGGGAUGUCUGCGCGUUCUCCGGUGCAAGGGGAAUUUCAGCCAUCCUGGAGAAGGCGGGAUGCGACCAUGUCAAGACCCUGGCCCAGGCCAAAGCUGCCUUCUCCGUGGAUGAUACAAAGGAUCCCUCAGCUGAAGCAAGUUUAAUGGGCGGGAAAUUUUACAAUGAUAUCUGGGUAAAUGGUGGCCAAGAUAUGGCUCACGAAAUUAUGAAGAAAAGUGAAAAAGACAUUCAUGACGCCCGAGUAGAAGCAAAACAAGCUGAGGAAGCUGCAGAGCGUGAAAGACGUAUAGGUAUUGUUUUGUGGUCUUUAGCUUCGGCAUUUGUUUUUACAGCUUCGGACUAAUUAACUUUUUCCUUCUUCAGCUGAAUUAUCUCCGUUGCCGGAACCGUUCGAUCCCCUGGCCGAUCCAGAAACAAAGGAAGCACUGGAGAUCAUUAAUAUGGCCGAAUUUAUCGUUGAUGAAGUCGUCAAUAAAUUGCUAAAUGAAGUUGCAGAGAAGAUCCUAAAAGAAGACUAGCACUUUUUGUAAAAACAUUUUGAAAUGGUCAAUGUAACUUUAUUGUAACAAGACUGUAAUGUUUGAUGUGUAUAUCUUUGAAUCUAAUAUGUAAAUUAUUUGUAAUUCACUUCUUUGCGAUGCAUGAAACUUUAUAUACAUACCGUUUUUGAGCCUUCAGCGAAAAAACACCUUCCCUUCUUUUCAUGCUUCGUAAAGAAAAAGAUCCAUGCUUUGUGAAAAUAUCCAAGCUUCGUAAAAACAUCCAUGCUUCGUAAAAAAUAUCCAUACUUCAUAAAAAAUAUCCAUACUUUGUAAAAACAUCCAUGCUUCGUAAAAAAUAUCCAUACUUCGUAAAAAUAUCCAUACUUCGUAAAAACAUCAAUGCUUUGUAAAAACAUCCAUGCUUCGUAAACGAAGGAUUCCUUCUUUUGCAACAGAGCUGACGAAACUGUAUUUCUCAGCUUACUUUGUGCCUUAGCAUAUUUUCAUUUUUAUAGAGCAUUCUCUGAAGCUCGACUUCGUAUUCGAUUCGUGUCAUUGGUGCGAUAUGAUGUAUGAUGUGAUGUUAUGCGGGAUGGUGUGAUGAUAUGAUGCAAAGAAUGAUGCUAAUGCCGAAGACACACACCCACACUGAAACACAAAAUCUCUGCGUCCCCUUAUGAACAAUCGGAAUCUCUUUGCCAUUUAUUUUUCGGCUUCACCGCUUAUUUUUUGGUGUAAGUUCUGCAUCCCCUUAGGAACGUCUUUUGAACUUAUUCGCCUUCUAUUUCGGUGGUAUAAGUUCUGCAUCCCCUUAGGAACGUCUUUUGAACUUCUUUGCCUUAUAUUUCGGCGAUAUUUGGCUCUGCAUUCCCUUUCGAACGACUUUUGAGCAGAAAACUUACACUGUGUUCCCUUAGGAACGACUUUUUGUAGCUUCAGUGAAACUUACGCUGCACUCCCUUAGGAACGACUUUUUGAGCUUCGGCAGUUUUUGAGCUUCGUAAGUUUGUGAAGAAGAUACAUUUCAUUUUGAUAGAAGCGAAACUAUUACAAGGAAUUAAAACUAGAUUUACAUUGCUUGUUCCUUAUUGAAAAACAAAAUGACAUAGAACAUAAAAGCAUUUUGGGGGUAGGAUAUCGCUCAAUAAAUGUGCUUUGAUUCUGGCACAAUACUGUUGACUGUGCGAGCUUUGGAUUCCUCCGUGAACUCCCGUUGUUGUUGGGUGUGCUGGCGCCCUUCUGGCUGCUGGCUUCGGGAAUAGGUUGGUUGCAGUGGUGGUGGGGGUGGGAGUUGUGGCCAAGAAACCUAUGAAUGGCUAGCCGAAGCAACAGAAGCUGCAGGAUGAUUGCCCACAUAUUCUGGUAUGUAGGGAGAGUGGCACGAAGCAGUGUGCAAGACCUGCUUUGGCUGAUUCUGCCAAGCUUCGGCUUCUGCGAUCUCCUUCUGCUUCUGAAUGGUGAUUUGGCACAUUCUUGUAGUAUGGCCCUUGUCUUCACCACAGAAUAAGCAAUAAAUCUUCCUGGGCUGAUCCUCAUAUCUUCCUCCGAAGCCCCUGGCGCCUCUGCCCCUUGGAGCUGGCGGCCUAAAAGAGCUUUGCUGUUGCCCCGAAGAUUGUGAGGUGUACUAUGGCCUCUGAAGCUGGCUUCCUUUGUCGUCAUUCUGACUGGAAUUAUGGAUUGACCUGACAUGCCUCGGGUGGAUUCUUCCUCCGAAGCCCCUGGUCAUCUUCGAGAAUCUGUAAGCUUCCUCCCUUCUUUGGCGGAAGUCGUUGUCAGCCCGAAUGUAUUCAUCCAUCUUCUGAAGCAGCUUCUCUGGAGUUUGUGGGGGCUUCCUAGCAAAGUACUGAGCCAUGGGUCCUGGCCGAAGACCCUUAAUCAUGGCCUCAAUGACAAUUUCAUUGGGCAUUAUGGGCGCUUGUGCCCUCAGUCGCAAGAACCUUCGGACAUACGCCUAGAGGUAUUCCUCAUGGUCUUGCGUGCACUAGAACAAGGCCUGAGCUGUGACUGAUUUCGUCUGAAAGCCUUGGAAACUGGUCACCAGCAUGUCUUGAGCUUCUGCCACGACGUGAUUGUCUCUGGUCGAAGGGAAGAAUACCAUGUCUGGGCCACGUUCCGGACCGCCAUGACGAAGGACUUAGCCAUGACAGCUGCAUUGCCUUCGUAUGAGGAUAUCAUUGCCUCAUAGCUCAUCACAAAUUGUUUUGGGUCCGAGUGCCCAUCGUACAUUGGUAGCUGAGGUGGCUUGUAAGAUUGUGGCCAUGGGAUAGCCUGCAGUUCUGCUCCCAAGGGAAAAGCAUCAUCAAAAGUAAAGGUAUCAUAAUUAAAAUCAUCUUACCAUCCAUCCUCGUUGAAUAAGCCUUCCUGACGAAGCUCCCUGUGCUGGGGCCUUCGGUCUUGUUCGUCUUGAGCAAGAUGACACACUUCUUCAGUAGCUUCGUCGAUCUUCGUUUGAAGAUCGGCCAACUGAGCCAUCUUCUCCUUCUUCCUUUGCACUUGUUGAUGGAUGAUUUCCAUGUCCCUGAUCUCUUGGUCCAACUCCUCCUCCUGGAGUGUUAGACUGGUGGUCUUUCUCUUCUGGCUUUGAGCCUCUCAGAGAGAGAGAAUCUCCUGAUUUGUGUCCAGUGGCUGCAGUGCAGCAGCCCCUGGCGCGGUUAUCUUCUUCGGCGGCAUGACGAAGGUCAGUGCUUGUCGAAGGUGGUCGAAUGAGUUCACCGAAGGUGGGCGCCAAUGUUGGGGACUUGUUCUCAAAUGCUUCGAAUUAAGAACAAGGCAACACAAAAUGUUAAAGGUUAAUACCCUUCGUCCUUCGAAGCAUUAUUUCCCUUAGGAUAUAAUGAUCUUUAGACGAAGGUCAUGAAGGACAUACCUUCAUCAUCGCAGUAUAUGUUAAUAAAAGAAGAAGCAUAUGAAAUAUAAGAAACAACAUGAACUAUCACAUAACAUUAUUAACUCAUCCUCAUUAUAUUAUCAUGGAAAAACAGAAACAAUAUUGAAUUACAUUUGUACCUUCGGUUUGACAGAAGAUAAAAGUACAAGUGUGACGCACAAGCAAGUACAAAUCAGCGUGAACAGUACGAGGGUACUGUUCAUCUAUUUAUAGGCACAGGACGCAACCUGUGUGAAAUUACAUUCAAGCCCUUUAUAUUUACUAUUGACAUAUAGACAACCCAAUGGGGACUAGAUAGCCUUUUCCCUUUUAAGUUGGUUCUUUUUUCCGCCAUUGAGCCGAAGCUUCCUUGCGCGUAGCUUCGGAGCAACACCAGCCUUCGUCACGACCAUGCUCUUCACAUUGUAUAUGCUUUUGACCCGAGUUCGAAGGUACAUGUUCAUACUUGGAAGACAUUGUUAAAUCAUGUUUUUGAGGACCUUCGGAAGACGAAGGCCCCCAACAACAUCAAUAUAUAAAUAAACCAACUUAAAUAAAAAACUAUUCAACUUAAAUUAUUCUUCAUUAGGAAAAGAUAGAUAACUCAAACAAGGAUAUGCCCUAUCCAAAUAGAUUACCUAAUCCUAAUAGAUCUAUCUCAUCUUGACAGAUCCAUCUUGUCUUAAAAGAUUCUAUCAUAUCCUAAUAGAUUCAUCUGAUCCUAAUCUACUUACCCCACCUUAGAGCAGUAGCCAAGAUCUAUUCUAGUUAAAACUAAUCUAAUCUAACCGGAUCUAAUCUGAUUCACUUACUUCACCUGAUGCAUCUUCUUGUACAUAUAUAAAGGUUAGAAGUAUUUAAAUUAGGAUAGUUAAUACUAAUAAAAUAAAUUUAGGAAAUUUUGACCCUACUACCAGAAAUUCUAUAACAUAAAUUCACUUUACCCUAGAUAGUACCUAGCCUAACUCGGUCAUAUACAAACAACCUAACCUACAUUGAUAUGUUACAUAAUCUACCUAUUUCAAAACAAGAUUCUAACCUACCUACCAAAACUAAAAAUUCCAACCUGACCUACAUUUUCCUGAUGAUCUACAUAAUUUAUCUAUUCCAACCAAAACAUCGAACAAGAUUUCCCCCUACCCUAUAAAGUCUAUCGAGCUCACAGCUGCCUUAAUAUAUUUGAGAUAGAUUCUUUCUUUGCCAUAAUCUUUCUUACACCAACCUACCCUUGCCCUAACCAUGAAUCAUCCUGCCUAAUAGACGACCAAACACAAAGGAUACUCAUGCUUUCCUAAACUCUACUAAUUAAUUAGGGUUAAGGAUUAAAAAAACUUUCUAUUUUGAACCAAUUACAAAUAGACCAUCAUCAUCUCUUUUCUUAGAAUCUCGAGGACGAGAUUCUUUGUAAGGGGUAGCAUUUGUAGUACCCAAAUUCUAGAUGAAUAAAGAAAGGAGAGAAUAUUAAUUACAUAUACUUUCUUGUUCAUUUAGCAUAUAUAUAAAAAUUCUCAUGUUCAAGUAAUUAGAGAAAUUAAUAAUCAAUAGAAUAACAGUGCAUCAUGUUGGAUCUUUGAAUUGUGCAUAUAAAUUUGAUUUGAAAACAUCAAUCAGAUUAAAUUUAGGACAUCUAGAACUAGAAAGGAAAACUGAAAUUAUAAAUAGAAAAGAAAAAGGGACCCAACCUGGCUUCCUUACUGCUUGGCCCAACAGAGUUUAUUGUGCGAGAGUCGUAGAUCUACAAUCGGGUGGAUAAGAAGAGAGCCUUACUAAUAAUCUAAACCAUUGAUCGGUUCAAAAUCAGAGUCCACGAUCAAAUCAGAGUCCACGAUCAAAUCAGAGUCGUUGAGAUUAAUCAGACGGCCUAGGUAGCAGCGUACCUCUUCGGCCGUUGAAAUUUGUUAAAGAGCCCCUGCGUUUUAAACAAAUCAACCUGUCAUCCACUGACAAUUCAAAAUAAUUGCAUAAAGGUUCCUUAAUUUACAUUUUGGUCCUUUGGAGCAUUAUUUUAAUAUAGCAGUAACCCGAAAACUGGUUUAAUCUAUAAGUUUCUCGUUUUAUUCUGUUCAGGUUACGUUAGCUUUGUAAUAAAUUGCCUACACAGUAACAACAUUAUUUGUACCAUAUCACAUACUUUUAUAAUUAAAUAUUUGUUUAACCUAUGUUUAGUAGAUUAACCUUUCUAAUCAAAGUUAAUCUAUCGAUAAUUAUAAUUUGACUAAAAAGGUGGUCUCUAAUCAAAGUUAUAACUUAGACUAAAGUUAAAUUAGUUAUUUCUUUAGAGUAUCUUUAUCACAUGAAUUAUAAUAAAUAUGGAAUAUAGUUUAAUACUUAAUCACAUAGAACUUCUGAAAACCAUAUCUUCUAAAUAGUAACUUCGAUUUUAGUGGUUCUUCAACCUACGAUCUCGUAGCGACACAUAGAAUAUUAUUGUGUGGUUUGUUUCUAUCUUUGGUGUAAUGUAUUGCCACGAAUACAAGCAAGGUUGUGAGGAAUCUGAAGCCCAACUUUUGAGAAAACAUCUGAACAACAUGUUGUCGGUACCCUAAAACUAGGGUACCCCUUACUAUUGUAUGAAGACGCAGUACCCACACGGCUAUCUUCAGUCACGUGGUAAAGGAGCUGUACGUGGGACCAGACCAUGACUCGCCCCAGCCUCGAGCGACUACUCUGGGCCAGCAACAGCGCCUGACCCCACCACGUGGGCGGCUCCAGGGCCGCCACGUGGCUAGAGAAAGUGAUAUACUCUAAGGCAUCAACAGUGAGUCCGGACCCUCAUGGGGAAGUGCUGGACCCCUGGAUAUACAGUCCGAAUCUCCAAGUUGGUCCAGAACCCCCACAUGUACGGACCGGACCCCUAGAAUGGGAUCCGGACCCCCCGUAUGGGUCCAGACCACCCACAGUGGGGUCUUAGGACCUUACUUAAGGCCCAGGCGGGGGUCCAGAGCUAACACGUGUCCAGACCUGUUCUGGUGCGCUACGGACCUAUCCGCAUACACUGCUGCUCCCCACUCAGGCGGAGCCCCGAUGCUGCCACGUGGCACACUGCGCGCGGCAUAAGCCAACGGGCGGAACCCGGCGUGACGCCUCUGGGCUACACGCGCCUUCAUGACGGAUAAGACGUGCGCCUGUCCAUUCCACUGACAGGCGGCGUGCUCAGUCCACGAUACGUGGGCCGUACAUUUACUCACCAUUACUCCCGCAUUACUCGUACGGUAACUGCCCAUCAAUGCAGCAUGGAUUGCGGACAUCAAGACUCCUGGUGAUUACUCAGGCGUUACUAGCAUUAGUUACUCACAUAAUAUAUUCUUUCCAUUAUGUUCCUGGGCCCACAUGUCGGGGCUCAGCAUCCUUGUAUGUGCCUUCCUUAAACUAUAAAAGAGAAGGCACACAACGUUACAAGGGAUGAGCUCUCUCACACGCCCAAGCUCACAGACUCAAUUCACUCUCAAUACAGCUUACACACAGUGGAGGUAGGGUAUUACGCUCCGGCGGCCUGAACCACUCUAAACACUCGUGUCCUCGUGUGUUCAUCCACCUUCCAACAGAUAGGCAAACCUCUUAGGCCCCUCCUCAUCUUAGGAUUAGGGCGGGUGCGUUCCACCACCCGGCCGGUGGAAUUCUCCCACCGACACAGGUUAUCACAAGUAAAAGGUAAAUUGUGUCCUUGAUCACAUUUUCUAACAUAAGAAUGUUUAUGUUUUUUAUAAUCACCACGGCAUGGUUAGGUUAAAUUGUUGGGACCUAAUAGAUUACCUAGUUUUGUUUACCCUACACCUUGCAUACAAAUGAAUUAUUGAGUAGUCUUGUUAUUGCUCUACCUGGUUUUUGGGAUUAAUAUUAUAUGUGAAUUAUGAUCAUGCUUUAUUAUUAUUACCAAUAGAUUCUUUAUUGUUCAUGAUAAGAUCACUUUAUUAAUUGGAACAUGGAGCGAUCACCCAAAAAAACAGUGCGACCAUAAGGGUGCAAUGGAAUGCCCUUGGCCAAUUAAUUAGGAAAGAUGGUGAGGGAUUAUCUUACCCGAAAGGGAAAGGGGCAAGCAAGGAGGUGUCGCUGCAGAGUAUAGUGAUGGUUGUAUUACCGCGAUGGGGUUACAGACCGUGGAACAAAGCCUAUGCUUCCUUCGUCACCAUAGCAGGUCUUCUCAAAUUAGUGCAACUUUGGAAGGGCCUCGUAGUGGUACCCUGCCUCUUCUCCUCAGUAGAGAUGAAUGGGAAGUCGCGAUCCCUUGGCAAAUGGUUAACACGUCUUGUGGUUUAAGAUGUGCAACCUCUGCAAGUGUAAAACUGGUAUAUCAGCCGUGCUCGUAGUCAUGAGCGGCUCAGACCUUCACAUGAGUAAAUUAUGGAAUUAAAUUUAACAUGUUAUCUGUUGCAUUGCAUUGUGGGAUUUUGAUAUUGAUCAAUUAUUUAAUUGGGAUGGUAUUUUCUUUACUUAGUAAUUGCUAAUAAAAUUUUGACUAACAAAGUUAAAAGUAAUGCCCAGCCUUAACCAAAUUCCUUGGUAAGCCUUACAUUACACUUUUACCCACACUUGCUGAGCGAUGACAAUAUGGGAGUUCACCCUUGAUAUAAUCACAACAGGUCAAGAACAGGUAUCGCCAGAAGAAGAUUGCUAUGAAUAUGAGUUCGGAGAGGUCUAGUCCAUCAUCACCCAGUCAACUAUGGUUGCGGAGGAUCGCUAUCGUCAUAUGGUAUAAUUUAUUUCGCUAUUUUAUAUAGAAAUUGUAUUAAGUAAUAAAGAUGUGACAUUGAUUUAUGUACCAUGAGUUACCAUAUGUGUGAGAGUUGAUCCUAUCACACAUUUGAGAUGCAUCUAGAUUUGUCUUUAAAAACGGGUGUGGCAUUAGAAUAUCAUAAGUCCUUGAUAUCGAACCAGUGUUCAUUUUGUUUUGUUAGUUUAAUUUUUGGUAUCAGGUAUAUUGGUUUGGUUUUUGGUUAAUUAUGUUCUCCUCGAAGCACAAUAUAUGUCUCUAUUUAGAUUUUCUAGUGUAAUAUUUUGUUGAUUAAAUUUAGGGUUAUACUUUAGACAACUAAAACUUUAGUCACUAAACUUUAGACUAUGGGGCCAUUUGGAUUACGACUAAAGUUUAGUUCUAACUCAAUAUAACGACUUACCUUGGGCCACUUUUGUUACUAUUCUCACUCCACAUGGUUGUGUGCCACAUUUCUGCUGCUCUAUAUGUUUGUGUUCAUUUAUUUUUGUCCUUUUCUGGGUUGUUUAAAAAAUAAUCACUAAUGAAUAUUGAUAGAUUAAUAUUUAGAAUUCGGUACAUAAGAUUGUUCAACAAAAUGAAGUGCGUCCACAUGCAAACCAAAUGUACUGAACAUAGUAGUUCGAAUAAUACAUUUAAUUUUGGAGACAGGAUCCCAUACUAGCCUGUGAUUUACAUUACUCUCGUCUAGCAAACAAUGCGUUAACAAUGUUGUCAUGAGACGAUCAUGUGUUCAGGUUAUGAUCCUCGAUGCCUCCAUACCAAUUGCCACUACUUGUGAUAGGAACGGGCGUACCCGAUCUUCCGUCAGAUGAAGAUAACUAUCGAUUUGGUGGAGAUGUCACACAGACGAUCCGGCUUCCAAUCAACACGACUAGAACCCUGCAAUCGCAGCACCACUUCUCCUCUAGUUAUCAAUCGUGCACUGCGCGAUUGACCUCGCCACGAGGGCUAAUUCCUGUCUGAGAAUCGAAGACACAAGCAAGAACAAGAAAGAACACAAUCUAGAAUAUUACGGAUGAAUGAUUAAGCUCACAAGUUGGGGUCUCACAAACCGAUCUACGGCGACUGUUCUUGACAGAUCUAAACUUAAGCAAAACCCAACCCUAAUGUGGUGGCGGCUGCUGAAUAAAUAGAGUAUUAGGGCGUGCGUGACCCCUGGACUCGCCCCUAGUGGGCUCCGACGCGAUACACGGCCCAACAGACGGUGUCGCAGCACCAAAACAGAAUCUGAACGCUGACUUGUUUCAACGAUUCCCGUUGACUUUGGACGAAUUUUAUGGUGGAACCAAUUGGGUUGGUUAGAUAAUCUCCUUAUCUUUCCAACCAUAUCAAGUUCGUCGCAAUCGGAGUCCGGAUGCAUCUUGGGCGUCCAUUUUAGUGCAGACUGGUCCUGGAACCCGAGAUGGAGUCGCAGCCGAGUCGGACUUGAUCUCCUUCCUGUUGUGGGCGCCCUUACUGCUCCUCCUCAACACCUAGGUCUUUCCUAAGUCCUUGCUGGUCCUCACCAAGGUUCCUAAUCAUCAAAACAUCCAUGGUCCCAAGUGUAAGCUCUGAAACACAAUUGACUAGGGCAGAACGUACCAUGAGAAUUAGCUGUCGUGCACGCAAUCGUGUUAUCGGUCCAUUUAUUGUAUGUAUAGAAGUGAUGUCCUCAUCAACUUGUCUCUGGAGAAGAUUCAUCAGGGAUUUUUAAGGGAAUAGAAGGGGCCUUAGCCCUUACCGAAUGUAAUACCCAAAUUAUAAGGAAGAAUAAAAGUAGAAUUUGCUCUCCUCUAUAUAUGUGUAUGUAUCUUUAUUUGUCAUCACAUGUGAACACCGUCUUUAAAAACAAUUAAUAAAAAUAUAUACCACUAAAAUAUUGCAUCAUGUUGAGUCUUAUGUUUGUGCAUCUAAUACUGGCUGGAUUAAUAAAAAUGUGCUAAUGUCUAAAUUAGAAUUUAAUCAAAGAAUUAUAAUUUAGAGCAUUGGAAUAAUAAAACUAGAAAUGGGAAGGAAAUAAGAAACAUGUUAAAUAAAAUAAAAAUAAAAAUAAGAAUAAAAUUCUUACCUAACUGGUGCAUUCAAUUGUACAUUAAAAAGAAUACAAAUUCACCAAAGAUUUAGGAUUCAGAUUUGGAUUCAAAAAUAUAAGAAAGAAAAGAGAAUAACAGCAAAAGAAAAGAAAAAGAAAUAAGAAAAACUCGCUUGGGCCAAAGUCAGUCCGUUCGGCCCACUAACCUGCGCGCGUACGGCCCAGCUGCCAAUGUCUACCCGCGUGCACCCUGUGCCACUACGAGUGGGACCCACUCGUCAGCUAACGAUUCCGCGCGUGUCGUCCGGUGGAAAAGGUGGGGCCGCCCGGUCAGCUGGCCAUUUACUCUUUCCUGCGCACGCCGCGUCUGUGAACAUCUCUGAGUGGUGGGCCCGCAUCGUCAGCCCGUCUUCCUUGCUCCGGCACACAACAAACUAUGCGCACGACGCGCGAGAUCGCCGCGGGAGCUCAACCACCUGAACUGCGUGGCCGAUUUUGCCGGGGGAGGGUUCCGCAAAUAAGUAGCCGCCUGUCCUAGUGCGUUUCUUUCGCCUCCCAUCAUCCUCUACCAACGCCGUGCAAGUUGUUCGCCGCCGCCUAACACGAAGGGGGUCGCCGUGGUGGAAAUGACGGCGAGCGAACUAUUCAGGCGCGCCGCUUGCCGUGGGGGCAUCGCUUGUCUGCGGGGGAGUCGAACGGACCCUCUUCGGGUGGCGCUCAGGUCAGGGGCACCACCAAUUGCUCGCCAGCGUGCUGAAUCCGUCCCGGGCCGCACCGAGACGUAGACGGGAGUCCACGGGCCUACCUUCGUUUCGGUAAGACUUCCUGUGCAUACGCUUUCACCUUCCGUUCGAAAUGGUGUAGGUAUCGCGUAGGUUCGAGCAGUAGUCGACCGGUUUGGUAGAACGCCGACGAGGGGGCCGCCUUGGGCGUGUCUGCGCCGCCGCGCUCGGUUGCGGGAGGUGGAAGCUGAUCCACGGCUGUUGGAUCUCCAUCCCGCGCCCGUGAUUAAACCAGGGGGCGUACCGCUUCAGGAGUUAGCGAGCGCCGUUUGAUCUGGAUCGUUCGGUUGGCGAUAGGCGUAGGCUACUUUGAAUCGGGAGCCGUUGAUCGCGUAUCCUGCGGCUCGGAUUGCAUACCGGUUCAGCGAAUACAACUUCUAAUCUGGACCGUCCGGUGUGGAUCGGGUGGCCCAGCGUUAACCACACCCUUCGGCCUGGGCGUUUUGCGUAAGAACCCUCCUGGAAGUUAGAAUUUUAACCCGUAGUCCACUCUGGUGGAAACCUGUGUCUGUGGGGUUUUUGCAGGGAAGCCCCUGCACUUUCCAGAAAAUUGUGCCCAGUCCAGACAAUAGAAAAAACCAUAGAAAAUAAAACAGAAAUUGAUUUUUAAUGCAUAAAUAAAUGUUAGAACUUGUUAAAUUCCUAGAAAAUCCAUAUGAACUCCAAAUUAUUCCAUUCCAGUUUCUAAAUUUUUGUAAUAUUAUUGUCUAACCAUUUGUGCUACUGUUUUGACAUGAAAAACACAUUAAAAUUAUCUAGUACUUAAUCUUGUAUUAAAUACAUAAAACCUUGGAAAAUUUAUAACUUAAAAUCCAUAACUCCAAAUUUAAUGAUUUCAGUUCCUAUGAUCUUAUUUUAAUGUCUAGAUUAUUAUUGUGUAUUUUAAUUAUAUGUUUGGUGUGAUGUUAAUUUUUGCUAUACUAUGUAUGUAUUGUAUCGAUGCGAGUAGACGAGCAAACUGCAGAGGAUUCCGAGGUUCAGCUGGUAGAGACUGCUGAGCAGGAGCUCGUUGAAGGCAAGUUGUGCUCUUGAUCACUUCUUUUACCCAGUCAUGUUCUUAUUAAUCAUAAUGAUCUGCAUAGGUUAAUUUUGAUGGGACCCAAUAGGUUACCAUAGAUUUUGACUAUCUUUAUACCUUGUUUCACCACUGGUUUUACUACUAAAUUUUUGGGUAGUAUAUGCUAUUGCUUUAUGUGGCUUUGGGUAUAGAGAUAUUCAUCACUCAUUGUUAUACUCUUUAUUAUCUGUUUAUUAUUUACUGUCAUGAUAAGAUCAUUAUGUUAAUGGGAACAUGGAGAACCACCCGAGAAAACGAUGCUACCACAAGGGUUUAAUGGGACGCCCUUGGCUGAUUAACUAGGAAAGCUAGUGGAUGACUACCUUACCCGAAAGGGGCAAGGGCAGUUGGAGAGUGGUCAGUGUAGGGAGGUCCUUGGGUUGAUUUUGCUGCGAUGGCGGUCAGGCGAGGGAUUCCUGCACUGGAGCUUCCUAUAAACUGUAGCGGGUUUUCUAAAGCUAGUGGAACUUUGUAAAGGCCUCGUAGUGGUACCCUGCCUCGCUUCCUUGGUAGAGGUGUAUUGGGUCUGAUAAACUCCAUGGCAAAUGGGUAACACGACUUGUGGGUAAAGAUGCACAACCUCUGCAGAGUGUAAAACUGGUAUACUAGCCGUGCUCACAGUCAUGAGCGGCUCGGACACUCACAUGAUUAAUCUAUGGAACUUAAACUCAAUCUGUCAUUUCAUUACAUCUGGGAUUAUUUCAUUAUUACUUUUAUUUAUUAUUUCUAAGGUUUGGUAUUUACUUAUACUUAGUAAUUGCUAAUAAAAUUUUGACCAACUUAUAAAAGCAAUGCUCAGCUUCAGCCUUUAUUUCAUUGAUCAGCCUUACACUUCAUGAACUCCCACCUUUGGUGAGUUCAUGCCACAGUAUUCCCCACAACUUGUUGAGCGAUGAACAUGUGUGAGCUCACUCUUGCUAUCUCACACCCCCCACAGGAGAAGAACAGGUGGUCGAAGAGGAGCCGCCUAACUCUAAGGCUUUCGACUUGAUCUAGGUGGCGUCUCCCAGUCAGCUUUCUGGCGCCAAGGAUAGAUUUUAGUUCCUGCUAUCUUUAUCUUUUAUUUUGUAAGACUUCCGCUAUGUAAUAAGUACUCUGAUUAUAUUGUGACAUUUAUCUCUAUACACUCUGUUAUUAUAUAUGUUGUCUUCUUUGGCGCAUGUAUGAGAUGCACCCGACUUUGUUCCUUAAAACCGGGUGCGACAGAAGUGGUAUCAGAGGAAAUGUUGACUGUAGGGCGAAACCUAGAUAGAAAUGGACAAAACCCUAAUCUACUUACCUUACUCUGAUUCUUUCUAUACUUAUCUUAUCUUGAUCCUGUCUCACCUUUUGUUGUCAUACUCUGAUUACUCUUAUCUUUUCUGCUCUAAGACAAGAUGGAUUUCACACCUUAGAAUCCUACAUUUAUGAACUUUUUUUAGAGAUAGGAAACCCAAGACAAAAUUAAAAUUAUUUUCUCUAUUAAAAAUGUUGGUUGAUUGUUCUGAUGAUCAAUGCCUGAUUUGCUUCUUUGAUUGAUUGAAACAUUAUAGUUGGGCAUCUUAGCAUGUACCACCAUGAGGUAAUGUAUUAGCUUUAGUGGAUAACACACUAAUCUACUUAGCUAAUAAAUCCCCCUCAGUAACAUUCCUCGUAAUUACUCGCCUUGUUUACAAUUAUUCCUUUCCUACCCUGUGUUUCUAACCCAGAUGGGCUACCCCUAUACUGUUAGAAGAGAACAAUAUAGACUUGAUCCUUGGUAUGUCAUGGUUAAGAAAGGCAAAGAAAGUUUAUACACUAUGUUAAGGGAACCAUAGAACUAACCAGUUCCAAAGGAGAAAGAUUUGAAGUUGGAAUUGCAGUAACUACCGCCACCAGACUCGUGGCAUUCUUAGUAGAUGGGAAGUUUGUUGGUGUCAACAUCCGUGUGGUUAGAGAUUUUUCGGAUGUCUUCCCAGAAGAGUUACCAGGGAUGCCACCAUAUAAGGAAGUUGAGUUUGUCAUUGAUCCCUUACCUGGGACUGCUCUUACUUCCAAACGGUCGUACGAGAUGUCGGUAGAAGAGUUAAAAGAACUUAAGAAGCAGUUGACAAAGUUGCAAGAGGCUGGGUACAUUUGACCGAGUUCUUCACCUUCGGGAGCAACGAUUCUGUUUGUACAGAAGAAGAAUGGAUCACAGCGGAUGUGCGUGGAUUAUAGAUCACUUAACGAUGUCACUGUGAAGAACAAGUGUUCAUUACCCCACAUUGAGGAUUUAUUUAAUCGGAUGAGAGGUGCAAGGGUAUUCUCGAAGAUUGAUCUCCGAUCGGGUUAUCAUCAAAUGAAGAUUUGGCCAUUGGAUAUUCCCAAGACGAAUUUCUCGACCCGAUAUGGUUUAUAUGAGUUCACUGUUAUGUCAUUUGGACUAACCAAUGCACCAGCUUAUUUUAUGAAUUUGAUGAAUAAGGUGUUUAUGGAGUAUUUUGGACAGAUUCGUCGUAGUAUUCAUCGACGAUAUACUUAUCUAUUCCAAGAGUGAUAGUGAUCAUGAGGAACAUCUGAGAUUGGUGCUACAGAAGCUAUGAGAUAAUCAACUCUACGCCAAGUUUAGCAAGUGUGAGUUUUGGAUUAGCGAGGUGCCAUUUCUUGGACAUAUCAUUUCUAAUGGAGGAAUAUCAAUGGAUCCUGCUAAGGUUAAGGAGAUAAUGGAGUGGAGAGUACCCACUACAGUUACGGAGGUUUGGAGUCUCUUGGGACUUGUAGGAUAUUAUCGAAGAUUUAUUGAAAGAUUUUCUAAGAUUGCUAAGCCUAUGACCUCGCUUCUGGAGAAAGGAAGAGAGUUUAAGUGGGACGAGAAGUGCCAAGACAGCUUUGAUCAAUUAAAGAAGAGAUUGAUGUCACCACCAUUGUUGGUUAUGCCAGAUCUACAAAAGGGAUUUGAUAUCUAUUGUGAUGCAUGUGGCCAAGGCUUAGGAUGUGUGCUCAUGCAAAAAGUACAUGUGAUUGCCUAUGCGUCUCAUCAGUUGUGGAAACAUGAAUUGAACUACCCCACUCAUGACUUGGAACUGGCAGCCGCUGUGCAUGCACUUAAGAUAUGGAGGCAUUAUAUUAUGGGAAUCAAGUGCCAAGUGUACACGGAUCAUAAGAGAUUGAAGUACAUAUUCACUCAGAAGGAUCUCAACCUUAUGCAACGCCGUUGGUUGGAGCUUAUUAAGGAUUAUGAUUUGGAGAUUCACUAUCACCCGGGCAAGGCAAAUUUGGUUGCAGAUGCCUUGAGUCGAAAGGAGCAUGUUCAUUCAGCUGUUGUUGCCCAGCUACCCGAUGAGAUUGUUGAGGAUUUCAGGAGACUUAACCUGGGGAUAGUUGCUCACACUGAAGGAGUUACUAUUAAUGUGGAACCUACUUUGAAGCAAGAGAUCCACAAAGGUCAGAUUGGUGAUGCUAAAAUACAAGAGAUUAAGGAUCUGAUUACUGAAGGUCGAGGUCCAGAAUUCACGGAAGAUGAGCAAGGCACCGUAUGGUUCAAGGACAGGAUAUGUGUUCCUGAUAUUGAAAGCCUUCGUGAGACUAUUUUAAAGGAGGCCCAUGACUCGGAUUAUUCUAUUCAUCCUGGUAGUACCAAGAUGUAUCAGGAUUUGAAGCAGAAGUAUUGGUGGUAUGGACUGAAGAGAGAUGUGGUUGCACAUGUGGCUAUAUGCGAUGUGUGUCAAAGAGUCAAGGUCGGACAUCAAAGACCAGCUGGACUAUUGCACCCGCUUAAGAGACCCGAGUGGAAAUGGGAAGAAAUUGGUAUGGAUUUCAUUGUUGGACUAUCCUGCACCCCUGCUGGGUAUGACUCUAUUUGGGAGAUUGUGGAUAGAUUGACUAAAGUGGCUCACUUUAUUCCUGUCAAGACUACUUAUAAAGGUUCUCAACUGGCAGAGUUAUAUAUAGCUCGGAUUGUGUGUUUACAUGGAGUACUAAAGAAGAUCGUGUCUGAUCGAGGUUCACAGUUUACCUCAAGGUUUUGGAGAAGCUUUCAUGAGAAUAUGAGCACUAAAUUGAACUUUAGUACGGCUUAUCACCCUCAGACUGAUGGACAGACUGAAAGGACUAAUCAAGUAUUGGAAGACAUGUUGAGAGCUUGUGCCCUUCAACAUGGAGGAAGUUGGGAUAAAAGUCUACCUUAUGCUGAGUUCUCAUAUAAUAAUAGCUAUCAGGCCAGUCCGAAGAUGUCACCUUUUGAAGCUUUAUAUGGGAGGAAGUGCAUGACUCCUCUAUAUUGGGAUCAGACUGGAGAAAGACAGUUCUUUGGGCCUGAACUGAUUCAAGAAACAGAAGAACAAGUCCGUAUAAUUCGAGAAAUUUGAGGGUAGCUCAAACCAGGCAAAAGAGUUAUGCUGAUAAUAGAAGAAGACUACUGGAGUUUAAGGAGGGUGAUCACGUGUAUCUGAAGGUGUCACCGAUCCGGGGUAUGAGGAGAUUUAAAGUUAAAGGAAAGUUGUCCCCUCGCUUCAUUGGACCUUUCUUGAUCUUUAAGCGAGUGGAAGAAGUCGCAUAUCAACUUGAACUACCAAAUCAUCUGGCUGAUGUACAUGAUGUAUUCCAUGUAUCCCAACUAAAGAAGUGCCACAGGGUACCUGAGGAGCAGCUACCAAUGGAGAACCUUAGCGUUCAAGAUGACCUGACUUAUGCUGAGUACCCUAUCAAGAUUCUGGACACUUCGACUCGAGUUACAAGAAAUAAGGUGAUAAAAAUGUGCAAAGUACAAUGGAGUCACCAUGGAGAAGAUGAAGCUACUUGGGAAAGAGAAGAAGAGCUUCGCAUAGAUUUUCCCCAUCUUUUUCAUAGUCCUUCCUAAAUCUCGAGGACGAGAUUCUUGUUAAGGGGGUAGGAUUUGUAAUACCCAAAUUAUAAGGAAUAAUAAAAGUAGAAUUUGUCUCCUCUAUAUAUGUGUAUGUAUCUCUAUUUGUCAUCACAUGUGAACACCGUCUUUAAAAACAAUUAAUAAAAAUAUAUACCACUAAAAUAUUGCAUCAUGUUGAGUCUUAUGUUUGUGCAUCUAAUACUGGCUGGAUUAAUAAAAAUGUGCUAAUGUCUAAAUUAGAAUUUAAUCAAAGAAUUAUAAUUUAGAGCAUUGGAAUAAUAAAACUAGAAAUGGGAAGGAAAUAAGAAACAUGUUACAUAAAAUAAAAAUAAAAAUAAGAAUAAAAUUCUUACCUAACUGGUGCAUUCAAUUGUACAUUUAAAAGAAUACAAAUUCACCACAGAUUUAGGAUUCAGAUUUGGAUUCAAAAAUAUAAGAAAGAAAAGAGAAUAACAGCAAAAGAAAAGAAAAAGAAAUAAGAAAAACUCGCUUGGGCCAAAUUCAGUCCGUUCGGCCCACUAACCUGCGCGCGUCCGGUCCAGCUGCCAAUGUCUACCCGCGUGCACCCUGUGCCACUACGAGUGGGACCAACUCGUCAGCUAACGAUCCCGCGCGUGUCGUCCGGUGGAAAAGGUGGGGCCGCCCGGUCAGCUAGCCAUUAACUCUUUCCUGCGCACGCUGCGUCUGUGGCCAUCUCUAAGUGGUGGGCCCGCAUCGUCAGCCCGUCUUCCUUGCUCCGGCGCGCAACAAACUCUGUGCACGACACGCGAGAUCGCCACGGGAGCUCAACCACCUGAACUGCGUGGCCGAUUUCGCCGGGGGAGGGUUCCACAAAUAAUUAGCCGCCUGUCCUAGCGCGUUCCUUCGCCUCCCAUCAUCCUCUACCAACGCCGUGCAAGUUGUUCGCCGCUGCCUGACACGAAGGGGGUCGCCGUGGGGGAAAUCACGGCGAGCGAACUAUUCAGGCGCGCCGCUUGCUGUGGGGGCAUCGCUUGUCUGCGGGGGAGUCGAACGGACCCUCUUCGGGUGGCGCUCGGGUCAGGAGCACCACCAAUUGCUCGCCGGCGUGCUGAAUCCAUCCCGGGCCGCACCGAUACGUAGACGGGAGUCCACGGGCCUUCCUUCGUUUCGGUAAGACUUCCUGUGCAUACGCUUUCACCUUCCGUUCGAAACGGUGUAGGUCUCGCGUAGGUUCGAGCAGUAGUCGACCGGUUUGGUAGAACGCCUGUGAGGGGGCCGCCUUGGGCGUGUCUGCGCCGCCGCGCUCGGUUGCGGGAGGUGGAAGCUGAUCCACGGUCAUUGGAUCUCCAUCCCGCGCCCGUGAUUAAUCCAAGGGGGCGUACCGCUUCGGGAGUUAGCGAGCGCCGUUCGAUCUAGAUCGUUCGGUUGGCGAUCGGCGUAGGCUACUUUGAAUUGGGAGUCGUUGAUCGCGUAUCCUGCGGCUCGGAUUGCAUACCGGUUCAGCGAAUACAACUUCUAAUUUGGGCCGUCCGGUGUGGAUCGGGUGGCCGAGCGUUAACCACACCCUUCGGCCUAGGCGUUUUGCGUAAGAACCCUCCUGGAAGUUAGAAUUUUAACCCGUAGUCCACUCUGGUGGAAACCUGUGUCUGUGGGGUUUUUGCAGGGAAGCCCCUACACUUUCCAGAAAAUUGUGCCCAGUCCAGACAAUAGAAAAAAACAUAGAAAAUAAAACAGAAAUUGAUUUUUAAUGCAUAAAUAAAUGUUAGAACUUGUUAAAUUCCUAGAAAAUCCAUAUGAACUCCAAAUUAGUCCAUUCUAGUUUCUAAAUUUUUGUAAUAUUAUUGUCUAACCAUUAGUGCUACUGUUUUGAUAAGAAAAACACAUUAAAUUUAUCUAGUACUUAAUCUUGUAUUAAAUACAUAAAACCUUGGAAAAUUCAUAACUUAAAAUCCAUAACUCCAAAUUUAAUGAUUUCAGUUCCUAUGAUCUUAUUUUAAUGUCUAGAUUAUUAUUGUGUAUUUUAAUUACAUGUUUGGUGUGAUGUUAAUUUUUGCUAUACUAUGUAUGUAUUGUAUUGAUGCGAGUAGACGAGCAAGCUGUAGAGGUUUCCGAGGUUCAGCUGGUGGAGACUGCUGAGCAGGAGCUCGUUGAAGGCAAGUUGUGCCCUUGAUCACUUAUUUUACCCAGUCAUGUUCUUAUUAAUCAUAAUGAUCUGCAUAGGUUAAUUUUGAUGGGACCCAAUAGGUUACCAUAGAUUUUGACUAUCUUUAUACCUUGUUUCACCACUGGUUUUACUACUAAAUUUUUGGGUAGUAUAUGCUAUUGCUUUAUGUGGCUUUGGGUAUAGAGAUAUUCAUCACUCAUUGUUAUACUCUUUAUUAUCUGUUUAUUAUUUACUAUCAUGAUAAGAUCAUUAUGUUAAUGGGAACAUGGAGAACCACCCGAGAAAACGGUGCUACCACAAGGGUUUAAUGGGACACCCUUGGCUGAUUAACUAGAAAAGCUAUUGGAUAACUACCUUACCCGAAAGGGGCAAGGGCAGUAGGGGAGUGGUUAGUGUAGGGAGGUCCUUGGGUUGAUUUUGCUGCGAUGGCGGUCAGGCGAGGGAUUCCUGCACUAGAGCUUCCUAUAAACUGUAGCGGGUUUUCUGAAGCUAGUGGAAUUUGUAAAGGCCUCGUAGUGGUACCCUGCCUCGCUUCCUUGGUAGAGGUGUAUGGGGUCUAAUCAACUCCGUGGCAAAUGGGUAACACGACUUGUGGGUAAAGAUGCACAACCUCUGCAGAGUGUAAAACUGGUAUACUAGCCGUGCUCACGGUCAUGAGCGGCUCGGACACUCACAUGAUUAAUCUAUGGAACUUAAACUCAAUCUGUCAUUUCAUUGCAUCUGGGAUUAUUUCAUUAUUACUUUUAUUUAUUAUUUCUAAGGUUUGGUAUUUACUUAUACUUAGUAAUUGCUAAUAAAAUUUUGACCAACUUAUAAAAGCAAUGCUCAUCUUCAGCCUUUAUUUCAUUGAUCAGCCUUACACUUCAUGAACUCCCACCUUUGGUGAGUUCAUGCCACAUUAUUCCCCACAACUUGUUGAGCGAUGAACAUGUGUGAGCUCACUCUUGCUGUCUCACACCCCCCACAGGAGAAGAACAGGUGGUCGAAGAGGAGCCGCCUAACUCUAAGGCUUUCGACUUGAUCUAGGUGGCGUCUCCCAGUCAGCUUUCUGGUGCCAAGGAUAGAUUUUAGUUCCUGCUAUCUUCAUCUUUUAUUUUGUAAGACCUCCGCUAUGUAAUAAGUACUCUGAUUAUAUUGUGACAUUUAUCUCUAUACACUUUGUUAUUAUAUAUGUUGUCUUCUUUGGCGCAUGUAUGAGAUGCACCCGGCUUUGUUCCUUAAAACCGGGUGUGACACCGAAAUAUAUUAAAAAUGAACAAAGUUACAAGGAAGACAAAUAAGGGUGAAAAGAGAAAUCACUUGAGAAACAAAAAUAGAGAUAACAAAUAUGAGCUCAAUUACAAUCGGCAGUAUAGCCAUGGGACAAUACUUAGGAGGCAUUUUUCGUUCUUGUGUAGGAUAACUAAGAAAAAGACAUUCUUGAAGAUGAACUCACAUUGCUCUCUUAAGGUCUCUUCUCCUCCAAAGAUGAAUUGUUUCUUCGCUCCUGAAAAUUCCCUUUGACCGGGAACACAAAUCUAGAUGUUGCUUAGACUUCUAGAGGGUGUGGAUAGAUGAAUAAAAAUUACAACAAAAAACGUAGAAUUUCUUACUCUACUCGAAGCAGUGUACACAGCGGAAUGGUCGAGUUGAGUAGAUCAUAACGGAAUUAAAGUCCCUGACUCACAAUAGUCUGCACUUCAUCAUAAAUAACAUAUACCAAGAUGAGAGCAGAAGUGCAAUUAACAAAUCAAACAAGAACAGAAAGACAGAGACACAUAUAUUUCUUUCAUGCUUUGGCCAAGCAUGAAAUGCUUGCCGAUAUCCAUGUUGGAGUUAACCAACCUGGCUUGUAAUCUACUUCAACUCCUUCCUCUAUUUACUCAGAUCCACCGACAGGUGACAAACAAAAACUUCUCCUUAUAUCCGAUGGUGUAGCAGUAUAGCAGAACCGUGACUAUCACAACUUGAUAGCUCGACGGUGGAUGAACACAACGUCGUCUUAUCUCGCAACAGCACAUUCCCUCUCUCUUUUGGCUUAUAACUGUGCUAACACCUGAUCUAGAGAGAAAUACAUAAAGAGAGGGGUAGAAAAUCACUAAAAAAUAUUAUUGUGCUUGCUUGCUGCCCUGGUUAUUUAGGUUUUAGGCAUGGGAGGCUCCUUUAUAUGGCCCCAAGCAUCAAGUAGCCAUUAGAGAACUUCCUCAAAAACUGACUUCCGGGUGGCGCAUUGGACCUCCAACGGUCGCUAGCCCUCCGGGAACUUGAUUGGCCCUUUUCUCUUUUGGGUGGCAUUAGACCAGUGGACCCCCCUUGUAGAUAUUACGUGCCCGAAGUCAUCGUUGGCCUGCUGGUUCCUGUAGCAGGCCCGGUGCACAUGACCGGUUCCUAUAGCAGGUUUAGUGCACAUAGAACCGAGUCCUAUAGAAGGUCAUGUAGAGGGUCCGGUGCACCCAGACUACAAAUUUCAAGUCAUUUUCUUCCAUUCUUUCUCCAAUUUACUUCAACUCUUUGGAGGACUUUCCUGUGACUUAUACACACAUAAUUAGAGAGUAAUCCAGUUGACAAAGUCUCAUGAACUUACCUCUUUCUUAAUCUUUCUCCAGCUUUUCUGUUUCUCCUCAAACAGAGCCCUGAAUGACACUUUCUCUACAAACAAGAUUAGAGAGGAAACCAGAGUGUCAUAUACAUAGUAAAAGUUGUAUGUAACAUAUUCAAACAACCAAACCUUGCAUACUUAACCUUUUUCAAUGUUUUGCUUUUUUUGGCUUGUUUGAGGUUGGGGUUGGACUCCAAAGCCUCGAGUUGCCAUAGCCUGAGCUUAAUGGUCAUCUAUGAGCUCCAACACCCUGCAAUGGGUCACAUAGAACAUUUCCAAACACAAGAGUGAUCCAAACUAAAAGUCAAAAUGAACUCAGCUCUUUUGGAUCACUUCUAGGUUCUGACUUUGAUACUUCUCCUCUUUCUUGUGACCAUGUCCUUCUACUUGAGCUAGGAUCUUGAGCCUUAUGACUUGAACCAUAAACCAUAAUAAUUACCUCAAUGGUUCCAAGACAUGGCCUUAAGUUGUGAUCCUUGAUGCACCAUAGCCUUCCUCAACUCAAUCAACCUUGACUUUGCAAGCCAUCUUCUUCACCUCCAGCUUUAGGUACCUUGGUCUCCAUGACCUUCUCUCGUGCACUCGGUUCCUCGAAGUUCUUCUUGCCUCCAUCCUCUGUUCAACUUGUUGACUCCAAGUUAUGCACAUCAGUUCCACCUAAGCAUUGACAAUCCUUCAACUUGAAUUGUGAUGUCCACAAUCCAUAGCCACUUAGCCUUUUGGAACAUUACAUCUUUCUCCAUGUGUUGAGCCUCUUAGUCUUUUCACUCAGCAUCUUUUCAACACUUAACACCAUGUUAGACCUUUAGUUAUGUUGCCAUCCAAAACACCAAAACCCAUAAGGGAGCUUUCAACUCCAUAUAGUCCAGCAAAGAAUGAUGAUUAUUAAUUAAAAUGGAACAUUGAGGUGAGCUCCAAGAUAUGGAAUGGCCUUGGGAGGGGACUACAUGCCUAUGAAGUUCCAAUAAUUUUGCGAACUUGCGGUGCAUAUAAUUUUAAUCUUAGUCACAUUAAUUAGAAUCAACAUACGCUAAUGCACUUUCAUAUAUAAAAUUAUAUAGGACCAUGUAUAGCAAAAUUAUUCGGCUUUGCUUGGCAUUAGAUAAGAUGGUAAGCCUAAUGGGAUCUUCCAUUGAAAGUUUGAGAUGUUGAAAUAACUCUCUUUAACAUUGUCAAUAGAUAAUGAUGAAAAUUGAACAACUCAUUUUCCCCUUUGGUAUUGGGCCUUGUCUAAACUCUAGCAGAUGAUGCUUCACCCCUUUAUAUGGUGUGGUACAAUUCGGUCGAUUUGGAUAGUUUGAGUCCAUGAAAUAAUUUAUUAAACAUAAAAUAGGUACAAAUAAUUUGCAAAUAUGCACAUUAGAUGCUAAAUGAUAUGGAACACGAAAAUUUGGUUUUGUUGGGUUUAUCUCAUCCAUCUUGGUCAAGAAACCUAGUCAGACCACCUCAUGUGUCCUCAUUGGGGGCGCAACAACCUUAUGGUUAUGGCCUCAAGGUAUAUAAAUUAAGAAAGAAGGACGAUAUAUCUCCCAAACAUGUACACUUGAGAUUUGAUUUAUCGCUACACGGUUAGUGAAGGAAAGACCAUGCUCAUCAUCAUAGUCAUCCCCGACUAUGGCUGCCACCACUAUAAUUGUGUCUUUUACCAACACCAAAGGUAUAACCUUCAUGACCUAGUAUUUUGUGGCUAAGGUUUAUGAGCAAGGUGUCCAUAGUAUAACAGUGAUACAUAGCCAUGGUUGGGAUCAAACCCUAACCCUAGAUGAUACACAAUCUUUGAUUAAAAGAUGAAUCUGAGUAAAACCCCCUAAGGACUCGGAUUCAUUAAUUAGAAAAGCAUGCAUAAGAAUGGGGGAUUCAACCCGUACAUGGUUUUAUCAAAUCCUUGAAACUCUGACCCUAACUUCCAAUACCGAACACACAUAGAAGAUAAAGGGGGCAAUAAGACUUACCUAGUUGUCGGUAGGCCAUGGAAGAGGGUGGCACGACCGUCGGUCUCAUGCAUGAUGGAGUAUGCGGAUCAUAGGGCACCAUCGAGAGGCUCCUCGAUGGAGAUGUGUUCACCCUCAGGUGAGUGUGUGCACCGAUGGGGGCCCCAUGGGCGGUGCUAGCACUCCACCAUGCUCUCCCUGUCACACCCAGUUUUGGAAGGUAAACCGAAUGUGAACCAUGUACGUUCCAGGAUCAGAAAUUAUGUACACAGCGAUUAUAUAAUUGGACAUCGUCAUAAAUUGCUCAAAAUAAUAGCAGAAAUAAGUACUUAAUUACAUCAAGAUGUCUGAAACAUCCACAAAGUCAUUAAAUUUAACUAUCAUCAAAGUGUUGAACAAAAUGCAGUACGAUAAGGCAUUCACAGGCAGCUGACUGGGGGUUUGCCACUAAUCUAUUCUAGAACUCGUUGUAGUCCUGAAACUCCUGAAAGUCCUCCAUGUUGCCUUCAUCUUCUCCUGAGCACUGGUUGCAAUGGGGACAACCUGGGGUUUGGUGUUUUUAAGCAAGGGUGAGUACACAUCAACGUACUCAACAAAUGUCCCGUUUGGCUAAAGUGGACUAGCUAUAUGUGGGGUUAAGCUUAGACUAUUUGCUUUUAGUUGGUCAGGUAUUUAUUACUAGUAGAGAGCCAAGUUUUAGCAAUAACCUCAAGUUGUUACCCAAAUGGCACUCCCUCCAAGAGGAAAUACCAUAAACCAUCAUUUUAAAUAUCAUCAUUAAGCAUCAUCAUAAAGGUAUACAGAGUAACUUUAAUCAAAGGAGCUCCCAAGGCUGCUCAUAACCGUGAGCACAGCUGAUAUACCAGUUUCUAACCCUUUGUAGAGGCCGCACACUUUCCCCAUGAGUCAUGAUCCCUUUUUUCCUCGGGUCAAUCAAACCCUCAAACACUACCAAGGUGAGUCGGGAAGGUUUCACUAUGUAGCCUUUACAAAGAUUCCCUAGAGGUCAUAGCCGCUCGUUAGGUUUCUCCAGUUUGAUAAACACAAUACCUCUCCUCACAGGAAGGGUGACUAACAAAAGCAACAUGAAAGAACCUCAGCACCCAGCCUCAGUAGAGCAAAUACUGUGCCUGAACCCCAUUGACGGCACGACGACAAAGCUGACUACACCUCAAGUUCCUCUAAUUAAUCAGCUAAGGGCGUCCCAUACCAUCCUCAUGGUUGUACUAUUUUCCCGGGUGGUCAUCCAACGAACAGGUCCUUACAGAGAGGUACUCGAGAAAGAACCCGUGUCCCCUAAAGUAUCACAAGUUCAUCAUCAUAUCCAGAAUAACAUCAUCAUAUCAUAAAUAUUCUCAUCAUGUUCAUUGAUUAAAGUAAAGCAAUACCAUAAUACUAAUCAUAGUAACCAAUUCCCAAAGGAUAACCAAGGACACGAAAAAUAGAACACUAGUCAAUCCUUAGGUUGAUCAUGGUAUGCGAGACAGUGAAUGAUAAAGUAAGUAGGACAUAAUGGGUCAGUGGACACUAGCCUUCACCAGGUUGCUGCUCAGGGAAGUCUCCUGCAACAAACUCAAGAACCACGGACUGCUUGUUGUCUACACAAAGAAAUCACUCAUUCAACACGCUUGGGAAAUAACAUAAGAACAGUACACCAAACAUAUGCAACAGAGUGAACAUAGGUUUAGUAAAAGGGUAAAGACACACAUGUGAAUUCUAAGUUUCGGGGUAGAUCACUAUGCCAAGUGGUAUAUUGUUCUCUAACUUGGUCUAUCUUAGUAAAUUACUUAAAUAAACUUAUUCUAGGGAUGGGAUCAUACAUUAAAUGGGAUUAGGUCUACAAAGUUAGGCAUUUGAACAUUCAUUAGGGUUUUACCUUUAUUUUAUUUCUAAUGAAAUUCCCAUAUCCUUACUCUAACCUAGAGACCAACUAUAAAAUUGAGACAUAUAAAUAGUGGAUGAAUAUAAUUUAAACAGAUACAAAAUAACAUAAUGAACAUUUUGCAAUUUGAACCAUCCAAUUUGGAGAUCAUAUGACAAAGUUAUGAAUUUUGGAAGUUUUAGAAAUAAAAACCCCUAAUUUAUACCCAUUUUUCUAAUUAAAUAAAAACCUGGGGUUCUCUCUGCAUGAACCCUGGGACUCGGCUGUAAGGGCUAAGGACAACGGGUUCUAAUUCUAGGAAACCAAGGGGUUUAAAGCAAAACACCGCGGCGAAGGGGUAUUAGGCCACGUGGGCCAUCGGAUCGCCGACCGACGGUCACGAUUAGACCGGAGAGGGGGGAGAUCGCACCCGUGCUAGCGCGCAGGCCCACAUGCCAGCGUCUCAGGUGGGGUGGGGGACGAGCGGCGGGGCGCUAACGCGUGGGGUGGUCGACAGGAGGGGCCACGAUGCGUCUGGGCCUGCUGGUCAGCGGCACGGGGCAAGUGCGGGCGCGGACACAGACGUACGAUGACGGACGGGGCUCGCCGGGCAGCGACCCAGUGCGGAGGGGAGGGGGUCAGCGCGGCAUGCUGCGCUGAUGCGUGGGACUAGUGGGUCCGCCGGUCAGUGGCCACACGAGGGGGAAGAAAAGGGUGAGGAGGGCUGAGGCUGCUGGGUGGACCCUAGCUGUCAGGGUUGUCUUCAACCCCGAGCUAAGCGCACAGCCGACCGCACUCGACGACGAGGGUGCCCUCCUCGGGCACGUGGUAUCCGUCUAGAGCGGCAUAGCUGCUCGGCAUCACGGCCGCAACGAAGGGAGGAAGAGAGAGGGAGAAGAGAGGGGGUAAACGGCUCACCUUGGGUUAUGCCGGCGACCUCGGUGGCACGGAGCUCCGGUGGCGCUAGGCAGUCGGCGGCGCAGACGACGGCAAUGGCCAAGGUGACGGCGGCUCCGCGAGAAGUUAGGCAUGGGUGGUCACAUGUGGGGGAUGGAGGGAAUGGGGUUUAUGCUCCCAGGUGCCGGCCAUGGCGAGUGGGCGACGUGGGGAGGGGAAGGAGGCUGACAGGUGAGACCGAGGGGAUGUGCGAGCGCUCCGCGCGGGGGAACAUCUCGGGCCGAUUGCGGGGGAGGAAGGGAUGACAGGUGGGAUCGAGGCGUGAUGCGAGCCGCUGACGGGUGGGGCCCACCGAUCGGUGACCGUGGGCGCGAACAUGGACUGUGUGUUUAACGCGACUGGCAAGCGGGACCCGCACGCAGGGAGAGAGAAGCGGCACGCGUAGGUGUAGCAGUGGCGCCGACAUGCGAGGCCCGCCAGGCAGAGAGAGCGAGGGGGGAACGGGCGUGGGGCGAAGCGGGCCGGAUGGGCCAAAAGGCUGAGGGGGAAGGGGGUGACAGGCUUCUUUUGGUUUUAUUUUUAUUCUAAAUAUCUAUUCCCAUUUCUUUUUUAUUUUCUCUUUUGAAUUCAAAUCCAACCAAGCCACAAACUGAAAUUUGAAUCUUUCAAACAUAUGCAUCAAACAAAAAUCAAAUUCUAGGCUCAUCAUGAUGCAAUAAUUCAUAUCCCCUUAGGGUUUGAUCUACUAAAGUAUUAAUACAUCUCGAAAUAAAUAAUUAAACCUCUACUAAAAGGAAAAGAAAAGAAAACUAAAGAUAGGAGAAAAGAGGUAACACCUGAAUUUGGUAGAUAUUAGAGAAGAAAUUUUAUACCCCCAAAUUCAGGGUGUUACACUCCCAAACUUAUAUGAGACAAAAAGAAGGUGGAGGAAGAGGGAAGAGUCUCAAGAGUAGAAUGUGGAGAGAAGAGAGUGCUACGGGGAGAUGAAAAAUGAUUAGGAUUCUCACUCUAUGACUAAAAAAUUUGUCUUUUGUACUUAGCAUUUUUAUCCUAGUCGUUAGCUGAGAUCGAAUGUUGUAGAGUUGAUAAAGGUACUUUUGGUACCCCAAAUAUUGGGUACCCACUCCUGCUGGGUCUAGACAGGACCCCUAUGGCUAUCCGUAGCUGAUGAGGACAUCACUCCAAUACAUACAAUGAAUGGACUGAUAACACGCUUACAUGCACGACAGCUAAAUCUCCAGGUUUGUUCUAGCCUAGUCGAUUGUGUUGUCGAGCUUACACUUUGGGCCAUCGACGUUUUGUUGAUUAAGAACCUUGGAGAGGACCAGCAAGGACUUGGAAAAGGCCAAGGUGUCUAGGAGGAGAAGCAAUGACGUCCACAACAAGGAGGCGAUCAAGUCCGACUGAACUGCAAUUCCAUCUCGAGUUCCAGGACCAGUCUGCACUAAAAUGGACUCCUAGGACGCAUCUGAACUCCGAUUGGGUCGGCCUUGUUAUGGUUGGAAAGCUAAGGAGAUAAGUUAAUCAACCCAACUGGUCCUGACCUAGAGGUAAUCCAGAGUCAAUAAGAAUCAUCGAAACAAGUCAGUGUCCAGAUUCUGUUUUGGUGCUACGACACCGUCUGUUAGGAUGUUGGCCCGUGUAUCACGUUAGAGCCCAUUAGUUCACGUCCAGGGGAUUUGCACCCCCUAGACUCUUUAAUAGCAGCAGCGACCGCCGCCAUUAGGGUUUCAUUUUGAUUAGAUCAUAUUUGUCAUCGAACAGUAUCGUCGCUCAUCAGUUUGUGAGACUCCAACUCAUAAUCAACACAACUUUGGUUGUGUUCUUCCUGUUCUUGCUUGUGUUCUUGAUUGCGUUUGCAAGGAUAAGCCUUCUUGGCGAGGUCACUCAUGUGACAUGGGUGAUAACCAACAGAGCAGUGUGUAGUGAUUGUGAGCAUCCAUUCGCUCGGAGCCUUUGAUCAUCAAAGUUGAGAUCUCCACUCAAUCAAGUUAUCCUAUCUCAUGGAAGAUCACGCCUUUCCCUCUAUCAAGUGAUAUCAAGAUUCAGGUUGACCGUGAGGUAUAAUCCUACCUUUAGAUUUAUUUUGUUAUUCCUAUAACCCACAAAAAAGCCAAAGAGAAAAGAGUCCUAACAUUAUGUCAUAUCUUUAAAAACCAUUAGUAUAUUUUGACCUACAGACUUUGUCUUAGCCUUUGCACAAUUCAGUUUUGGAGUCCACGAUUCUGAAUCCGUGUCCUAGGUUGAGUCAAUUGCAGGUUUAGAUUUGUUUUAGGUCUGAUUGUUCAUUACCAUAUGCUGCCAUCCAACAAACUCAAUCUUGAUAAACUGAUUUCAUCCAUAAAACUGACCCUACCCAUAAACCGAACCCAUUCACCCUUCACUUGCCUCACCAAUGACCCUAAUUAUGUUGUUGGCUUAGAUUUGUGUUGGGUCAGUUUGGUUUUUAUCAUCCGCUGCCAUCCAAUAAAUUCAAUCUCGAUAAACCGAUCCCACAUACAGAACAAAUCAUACCUAAAAAACAGACCCGAUCCACAAAACUGAUCCCCACACUUCCAACGCCUCACCAUAAACCCUGAUUCGGAGUCCAAACUUAAGACGGCCAUAACUUUCGCCUCAGAACUCGAAUUGGGCCCAUUUUUCAAAGCGCACAGAAUUAAUUUUCGCAUUUUAUUCUCUCCCACUUUGCGAGAUUCAAUGUUUUUAAAAUCCCCAAAUUCGGCCUGGAAGUAUGAGUUAUCAUUUUCCAACCAUUUAAUCUGAAUUUAGGGCAAACUUGCAGAAAUUCCAGAGAACGCGUCUUUGCACCAAAAAAUUCUAAAUUUGGUGUGUUUCCUUCUUAUGUGCUGCUGCAAAAGGAAAAAAUGUUUGAAAAAAAUCACAAAAAACAACAACUAGAGCAAAAAUCAGGGAAAAAGAGAAAAAAGAGUAGCACAUAAGAAGAAAAACCAUUGUUCUAUGCACAUGUGUGAUUAUUUUGCUCCCACCUUGUUUCCUUGCUGCACCUAGAUACUUGUACCUCUUUCUUGUGCCUUGGUCCAACUGUUCUAAUACAUUUUCUAGACCAGCAACUAGGAUGAGUACUUGGAACACUUAUUUGGCACUUCUAUCUAUUUCUGACUUGUGUGCCACUAAUAUAUAUUUAGUGAGCCUUCCCAAAGCUCCACCUUUCUCUUAAACAGAAUAGGUACACCUUUGCAAUCACAUCCAUGCUCUUUGGUCAGUCACACCGGUCACUGUUUGCCACCUGCAGUGCUGGUAAGAAACUUGUAAGAGCGGGGUAAGACACUUUCAUAACUUGUGUUCCACCACCACCGCUGUUUGUUUGUUCCUUUUGUUUCUAUUUUGUACUAACAAUGGCAGGACCAAAGAACCAAACAGACAAUGAGAAGGGCCUUAAGCCAAACAAUGCUGAGUGCGUCUCCCAUUUGGAAUUGAAGAAGAUGAUACACGCAAUGAUGGACUCUUCCAAUAAUUACCAGGACUCUCUGGCUAUAUCCUAUGAGCAGCUUGAUCAAUGUGUUGCCGAACUUGUUAGACGCAUGCACAUGCUAGAGACUCGUCCCCCACCACAAGCUCUAGUAAUGGUAGACGUCAUCAUCAUAACCAUGAACCAGAGAAUGAUCCAUAUACUAUGAUUAAGUUCUCUAUUCCAACAUUCAUUGGUUCUUAUGAUGCUAAAGCUUAUUUAGACUAGGAGAUGACGGUAGAACAGAAAUUUAAUUCUCAUCAUGUUCUUGAGCAGCAUAGGAUUACAGAAGCCACUAGUGAGUUUAAAGAUUUUGAUAUCAUUUGGUGGAAUGAACUUGUUAACAUACGUGUUGCACCACAAACAUGGGAUGCACUGAAAGAGGAGAUGCGAGCUCAUUUUGUUCCACCUUCUAAUAGACAUGAUCUUCGAAAAAAAUUGCAACAUUUAGAUCAAGGAGACAUCUAUGUGCAGGAAUACUACCAAGAGCUUCAGAAAGGUAUGCUGCGUUGCAGGGUUGUUGAGGAUCCGGAGGACAAAAUGGUUAGGUUUUAUGGGGGUUGAGGUGGGAAAUUCAGGACAUUGUUGAUUAUAAAGAGUAUACUUAUAUACAACGUUUGUUCCACAUUUCUAUGUUGACAAAAAAAGAAUUACAGAGUCGCCAACAGUGGAGGAGAAGCAUCUUCAUGCCAUGAUAGCCUAGGGCGCCAGCAAAGGUGUCAUCCUCUUCGAGCGUAUGAACGUCGACAGCUUCCACCACCAACGGCACACGCAGCACCGCACCUUCGAUGUCAUAGGGACACGACAACAGCAGUCCUUGGUGCCUUUGGGUGUUGCAGCAAAACCUGCUGCACCCACCUCUUCCAUAGGUUGCUCCUCCGACAUCAAGUGUCACCACUUCUAGAGACUUGGCCAUAUGCACGAGUUUGCCCCAACAAACAGGCAUACAUUGCUACUGGUGACGGUGGGUAUGUUAGUGCUUCUGAUGUUGAAGAUGAAGAUACUAUUGGAGCUAACAUUGCAGGGACUGAUGAUGGUGAUGAAGAGGUCCUUGGCACAACAACGACCAAAGCAUAUAGGGCCUUGAUCGUGCAGCGUGCUUUGAGUGCCACAAUUGGCCAAGAUGACAACAUACAACGCCACAACCUUUUCAACAUGUUCCUCAUCGUCAAGGAUUGUCAUGUAGAUACCAUCAUUGACGGCGGUAGCUGCAAUAACUUGGUUAACAUUGAGGUGAUCAUGAAGCUUGUCUUGGCCACCCAAGAACAUUCCUAUCCUUAUCACAUUCAGUGGUUUAACAAUAGUGGUAGGGUCAAGGUAACACAAACAAUAAGGGUACAUUUUCCCAUUGGUUCUUAUCAUGACUUUGCUGAUUUUGAUGUGGUAACUAUGGAUGCUUGCUCUCUUUUAUUGGGGCAUCCUUCGGAGUUUGAUAUUGAUGUUAUUCACCAUGGUAGAUCUAAUAAGUAUACUUUGAUGCAUAAGGGAAAGAAAAUUAUGUUGCUUCCUAUGACCCCCACUGAAAUUGUCCACGUUGAGCAUGAGAAAAAGACUAAUGCUAAGCAAAAAGGUGUUUUGAACUAUGAAAAUCAGCAACUUAUUAAGUUAAAUACUCUCACUUUGUUGUCUAUUGAAUCUGAUCUUGAUGAGUUACAUGCCUCUGUUGGACUUCGCUAUGCCUUAGUGUGCAAAAAUGCUUUCUAUUCCAUUGAUGAUAUGUCCAUUGCUUUGCCACCGAUUACUGCCUAGCUUUUGCAGGAGUAUAUGAAUGUGUUUCCCUUUGAGAUACCCCCUGGAUUACCACCUAUGUGAGGCAUUGAGCAUAAGACUGAUUUGAUUCCACGGGUGAGCUUGCCCAACUGUGCUGCAUACAGGACCAACCCUGAGGAGACUAAGGCGAUUCAGCGCUAGGUCCAGGACCUUCUGAACUGUGGGUACAUUCGUGAGAGCCUUAGUCUUUGUUAUGUUCCUAUUCUUUUAGUUCCUAAGAAAGAUGCCACUUGGCGUAUUUGUGUUGAUUGUAGAGCCAUUAAUAACAUCACAAUUUGAUACCGAUAUCCUAUAUCUAGAUUGGAUGACAUGCUUGAUGAAUUAAGUGGUUCUAUUGUUUUCUCAAAAAUUGACUUGCGUAAUGGAUACCACUAGAUUCGUGUGGAUUUAGGUGAUGAAUGGAAAACUGUAUUUAAAACUAAGUUUGGUCUUUAUGAGUGGUUAGUCAUGCCUUUUGGGUUAACUAAUGCACCUAGUACUUUCAUUAAAUUGAUGAAUGAGGUUUUACGUGCUUUCAUUAGUAAAUUUGUUGUGGUUUAUUUUGAUGAUAUUCUUAUAUACAUCAAGUCUUAUGAUUAUCAUAUUGAACACAUAUGUGUUGUUUUUUAUGUCUUGUGUGAUGCACGUUUAUUAGGUAACCUUGAGAAGUGCACCUUUAUCACCGAUCAUGUCUUUUCUUGGAUACAUUGUGACACCAUAGGGCAUUAAGAUGGAUGAGGAAAAAUUGUUGCCAUUGCGAGCUAGCCACUUCUAACCACGGUCACGCAGGUUCAGAGUUUUCUUGGCCUUGCAGGAUUCUACAGGCGAUUUGUGCAUGAUUUCAACACCAUUGCAGCACCUCUCCACAAGUUGGCAAAGAAUGGAGUGUUGUUUCGUUGGGGACCAGCACAACAACAAGCUUUUGAUGCACUCAAGUCAAAGCAGACACAAGCACCGCUGCUGCAACUUCCUGAUUUUGACAAGACAUUCGAGCUUGAGUGCGAUGCGAGUAGCAUUGGGAUUGGAGGAGUGCUCAUCCAUGGAGGUAAACUUGUUGCCUUCUUGGCAACAUUAUGACAAAGAACUUUAUGCUUUAGUGCGAGUUCUACAAACUUGGCAACAUUAUCUAUGGUCUAAAGAAUUUGUCAUACAUUCGGAUCAUGAAACUUUGAUGUAUCUUAAGGGGCAAUCUAAUCUAAACAAACGUCAUUCUAAAUGGAUUGGAUUUAUAGUCAUUUACUUACAUUAUUAAGCAUAAAAAGGAAAGGAUAAUGUGAUUGUUGAUGCUUUGUCUAGCUGUUAUACUAUGUUGUCGCAACUUACUCAUAAAAUCUUUGAUUUGCAGACCAUAAAGGGUUUAUAUGCUACUAAUUUGGACUUCAAAGAUGCUUUUGAAAAUUGUAGAGAAGGGAGAUCAUGGCAAAAAUAUGUGUUGUGUGAAGGCCUUCUCUGUCGUGCUAACAAGAUGUGUGUUCAAGAUAGCUAUGUUCGUCUUCUACUCUUGCAGGAAGCACAUGGGGUGGCUUGAUGGGACAUUUUGGUGUUAAAAAGACUGAGGAUGUGCUAUCCACUCACUUCUAUUGGCCUCGAAUGCACCGUGAUGUUGAGCGCUACACCUCUUGUUGCACCAUGUGCAACAAAGCUAAGUCCUGACUUAACCCACAUGGUCUUUAUAUACCUCUUCCUGUUCCUUGUGCACCUUGGGAGGAUAUUUCUAUGAACUUCAUUUUGGUCUUGCCUAGAACAAAGAGGGGGAGUUAUAGCAUUUUUGUGGUUGUCGAUGUUUCUCCAAGAUGGCACAUUUUAUACCAUGUCACAAAACUGAUAAUGCUUCACAUAUUAUCGAUUUGUUCUUCACUGAGAUUGUGCAUUUACAUGGUGUGCCAAAUACUAUUGUUUCCGAUAGGGAUGCUAAGUUUUUGAUCCAUUUUGGGGAACCUUGUGGUUUAAAUUGGGGACACAAUUAUUAUUUUCUACUACUCAUCAUCCCAAACUGAUGGGUAAACAUAACUUGUUAAUAGCACUUUAUGUACUAUGUUGCGGACUGUUUUGAAAGAUAAUUUGAGGUUGUGGGAGGAGUGUUUGCCACAUAUUGAGUUUUCUUAUAACAGGUCCAUUCAUUCCACAACCAAGCUUAGUCCGUUUAUGGUAGGAUAUGGUUUUAAUCCUCGUGAUCCAAUUGAUUUGCUACCUUUACCAACCUCUGAAAUAGUGAACUUGGAUGCUACACAACAUUCUGAAUUCAUUCUUAAGUUACAUGAAACAACUAAGUUGCAAAUUGAAAAGAUGAAUGAAAAGUAUCGCAUUACUGCUAAUAAAGGUAGGAAAGAAGUAAAAUUGGAACCUAGUGACUUGGUGUGGGCUCAUCUGAGAAAGGAUAGGUUUCCUAAUUUGAGAAUGUGUAAACGCAUGCCACGUGUUGAUGGUCCUUAUAAAGUUAUCGCAAAGGUCAAUGGUAAUGCAUAUACACUUGAGUUGCCUCCAGAUUUUGGGAUUAGUCCCACCUUUAACAUUUCAUAUUUGAAGCCAUAUAUGGGUGAGGAAGAAGAGCUUGAGUCAAGGACGACUCCAACUCAAGAAGAGGAGGAUGAUGAGGACAUCACUCCAAUACAUACAAUGCAUGGACCGAUAACACGCUUACAUGCACGACAACUAAAUUUCCAGGUUCGUUCUAACCUAGUCAAUUGUGUUUUUGAGCUUACACUUGGAGCCAUGGAUGUUCUGUUGAUUAGGAACCUUAGAAAGGACCAGCAAGCACUUGGGAAAAGCCAAGGUGUCAAGGAGGACAAGCAAGGGCGUCCACAACAUGGAGGCGAUCAAGUUUGACUGAACUACAAUUCCAUCUAUAGUUCCAUCACCAGUCUACACUAAAACGAACGCCCAGGACCUAUCUGGAUUCCGAUUAGGUCUGGCUUGUAAUGGUUGGAAAGCUAAAAAGAUUAUCUGACCAACCCAACUGGUCCCGACCUAAAAUUCAUCCGGAGUCAAUGGUAAUCGUCGAAACAAAUAAGCGUCCAGAUUCUGUUUUGGUGCUGCGACACCGUCUGUUGGGCCAAUGGCCCGUAUAUCGCAUUGGAGCCCAUUAGGGAUGCGUCCAGGGGAUUUGCACGCCCCUAAAAUCUAUAUUAGCAGCAGCCACCACCACCAUUAGGGUUGGGUUUUGCUUAGAUCAUAUAUGUCAUCGAACAGUAUUGUCGUUCAUCAGUUUGUGAGACCCCAACUCGUAAUCAACACAGUUUUGGUUGUGUUCUUCUUGUUCUUGCUUAUGGUCUUGAUUGCGCUUGUAGGGAUAAGCCUUCUUGGUGAAGUCACUCAUGUGUCAUGGGUGAUAAACAAUGAAGCAGUGGUGUAGUGAUUGCGAUGAUCCAUUCGCUCAGAGCUUUGGAUCAUCAACGUCGAGAUCUCCAGCCAAUCAAGUUAUCCUACCUCACGGAAGAUCAGGCCUUGCCCUCUAUCAAUAGCUAUGGGAUAACGAGAAGUCUAACCCGACUUGGAGCCUAGACCCAUCCGGCAGGGCCUUUGGCCCUUGGGUCGAUGCCAUCACGCACCCCAUCGGUUGGAUUCCUCAGCAUUUACAGUCUAGUUUCGGACCCCCGUGGGCCGGUCCUAGACCCCUACGUGUGCUGUCUAGAUCUCUGGCCAUGGCAGGUUCGGUGCUGUCAUGUGUUCGAGCCAACAUAGUUGAGUCUCGGACCUCCACAAGUGCCAUCCGGACCCCAAACUAGGGGAGGUUCGGGGGCGCCACAUCUGCAUAUGCUACCAGCCCCUGCUCUCCGCUCAGGCAGAGAUACGGGCAGAGGGGAUAGGACGACACCAUCCACCUACUCCCCUACGCAAGUCGACAAAGCCAGUUUACGUUGUAGCCUACACUAGAGCCUUCAUCCACACAUCGACAAAACAUGACGAAGGUGACUCUAGAUAGAGGGCCUGCACGGUGACCAUGAGAAGAUACCUUCCCACUGUAGGAAGAAGACUUCGGUCCACUAGCUCUAUCCAACGCUUCGUGCUCCAUAUUUUAGUAUUCUUGAGCCCACAUGUCGGGGUCCAGCUCCUUUGUAUGUGCUCCCCUUAGGCUAUAAAAGGGAGAGCACAUGCGUUGCAAGGGACAAACUCGAGCCCAUCCAGGGACUCGAGGACUCACACUCACACAAGGCACUGGUCUCAAGCUCCCUAGGGUCUAGAACCUCAGGGGGACAUCUUUACUCGAACUCCCUUGGAGACAUAUCCAUCCAAGCCCAAGCUUUCUCAAGAUCUUAGCAACAUGACUCACAAUGGAGUACGAUAUUACACUCCGACAAUCUAAUCCACACGCUCGUGUGUUCCUGCCUUUUACCUCUUUUCAUAUGUGAUAUCCCAGCCCCUGCAUGGUGAUAUCCUCGCCCAAGGCUUAAUAGAAUUAAUAGAGUAUCCAUACCAACAAGGUGCAUCUUCUUUUUCGAAAGCCUAUCGCAAAAGAACCUCCAAGUUAAGCAUGCUUGUAUUGGAGCAAUUUGGGAUGGGUGACCGACUAGGAAGUUUUCUCGAGUGCGCAUGAGGACAAAGUGCGCACAAAGGACUCGUGUUGGUCUGUGGGGACGAUAUAUGAUCCUAGAGAGCUACCAGGAGUAAGUACCGCUGGUCUAGUGAUUGGACGGGGUGUUACAAGUGGUAUCAGAGCUGACCCUUGCGGUUUCACGGGAAUGUGUUGGUUAGGGGUUCGGGUAUAUGGUGCAUGGCGCAUGUGGGUCCGAAAUGGUCACAUGGCAUGGCAUAUGACGACACUAGACAAACAGACGUGGCUAAGAGGUGAGGUUCCUGGAUUAGGGUUGACCAGCGAGGACCUCGGUCUUCUAAGGGGCUGGAUUGUGAUAUCUCUGCCCCUAGGAUGGUGAUAUCCUAGCCCAAGGCUUAAUAGAAUUAAUAAAGUAUCCAUACCAACAAGGUGCAUCUUCUUUUUUGGAAGCCUAUCUUGAAAGAACCUCCAGGUUAAGCAUGCUUGUAUUGGAGCAAUUUGGGAUGGGUGACUGACCGGGAAGUUUUCUUGGGUGAGGACAAAGUGUGCACAAAAGACUCGUGUUGGUAUGUGGGGAUGAUAUAUGAUCCCAGAGAGCUGCUAGGAUUAAGUAUCGCUGGUCCAGGAAUUGGAUGGGGUGUUACAUCAUUCAAUCCCUAGGUCAUCGUCCUAUUAUCAAGAUCAGAGCCAACAUUUGGCGCACCGAGUAGGGGGAAUAUGGAAUAUGAUUUCCCCAGUCUGCCGAUGAAGUGGCUUCUCCGACAUCCAGUGGACAUUGGGUGAAUGCAUUCCGCCUUCUGGCCACAGGUGGUCCUCCUUCUCUGACAUUUCUUGGUAGGGGAAAGUCAUGAUAUGACUUCCUCUACCUACCAAUGGAUUUUAGGAAGGAAGCCAACAAGGGCUACGCCUUGGUCAACCUGACCUCACCGGAGGUCGCUUGCUGGUCGUGGGGGCCCUAUGGGGCCUACCACGCUCACUAGUGGGCUUUCAAGGGCAGCACCAGGACCAGAGUGGUCAUUGCAUCGACCUACUACUAGGCUCCAUGGCGUUCAAGGUUACCGACGUCGGCCACUGUCAAGCUUUGCCCUUGACCCUCAUGGAGGUAGUAGGGGUCGCUGCUUAACCUUCGAGUCUGAUGCUCGACGUCGCUUGAGUGAUUAUGUCGGCCCAUACCUUCCACCCCAUAAGGUAACAUGAGAAUUAACUCUUCCUUUGUAAUGGGAUAGCAUUUAUCUAUGGUCCAGCUUGCCGAGGUGUGCCCUCAUAAUCCCGGUGCGGCCCGGUUAGGUUUGCCCUCAAAAAUUUGGUCCGGACUGGUGAGGUCCACCCUCAUAAACCCAUCCUCUAGUGUCCUUCACACAGAUCUCAUGUAACUAGUUAUAAAGGAAGAAUUUUCACUAAAUAGUCACUUAGCUUGGCCCCGUAUCAUAAGCCUACGCCCUCCACCACCCUAGAAUCGCUAUCCUAGUACUUCGGACUGGAUUCCUGGAAGUCUAGACCUUGUCCAAACUUAAGUGUUGGUUCCCAAAACUAGGCUCAAUGGGAUCCAAUUACAUGAUUUGAUGGAUUGAAUACAACAAAGUAAGGGUCCCUUGGGUACGCUGUUGAGCGUCGGUCCUGAGCCAUAUUCAGGACAUGCCUCUGGUCUAAUAAUUGGCUUAGACAGUCGAGUACCUCCUAGAGAGCCAAGGUACCAAGGGGCCAGUAGAGGGAAAAUCUUGCCUUUGAGCCAGGCUGCAUGUACGCAAUGUCCAGUCUAGUGGGGUCUGGCCCCCAUAAAUGCCGCCUACUAGCGUAUGUUGCACUUCCAAGUUUUGUCUUUGCAGCAAUAGCGUAGCAUCGCCAAGCAAACCACUUGGCAUGGAGCCUACAUGCGCAGAGCUGUUGUAUAGGACCAGCAUGCCUGGAGCAAGGCGUAGGUAUGGCCCCACCUGCGAGUUUGUCACCUCACCUGUUGGGGGUCUUCUUCUCUGCCGAAGGUCCUCAAGGCAAAAACACCUUCGGCAAGACAGUACAAAGGCAGGUGCGACAUGAAGAUAUAAGCCGAAGAUGAUGCGGACAAAAGCCAAAGCUACAACUGAAAGAGCGUCAGCUUGGUAUUAUAAUAAAGGCGAAGGACGAUACCGACUUAAAGAGGAAUAUACUAUAUAGUCCUUAAUAGUUCGCAUUAUGAUUAUUAUUAGUUAUCAGGGACAUGGACGCAAUUUUGUCCGGGCUGCGUCCCAUGCCUAUAAAUAGAUGAACAAUACCCCUCUACUAUUCACGCUAGAUUGUAAUCUCUCUUGCGUCACUCGCAUUUGUGUCCUCUGGAAAACCGAAGGUAUCUAAGUCGUAUAAAAAUGAUGAGCAAUUAUUCAUAUUUAUGAAAGGAGAAUAUAAAUGAGUCAUUGAUUCAUUAUCAUUAUUUAUGCUCUUUUGUAUUUCAUAUACUGUCGUUUAUAACUGUUUAUUGAGAUGACGAAGGUACGUCCUUCAUGACCUUCAUCUAAGGUUCAUUAUACUCGAAAGGAGAUAAUGAAUAAAAGGACGAAGGUCUUUAAUCAUUAACAAUUGUGUUGCUUUGUUCUUGAUGUUUAGCAUUUGGGAACAAGGACCAACAUUGGCGCCCACCUCCAGUGAACUCACUUCCACAGUUGUUACAAUGGCUUCGCACAACAAUCAAGUUGUAGUACCUUCGGCCAUGAAGCUGGUACUCCCAAUUACAGGCGGCUCAAAUUCUGAACCAGCCAACAAGAAGCAGAAGAAAGAAGCACAGAGACGGGUACAUCAUGUUGGGGUACAAGGACCCUUCAUCAAGUCCAAGUGGUCUCAUAUUCCAAUUACCUUCUCUCAGGAAGACCUUCAGCUUAAGGAUUAUCCUCACAACGAUGCAAUGGUCAUAUCUUGUGUCAUCAAGGGAUUUCUGGUUCACAAUGUCCUGGUAGACACAGGCAGUGCAGCGGAUAUCAUCUUUGCAAAGGCUUUCAGGCAAAUGCAGGAGCCAGAAGAUAAGAUACAUGAUGCAACACACCCUCUUUGUGGCUUCGGAGGAAGGCAGAUUGUGGCAGUUGGCAAGAUAACAAUGCCCAUUACCUUCGGCUAUGUCCACAAUACAAGAACAGAACAUGUUGUCUUUGACAUCGUUGAUAUGGAAUAUCCAUACAAUGCAAUUAUUGGUCGAGGAACGCCAACGCCUUCGAAGCAAUACUUCAUCCAACAUAUCUAUGCAUGAAGAUACAUUCGGAACAAGGGCCCAUUACUGUACAUGGGAGUCAAGAAGCUGCUAGAAGGGCUGAAGGGAGUUGGACGGAUUCGAAGGCUAUUCAUAAUAUAGAUGAAGCCGAAGCUUAUUAGCAGUAUAAGCAUAAAAGAGAGAAGGCUGCUUCAGCAGAUCAACCGAAGCCUAUGCUUCUCUGUGAGGACAUAGCAGACCAAAAAGUAUUGUUUGGAUCUCAAUUGUCUGAUGAAUAGGAAAAAAACCUUGUUAAGAUUCCUGUUUAACAACAAAGAUGUUUUUGCUUGGACAACCAAUGACAUUUGUGGCGUCAAUAGAGAUAUUAUUGAGCACUCACUCAAUGUGGACCCAUCCUUCAGACCAAGAAAGCAGAGGCUUAGGAAAAUGUCCGAGGAUAAAGCCGAAGGUGCACGAAAUGAAGUAAAGAGACUUCUCAGUGCCGACGUUAUCAGAGAAGUAACAUAUUCAGAGUGGCUAGCUAACACCGUCAUGGUCAAAAAAGCUAAUGGGAAAUGGAGAAUGUGCAUUGAUUUCACAGAUCUCAACAAGGCAUGUCCGAAGGAUGAGUUCCCUUUACCAAGGAUAGAUUCCCUCAUAGAUGCAGCAGCUUCCUCAGAACUCAUGAGUCUGUUGGACUGUUACUCGGGUUAUCAUCAAAUUUGGAUGAGAAAGGAGGAUGAGCCAAAAACAAGUUUCAUAACUCCUAGUGGUACCUAUUGCUACCUUCGGAUGCCUGAGGGGAUCAAGAAUGCUGGAGGAAGCUUUAGCAGAAUGACUGCGAUUAUUCUUCACUCUCAAAUUGGCAGGAAUGUGCUGACUUAUGUCGAUGACAUCAUAGUAAAGAGCACAAAGCAAUAAAAUCAUGUAGCUGAUUUGCAAGAAACAUUUGCCAAUUUCAGGCAAGCUGGUCUCAAGUUAAAUCCAGAGAAAUGUGUUUUCGGAGUGAAGAAGGGCAAGUUUCUUGGUUGCCUGGUAUCAACAAAAGGCAUAGAAGCUAAUCCAAGCAAAAUCGAAGCUAUCCUUCGGAUUGAGCCACCAAAUUCAAAGAAGGGGGGGCUCAACGGUUAGCAGGAAGGCUGACAUCAUUGAAUAGAUUCAUAUCAAGAUCAGCAGAGAGGAAUUUACCAUUUUUUGAAAUACUGAAGUCAGCCGAAGUCUUCCAGUGGGGGCCGACUUAACUGAAAGCCUUCGAAGAGUUAAAGCAGUAUUUGAUAGAUUUGACAACACUAACCCCACCUUCAUCAGGAGUUCCGUUACUUCUAUAUGUGGCUGCUUCCCACGCUACGGUUAGUACGACACUUGUACAAGAGAAACAAGUUGGCCAGAUGAAAAAGCAAGCACCAAUAUACUUCGUCUCUGAAGUACUCAGCCCAUCAAAGAAGAAUUACACAGAAUUGGAGAAGGUACUCUAUGCUGUAUUGAUGGCCUCCAGAAAGCUUCGGCAUUACUUCCAAGCUUAUCAUAUAAUAGUACCAUCAUCACAACCCCUCAAGGAUAUAAUGAGGAACAGAGAAGCUACAGGAAGGGUUCGAAAAUGGGUCGCAGAACUCAAUGAAUUCACCAUUGAUUAUGUGCACAGGUCUUUGAUUCAAUCUCAGGCUCUAGCAGACUUUAUUGCCGAUUGGAUGCCAGGGGCUCAGGAUGAAGAUAGAAUAAGUGAUGCCAAAGCUUGGACGGUAUUUUGUGAUGGCUCCUGGGGAACCUUCGGUGCAGGAGCAGUUGCUGUCCUAGUAGCACCAUCUAAAGUCAGGACAUGUUUUGCAACAAAGUUAGACUUCAGCUGUACAAAUAACAUUGCCGAGUACGAAGCUCUCCUUUUGGGGCUUCGGAAGCUAAAGGCAAUGGGAAUAAGAAGGGCAAUCCUUAAAAUUGAUUCACAAGUUAUUUUGGGCCAUGUGGAUAAGAGCAGCAAGGCAAGAGAUCCGAAGCUUGAAAAAUAUUUGGAUGCAAUCCGAAGGUUGGAAGCUUCUUUUGAAGGCUUUUCUGUAAAAAAAUAUCCCAAGGGGAGAGAAUGAGCAUGCAGAUUUAUUAGCUAAAUCAGUGGCACAAGGGCUUCCUUUGUCUUUGUAAGUAUUUUUUGAAACAAUAAAAGCACCCUCAAUCGAGCUCAUGGAAAGGGCAGUGCUCACAAUCUCACCUGUACAUAGUGAAGACUGGAGGACCGAAAUAAUAUCCUUUCUCCAGGACAACCAUCUUUCAGAUGACAAAGCAUACAAUAAGAGAAUGGAAGCAAGAACAAGACCUUAUGUAAUAAUUGAAGGGGAGAUAUACAAGCAUGGAGUUUGCUCCCCAUUGCUCAAAUGCCUGUCCAGAAAUGAAGGACAAGAAUUAAUGAAGGAGAUACAUGCAGGACUGUGUGGAGCUCACAUUGGGUCUAGGCCUUUACUGGGAAAGGUUUUUAGGCAAGGGUUUUAUUGGCCGAAGGCAGCUUCGGAUGCAGCCGACUUGGUCCAGAAAUGUGAAAACUGUCAAAAGUGUGCUAGGGACUAGAAACAACCUUCGUCUUUGACACAAUUGAUCCAACCUACUUAGCCAUUGCAGAGAUGGGGCCUAGAUUUGUUAGGACCGCUCCCACCAGCACAAGGAAACUUGAAAUAUGUUGUGGUAGCGACGGAAUAUUUCUCAAAGUGGAUCGAAGCUAAGCCUCUAGCUACCAUAACCUCGGCCACAAUCCAAACGUUUUUCUAGCAGAAUAUUGUUUGUCGCUUUGGUAUGCCGAAGGCUAUUACAGUCGACAAUGGAACUAAAUUUGAUGCUGAAACGUUCAAGGUUUUUUGUGACCAGAUUGGUACAAAAAUAUAUUUUGCAUCGUUAAGGCACCCAGAAUCAAAUGGGUUGGUAGAGAGAGCAAAUGAAAAUAUAAUGACAGGGAUAAUGAAGUUAAUCUUCAAUCAGCCCAGAGGAAAGUAGCCAGCUGAAUUAAUAAAAGUGGUGUAGAGCCACAACACUGAUGUCUCAAGGUCAACAGGUUUUACUCCAUUCAAGCUCUUGUUCGGUGACGAAGCAAUAACACCGGAAGAAGCAAGAACAGGAUCAAUAAGAACCAAAGCUUCAGCGGAGGAUGAAGCUGAUUGUCAAAUAACAAAAGACACCAUAUAAGGGACCAGACUUCGGGCCAUAGAGCACAUCAAUAAAUAUCAGGCCGAAACAAUAAAAUGGUGUGAUAGAAAAGUUCGAUUGAAAAUAUCAAACCAGGCCAUUAGGUGCUUCGAAGGAUAGCCAACCCAGAAAUAAUAGGGAAACUUCAACUGAAAUGGGAAGGUCCUUUUCUGGUAGUAUCAUCAUCAAGUCCCAGUUCUUACAGAUUGAAGGAUAUGGACGACAAUGACAUACCCAGAUCUUGGAAUGCGGAUGAGCUUCAGCGAUAUUACGUGUAAUUGAUGUAAUCUUUUUUAUUUCUCCUAUGGCUCCCUUUUCCUUUCAGGAGGGGAUAAAUGUUUUUAAUGUGGCCAUAGUUUGUAAUUUUCAUUUUUGUUUAGCCCUAUGCAAUACAAGGGCCAAAUUCCUCCAAAAAUGUAACAUGUAAUAUCAGAAUCCGCACCAUCGAGUGCAAAGAGAACAGAUAAAAGCUCAAAAGACGUCCCUAAGGGGAUGCAGAGCUGUAAUCACUCCGAAGGUGACGAAGCUACGAAAGUCAUUCCUAAGGGAGCGCAAAGUAAGUUCCAAAGCUACAAAAGUCGUUCCUAAGAGAGCGCAGAGUAAGUCCCGAAGCUCAAAAGUCGUUCCUAAGGGAAUGAGAGCCGAAUACCACCGAAAUAGAAGGUGAAGAAGCUCCAAAGUGAUUCCUAAGGGAAUGCAGAGCUUAAAUGCCACCGAAAUAGAAGGUGAAGAAGCUCCAAAGUUGUUCCUAAGGGAAUGCAGAGCUUAAAUGCCAUCGAAAUAGAAGGUGAAGAGACUCCAAAGUCGUUCCUAAGGGAUGCAGAGUCUGGGUAUGAUUUCGUGUGCGUUCGGGUUAUACAUUUGCAUAUUUCAUCGCAUCAUUAUUUGCAUUCAUACAAACAUUCAUUAGACAUUCGUAGGAUCAUCAUUAUCAUGACAUGAAGCAUGAACGAUAAUAUGAACAGAAAGAGUUGUCCGGCUUCGGCGACAAAAUGCUUCGUUGAAUACGAAGAAGCUUCAUCUCAAACAUGAACACAUGCAUUUUAUGCAAUGAAAUGCUUCGAUGUGCAUGAAAAGAAGGGAAGGUGUUUUUUGCCUUCGGCUCAAAAGUUGUAUUUAUGGGUUUCGUCCACAGCAAAGCAAUUCACACAUGGAUGGAAAGGUAAAAUUAUAUUACAGGGUAUGGACAAAUAUAUACAAUAUUGAGUUCAACUCUCAAUUACAAUCUUUUGCAAAAAUAAUGCAAAUAGAUCCUAAGCUCUAUACAGGAAGUCAUAAAAGGAAGCUUCAGCCUAGCAACCUUCGGUAUACACUUUGGCUUACCGACCUUCGGCACCGCCAUCCUGUAGACAGGCAACAGUAUAAGGUAAAUGCGAUGGUAAUAAAGAAAAAUCAAGGCAAACAACAGGCAGAAGUUAUCGUACCGAAUUAAGAAAUUUCCGAGCUUCAUCUCCAGCUAACUCUCGCCCACCUUUAGCCCAAAUUUGAGUAAUAAAUCUAUUUCCAAUACUUCGAGCCUCUCCAAGAAUGUUCACCAAGUCUAAUGGUGACACGCUAAAGUUUGGCUUGUUUAUUGUCUUGGCAUGCGUACAUCCAAUUUUCAAAAAUGCAGCCGCCAUGCCACGAGAAGCUAAUAGAGCACAGAAAUCACCGUCCGAGUUAUUACUUCAUCGAGUGCAUCAACUUCAUUCUCGAUAUGUUCAAAGGUUUUAGAUAUAUCUUCAACCGAAGGAGCAAUUUCUUCAGACAUGGCCCCAACCGAUCUGAAGAUUCCCUUUAACCGAUGCACGCAGCGAGUAGUAAAUUCUGAGCAUUUAUUUCGAAGGUCCUUCAGUGAUUCCUGCAACAUCAUGUUCUUAUCAGCUUCGGCUUCAGAUUUCGCUUGCAGUUCUUUUUUCUCUUGCUAAAAGCGCAUUGACUUCUCCUUUAAAGUUGUUUGAGCUUUGAGAAGCUCUUCGUUUAAUCUAGCAUUUUCAGCAUGUAAUUCCGCAAGUGAACCUUCGGUUGCCUGAAGCAAAAAAUCCUUCUUUUCAAGAGAAGCUUCACAAUCUUUGAUCUUAUUUUCUAGGCCUUCAAUUAUUAUCUCGUUCUUCUUAUCUUCGAGAUCUUGCUGCAUUCUUAACGCUUUGCUUAGCAUCAUGCUCUGCGAAAGAUAAGCCAAGUUUAGAAUAUUUUAACCCAUCACAAAGAUAACAAGAAUCUAGGCAAAAGAUUUUACCUUGAAAUUGGAAUAGAAUAAGCUGCCAACGAUAUGUUGAUGUCGGUAACCACUAAUAUCAGAUUCUAGCUUCGGGAAACCAACACUCUUUGACAAAGUGCUGAUUAUUUUCGCCCCGACGCGGUCGUGGAUACAUCUCAGGGUUUGCUUGUCAACUCCGCCGAAGAGCAUGGAUCCUGGCUGGUAGCCACAAGAUUUGCCAUAUUCUUUUAGCUCCUCUCUCUGCCUCGGACAAUUCCUGACUUCCCAGGUGCCUAAGGUCAAAGUCUUUUUCUUUUGAUGAAGCAUCAACAAUUUCUUUCCCCUUGUCGGGCGUUGCGGCCAUGUUUUUCUCUACGGUCGCAGCUGUCUCUUUUGCGACCAUAUCUGAUAUGAGCUUGUCAAUUCCUGACAUUGUGCUCACAAGAUUAGCAUCUUCGGUAGCGGCUUCAACUUCGGCAGCGGUUUCACCUUUGGCACUUGUAUCAGGCACCAUUUUGGAUGCCGAGGCUAGAGGCGAUGUUCGCUCAAUAGCUUGCAUGACAUUGACAAUUCUUCGUCUUUUUUGACCUUCAGUCUUCUCCUUUGCGGCCGAAGGUUGAUCCUUUUUCUGUAAAAAUUUUGUCAGUUUCGGUCCCAGAGGACUUAGCAGCUUGACGGGCAGAGAAUCAGUCAUUACCUUUAAAAUUUCUACUAUUUCGGCAGCAGAGGGCGUUGAAGGAGCUUCUUCUCUUGCCUCAGCUACCUUUGGCUCAGUAGAGGGAGUCAUGUCAAGCUUCCGCUUUUUGGAGACUGCCGCUCUCGGCUCACGAGCUGAUCUUGCCUUUUUUGAAACGUUCUCAUCCUCCUUUACUAGUCUGACAGCUAGCCUACUUAAGAUGCUGACGACCCUUUUCCUUUUUAACCCUUCGGCACCUUUGUCAAAUCUUUCAUAAUCUGGAUACUCAAAAUUUAACGUGUCCAUCAUGCGAUUUAGCCUUCGUUUUGGCUGGGUGCCGAAGGUAGCAGUCAUUAACUGGUCCUCCUUCUUGGUGUAGUUGCCAAGGAUUUCGUUGCACAUAGUUUCAAUCAUUUCUAACCACUCUUGGCAUAGUUUCUUGAACUCUUUCUCAAACUUGAAACGGUAGGGAAGCCGAACAAGUUCGUGCUUUUUGCCUCCAUCCUUCUUCUUGGGCAUUCCCCAGCCACUAGAGGUCGAAAAUACUCUUUUCGCCAAGAAUUCUUGCACCAGAUCUCUACUGCUGACCUUGGCUGAUACUACUCUAAACUCUACUUCAGCUACUUAGCAUGGGGAGCCAAGCUGCAUACGGCACAAGGGUCUUGUCAUUCCGAAGCUCAAUACCAGUGGACUCAUGACCAUAGUCAUCAACUUCUCCCUCUUUUUCUCGUCUGCCUUCAUAUAAAACCAUUCACUUUUCCAACCAGUUGGCCACUUAGUGCGGUAGCUAAGAACCGGUGCCUUCGUAUCCUUUCGAUACGCAAAAUUAUAGCAACCAAAAUUCUCAUGAAGGCUGUCUGCCUGGCCUUCAUCUGGUAAUGCAGCUCGUGCACCCGACAGAAAGCUUCGGCAUUAGGACUCAUCCCCUGGCUUCAGAGAGCCCAGAUGUAGACACCAAGUCUAACGAUUGCAUUGGGUGUCAUUUGAUGAAGGUAUAUUUCAAAGUUCUUCAAAACCUCUCCUAUCAUAUCAUAUAGAGGGAACCGAAGCCCUGCUCUGAAGAAGCUUUUAAAGACAACAACUUCAUCAUCCUUUGGCUCCAGAAUCACUUCCUCGCCAGCAAAACAAACAAGUUUACUCUUAGCCUCUCCAAAGUAGCCCAAUUUCUUCAUUAUAGCCAUAUCAUCUGCCGUCACAGUAGAUCUACCAAAUUCAAGGUGGCUAGGUUUCGCUAGGCUCAAGAUACUGUAAUCCUCUUCAUCUUCGUUAUCGCUCCCUUCAACUAUGAUUUGUUCAGAUUCAACCGUCGAGGUACCUUUGGCAACAGGCUCUUCUAGCACAACAAGACCCGAUAGCCUCAUCACCUCUGAUAUUGGUGUCGUCUCAGUUGCUUUGGCCUCGUCCCCCUCACGAGACACCCUAGCAGUCGAUCGUACUCUAGUCAUUUCAAUAUUUUCACUUUUUUAAAUGAAGCUAGUCUCAAGUGCCGAAGCGUUUGCUCGAAAAUGCAAUACAGAGAGCUUCGACUAUGGUUAAAAUUUUUAACAGCACAAUAGUGCAAUGGCAAUGAAUGUUGUGGUAACUCCUCACCAACCCGUCUGUUUAUAUAGUGCUGCAGGGGAGAAGGCGAACCACCAUACUGCUCGCACUGGCUGAGCGGUGGACCGUCCGGCGUCCGGAAUAUUAUAAUCGUUUCUCGGCAACGAGCUCAGGGAAGGUGUUUUUCGGACCUUCGGCAUUCCGAAGCCUUCGUGUUUUUCGUGGAUCAAGCUCGUUACGAAAAAUGAUCUAGCACCGCGAAGGGACUACUGUUGGGGGUCUUCUUCUCCGCCGAAGAUCCUCAAGGCAAAAACACCUUCAGCAAGACAGUACAAAGGCAGGUGCGACAUGAAGAUAUAAGCCGAAGAUGAUGCGGACAAAAGCCGAAGCUACGACUGAAAGAGCUUCGGCUUGGUAUUAUAAUAAAGGCGAAGGACGAUACCGACUUAAAGAGGAAAAGACUAUAUAGUCCUUAAUAGUUCGCAUUAUGAUUAUAAUUAGUUAUCAGGGACAUGGACGUAAUUUUUUCUGGGCUGCGUCCCGUGCCUAUAAAUAGAUGAACAGUACCCCUAUACUGUUCAUGCUGGAUUGUAAUCUCUCUUGUGUCACUCGCAUUUGUGUCCUCUGGAAAACCGAAGGUAUCUAAGUCGUAUAAAAAUGAUGAGCAAUUAUUCAUAUUUAUGAAAGGAGAAUAUAAAUGAGUCAUUGAUUCAUUAUCAUUAUUUAUUCUCUUUUGUAUUUCAUAUACUGUCGUUUAUAACUGUUUAUUGAGAUGAUGAAGGUACGUCCUUCAUGACCUUUGUCUAAGGUUCAUUAUACCCGAAACAAGAUAAUGAAUAAAAGGACGAAGGUCUUUAAUCAUUAACAAUUGUGUUGCUUUGUUCUUGAUGUUUAGCAUUCGGGAACACCGACCAACAUCACGCAAGUGGGCCUGGGGGCCUCUGUUUGUACCCCAAAUAUGGAGUACCCACUCCUGCUAGGUCAAAGAGUGACCUCUAUGGCUAUCCGUAGCAAUUGGAUGGAGAGCGUUCUACCCUGACUCGGAGCCUGGGCCUAUCUAGCGAGGCCACUGGUCGUUGGACCGGUGCCGUCACGCGCCCCGUCGGUGGGAUUGUUCGGAAUCUACAGCCUACAGCCGGUCCCGGACCCCUAUGUGUGUCGUCUGUACCUCCGAUUAGGGGAGGUUCGAUGCUGCCACGUGUCCGAGCCAUCAUGGGUGAGUCUCAGACCUCCACAAGUGCCAUCUGGAUCCCCAACCAGGGGAGGUCUAGGGGUGCCACGUCUAUGUAUGCUCCCAUCCCCUAUUUUUCACUCAAGCAGAGAUACAGUGUUGCCACGUGGCCUAAGGCACGUUAAGGAAGUUACCAGGCAUUGUCUAAGUGGGCCUCUCACAUGGAGGGCCACCCACAUUAAUUGUAGGCAAGAUGCGCGCCUGUCCACAACAGUGGCAGGCGUCAUGUGUCCCAUAUAAAAUGCAGGUGGUGUGUGCAGUCCAUAAUGCCUGGGUCGCGCUAGUAACCUACGCGUUACUCUUAGGUAAAGACCAUUGACCGACUACGCCACAUGUGGGCAACUCUCAUCACGAUUUCUACUAUUCCCGCUUUAGAGGCAGGCAAAGAGACAGGCGCAUGGGUCAGGACAACACCGACCACCUACUCACCUACACAAGUCGACAAGCCAAUCUACGUCGCAGCCUAACCAUAGCCUUCACACACAUGCUGACAAGACAGGACAAAGGCGAGUCUAGAUAGAGGGCCCGCACGGUGACCAAGAGAAGAUACAUGCCCAUCGUAGGAAGAAGACUUUGGUCCACCAUCUCUAUCCGAUGCUCCACGCUUCAUAUUUUAGUAUUCCUAGGCCCAUAUGUCGGGGCCUAGCUUCCUUGUAUGUGCUCCCCUUAGGAUAUAAAAGGGAGGGCACAUGCGUUGCAAGGGAUGGACUUGAGCCCAUCCAUAGACUCGAGGACACACACUAACACGAGGUUCUUGUCUCAAGCUCCCUUGGGACUAGAACCUCCGGGGUACAUCUUCACUUGAACUCCCCGGAGACUUCUCCAUCCAAGCCCAAGGUUUCUCAAGCUCUCAGCAACACGACUCACAUUGGAGUAGGGCGUUACUCUCUGGUAGCCUGAACCACUAUAAAUCCUUGUGUGCUCCUGUGUUCGUCCGCCUGAUCAGGCAAACCCUAGGCUGCCCCUAUUCUUAGGAUUAGACGGGUGCAUUCCGCUACCCAGCUGGAGUUUACUCUUCGACAACUUCUUUUGGCUUAAGCAAGUGUAAGAAUUCCCAACCUAGGCCCAAGUUGUGGCCUAGGAUGUGAGUUCACGUGGGGAGCAGGCUAGCAGGUCGAUGAUAUUGGCAGACAUAGGCUAUGUCAUUGACAAUAUGAAGCCUAUAAGCCCUAUAUUGGUAACGAUAGGAACACCUGAGGUAGCUAAUAAUGCAUCCUUGACAUUGAUACGAUUCCCAACGCAUUAAGUGAGAGCGAUCAAACAAGAAGUGUAUGAUGGUUAUUAGAAGCUCUAUUAUAGAGUCUAUCCAUGGAGCAAUCUAGAAUGUCCAAGUGUCACAAAGUACCUUGAUAAAUUUAAGCAACAAUUCACUGGUUCUUCCAAUACAUAUGCUAGAACCAUAAUAAAAUUAUUACUAAAAAGUAUGAUGGCUCUAUCAUAGGGGAGCACAUACUAAAGAUGACUAUCUUUCCCAAUAAACUUAAGUCCUUUGGUAUGAAAUUAAAGAAUGAAUUUGUUGUUCACCUGAUAUAAUUGUGUUUGUCUAAAGAAUUUGAGAAUUUUGUUGUGAACUACAAUAUGAGUCCUAAAAAGCAGGCAAUAUAGAAGUUGAUUGCCAUGUGUGUCCAAAAAUCAAAGAGGGUCCCCAAUAAUUCUAGUGGGUACCGCCCGAGGGUUCCUUUACCCCCAAAACUUGUAUUGCCUAGAUUUGUUUAGGCAUAAGAAAACUAAAUGGUAAGCACUAGAAAAUUUGCAGGACCACCAUUAAAUGUGACAAAAAAAAUGUGUAGCUUGUAGCCUAAGUAGCCACUAAAAAACUUUGGUGCCACUGAAAAUCUUUGAUGCCAUUGAAGAAGUCAACACCAAGCAAAAGGGCAGUUAAUGGAUAGUUUGGAAAAGACAUUGAACUAGCCAUUAAAGCCUCCCAUGUCUUUCUUUGGUGACCCCAUUGAAAGGUUUUGAUGGUAUACUACUAUAGAUUACUCAUCAUUGUUGAUUCAUAACUGCCCUUCACCUCUGGUUUUCAUCCUCAUUUUUAGAAGUGGAUAGUGUCGGGUACCGUAAUUAGGGGUACCCCCAAUACUCCUUAAUCCGGCUGGAAAACAUCUUCAGAAAAAGCCAUACACGGCUGAUAAAGCGCGGUUCAAGUCAGGGCCACGUCUGCCGAGGGACGCGACCUCAUCCGAGCCCAGCCUCGGGCGGGAACAGUAGUCCCGAACGGAUUCACGCCUCACCCGAGGGUCCCCUCAGCCAGCAGACGCACCCUCGGCUCGCCCGAAGCCUAGCUUGGGCAGACUUUGUCGUGCAGCAACCUUGGCCAAAUCGCCUUACCAGCCGACCGUAUCGCAUGAGCAUUUAAUGCGGGGAUCGCCUGACACCUUAUCCUGACAUGCGUGCCUCAGUCGGCAAGGUCGAAGUGACCGCAGUCACUUCGCCCCUUUACUGACCGAUCUGACAGGAAAACAACGUUGUUCGCCCCGCUCCAGCUACCGUGCCAACCACCAGGAUAAAACCGAGUCACGAUCUCCCACGAGUUUGGCCUCGGGCGCAACAAGGAGCUCCGCCUCGCCCGACCUCAGGCCUCAGCCUCAGCCUUGGCCCUGGAAGAAGAUCUCCGCCUCGCCCGACCCCAGGCCUCGGCCUCGGGAGGAGUCACAACCUCGCCCGAGCCCAUCCUCGGCCUCAGGAGAAGUCUCCGCCUCGCCCGACCUGGGCCUCGGACCGACUGCGCUACAGGGGAUACAUCAUUACCCUACUCCUAGCUAGCUGCCUCAGGCUACGAAGGAACAAGACCGGUGUCCCAUCUAAGGCUACUCUGGCAACAGGUAAUGAUGGUCCCCCGCGUGCACCCAUGACGUCGGAUCGCUCUCAACCCCCUAUGGAAGCAAGACAACGUCAGCAGGAUCCAUGUCGCGCCGACAGCUGUGCUUCUACUGGGCUCAAGGCACUUCUCCGACGGCCACGCUAGCUCGUGUACACGGCUCAAGGCGCUUCUCCGCCAGCCACGAUAGCACAUAGCUACACCCCCUUGUACAUCUGGGCAUCUCCUUGUAUCUAUAAAAGGGGAUGUCCAGGGCCUUCCUAAGGAACGACGCCGCGCACACACGUUGGAUGUCGUGGACACACGUUGGACGUCGUGGGCAGACACGGCAACUCUGACAACGUUGGUCGCUCUCGCCCUCGCUCCCUCGCGCGACGCUUGUAACCCCUACUACAAGCACCCCGGUGCGAGAUAACAUAAGCCACAUUUCCCUCUUGUGUUCCAUCUUGAAUCAACCCAUCUGGGCAGGGACACGCAACAACAAAUUUACUGGUUGGUUGACGGUCCUCGCGCGUCCGAAACGCCGACAGUUGGCGCGCCAGGUAGGCGCUCGCUGCGUGUUAACGAACACUUUCCCGUUGAGUUCCAGAUGGGUAGCCUCCAGCAGCCUCUUCAGCCGGGGACGCUGCUCCGCUUUGGGAGUCUCGAGUUCAUGUCCCUUGACGGCAGCUAUGACAUGGUACUCCUCCCCCCACAGCGCGACAGCAACAACAGUCGUCGGCUCGCCCGGCGGUGGCGAACCCGACGACGACUUCCCACCGUGGCAGAAGAGGAACACCCGGGUUUGCCCCGCCACCCUCCUCGUCGGAGGAGGAGGAGACGGGGUAACCAUGGCCAUGCAGGAGGCGGCACCUCGUCGGUUGUUGGGGACCUUCGGCUUCCGAAGGUCCUCAAAAACAAGAUUUAACAAUAUUUCUGGAGUAUGAUGUGUGAACAGGUAUCUUCGGACUCAAGUCGGCAUCACAGUAGACCAGAAUAAUACGAAGGUUGGUACAGCGCCGAAGGUGUGAGCAGGAAAGCUUUGGCGCGGCAGCAGAAAGUGAAACCGACUUAAAGAUGAAAAGGCUAUUUAGACCUCGACAUAUUACUAUAGAAUUAUUAUCAAGUGUAAAGGGCAUGAAUGUAAUUUUGUAUGGGUUGUGUCCCGUGCCUAUCAAUAGGUGAACAAUAUCCCCGUACUGUUCACGCUGACUUGGCAUUCGCUUUUUGCGUCACGCUUGUACUAUCAUCUCCUUCCAGUUGAAGGUACACUUGUAAUUCAAUAAUAUCUCUGUUUAUGCCUGAUAAUAAUAGAUAAUUGUUUAUGUUGUCUUUUAUAUUCCUUACAUUUCAUCCUUCGUCAUUGUAUGAUGAAUUUAUGGAAAUACGUCCUUCAUAACCUUCGUCCGGAAACCAUUAUAUCCUAAGGGAAUAAUGCUUCGAAGGACGAAGGACUUUAACGAUUAACAUUUUCUAUGUUGCCUUGUUCUUAACUCAUAGCAUUUGAGAGCAAGUCCCCAACAUUGGCGCCCACCUCCGGUGAACUCACUUCCACUCUUCGAGUUUUUUGAACACCUUCGGCGAUCAUAAACCUUCAUUAUGGCGCCGAAGAAAGCUUCAGCGACUGGGGCUGCAGCUCUGCAACCACUGGAUCACAAUCAGGAGAUAGUCUCCCUUCGGGAGGCCCGAAGCCAGAAAAGGAAGGCUGUCAGCCCGACACCACCAGAGGACGAGAUAGAUCAAGAAAUCAGAGAUAUGGAAAUGCUUCAUCAACAAGUACAGAGGAAGAAAGAAAAGAUGGCCAGGCUAGCUGAACUGCAGAGGCAGAUAGACGAAGCCUCUGAAGAAGUUCGUCAUCUUGCUCAGGAUGAACAACACCGAAGGCCUCAGCACCAAGACCUUCAUCAGGAGGGUUUUCCCAAUGAAGAUGACUGGUAUGACAAUUUCCAUCAUGGGAAUUUUGUUUUUGAUGAUGCUUCUCCUCUGUCCGCUGAGCUGCAGGCUACACCUUGGCCUCCGUCCUACAAGCCGCCUCAGCUUCCCGUAUUUGAUGGCCACUCAGACCCGAAGCAGUUUUUGAUGAGCUACGAAGCAACAGUAUCUUCGUAUGGUGGCAAUGCUGCAGUCAUGGCCAAAUCUUUCGUUAUGGCUGUCAGGAGUGUUGCUCAAACCUGGUAUUCCUCCCUUCGACCAGGAACGAUCACUUCAUGGCAGAAGCUGAAGGACUUGUUGUUAACUAGCUUUCAAGGGUUUCAGACGAAGCCGGUCACUGCUCAAGCUCUGUUCCAAUGCACCCAGGAUCACGAAGAAUACCUUCAGGCGUAUGUCCGAAGGUUCUUGCGUUUAAGGGCACAAGCACCAACGGUGCCCAACAAAAUUGUCAUUGAGGCCAUGAUCAAAGGGCUUCGGCCAGGACCGUCAGCUCAGUACUUCGCUAGGAAGCCCCCUCAAACUUUGGAGAAGCUGCUCCAGAAGAUGGACGAGUACAUUCGGGCCGAUAAUGAUUUUCGCCAAAGAAGGGAGGAGGCUUUCAGGUUUUCUGAAAUGACCAGGGGCUUCGGAGGGAGGUUCUACCCGAGGCACGUUAGAUCAAUUCAUAACUCUACACAAAAUGAUGAUAGAGGGAGCCAACAGCAAAGGCCACAAUGUUCCUCACAGGCUUCGGGGCAACAGCAAGGCUCCUUCCGACCACCAGCUCCAAGAGGCAGAGGCGCCAGGGGCUUUGGAGGAAGAUUUGGCGAUCAACCGAGGAGAAUCUUUUGCUUGUUCUGUGGUGAGAACAAAGGUCAUACCACCAGGAUGUGCCAUGUUACCAUCCAGAAGCAAAAAGAAAUAGCCGAAGCGGCAGCACAACAGGCUCAGCCGAAGCAGGUCAUGCACACUGCUUCGUAUCAUUCGCCUUACAUCCCAGAGUAUGUAGGCAAUCACCCUGCAGUUUCUGUUGCUUCGGCGAGUCAACCUCAGGCUUCCUGGCAACAACCUCCGCCUCCACCACCGCUGCAACAAGGCCAGCAGCCAGAAGGGAGCCAAUACGCUCCACACCAAAGGGACUUCAGAGAGCAGUCCGAAGCUCGCACAGUCAACAGCACUGUGCCAGAGUCAAAGCACAUCUAUUGACAAAUAUCCUACCUUAAUAGCAAUCUUUUUCAUUCAGUUUUAUUUUCUGUAAUAAAGGACAUUGUUCAAGUUUCAUGUAAAUAGUUUCACUGAUUCCCACAAGGAAAAUAUAUUUUCUUCACAGGUUUAAAUUGUUGAAAGACUUGUGAUAACAAAGAGGACCUUCGAACUAUCGAAAAUUCUUCGAAGUAACAAAAAGUCGUUCUAAGGAACGCAGAGUAAGUUUGCCGAAGUCACAAAAAGUCGCUCCAGAGGGAGCGCAGUGUAAGUUUUCUGCUCCAAAGUCGUUCCAAAGGGAAUGCAGAGCAUACAGCGAAAAGUCAACGCUGAUACCGCCUAAGUAAAAGGCGAAGCGCAAAAAGUCAACGCGAAUACCGCUGAAAGUAAAAGGCGAAGAAGCUCCUAAGGGAGGCUUACAGCGAAAAAUAAACGCUGAUUCCGCUGAAGUAAAAGGCGAAGAAGCUCCUAAGGGAGGCUUGUAAAAGAUUAUGUAUUUUAUUGCAGGGAUGCGUGUGCACCUUCGGAAUAAGCAUCGUCUCAUAUAACAUAACAUCAUCGCAUCAUUUCGCAUAGCAUAAGCAUCAUACAUCAUGUUGCAUAUGGCACAAGAGGUGGACACAAUAUUAAUCUACAGAAGAGCGUUUUGAAAAAAGGGAAAAAUCAUAAGGAGAUACAUUAUUGAUCUUCGGAGGUGUAGCUUCGGAAAAUAUUUUCACGAAGCCUGGAUAUUAUUCAUCAGAACACUGGAUAUUGUUGAAAAAUUCUUCUUCACGAAGCAUGAAAAGAAGGGAAGGUGUUUUUUCGUCAAAGACUCAAAAGUGGUACGUGUAAAUUUCAUGCAUCGUAAAGAAUUAAGCAAGAAAAACAGGUAUAUUACAUUCAGGGUUACAAAAUGUUACAAUAUAUUACAUUUCAGAAGUUUUUACAAUAGUACUUAAUCCUCUCUCAAAACGACUUCUGCAGCUUCGUUUAGGAGUCGAUUGACGACUUCGUCCAUAAUAUCUUCAGCCAUCUUUUUUAUUUCGUCGUCUCCUUUCGGCUGAGGGUCCGAAGGGGCUUUAGCAAAAUCUGAAGUAGAACAGGAUACGGCUACAUUGCUAUGACAAAUUGCAAACGAAUCUUAAAACCUAAAAUUAUAGCACAAUAAAAACUAUUAGAUAAUACCUAAUUGACCUUCGGGCUCUGCGCUCUUUUCAGCAGCCUCAGCUACUUCUCUAGCAUCGUGAAUGCCCUUUUUGCUUCUUUGAAUAAUCUCUCGAGCCAUUUCUCGGCCACCAUUAUCCCAGAUAUCGGUGAAAAAUUUUCCACCAAUCAUGCUAGCUUCGGCCGAUGGAUCCCUUGCAUCUUCGAAGGACAAAGCACCUUCGGAUUGCGCUAGAAUCUUUACGUGUUCGCAGCCUUUUUUCUCUAAAAUGGUGGCAAUUCCUCUGGCACCCGAGAAGGCACAUAUAUCUCCACGGCUAUUUAAAAUUUCUUCGAAGGCUUCAGCUUCGUGGUCGAUCCAUUCGAUGGGACCUUCAGGAUUGCCUCUCGUAAAGUUUUCCUCACUUGAGAAUGCGCCGACCCUAGCGAAGCUAGCCUUUAGCUUCUUAACACAUUCUAUAGAUUUGUUAUAGCAUCUCUUCUUGGACGACCGAAGCUCUUCAACAGUUCCUUCUAGGUGAUCUGCCCAUUGGUCGCUGAGUUCUCGCUUUGUUUCUUCAAGUAUACGUUCUUCUUUGGCUCUGGCCAGUUGUUUCCGAAGAUCUUCAAGUUCUCGUUUAUGAGCUUCAGCUUGGCUUUUAAAAGCAGCUUCGUCUUCUUUUAUUUUAUUUAUCAAUGAGUGUAAUAUUUUAUCUUUCUCAAGACCUUCGUUCCUCAGUUCAAUUACUUCGGAACGAAGGUUGCUCAGGGCUAUAGUACACCCUUCGUCUUCAGCAUCUUUCUGUGCCCUGAGGGCAUUGCUAAGUAUCAGGCCCUGCAAAGAGAAAUAUGUGUGUGUCAAUAGGUUUAAACAAACGAAAAAAAUUUUGGUCUCAACAAAAAAUGCAAAGAUUCCAUUUGUUGCACCUUCAAGCUAUUAUAUGCCAGACUGUCGGCCAAAUCAUUUUUCGAUAGUACUGAGAGUCCGUCUUCCAGUGUUGGGAAUCCGAAGCUCUUGCUCAUCUCCCGACAGAUAGAAAUCUCUUUGCUGUCAGGGAGACAAUAGAAAAAGUCUUCUUCUCCACUGCCAUUGAAUAUUAAUGCCCCCUUUGGAUACUUCAGUUUUUGGGCGUAAAGUUGGGCCUCUUGUUUUUCUUUUUCUGAUAGUUGUUUCCCCGAAGCAUGGCGAAUAAUGUAAUCAAGGACUUUGGGGGAUGCUUCGGGGGCAGCAGCACUAAUUUCUUCAGCAAAAGUUGGCUCUGUAAUUUUUUCUUCCUCGGAUUCCAGGGAUUUUAUUUCUGUGGGUUCUGAGGAUCCAGCUUCGGCUUCAGUUUCUUGCUCUGGAGCUUUAGUAUCAGAGACUUUAGUUUUUUUUUCGGGGAUGACAACAGUCUCCUUCGGAGGUGUGCUUGAAGAUUUAAUUGUCUCCAGAACAUCUAGCACAUUGACCAUUCUCUUCCUUUUCGGAGUCACUGCUGGCACCUUUUGGUUUUUUACUGUCUCAAUAUUUGCCGCAGGACUCAAAACUUCUGAUGUUUUUUAUCCCUCAGUUGCUUCUUUUUCUUCCAUUUUUUCCGUGGACGGCGCUUCAGCCUUCUUCGUUUCUGAUAACAAAAUCUUUGAUUGUUCCAAUUCUAUCUUUGUUGACACUUCGGCCGUUUCUGCGACUUCUGGUAGCAAGGUUGGCUCGGUUGGUUUUUCAGCUUCGGUGGCCGAAGAGGUUUCUCCGGUAAACUCGGGCACCGAAGCUGGUUCAAUAUAGCGCGGCCGAUGUGUGAGGACCUUUAUCUUCUUUCUUUUCGGUUCUGGCUCGCUAGGAGCAGUUGCAGCUUCUUCUUUUGCAGAGGUUGUGUUUUUUCUCUUCUGCCUUCGAAUGGGAUAGCAAUAGUCAGGGUAGACAAACCCGAUUGCAUCAAAUACCCGAUUCAGCCUCUUCUUUUUUCGGCCUCCGAAGGCUGCUGACAUUGCACUGUCUUCGGCCUUCGAAUAAGCCCCAAGCAGUUCAUCACUUAAAUUUUCAAUGCUUUUUAACCAGUCGUCAUCUGGAUCAACGAAUUUAUCUCCAAAUUUAAAAGUCUACAACCUGAUAAGUCCACCUUCGUCGGCCUCUUUUAUGGUUUCUUGUGGCAUUUCCCAUUUCUCCGCGAGCGGCCAUACCCUGAAGGCAAUAUGCUCUUGUACUAAGUCUCUCGUUCCAAUAAAAGAACAGAUGACGCCGAAGGCCCUCUGGCAUUCUUCGGCAGCUUCAUUCAUUUCAACCUUCGGCCUCCGAAGGCCGAAGCUUUGCCAAAUAGGGCGCAUAAUUAUACCUUUGAUAUCUUCUCGUACUGUCAGAUCAUUCUUCACAUAAAACCAUUCUGUCAUCCAGUCGCCGGGCCAUCUCUUCCGAAAGGUUGGCACGGGGCAGCUUGACCCGGACCGAGAAACGAAACUAUAGCAGCCAAAAUUAUUGUGAUACUGUUCCUUACCCCAAGGUUUUGUUUCGUAUGAUAAUUCAUGUAUAUUGCAGAAGCUUUUUGCAUCAGGCUUCAGACCUUGGCUUCUCGCGGCCCACACGAAGAUAUUCAGCCUUAUGAUUGCUUCGGGGGUAAGUUGGUGAAGAUAGACUUCGAAGAUUUUCAACACCUCCACGACGAAGCUGCUCAAGGGAAAUCGCAGUCCAGCUUUCAAAAAGCUUCGGUACACUACGACUUCAUUCUCUUCAGGGUGUGGGCAAGUUUUUUCCCCUUCGUCGGCCCUCACAAUGGAUAAAUCCCGGAAAUACCUUCCUCUCAUGUUGACAAGAUGAUUCUCUUUGAUAGUUGAUUUACCAUAAACUGAAUGGCUUGGUCGCCAGGGACGAUCUUCGGAGUCUUCACCACCACUAUCCACAUCAUAGCUGUCACUAUCACCAGUAUCUUCAGACAAACCUUCCAGAAUCUCCUUGGUGAUUUUUUCUGUAUUGGUCUUUGACAUCGCUAUAAGAAACCCCAAGUUUUUCUCUUCGUCCAGGCUCAGCUUCAUCUCAGCACCAGUCUUCUUAUCCUCAGACAUCUUCGGAGACACUAAAAACUAUUUUCAAAGCCGAAGCUUCAAAACUAAAGGCUUAACAAAUCUUAGUACACAAGAGCUAAAAAUUGAGUGAGCGGGAGCAGUUGGCCAGAGAGCGUGUCAAAUGAGUUUGCGGUAUGACUGUAUUUAUACGCCAAGUGCGUUGAAAAUUGAAAGACCCCGCUUGUCAGUGAAUGUUGCUAUUCUAGCAAAGGGAAGGUGUUUUUUCGGACCUUCGGCGUAAAGCCUUCGUCCAUGUCGCAAUCUAAAUUUAUUAUUUUAAACAAAUUAAUAUUGUGAGGGGCUACUGUUGGGGACCUUCGGCUUCCGAAGGUCCUCAAAAACAAGAUUUAACAAUAUUUCUGGAGUAUGAUGUGUGAACAGGUAUCUUCGGACUCAAGUCGGCAUCACAGUAGACCAGAAUAAUAUGAAGGUUGGUACAGCGCCGAAGGUGUGAGCAGGAAAGCUUCGGCGCGGCAGCAGAAAGUGAAACCGACUUAAAGAUGAAAAGGCUAUUUAGACCUCGACAAAUUACUAUAGAAUUAUUAUCAAGUGUAAAGGGCAUGAAUGUAAUUUUGUAUGGGUUGUGUCCCGUGCCUAUAAAUAGGUGAACAGUAUCCCCCGUACUGUUCACGCUGACUUGGCAUUCGCUUUUUGCGUCACGCUUGUACUAUCAUCUCCUUCCAGUUGAAGGUACACUUGUAAUUCAAUAAUAUCUCUGUUUAUGCCUGAUAAUAAUAGAUAAUUGUUUAUGUUGUCUUUUAUAUUCCUUACAUUUCAUCCUUCGUCACUGUAUGAUGAAUUUAUGGAAAUACGUCCUUCGUAACCUUCGUCCGGAAACCAUUAUAUCCUAAGGGAAUAAUGCUUCGAAGGACGAAGGACUUUAACGAUUAACAUUUUCUAUGUUGCCUUGUUCUUAACUCAUAGCAUUUGAGAGCAAGUCCCCAACAUCGGUUGUCAGGCCAGAGCGAGUCGACGACGCCGGCACCCCUGCGGGGGCCAUGUCUGGUGUUGUCCUCGCACCAGAGACAACGAUGGGUGUCGCUUCCUCGCAAUGCGCCAACCCCGAGCGUGCUGAUGACGCCAGCACCCUCGCAAAGGACUUGCUGGGCGUUAGCCUCGUACCUGAGAUAAUGGUGCAAUCCGUCCCCGACGCGACUUCGCCACCGUCCAUCGACCAAGAGGUACCAUCCGUUUUUCAUCCUAUCCCUUUUAGAUUCAGCCUCGAUCCACCAAGCGACCCCGCUUCGGUGAGCGCUUCCGCCAGGGCAUACCCUGACCUUCCGGGGUAUCCUAUGCAGUCAUCUUGGGACCGACUGACGGCCAUCUCAACCUCCGGACCCACGGGUUCCGAGGAAGACGACGACUCCGACUUCGGUUGGGAUUUCUCCGGACUCAGUGAUCCCAGUGCCAUGCGAGACUUCAUGUCCGCAUGUGACUACUGCCUCUCCGGUUGCUCUGACGAUGGCCAUAGCCUCGGCGACGAGGGUUGUGACCCAAGCCACGAGUGUUUCCACAUCGAUCAGCGGGAUCACGGCGAGGACAACCACCUCGGCAUGCCGCAAGAUGACAACGCCCCUGUGCCUGCGUCUUGCGUUGACAUCCCACAGGAGCUAGCUGUGGUCCCAGUCCGUGUGGGGGGUCAGGACACAUAGCUCGAGCAAUUCUACGAGAUGCAGGCCAAGCUCGACGAAGAAGCCGGGCGGCUUGUGCAGCUCCGAGAAAACAUCGAGCAGGAGUGGGCAGGCCGAGCACUCGCAGGAGGAGCGCCUCAUCGGGCCCGAGACGUCCAGCGCCGUAUCGUUGACGAUGCCAGGGCAGGGCUGCCCCCGGCCUUCAGUGGGGCCGGCCAGAAUCUAGCUGCAGCGGCGAUGCUACUCUGAGCAAUGCCGGAGCCAUCCACCACCGAGGGGCGGCGUAUCUAGGGCGAACUCAAGGGUCUCCUAGAAAACGCAGCGGUCCAACGAGCCGAGAGCUCUGCCUCCCAAAGGCAAGGGUGCCCCUCGAAGCAUCGCACAACGUCCUCCCGACUCAUCUGGGAGGACUCGGUCCGCAGCGGGCGCACGCGAGACGGGAUGCCUGCAGCCCCGGAUCGCCUCAGCGACGAGCCCCACCGUCGCGACCGUCGAGCCCGCCUCGAAGAGAAGGUGCGCCGAGGCUACCACCCCAGGCGCGGAGGACGCUACGACGGUGAGGAGGACCGGAGCCCCUCGCCCGAACCGCCAGGUCCAAGGGUCUUCAGCCGGGCCAUACGACGGGCACUGUUCCCAGCCCGGUUCCGAGCCCCGACUACCAUCACCAAGUACUCAGGGGAGACAAGGCCGGAGUUGUGGCUUGCGGAUUACCGACUGGCAUGCUAGUUGGGAGGGACGAAUGACAACAACCUCAUCAUCCACAACCUCCCCCUUUUCCUCUCCGAUGCUGCCCGGGCAUGGCUGGAGCAUCUGCCUCCUGCUCACAUCUCCGACUGGGACGACCUGGUCAAGGCCUUCACGGGAAACUUCCAAGGUACGUACGUGCGCCCUGGGAACUCAUGGGAUCUCCGAAGCUGCCACCAGCAGUCAGGGGAAUCCCUGCGAGAGUACAUCCGAUGGUUUUCAAAGCAGCGCACCGAGCUGCCUAACAUUACCGACUCAGACGUCAUCAGGGCAUUCCUCGCCAGCACCACGUGCCGGGACCUGGUGAGCAAACUGGGCGCAAGACUCCUACCAAGGCGAGCGAAUUGAUGGACAUCGCCACCAAGUUCGCCUCUGGUCAGGAGGCGGUCGAAGCCAUCUUCCGGAAGGACAAGCAUCCUCAAGGAAGACAGAAGGAAGACGCCCCCGAGGCGUCCGUCCAGCGUGGCUCGAAAAAGAAGGCCAAGAAGAAGGCGCAAGCAAAGCGCGACGCCAUUGACGCGGAUCUCGUCGCUGCUGCCGAGCACAGGAAUCCUCGGAAGCCUCCUGGAGGAGUCAACAUUUUUGACAAUAUGCUCAAGGAGUCAUGCCCCUAUCACAGGGGUCCCGUCAAGCACACCCUUGAGGAGUGCGACAUGCUCCGGCGUUACUUCAUAAGGCGGGACCCUCGGCAGAAGGGGGCAAGGACCUAGGCAACAACAAGAAGGGGGGCGACAAGGAUGAGGAGUUCCCAGAGGUCCGCGACUGCUUCAUGAUCUACGACACACAGGUGGCAAACUCCUCGGCUCAGCACCGCAAGCAGGAGCGCCGGGAGGUCUGCUCGGUGAAGGUAGCGGUGCCGGUCUACCUUGACUGGUCCGACAAGCCCAUCACCUUCGACCAAGGCGACCACCCCGACUAUGUGCCGAGCCCAAGAAGGUACCCGCUCGUCAUCGACCCCAUCAUCGGCAACGCUAGGCUCACCAAGGUCCUCAUGGAUGGAGGCAGCAGCCUCAACAUCAUCUACGCCGAGACCCUAGGGCUCUUGGGGAUAGAUCUGUCCACGAUCCGGGCCGGUGCCGCACCCUUUCACGGGAUCGUCCCCGGUAAGCGCGUCUUGCCCCUUGGGCAACUUGAUUUGCCCAUCUGCUUCGGAACUCCCUCCAACUUCCGCAGGGAAACCCUCAUGUUCGAGGUGGUCGGGUUCCGAGGAACCUAUCAUGCGGUGCUGGGGAGACCGUGCUACGCCAAGUUCAUGGCCGUCCCCAACUACACGUACCUCAAUCUCAAGAUGUCGGGCCCCAAGGGAAUCAUCACCGUCGGAUCCACGUACCGCCACGCUUACGAGUGCGACGUGGAAUGCGUGGAGUACGUUGAGGCCAUCGCCGAAUCCGAGGCCCUCAUCGCCGACCUGGAAUGCCUCUCCAAGGAGGUGCCUGAUGCGAAGCGCCACGCCGGCAACUUCGAACCGGCUGAGGCGGUUAAAUCCGUCUCUCUCGACCCCAGCAACGACGCCGGCAAGCAAGUCAGGAUCGGCUUCGAGCUCGACCCCAAAUAGGAAGCAGUGCUCGUCGACUUUCUCCACGCAAAUGCCAAAAUUUUUGCGUGGAGUCCCUCGGACAUGCUAGGCAUACCGACGGAUGUCGCCGAGCACUCGCUUGAUAUCUGAGCUGGAGCCCGACCCAUGAAGCAGCACCUGCGCCGCUUUGAUGAAGAGAAGCGCAGGGCCAUAGGCGAGGAGGUCCACAAGCUGAUGGCUGCAGGGUUCAUCAAAGAGGUAUUCCAUCCGGAAUGGUUAGCUAACCCUAUGCUUGUGAAGAAAAAAGGUGGGAAAUGGAGGAUGUGCGUAGACUACACUGGUCUAAACAAAGCAUGUCCGAAGGUUCCCUACCCUCUGCCUCGCAUCGAUCAAAUUGUGGACUCCACUGCUGGGUGCGAAACCCUAUCAUUCCUCAACACCUAUUCAGGUUAUCACCAAAUCAAGAUGAAAGAAUCCGACCAGCUCGCGACUUCUUUCAUCACACCCUUUGGCAUGUAUUGUUAUAUUACUACGCCAUUUGGCUUGAGGAAUGCAGGUGCAACCUACCAAAGGUGCAUGAACCAUGUGUUCGGGGAGCACAUCGGCAGAACGGUUGAGGGUUACGUCGAUGACAUCGUUGUCAAGACAAGAAAAGCCUCCGACCUCCUCUCUGACCUCGAAGUGACUUUCGGGUGCCUGCGUGCAAAAGGUGUAAAACUCAAUCCCGAGAAGUGUGUCUUCGGAGUCCCCCGAGGCAUGCUCCUGGGGUUCAUCGUCUCCGAAAGAGGCAUUGAGGCCAACCCGGAGAAAAUCGUAGCCAUCACCAACAUGGGACCCAUCAAGGAUCUAAAAGGAGUACAAAGGGUCAUGGGAUGCCUUGCGGCUCUGAGCCGCUUCAUCUCGCGCCUCGGCGAGAGAGGAUUGCCCUUGUACCGCCUCUUAAGGAAGGCCGAGCGCUUCACUUGGACCCCCGAGACCGAGGAAGCCCUCGGGAACUUAAAGGCACUCCUUACUAACGCGCCCAUCUUGGUGCCCCCCGCUGCGGGAGAAGCCCUCUUGAUCUACGUAGCCGCAACCACUCAGGUGGUCAGCGCCGCGAUCGUAGUCGAGAGACGGGAGGAAGGGCAUGCACUGCUCGUCCAGAGGCCGGUCUACUUCAUUAGUGAAGUGCUAUCCGAGACCAAUAUUCGCUACCCACAAAUUCAGAAGCUACUGUACGCAGUAAUUCUGACACGACGAAAAUUGAGACACUACUUCGAGUCUCAUUCGGUGACUGUGGUGUCAUCCUUCCCCCUGGGAGAGAUCAUCAAGUGCCGAGAGGCCUCGGGUAGGAUAGCAAAAUGGGCAAUGGAACUCAUGGGCGAAACAAUUUCAUUUGCCCUUCGGAAGGCCAUAAAGUCCCAAGUCUUGGCUGACUUCCUGGCUGAAUAAGUCGACACCCAAUUGCCGACAGCUCCAAUCCAGCCCGAACUUUGGACCAUGUACUUCGAUAGGUCGCUGAUGAAAACAGGGGCAGGUGCUGGCCUGCUCUUCAUCUCACCCCUCGAGAAACAUGUGCGCUACGUGCUGCGCCUCCAUUUUCGAGCGUCAAACAACGUGGCCAAGAACGAGGCUUUGGUUAAUGGGUUGCGCAUCGCCAUCGAGCUAGGGGUUCGGUGCCUCGAUGCUCGGGGCGACUCGUAGCUUGUCAUUGACCAAGUCAUGAAGAACUCCCACUGCCGCGAUCAAAAAAUGGAGGCCUACUGCGACAAAGUUUGGCGCUUGGAGGAUAAGUUCCACGGGCUGGAACUCAACCAUGUUGCUCGACGGUACAACGAGACCGCGGAUGAGCUGGCUAAAAUAGCCUCGGGGCGAACGAUGGUUCCCCCGGACGUCUUCUCUAGGGACAUAUAUCAACCAUCCGUGAAACUCAACGACGCGCCCGAGCCCGACGAGACCUCGGCCCAGCCCGAGGUACCCUCGGCCGCCGAGGGUGAGGCCUUGCGCAUCGAGGAACAACAGAAUGGGGUUGCGCCAAACCAAAACUAGCAGACCCCGUACCUGCAAUAUCUCUUCCAAGGAGAGCUGCCCCUUGACAAGGCCGAAGCUCGGCAACUGGCUCGGCGCUCCAAGUCGUUCAUUUUACUGGGUAAUGAAAAAGAGUUGUACCACCGCAGCCCCUCAGGCAUUCUCCAACGAUGCAUAUCCGUCGCCCAAGGACAAGAGCUGCUACAAGAAAUACACUUGGGGGCUUGCGGUCACCAUGUAGCACCUCGGACCCUCGUCGGAAACGCUUUCUGACAAGGUUUCUACUGGCCGACCGCAGUGGCCGACGCCACUAGGAUUGUACGCUCCUGCAGAGGGUGUCAAUUCUACGCGAGACAGACGCACCUGCCCGCUCAAACCCUGCAAACAAUACCCAUCACUUGGUCGUUUGCCGUAUGGGGUCUAGACCUCGUCGGUCCCUUGCAGAAGGCACCCAGGGGCUUUAAGCACCUGCUGGUCACCAUCGACAAAUUCUCCAAGUGGAUCGAGGUCCGACCCUUAACCAGCAUCGGGUCCGAGCAGGCGUGGCGUUCUUCACAAAUAUUUAUCCAUCGCUUUGGAGUCCCGAACUCCAUCAUCACCGACAAUGGCACGCAGUUCACUGGGAAGAAGUUCCUGGACUUCUACGAAGACCACCACAUCCGUGUGGACUGGGCCGUCGUAGCUCACCCAAUGACAAAUGGGCAGGUGGAGCGCGCCAACGGUAUGAUUUUGCAGGGACUAAAGCCGAGGAUCUACAACGACCUCAAUAAGUUCGGCAAGCGGUGGAUAAAGGAACUACCCUCGGUGGUUUGGAGUCUGAGGACGACGCCGAGCCGAGCCACGGGUUUCUCGCCGUUCUUUCUAGUCUAUGGGGCUGAGGACAUCCUACCCACGGACUUAGAAUACGGUUCCCCGAGGACAAAGGCUUACGACAACCAAAGCAACCAGACCAACCGAGAAGAUUCGAUGGACCAGCUGGAAGAAGCUCGGGACGUGGCCUUACUACACUCGGCGCGGUAUCAGCAGUCCCUGCGACGCUACCACGCCCGAAGGGUUCGGCCCCAAGGCUUCCAAGUGGGAGACUUGGUACUUCGGCUGCAACAAGACGCCCGAGGGCGCCACAAGCUUACUCCUCCCUAGGAAGGGCCCUUCAUCAUUGCCAAGAUUUUGAAGCCUGGGACAUACAAGCUGGCCAACGAUCAAGGCGAGGUCUACAGCAACGCUUGGAACAUCCAACAGCUACAUCGCUUUUACCCUUAAAAAAUUUCAAGUCGUUUAUGUACCUCGUUUUCUUUACAUAAGUAAAGUCUAACCAUCAAGGAAGGAUCAGCCUUGCCUCGGCAAAGCCCGACCCUCCCUCGGGGGCUAGAAGGGGGGAACCCCCUCUGCGUCAAAAAAUUUCCUCGGAAAAGUCUUUUGCCAGAAUGUCUUUUCGCGCUUUUCAACUAUGUCGAUAACAGAAUCUUGAAAACGAGCGAGAGAGACCUUGAGCGGCAAGGCCGAUCAAGCCGAGGGACUCCUACACCUCCGGGAUAUGGAUACCUCACUCAUCACCUUCCGCGAAAAGUAGCUCACGCUCGGAUAAGCGAUUCUGCUACCGAACAAGUCCUAACACUCGGAAACUUUUCUGCCAAAACGACUUUCGUGCCGUUUCGACUGCGUCGAUAACAGAAUCCUAAAACCGACGAGGGACCACGUAAGCAGCAAGGCCGACCGAGCCGAGGGACUCCUUUGCCUCCGGGAUACAGAUACCUCACUCAUCACCUUCUGCGAAAAGUGACUCACGCUCGGACAAGGGAUUCUGCUACCGAACAAGUCUUAACACACGAAACGAGAGGAAAGAAAAAGCAGCUUUAUAAUAUGAUGUUAAAAUGUUUAGGCCUCGGCGGCCGCAAAAAACAUACGCAUACUUCAAGCAAACUGUUCUUGCAGGCUCAGACAUCGGCUGGGGGAGGAGCGGCACCCUCGGCGUCGUUUCCACCUUCGGCAAGAUCUGGCACGGCCCCAGGCGGCGACACGGGCGGAAGGACCUCCACCUCGAAGGAGGAAGCCAGCGCCGCAGUUGGACCCUUGACAGCCGCGUCAAGCCUCUGGACCUCGGCUUAGGCAGCCUCCUCAUCGUUGGGUAAGCAGUACCCCUCGCUAACCCGCUCCAGAUCCACGUCGUAGUGGGAAGCGAGCACGGCGAAGGCCCGCCUAACGCCGUGGUGCAGCACCCCGCGGAGUCUGUUGCGCACAUGGCCGCCCAAGGCCCGCAGAUGACUCUGGGGGGAGCUACCCGAGGGGACACUGUCGAGGCCAAAAGCCUCGCAGAAAGCCGAGAUGGCCUCGGAUAUGGCCACACGCUCGGCCUCCUUCUGCUCAGCUGCCUCGGCAAGCGCCUUGCAGUUCUUGACGGCCUCGUUAAGAGCCGUCUCGAACCCUGCAGAUGGCAGGACAACUUUCUUCAGACGCAAGGUGAAGAAUGGCGACAAAAACAAAGUCACAGAGCGGGCAAAACAUACCCUCGGCCCGGGCACGCUGCUAUGAGGCCAUGCCUCGGGCAGCCCGGACAGACCCGACGACCACGGCUAGACCCUCCGCAAGGGUCCCGGCCCGAGCGGUCGCCUCGGGUCUAGAGAGGGGGAAGCCCCCUCUGCGCCAAAAUUUUCCUCGGAAAAGUUUUUCGCCAAAACCACUUUCGUGCCUUUCGACUGCGUCGAUAGCGGAAUCCUAAUGACGAGCAAGAGAGACCUUGAGCGGCAAGGCCGACCGAGCCGAGGGACUCCUACGCCUCCGGGAUAUGGAUACCUCACUCGUCACCUUCCGCGAAAGGUAGCUCGCGCUCGGAUAAGUGAUUCUGCUACCGACGAACAAGUCCUAAUGCUCGAAACAAGAGGAAAGAAACACGGCUUUAUACCCAAAUGUUCAGGCCUCAGCAGCCACAAAGAACAAACACACGUACUUGGGGGAACAAUGGUACCUAGACUCAGACGUCGGCAGCACCCUCGGCGGCUGUCCCGACCUACGACAAAUGUCUUAGUACUUAAAGCUAUUACAUCUCGCUCUCAAGAGGGUACCAUUGCAAACAGGACUCCAGGUCCAUUCCCGCAGGAAUGAACAACCUCCACACAAGGAGGCCUGCGGGAUAACAAACUCCAGGUGGCUCGCCGGCGACCACUACACUAGCAGAGCGACAACGACCUCCACCUCGGACGGCUAGACAGCAGCAGCGAUGGCCUCAGGGCAAACGCUACUGCUGGAAGGCCCUCGUUCAUGUCCCCUCACGGGGGACGAGAACCAGCCAUUAAAGCCAAAGAGCCGGAGGCCCCGAGCGCAGGUGGCACUGACGGUCUCGUCGGCGGAAGCAACCACCGCUGCGGUGGGAAGCCUCACCAGCGGCGGCCGCCGCUUCAGCACCGGCGACAGCAGCCGCCUGCGCACGGCACGACCGUCGUCCGGAUGGAGGACGGACAGCUGCACCCUGGCCAGGCAGCAGCAGUUCACCUUCCCCCGCAUGGCUGGAGGACGCCUCCUCCGCAGAGCUGGAGGAUGUCCUUCUCCCCUGAAUGCUCGAGGAAGAAGUGGGUCGCCGGCCCACGCGGAGGCAGGCCCCACCUCGGUGCGCCCUCCUCCCCAGCCCGGAUGAUGAACAUCCUUGAUGCUGAGGGCGGGGCAGAGGCCACAGCCCGGCUUGCUUCUCCCCACCACAAGGCUGGUGGUCAUCCCUACGGAUGACCAUUGGUGAGGGACUGCAGCCGGGCUGCAUGAUGAAAAUCCUUGAAGCCGAGCGGUGACUGGGGAGCGCCAACUCCCAUCGGGUCGUGCUCCUGAAACAACAGCAAAAAGAAGGCAACACAGGUGCACCCCAUAUGGGGGCUCCGAAGGUGGAAGGGCACGGAGGCGAGAAGUGUGAAGGCAUGGCUACUGCCCGGGGGAUCGGUCCCUUUUUAAAGGCAGAUCUCCUCACUCGCACCCUCAAGCGUCACAGGCAAAGACUCCACCGACGCGCUUCAAGGUUCUCGCCCUCCGACGCGGGGGCUGACCCGAAACGGAAGAAGCCAAAUCGCCGCACACAAAGCAUGUAACCGCCCCGCGGUUAUAAGCGUUCCCCCAUCCUCGCCGAAACCAGCGGUCGAAAGGGCGGACCGCCACGCAGGAAGCAUGCAACCGCACCACAGUUGUGCGCCCUUUCGGCCCCGUCGCGUCCAGCGGACCAGCAUGGAGGCCCGGGCCCACAUGUCAUGUAACCGGUGCAACGGUUACUGCAUGCAAGGAAACCGCACCGCCACUCGCGCCAAUGCCGCGUCUUCUCGACUGAGGAACCAGUACCGCGACUCGAGGCAGCACUACGCAUGACCCAACAAUGCCAAUUGAGUGCAACGAUCACAGGUCAGUCAGCCAUGGGGAGAGGCGCGAUGGUCGAUAUGACCAGAGGCAGGCUGGCAGUAAUUGCAGCAACAGACGGGCGGAAGCAGCGGUCCGAUCACCUACAGGCUCACACCCUCUCCUGAAACGGCAGGGGAGCCCUCUCCCACGGAGUAAAGACGACACGCCCGUGUUCUGUUCCUCCAACGGCUCGCGCACACGCCAUAGACGCCCCGCGAAUCGCCCGUCCCGUCGCAUUAACUCCUUGGCAGGGCAAGCGACAUCUCCAGCAGGCGAAGCGAGCGCCGUUUCACCUCCGUCAUGAUGACCGCGUCAAAAAGGUGUGCCGCCUUAUUUAAAUUCAUGUCCUUUUUCUUUCCCUCUCUCUCUCUCUCUCUCUUGCCACAGGGACCGGGAAAGGGGGUAUUUCGAAAAAGGACCCUUCCCAGCGAAGGAAACGGGCCCCGAGCCCUCCUACUAAUCAGGGGUUCGAAGGUUGCGCCCUCCGGGGUUCGGCAACCGCCCCAGAGCACUCGGGCUCCAUGCCCUUUACUGAUCAGGGGUUCGUAGGCUGGCCCCUCGGAAGGGUUCGACAGCCGCCCCCGAGCACGCAGAGUCAGGGAUGACCCUGGGUACGUCUAUUACAUGGUCGAGGCUCGGGCUACGCUCCCGAGGUACCCUAGGACAUUUCUGAGACCAGCGGGAACGAUUUUGUAAUGGAAUCCCACCGGAGGGAGGCAUCGAGCCCUCGGACCCUAUCGAAUGGGUCCGGGUCCGGCAAAUCACCUGCAGGUACUUUUGGAGCACGCCUGUGGGCCACUAGCCGACCCUUAUCGAAUGGGGCUCGGGCGUCCACUCGGAUCACCCGCUAGCAACUCACUGGAAACACCAUGUUCGGUGCCCUCCGAGGUAACAUGGCGCUUUCCCCCCCCCCCUUCCUCCUUGCGGAAAGGCGACGAAGGGGCGUACAAUAAAAGUCGAAACGGUCCUUGAUCGUCCUCUCGCUCCGUGCAGAGGCUCGGGGGCUGCUCUCACACCAGGCUACGGCCGAACCAUUGACCACGUCAACAAACCAGCGUGAAAACUCGAAGCCUGACCGUGCACCCGGGCUACGGCUAGGCCGCAUGAGGGAACGACAAGGCCAUCCGAGGCAUCGCAAAAAGAAUUAAGACCUCAGAGGAGUCAAAACCACUCCUCCAAGGCCUCGGGGGCUACACCCGGCAGGUGUGCUCAUGCGCACCCACCGGAACAAAAUAUAACCAAGAAGGGUCGGUCCCCUUGCAAAAAUCUGGCAGAACCUCCAAGCGAGUGCCCGCACUCCCUUUGAGGCUCGGGGGCUACUGUCGGGUACCGUAAUUAGGGGUACCCCCAAUGCUCCUUAAUCUGGCUGGAAAACAUCUUCAGAACAAGCCAUACACGGCUGAUAAACGCGGUUCAAGUCAGGGUCACGUCUGCCGAGGGACGCGACCUCAUCCGAGCCCAGCCUCGGGCGGGAACAGUAGUCCCAGACGGAUUCACGCCUCGCUCGAGGGUCCCCUCAACCAGUAGACGCACCCUCAGCUCGCCCGAAGCCCAGCUUGGGCAGACUUUGUCGUGCAGCAACCUUGGCCAAAUCGCCUUACCAGCCAACCGAAUCGCAUGCGCAUUUACUGCGGGGAUCGCCUGACACCUUAUCCUGACACGCGUGCCUCAGUCGGCAAGGUCGAAGUGACCGCAGUCACUUCGCCCCUUUACUAGCCGAUCUGACUGGAAAACAACGCGGUUCACCCCGCUCCGGCUACCGUGCCAACCACCAGGAUAAAACCGAGUCACGAUCUCCCACGAGUUUGGCCUCGGGCGCAACAGGGAGCUCCGCCUCGCCCGACCUCAGGCCUCAGCCUCAGCCUCGGCCUCGGAAGAAGAUCUCCGCCUCGCCUGACCCCAGGCCUCGGCCUCAGCCUUGGCCUCGGGAGGAGUCACAACCUCGCCCGAGCCCAGCCUCGGCCUCAGGAGAAGUCUCUGUCUCGCCCGACCUGGGCCUCGGACCGACUGUGCUACAGGGGAUACAUUAUUACCCUACUCCUAGCUAGCUGCCUCAGGCUACGAAGGAACAAGACCGGUGUCCCAUCUAAGGCUACUCCGGCAAUAGGUAAUGAUGGUCCCCCUCGUGCGCCCAUGACGUCGGAUCGCUCUCAACCCCCUACGGAAGCAAGACAACGUCAGCAGGAUCCAUGCCGCGCCGACAGCUGUGCUUCUACUAGGCUCAAGGCACUUCUCCGAUGGCCACGCUAGCUCGUGUACAGGGCUCAAGGCGCUUCUCCGCCAGCCACGAUAGCACAUAGCUACACCCCCUUGUAUAGCUGGGCAUCUCCUUGUAUCUAUAAAAGGGGAUGUCCAGGGCCUUCCUAAGGCACGACGCCGCGCACACACGUUGGACACCGCGCACACACGUUGGACGUCGUGGACACACGUUGGACGUCGUGGGCAGACGCGGCAACUCUGACAACGUUGGUCGCUCUCGCCCUCGCUCCCUCGCGCGACGCUUGUAACCCCUACUACAAGCACCCCGGUGUGAGAUAACAUAAGCCACAUUUCCCUCUUGUGUUCCAUCUUGCAUCAACCCAUCUGGGCAGGGACACGCAACAACAAAUUUACUGGUCGGUUGACGGUCCUCGCGGGUCCGAAACGCCGACAGAUAGUGAUACAAAACUUAUUACCAAUACUUUGAACCCGUUGGAGACAAACUUCAUCACCAUUGACUUAGAUAAUAGUAUGAUUUUAAAGGUCAUUUUUUGAUAGGCUUAUCUCCAAAUUGAUUACUACGAAUGCUCAAGGUGUGGCCAUUAGGUCCUCAAGGUUGUUACUUAAAUACGAAUGCUCCCUUGAACCAUCUCUAAAACAUAUAAUCUCUAAAUAUAGAUACUUUUGUACUACCCUAAGCAGCUGAAACUUAAGGAUAAUAUAAGCUAGUUAUAAUAUGUUGGCUUAGUACCCUAGAAUCACUAUUUUUAUUUUCAAUUUUACAAAUAGGGGGGACCUAUGCAUUAUAUUACUUAAUACCAAAACUUUCUAUGACCAAGCAUAUUUGAAGGCUUGCCCUGCUUAUGUGAAAACUUUGCCUAUGCCAAUGAGAGAUAAUAAAAAAAGAGAAGGUAAUAUGCGAACCUAUACAACUAUUUUUUUAUUCAACCACUUGAGUGAUGUUCAUUAUAUUAAUUUAGCAAUAACAAUUGGCAAAAAUAAAUUAUAUUAGGCCUUACCACUACUGGAAAUUUUCUCUAUGAAGUUAACAUAAUAAAAAUGAGAGAAGGAACAUAUUUUCAUGCAAUAAGAGAUUGACUCAACAAAUAUCCAAGCCAACACACCAUGUCUAACUCGAUAUAUAGGAUGAAGGGACAAAUGGAUAAAACAUCUCUAGUAUUCUCAUUUGCCCAUUCUUCUUUGAUCAAGUCCUGCAAUCCUUGGAGUUAGGAUAAAGGAACCAUAUGAUAAAAUUAUGUUGGCAUUCAUGACAAAUGUUUUGUUCAUUGUUGUGAUAAUUGCAACAAGGUUUCUUUAUCUAUUUUUUUGGUAUACACUAUGUUUUAAUCACACAUAUCAAAAUUAUGUUGUCAUUCAUGACAAAUGUUUUGUUCAUUGUUGUGAUAGAUGCAACAAGGUUUCUUUAUCUAUUUGUUUUUGGUAAAAACUAUGUUUUAAUCACACAUAACAACUCUUGAUGAUCAUUGAUACCCUUUUAAACAUAAAUAAACAGAACCACAUGUUUUUAGAUCUAUUUUCUGACUUUGAGCAAAAAAAUAGGUGGUAUCACAACCUGCCUUGAUUUGUUCCACAUCCAUAAUACCAAUAUAAUGUAUUAGUUGUAACCCCUAAGGUGUCACUCUCCAUAGCUUCCACCCAAACAUCAUUGUCUACUAGAUGCUUGGUGAUCACUAAUCCAUCAAACUUCGUUGUUUUUCAAAUCAAAUAGGGCCAACAUUGCCCUUUGUAGAACUGUUGGCUAAAUCUUACGAGGGAUCACCCAACUAUACUUCAUAUUACUUGGUGGCUUAGUUGGGUGCGCAAUGAAAACCAAUUAUCAUUUUUACUUCCAAAAUAUGAAACUAAUACUAACACAAAACACACAUACACAAUUAAAUCAUAGUGUAUGCCCAAAAAUUGUUAUAGAAACAUCAUUGCAAUUCUUAGAACAAUGAACAAAAAAUUGUCAUGAACAACCAUGUAAUUUUAUCAUAUGGUUCCUUAUCCCUACUCUAAGAAUUUCAGGAUCUUGUCAAAAAAGAGUGGGCAUUGGACAAUCCAGAGAUGUUAGUACAUUACUCCCUCCCUCAUAUAUAAUGAGUUGGACAAUUUUUGGUGUAAAAGUGCCCAUCCCUAACCACCAUUUCACCACUACUAAAUUUUGCCAAAUAGGUCCAAUGCAAAAUUCUUCCUCCAAGACAUUCUCUGUCCUAUAUAGAACCUACAUGAAUAUUUUUCUCUAUCACAACUCAAAACUAAGUGUGACAUCUUCACCCACAUGUACAAUAGCUCGUUCCUCUCCUUCUCAUUCCCUAGUGUAUAUUGUUGACCUAAUGCACCUUAGCCUCAUUGAUUUUGUUCAUGUUUCUCAAUCUCAUUGUUCCAUCAUAUUUAUUCUUCUCAUGUCUCCUCCUCCAUAAUGUUUGCAUUCUCAAUGUCCUUGUUGCAUCCUUGGACAUUGUGCCAUACCACUUGUUCUUAGUUUAUGCUCUUCUAUUAGUUGAAAUUGAUUGAUAUCCACAAAUUUUGUUAAAAAGAUUGAGAUCCACAUUAGGUGGUCAGAACUUCACAAACUAACCUCCAUCAAGCGGAUCAUAUAUUAUGUGGAUAAGGGUCGCGCAUGUGUAAAGGUAAAUGUGUCAUGCCAUUAUCACCCAUAUAUUCAGAAAAUACCAUGGGAAGAAAAGCAACUUUUUCUUGUAUUUUGUGCAAAUUGUUUUGUCGACAUAUAAAGUGUAAGAUAAGAAAGUGGCCACUAAAUAUCAAAAUAGACUAGGUACCAUGUCAUCUCUAGUUUAUCUUCUAAUGGUUUUGUUGGGUAAAGAAGAAAUAUUGUUGAUAUACAUGGCCUAUCAUGUGUAUAAAUAGCCAUCAAAUUAGUAGUUAAUCCAUCACCCAUAUUAUUGAUACGAACUAGCAACAUACAUAGUGAAGUACACUAGCAACAUCUUAGCACCAAUGGCAGCCAAGAUUUUUGCCAUCCUUGCCCUCCUUGCUCUUUCAGCAAGCGUUGCUACCGCGACUAUUAUUCCACAAUGCUCACAACAAUACCUCUCUCCGGUGACAGCCGCGAGAUUUGAAUACCCAACUAUACAAUCCUACAGGCUACAAGAGGCCAUCGCAGCAAGCAUCUUACGGUCGUUAGCAUUGACCGUCCAACAACCAUAUGCCCUAUUGCAACAACCAUCCUUAAUGAAUCUAUAUCUCCAAAGAAUCGCAGCACAACAACUACAACAACAGUUGCUUCCAAUAAUCAAUCAAGUAGUUGCAGCGAACCUUGCUGCUUACCUCCAGCAACAACAAUUUCUUCCAUUCAAUCAACUAGCUGGGGUGAACCCUGCUGCUUACUUGCAGGCACAACAGCUACUACCAUUCAACCAACUUGUCAGGAGCCCUGCUGCCUUCUUACUGCAGCAACAGUUGCUUCCAUUCCAUCUACAAGUUGUGGCAAACAUUGCUGCUUUCUUGCAACAACAACAACAAUUGCUGCCAUUUUACCCACAGGUUGUGGGAAACAUUAACGCCUUCUUGCAACAGCAACAGUUGCUAC
rnacentral:lncRNA from 1 species